GUGUUUUUUUUGUGUGUGUGGGAGUCAUUGGGAUUUCAAUCAUAAUCGUGUCAUGUGGCUUUGGUGGUAAGACUAUCCACAGUGGUGCAGAAAUAAUGCAGCCUUAGUCACCUUACCUCUCUCCACGUAGUACGUUGGGUCCCACCAGUCAGAGGGUGAACCAGACAAAUUAAUAAGAAAAAUUAAAAGCGCCAGUGGUGUAUCUUACCUCACACAUCUCGCUACUGCUCGGGAACACUGUCCAAUUGAUCCCUCUGUUCACUCACGUACUAUUUUAAGUGAAUCCUUAUUAUAACAUGCACACAAACUUUGGGCACUUGUAUUCGAGUUAAGUCAGUGUGCCACCGUAUCUCGUAUACUUACUACUCCCUCCGUCUAGGCGUAAUAAGUCACGUUAGAAGGUGCAACGGGACCAAGGUGUGUGCGUGUGCGCGCGCGUGUGUGUGUGUGUGUGUGUUUAACAACAUGUGUGUGUUAGAGAGAGCGACAGAUCGACCUACUCCUACAGAGAGAUGUUGUGUAGUGUAUGAUUUUAGCCGCGAGAGUCGGUGCAUCCUCUCGUUUCCGGGCGUGUCUGGUAGGGACAUGCGGACAGCUGCCACGCCCGCUCCUGACCAGCCUGGCCCACCCAAAGCCCCUCCAGCGCCCGCGCGCGCUUCCCGCCCGAAACGGUCAGCGCGCCGCUCCAAAGAACCGGUGCCGCAUUCAUGCCCGGGCAGAGCGGACGCGACCUCUCACUGGCGCAAGAGUGAUGGUUGCUUCGUCCGUCCAACUUACUGCUGGGUCUAUGUGAUUUGACGGCUCAUUGGUCUUUAUUACUGAGGUGGUAGGACUGCUGGAUGUCCCACGCUUUCGGCGAAAGGAGGUACUACUACUAGAGUACAAUUUUCUCCAUUCUUACAGCAGAGGUGUGCAAGAGCAGUGAAAACACGCAGGCUCAGUGAUUACAUGGCCCACCUCACACUAUCACCGUGCGACACCUAAAUCUUUACAUAGUACUCCCUCUGUUCCUAAAUAUUACUAGAUGAGUCCCCGCGCGUUGUCGUGGAACAGCGGUAUAUCUCUCUGCGCAAAAUUAUCGAUUUCAUAGAACUAAAAAAAACUCUAUAACUGCAUGACAAAUGUGGUAGCCAAACUAAAUAAACUCCCAUCAUCAUUUAGAUCAUCCCACGUAAGGAAAAAAAUCGGCCAACUCCUACUGCAUAAUGGGAUUAUAUUUUUCUUUUUGACAUGUUAAUGGGACUUAAAAGCUCACUUACAUGCAUGCUACUUGUGCAUGCUUGCAUGCAGACAUGUUGAUGUGAUUUAAAACCCACUCACAUGCAUGUGCCACGGUAUUUCUGCAUGCUUGCAUGUGGCUUAGUGCGGAGCCUCUCAACGUCUAGAUCAGAUGGCUAUUAUGGACUUAUUUACUUCAUCUAACGGCUACAUCAAUUUUUAUGAUGUGGCUCAAAGAGAGGAUAGAGAAUUCCUAGUAGUGGGGGCUAGCUAUUACUAGUAGAUAAGUCUUUGUAGAGAUUCCACUACGUACGGAACAAAAUGAAUGAAUCUACACUUAAAAUGCAUCUAUAUACAUCCGCAUGUGGUUCAUGGUGAAAUCUCUACAAAGACUUAUAUUUAGGAACGGAGGAAGUACUAGUAUAGUACGUACUGUAAUUUAUCAGCGAGAUAAAUUUGUACAAUGCUAUGAAGCUUCCAGCUUCUGUUACAUGUAUCUUGCGUCCAAGGUUGCCCGUUGCAACAUUUCAUCAAAUACAAAGGAGACUAACAUGCAUGCUAUUGCAUCUCAAUGAUUGACAGAUCAUAGCAAAUAUGUACCCCCUCCAUUCCAAAAUAAGUGUCUCAACUUUGUGCAAACUUUAGUACAAAGUUGUACUACUACUAAAGUUGACACUUAUUUUAGAACAGAGGCAGCUAAAGAAAAGAUGAUCCAUGCAGUCCCUAGCCCUUGAACCGUGAACCCUGACCAGGCUUCAAUUUGCUGGCAACGUUCGAGCUUCCUAAUAAAUGAAGUUUGCAACCUUUUGACCAUCGGAUCAUUCUGUGCAGUUUCACCAAAAUCGAGAUGAGCAUCCCUGUGGCAAACAAAUUGAAGAAGCGUGAUUGGAAUAAGAUUACUGGGAGUAGUUGAUAAGACAUAAACUCAUCACAAAUACAGUACGUAGAAGCCAGUAGAGGUAUGUGCGGGGCAAAGGAGUAGAGAAAUAUCCACAGGGAGUGAUGUGGGCAGCUGGAGCAGUGGUGCAAGCCGGCUGUAACGGGAGUUGUACCUGAGGGACGUAGCUCAACCUUGAGGAGGGCGGCGGGAGGCAGCAACUGCCCACGUCGCGGCAGUGACCAAGGGACGAAGGCAACCUCAUCGGCUUUGUGAGAGAGAACGGCGGGGACCCCUGAUCGGGACGUGCCGACAGUGGGUUUUCGCCGUCGGCGACGACCACCGCAUCUACACUAAGCAUCCACCCCUUCCUCAAGCGGAAGUGAUCCGCUGGGAUGUUAGAGAUGUGGCCACAGUCGUUUUGUGUGAGAGAGUGUGAAGAGAGCAACCCCAGCAAGCAACCGUGUAGGCUGGCCCGUUCUGACUAUGUAUAUAGUGGAGCGGUUUCCCUUUCUCUCCAUAUGAACCUAUCAUAUUGCGUACGUGCCACUGAAGAAAAAAAACUUUAUUUAAAAAUGACGCGGCACCUACUACUCGUUCUCCUAUAACCUUGCGCUUGGCAUCUCCAAAAUAUUAACCUUGCGAUUGGCUCUUCGCCUCUUCGGGAAGUCGAGCAAUAAUGGUAGUGCAGUAUAUAUCGUUCUGGCUAUAUGAGACCGAAUGAAUUGCUGCACGUCCACCACGUGGGCGAGGGUCGAGGGGCGAGGGAGAGUGCUACAUACGGAGCAAAAUGAGUGAAUCUACACUCUAAAAUACGUCUAUAUACAUCAGUGUUUGGAGUAUGUACUAGUAGUUCAUAUUGAAAUCUACUAAAGGACAUACAUAUUCCAAACAAUAUGAUAUAAUCUCUAUAACCAAGGUAGUAGGGGCGAUUAGUAAACGGAGGGAGUAGUAAAUUUUUCUCCUCGUCCUGCGAGCCACCGCGCGCAUGGGCGAGGGAGCGGGCGUAAGGCGGAGCAAGCUUCACCUCAUCCUGCGAGCCACCGUGCCCGUAGGCGGGGGAGACGGCGUACUAAGCAAGCUUCUCCUCGUUCUGCGAGUUGACGGGACACCUACGUGGGUGUGUGUGAGAGAUNNNNNNNNNNNNNNNNNNNNNNNNNNNNNNNNNNNNNNNNNNNNNNNNNNNNNNNNNNNNNNNNNNNNNNNNNNNNNNNNNNNNNNNNNNNNNNNNNNNNNNNNNNNNNNNNNNNNNNNNNNNNNNNNNNNNNNNNNNNNNNNNNNNNNNNNNNNNNNNNNNNNNNNNNNNNNNNNNNNNNNNNNNNNNNNNNNNNNNNNNNNNNNNNNNNNNNNNNNNNNNNNNNNNNNNNNNNNNNNNNNNNNNNNNNNNNNNNNNNNNNNNNNNNNNNNNNNNNNNNNNNNNNNNNNNNNNNNNNNNNNNNNNNNNNNNNNNNNNNNNNNNNNNNNNNNNNNNNNNNNNNNNNNNNNNNNNNNNNNNNNNNNNNNNNNNNNNNNNNNNNNNNNNNNNNNNNNNNNNNNNNNNNNNNNNNNNNNNNNNNNNNNNNNNNNNNNNNNNNNNNNNNNNNNNNNNNNNNNNNNNNNNNNNNNNNNNNNNNNNNNNNNNNNNNNNNNNNNNNNNNNNNNNNNNNNNNNNNNNNNNNNNNNNNNNNNNNNNNNNNNNNNNNNNNNNNNNNNNNNNNNNNNNNNNNNNNNNNNNNNNNNNNNNNNNNNNNNNNNNNNNNNNNNNNNNNNNNNNNNNNNNNNNNNNNNNNNNNNNNNNNNNNNNNNNNNNNNNNNNNNNNNNNNNNNNNNNNNNNNNNNNNNNNNNNNNNNNNNNNNNCGACUGGCCUACCGGAAUGUUAGAGGGCACAUGUCAAGUUUGUGUGUGCCAGGGAGACAUGACUAGAGCGCUCGAUGUAUUGGUGUGUGUGGGGGGAGGGGUGGGGGGAGGGGUAGGAAGAGGCCUAACUAUAGAGGUAGAACGACUCGUAUAUGUGUUGAGAAGGAGAGACCCAGCUAUGUCUUGAGCGAGAUCGGUCGACAUCCAUACAUAACUGAAGGACGGGAAAUAUGAUGGGACAGAGAGAGAGGAGAGAGAGAGAGAGAGAGAGAGAGAGGGGGAGGGAGAGGGAGGGAGAGGGGUAGAGUGCUGGAUGGGUGAUGGAGUUGCUUCUCGAAGAUGGUGGGAGAGGCCUACUAGACAAACUGAGGGUGGAACUGGAAUGUUAUCAAUAAGAGUGGGGAUGUGUUUCUGUGUGUGCCUGUGCGUGAUAGAUCUGUCGGGACGCAUCCAUGGAUGAUGAAGGGGAACCAUGUGUUUGGUAAGCAAACCUAACUAGAUCGGUAGAUCAAUUGUUGUUUGUCGGAGGAAGGGAGAGACACAACUAAUGAGGUAGAUCGAUUGACGUGUGGGUAAAAACGAGUUAUAAGGACCUAGCUAGCUAUAUGUAUAGCGAGAGAUCGGUCGGUGUACGUCCAUUUGUUAGAGGCAAAUAAGGCCCAGCGAGACGGAUAGACUGAGAAAAUGGAGCUAGGAGGUGGUGCGAGAGGCCCAACUACUAGCUAGAUAGGGGGAGGAGUGUGCGGUUGUGAGAUCGAUGAAAAGAAGGGCGAGAGUUUACACGUGUGUCUGACCGUAUGAGAGACACGAGGCAAGGACACAUAAAGGAGGAGAUUGAAGGUGUGUGUGUAUGUUGUAGGCAGGCAUCGCUGGAGAGGUUUAUCGAUCGGUGUGUGUCGGAAAGGAGUUGUGGAGACUCUGGCAGAACGACCUAAAGAAAAAAUGAAUGAGCCCAGUGGAUAGAAUGCCGAGGGAGGGGGAGGGCGAGGAGGGCGUGUGCACGCACGAGAGAAAGUUAGUGGUAGCUACAAAGGUUAGAGUAUUGUGUGGGUGUAAGAGACUAACAAAGAUCAUAAUUUGAUAUGAAAGCGGAUUCAUACAUUUGAAUAGGAGAUCAUAGUGUUUUAAACAUUGCAUGCAUGAAUAUAGCGGUGAUACACGUGCUGUGCACAUGUUAUACCAUAAUGUGAUAAUGCAUGGCGUUUGCAACUCACAGCUAAAUGCCGAACAAUCUAAACCUUACUAUACAUCAAACAAUCUCAUAGUUUAUUUGAAUUUGUGAUAAUGUGUGGCGUUGCAGCUUACAACUAAAUAUCGAACAAUCUAAACAAUACUAUAUAUCGAACAUUCUCACAUUUUAUUUGAAUUUGUGGUAAUGUGUGGUGUUUCCAACUCACAUCUAAAUACUUGUAGGCGUAGGGGGCGGGGCACCAUACAUAAUGUGAUAAACACAUUAUACAUAUGAGACAUGGUUUAGAUUAUGAAGAUCUAGCUAGAGCUAGAAAUGUAAUGUGAUUUGAAAUCAAAAUAAAGUGGAUUCAAAAAAUCUAGUUCGAGUUCAUAUAGUACACAUAGUUCAUAUGUAACUCGAGACUAAUCAUGUGGUGUGCUACGAAGAUAAUACACAAACGAUGGUUUAACUUGACAAUAAUGAUGAUUGUAGAUCUUAUUAAAACAGAGAAACGAAUUCAAAUGCUUUGACUUCACAACAAUCAUUACUGUAGAUCUUAUUCAAAUAGAGAAACGAAUUCAAAUUAAGUUCAUAUUGAAGCGGUAGUAUAUACGUUUGGAAUGCGCUAAAACGUUCAUUUGAGUAGUAGGUUGCAUGCAUUAUACACGUAGCGUAAUAUUUUAAUUGAACAUAACAUGAAUUCAAAGUUUUGAAUGACAUUUGUAGUGCGCAUUGAUUUGGUGCAGUACACGUUAGGCUUGUCCGGAAAUUUCAACCCGCGCCUUGUUAGCCCGAAAUAUUUAAGAUAUAUCUUUGUCUCGUUGUGCCCCGACAACUCCCUCCAUCUCAACCAGCGCCUUGCUAUUCCGAAAUUACAAUGCGUGCGAAAACUCCCACCUCCUGUGAAAUCCCGAUACGCGAAAUGCCCGUGGUACCCCUGAACCGAAAGAACCGCCUCAAAUUGGUGGGGGUACUUUCGUAACUUACCCCGCAUUUCGGACAAGCGCGUCUCUAAGCCAUGGUUCCCCACUGCCAUCCCAUCCGCCCACCGAUUCAUACACCGAGGCCGCAAAAACCUGCGACGAAACCCCACACCCUGCUCCGUCCGCCAGCCAGCCGGAGCCUCUUCCCCGACGACGUCGUCCACAGCAACACCUCAAUGUCCCUCAUCCACCAUACCGGAUGAGGAUCCGUCGUCGAUCUCAUCGUCCCGCCGGUUCAGCCACCCCGUCCUCCACCUCCAAGGAGCUGCCCCGACGUUCCCCUCGUCUUUCACGCCACCUCCAUUCCCACACCACCGUCUUCACCUGCACCACCGGAAGAGCAUCAUCAUCACCGUUUCCUCGGAUGAAGCUGCGGCCUAAUCGGUGCCACCAACGAGGUUGUACACUAAUCGCCGCAUUUUCUUCUUGAUUCGAUCUCACGGUGCUGCCGGCGCUCGGUCCUGAGCCGACACGGCGCGGCUCCAUCCACGGCGGCUUCGCCGGCCACUUCCUCCACGGCGUCGCUCCCUCGGCGGCGAAGUCCACAUCAGUAGGAGCUGCUACUGCUUUAGCUCUCGCUCAUGCUGCUGCUCUGCUCUUGCUCUCGGUCCCCUGCCUGGUCUGCUCUUGCUAUUGCUCUUGCUCACGCUGCUGCUCUCGCUCUUGCUCUUGCUUGCGAUGCUGCUCUGAUUUAUCUACACUUCAGUCGACUGAAUCAACUUUUNNNNNNNNNNNNNNNNNNNNNNNNNNNNNNNNNNNNNNNNNNNNNNNNNNNNNNNNNNNNNNNNNNNNNNNNNNNNNNNNNNNNNNNNNNNNNNNNNNNNNNNNNNNNNNNNNNNNNNNNNNNNNNNNNNNNNNNNNNNNNNNNNNNNNNNNNNNNNNNNNNNNNNNNNNNNNNNNNNNNNNNNNNNNNNNNNNNNNNNNNNNNNNNNNNNNNNNNNNNNNNNNNNNNNNNNNNNNNNNNNNNNNNNNNNNNNNNNNNNNNNNNNNNNNNNNNNNNNNNNNNNNUUUCAGGGGGUGGGGGUGGGGGCUCGCCGGGGUGAAGGAAGAACCAACCGCAGCGGGGAGGGGGGCUCGCCGGAGAGGUACCCCACUAUCUACCUUAGGGUUCAGGAUGGGGGCGGUGGUCGCCGGCGGUGGCGGGGCGUUGGCGGGGCGGUAGCGUGGGGAUCGCCGGAGAAAAAGCUCGGCACGGGGGCCCUAGAGGGAUGGUCGGGGCGGCGGCGGACCGGCGGUGGGGAGUGUUUUCGGGGCGGGCGGGGUGGCGCACCGCCGGCCGCGGGCGGCGGUGUCUGCUGUUUGGCCGGUGGUGGCUGGCGGCUCAGUGGUGGUGGAGGUUGAAGAUGAACCGCAGUCCCUUGAUUUCGUAUCCAAUGGCUGCAAAAUCGACUAACCAGAGAUGAAAAAGUCAGUCGACCGACGUGUAGCCUCACCUUGCUAGUGCGUUCAGUUUCGACAGCAAAAUUCAGUUUCGACAGUUAAGUUCAGUUUCGACAGUUAAGUUCUGUUUCGACAGCUAAGUUCAGUUUCGACAGUUAAGUUCGGAGAUGAGCGGCUGAUGUAUUUUACAUCUAGCACUUUGUGGUUAUGUAUUUUACGUCAUGUAUUAGAGAUGCUAUUAGAAUUCCACUCAGGUUAACGUUGUUCGUUGUCUCUCUUGUCCUGCUUCAGCCUCGGCGUCGUACAACUCACCGGAGCUGCUCCAACAACGAAACCCUCCAUCACAGCGGAGUAGUACCUCGGGCUCCAUCUCCAGACGCCUAAGAUCUUCUUCCCCUCCUCCGACAGCAAAGUCAGCCGGAGCAUCCUCACCGGCCAACCCAAUCACGCUGAGAUCGACAUGGCUUCGCCAAAGAGGUUGUACACUUGUUGCAUCUCUUUUUUACUCUACAUGUUAUAUAUAUUGUCCACUGAGCACACGGAUUUGUUCCUUUGGUGUCUCCUUGAAAGAAAAAAUGUAGGAAUUUUAAUUUCACUUGUCCUCCUUUUCAAAUUCCUGUUCAUGAAGCAUAAGACUAAGAGAUAGUAGCAUAAUAGCACUAUAACCGUACAUUUUCUUGUGGUUUGACUUAAUCUCACCAUGCUUCUUUGCAUCCUGUGAUCUUCCAAUUGUUGUGAAUCAAACAGCUAGAUUGGCAGAAAUCCUGUGUUUUUAAAUUCUCUGUUUUGCACGUGCAUUCCUAUCCUAUUCCUGUCUAUUUCCUAUCCCUGCAUUGUUGGAAUCCUCCAAUUCAAACGAGCCCUUACAGAAUUACUUCUCUUACAGAUAGUUGUCAAAGAAAACCUUGCGUGGUUUGUCCCGCUCCUGCUACGCCGUCAUCCACCCCAGCUCAGCUGCUCCAACGACAGAAGGGUCUAGCACAGCAGGGAUCCGGCCUCCAUACUGUCUUUCGCCGCCUCAGAUCUUCUUCCCCGCCGCUGGCAGCCAUGAAAACUGCAUUACCAUCAUCAACCGAGCAGAUGACCUCGAGGACUACACGGGUCCGCAAGAGAGGUCGCACUCCUUACAUAAUCUCACUAUGUUUUAUUCCUAUGCAUGAUAGUUAUUGUAAACAAUGGAACUGAACAUGUAGAGCAAAAGAGACGAGCCUUGCGUGGCAAUAAAAUUUCAUGCAGAUGUCGCUCCAUGGUAGGCGCAAAGGCAGCCCCCCUCCACGCAUUUCGGAUUGUAAUCGAGAGGAAGAUAUUUGUUCUGAGGGGCAUUCAGAAGGACAAGACAACUCCUAUUUACCCCCUGAGGUCUUCGCUCUAACUUGGCAUGCUGAUGUUGGUUAUAUCAUGCAUAUGGUGUCUUACAUUGCUUACUUUAUACAUCAAAUAUGUCAUCUGCUUAGUUUGGACAUCCUUUGUGCGAAUGCCAUCUGUUUAGUUUAUUCAUCGUUUAUGUGAAUUAUGCAACGCCAUGUUGUUUAGCCAGGCAUCAUAUAUGUGAAUUUUGCAGUGCCAUCCUGCUUAGCCAGUCAUCUUAUAUGUAAAUUAUAUCAGGUCAUCCUUUUUUCGUUACAUAUUACAUUUGUCAACAAUGUUAGUACAUUCAACUGCUCUUCGUGUGCAUCAGCCAUUUGACAUGGUGAUGGCAAAUUCUGGAGUGAAAACAAGGUCUUCAGAGCAGACUAUGCUAUCUGACGAAGCGCAUAUCUCGCUAGUUACGGAUAGCUCCUCAGAGGAGGAUUCAGAGACAGAUGACCAGUCCUAUUUCCCCCCUCCCCCAAGGUGUAUGCUCUAACUUGGCAGGGUUAUGUUGCUCAUAUCGUGCGUAUGGUGUCUCGCAUUGCUAUGUCAUUUGAAUAGUUUAGACAUGCUUUGUGUGAAUGCUACCUAUUCAGUGUCUAAUUACCAUAUAUGUGGAUUAUGCAUUGCCAUCUUGUUGCAAGACAUUAUAUAUGUGAAUUAUACAAUGCUAUCUUGUUGCAAAGGCAUUAUAUAUGUGAAUUAUGCAAUGCCAUGCUGUUUAGGCAAUCAUCAUGUAUGUGAAUUAUAUCAUGCUAUCAUUUUUUGUAUUAUGUGUUCCAUUUGUCGACAACGUUUGUAUAUUCAACUACUCUUCCUGUGCAUCAGCCAUUUGAAGCGGUGAUGGAAGUAUGUGGAGUGAAAAUAAGGUAUUCGAAGCAGACAAUGCAACCUGCUGAAGCAGACAUCUUGCUGGUUACAGAGAGCUCCUCAGAGGAGGAUUCAGAGACUGAUGACCAGUCCUAUUUCCCCCCUGAGGUCUAUGCUUAAACUUGGCAGGGUUAUAUUACCCAUGUCAUGCAUGUUGUCUUGCAUUCCUUAGUUUUUACAUCAUAUAUGGAUUUCCAUCUGCUGACUUGCUUACUAUAUAAAUCAUAUAUUUGAAUUCUAUCAUGCCAUCAUGUUUACAUAGUAAAUACGCAUCAUCUAUCUGAAUUAUGGCAUGGCAACCCAUUUAAUAAAGACAUCAUAUAGUUAUAUCAUCUCAUCCUGUUUAGUGUUUACAGUCAUCAUAUUUUGAAUUAUGGCAUUCUAUCCGUGAAUGUAUGUGAAUUAUGGCAUGCCAAUCUAUUUAAUAAACACAUUAUAUAGUUAUGUCAUGUCAACCUGUUUACAUAGUCUCAUAUUUUGAACUAUGUCUUUCCAUCUUUUUUAGUUAGCCAUCAUAUAUGUGAUAUUGUGUCAUGCUAUCCUGUUUGGUUUGACAACAUAAAUAUGAAUUAUUUCAUGCCCUCUUUUAUUCCCCACUAUCCAUUGCACCUGUCUAUCAUACAAUGUCUAUACUUUCAAUUACUUUUCUUGUUUAUCAGCCAUUUGAAUUCGAGAGCGUGAUGGCAGUAUCUAAGGGAGUAACAACACGGUCUUCAGAAAAGAUAGUGCUACCAGUUGAUGCAGAUAGAACCACGGUUGUGCUUGCCCAAGGACCAGAUCCACCACACAUAACCCAGACUCUCGCAGAUUGUACCCCUACCCAGUUGGACAGAGAACCAGCUACACCCCUUCUAACCCCAACCCCGGCAGAUAGUAACCCAAUUCCAAUUGACACAUCACCGUCUCCACCACAGAGCACCCAAACACGAGCAGUUAGUAAGGGAACUGCAGUGCCCAAAGCACAAGGACCACCACUCCGAAUCCCAACUCAACGCUUACAGGAGAAGAAGAUUUGUUCUCAGGUCAGGUUCUGUAGCUAUGGUUCAUACUCCUUUGCUCUUGCAUUACUGUAUUUACUCAUACCAACUAUUUUCAAACUUGAAGGAUGGAAUUGAAACUCCAAUGGCGCAACAGGUAUGUUUUAAACCUGUUUCUUUAACUGGUUUGCUGUUGUAACCUGCUCUAUAUUGAUUUCAGUUUCAAUUGAAUAAACAGUUAUGUUCUCAUGUCAUGCACAUUACAAGUGUUGUUAUUGCUCUAUAGUUACCCACACUUAUAUUCUGUCUAUUCUGCUUUGUCUUGAACAAAUAUUAUUCGAAUUGUGUCUCUAUCUUGAUUUGGCAACAAAAACUAGAAUGAUAUAGACCAUAAAGUGACCAUGGUACAUAGAUAUAUGUUUGUUUCAUGCUGUUAUCCUGUCCAGUUUACUACUGAACUCAUUUACCAAAAUGAGUUUCACAUACAACAUAGUAAACAUGUGAUGUGUCUGCUUGUUUCUCUUUUAGAAUGCGGACAAAAUAUUGGAGAACAGUACCGCGUUAUCCAAUGGUAAAGGAAGUAAUGCAGAUAAGGUUCAAGAUAGUGAGACAUCCCUGUUAGUCUCCAAGAAAGCUGAUAAAAACUAUCUUGACGACAGUGAGGGAACCCAAAAGUCCUGUCUUGAUGUAGUGUUCGAAUUACUGGCCACUACUGCUGGCACAAGCUCUUCGAACUCGCUGCCUGAAUUAGUUCAUCUUCUUGAGUCUCAACUUCAAGUUGAAAGACAUCGAUCAGAUGUGCUUCGGCAGGAAGCUGAAGGACUGAGGAAGUCCCUGCAGAAUUCAGAUGCAUAUUUUCUGGUGCAACAGCAAGCGCUGGAGGAUUUAAGCGCCAAACAAGAGAAAGUUAAUAAGCCUUCUAAACAUCUUGCCAGCAUUAUGGGUACCCAGGAUAUUGUUUCUUGAGAUCUUCUGAAGUGGUUUCAGUUCUGGAUUUGUUUUGCUGCGGCGUUUAUUUGCGCUGGUCGCCAACUUUGACAGCCAGUGUAUAUGAUAUGCUGCUUUGUUCCUAUAUUUGCACUGGUGGCGAACUUUGAUGCCCAGUGGAUGUAAUAUGUGUAAUAGCCGUGAUAGCCUAGCGUUAGUUGCUUGAUUAUUUAUUUCCUUGUUGUCUUGUUUAUUUGUUUGCUUGUAGUCAUUGCAGUUCUUUUUCCGCGGUUAGCUAGUGGCUGCAAUAACCUAUUUUUUAAAACUAGGCCACAAUAACCAUGGGCUAAUAUUUACUGUAGUGACACUGGGCCUCCAACUAGCCGUAGAAAUAGUGGGCCUUCUACGGGCCGUAGAAACAAUGGGCGUUCUAUGGGCUAUAGAAACAAUGGGCCUUCUGCGGGCCGUAUCAUCAAUGGGCCUUAUACUGGCCGUAUGAUCGAUUGGCCAAACAUGGGCCAAACAGACCGCAUUAUGGCCGUAAACGGGCUAGAUUUGGAAUCGUCCGUUCAUGGGCCGACCAUAACGGGCCAUCGUUAAUAGUCUGUAUUUGGUGAUGCUAUGAAAAUGGCCCAACAGACUAACGGUCCACAAACGGGCCGACUGUAACGACGGGCUGAAUUUGGCCCACAAGCAGAAAAUGACAGUAACGGGUCGUAAGUAACCGAAUGCUGCAAAUGAGCCCAAGAAUAAAUGGGCCCUCAGAAGGCCGAAGGUAACUUGGGCAGGAAACGGCCCAACGGAAUAAUGGGCCGUCAAUGGGUAUAAAGUGAUACACUGUUCAUUACGGGCCAGUUUCACCACGGGCCGUUCAUGGGUGUAAAGUAAUACAUUGUUCAUUACGGGCCAGUUUCAGCACGGGCCGCUAAUGGGUCAAGAGUUACAAAGGGCCUCAUAUGGGCCGAAAGACAUCAUGGUCUAUACAUGGGCCAGAAGUGAAAACGGGCUGGAAUCAUAUUGGAUGGCCCAGAUGACGCUACUGGGCCUAAUUCGGAUAGGGCGUAACGGGCCUUGGGUUAGCGGGCUGUAAAUGGGCAAUAUGCGAACGUGCCGUUAACAGGCUUUCCAUGGGCCGGCCCGCUAGCUUUUGACCAAGUCAAACGGGCCGGCCUUUUCACAGGAAUGGGCCACUGUUGGGCCGUGCCACGUGUCGACGUAUCAUAGGCGCCUUCUGUCCACUGAGUGGAUGACAUCUGUCCCAACGAUGAGCCGACACGUGUUUCCUCUAGCCAAUGAUGAUUUCACACGUGGAAAAUCCCCAUUGGUCGGGGCUGUUAACGGGUUAUCGGAUCCAAAACCCGACCCAAUAGCUUAGAUGCCACGUGUCGGUCACCCUUGACGAAAGCACUUUUGUGACGCGCGAUUUAUCGUCAUGGAAGUGGACACUUCCGUGAUGAUAAUUUUGGUAAUGUCAUGGAACACUUCUACGACAGCACAUGUAUGACUAUCUUGAUUCUGUCAUAAAUUUGUCAUGGAUGUACAUGCAUGACAAAAAACGUGACCUACUGUGACAAACACGUAUCAUCACGGAAGUGUAUUUUUUUGUAGUGCAACUAGACGUAUCAACGGGCUAUGGAGAUGCCCAUCCAUAGAUAUCAAUGUGAAUGAGUAGGGAUUGCCAUGCAAUGGAUGCACUAGAGCUAUAAGUGUAUGAAAGCUCAACAAGAAACUAAGUGGGUGUGCAUCCAACUUGCUUGCUCACGAAGAUCUAGGGCAAUUUGAGGAAGCCCAUCAUUGGAAUAUACAAGCCAAGUUCUAUAAUGUAAAAUUCCCACUAGUAUAUGAAAGUGACAACAUAGAAGACUCUCUAUCAUGAAUAUCACGGUGCUACUUUGAAGCACAAAUGUGGUAAAAGGAUAGUAGCAUUGCCCCUUCUCUCUUUUUCUCUCAUUUUUUAUUUUUUUUAUUUGGGCCUUUUCUCUUUUUUAUGGCCUCUUUUUUUAGUCCGGAGUCUCAUCCUGACUUGUGGGGGAAUCAUAGUCUCCAUCAUCCUUUCCUCACUGGGACAAUGCUCUAAUAAUGAUGAUCAUCACACUUUUAUUUACUUACAACUCAUGAAUUACAACUCGAUACUUAGAACAAAAUAUGACUCUAUAUGAAUGCCUCCGGUGGUGUACCGGCAUGUGCAAUGAAUCAAGAGUGACAUGUAUAAAGAUAAUGAACGGUGGCUUUGCCACAAAUACGAUGUCAACUACAUGAUCAUUCAAAGCAAUAUUACAAUGAUGGAGCGUGUCAUAAUAAACGGAACGGUGGUAAGUUGCAUGGCAAUAUAUCUCGGAAUGGCUAUGGAAAUGCCAUGAUAGGUAGGCAUGGUGGCUGUUUUGAGGAAGGUAUAUGGUGGGUGUAUGAUACCGGCGAAAGGUGUGCGGUAUUAGAGAGGCUAGCAAUGGUGGAAGGGUGAGAGUGCGUAUAAUCCAUGGACUCAACAUUAGUCAUAAAGAACUCAUAUAAUUAUUGCAAAAAUCUAUUAGUUAUCGAAACAAAUUACUACACGCAUGAUCCUAGGGGGAUAGAUUGGUAGGAAAAGACCAUCGCUCGUCCCCGACCGCCACUCAUAAGGAAGACAAUCAAUAAAUAAAUCAUGUUCCGACUUCAUCACAUAACGGUUCACCAUACGUGCAUGCUACGGGAAUCACAAAAUUUACCACAAGUAUCUCUCAAAUACACAGCUACUCAACUAGCAUGACUCUAAUAUCACCAUCUUCAUAUCUCAAAACAAUCAUAAGGAAUCAAACUUCUCAUAGUAUUCAAUGCACUUUAUAUGAAAGUUUUUAUUAUAUCCCUCUUGGAUGCCCAUCAUAUUAGGACUAGUUUCAUAACCAAAGCAAAUCACCAUGCUGUUCUAAAGACUCUCAAAAUAAUAUAAGUGAAGCACGAGAGUUCCUCUAUUUCUUCAAAAUAAAACUACAGUCGUGCUCUAAAAGAUAUAAGUGAAGCACUAGAGCAAACGACAAACUACUCCGAAAGAUAUAAGUGAAGAUCAAUGAGUAGUCGAAUAAUUGUGCAACUAUGUGAAGACUCUCUAACAUUUAAGAAUUUCAGAUCUUGGUAUUUUAUUCAAACAGCAAGCAAAACAAAAGAAAAUAAAAUGACGCUCCAGGCAAAACACAUAUCAUGUGGUGAAUAAAAAUAUAGCUCCAAGUAAAGUUACCGAUGAACGAAGACGAAAGAGGGGAUGCCAUCCGGGGCAUCCCCAAGCUUAGGCUCUUGGUUGUCAUUGAAUAUUAACUUGGGGUGCCUUGGGCAUCCCCAAGCUUAGGCUCUUGCCACUCCUUAUUCCAUAGUCCAUCGAAUCUUUACCCAAAACUUGAAAACUUCACAACACAAAACUUAACAGAAGAUCUCGUGAGCUCCGUUAGCGAAAGAAAACAAAACACCACUUCAAGGUACUGUAAUGAACUCAUUAUUUAUUUGUAUUGGUUUUAAAUCUACUGUAUUCCAACUUCUUUAUGGUUUAUAAACUAUUUUACUAGCCAUAGAUUCAUCAAAAUAAGCAAACAACGCCCGAAAAACAGAAUCUGUCAAAAACAGAACAAUCUGUAGUAAUCUGUACCAAACGCAAACUUCUGGAACUCAAAAAAUUCUACCAAAAUAGGACGACCUAGAUAAUUUGAUUAUUGAUCUUCUGCAAUUGGAAUCCGUAUUUUAUCUCUUUCUGGUGAUUUUAAACAAUUCUUUCCGUGAACAGAAAGUUUCUGGAAUUUUCAGCAAGAUCAAAUAACUAUCAUCCAAGAAGAUCCUAUAUGUCUUAAUUGGCACAAACAAUAAUUAAAACAUAAAACCACAUCUAACCAGAGGCUAGAUCAAAUAUGUAUUACUAAACAUAACCAAAAAGAAAGAACAAAAAUAAAAAUUGGGUGCCUCCCAACAAGCGCUAACGUUUAACGCCCCUAGCUAGGCAUGAUGAUUUCAAUGAUGCUCGCGUAAAAGAUAAGAAUUGAAACAUAAAGAGAGCAUCAUGAAGAAUAUGACUAGCACAUUUAAGUCUAACCCACUUCCUAUGCAUAGGUAUUUGUGAGAAAACAACUUAUGGGAACAAUAAUCAACUAGCAUAGGAAGGCAAAACAAGCAUAACUUCAAAACUUUAAGCACAUAGAGAGGAAACUUGAUAUUAUUGCAAUUCCUACAAGCAUACAUUCCUCCCUCAUAAUAAUUUUCAGUAGCAUCAUGAAUGAAUUCAACAAUAUAACCAGCACCUAAAGCAUUCUUUUCAUGAUCUACUUGCAUAGAAAUUUUACUACUCUCCACAUAAGCAAAAUUCUUCUCUUUCGGAAUAGUGGGAGUAUCAUACGAGACUCGAAUACUAUAAAUUAUUUCCACGUUAAAAGAGUAAUGUUCAGAAAAAGGGUAAUCAUAAUCAUGACAAGUUUUAUAAAUAUAAUCAUCACUACUUUUUAUAGCAUAAGUGUCAUCACAAUAAUCAUCAUAAAUAGGAGGCAUGCUAUCAUCAUAAUAAAUUUGCUCAUCAAAACUUGGGAGGCUAAAAAUAUCAUCUUCAUUAAAAAUAGCAUCCCCAAGCUUGGGACAAACAUUAAUUGCAGCAAAUAUAUUCUCAAACAUGUCAUUCUCAUCAAACAUAGCAUCCCCAAGCUUGGGCAUUUUCAUAUCAUAAGCAUAAUCACUCUCAUCAUUAAUAGUAUGGAUAGCACCAAUAGUAUAGUAAUUAUCAUCGCAAUGAGUAAUAGGAGCAACAUCAUUUGGGAGGGAUACCUUUCUACCUUUACUUAUCCGUCUUUUCUUUUUCUUCUUCACAUCAUGUGUGGGCUCAAUCCUCUUUUUGGAGCUCCUUAUUAAUGAGAUUGGUUGAAUAGAAGGCUCCACCUCAUUACCUGAUUCAUCAUAAGAAAUAAUAGGAGAAUAUUGGGAAGUCUCUUCCCUUUCGUUAGUAUUCUCUUCAUCUUCUAUUUGUUUUGUUUUCUUUAUGUAAUUGGCAAUAUAAGGAUUUUCGAUGCAAUUCACCGCACAAAACAUAUAAAUUUCCUCUCGAUCAAAAUUAAGAACUCUAUCAAGAGAAAAUUCUGGAAUAACCUUAGUUAUAUGUUUCAUUUCUUCAUAACCCAAGAGCAAACUAAGUUCAUUAUGAUGUGCAAGGGAAAUCAAGUCAUCACAAUUUUUGGACAUGAUACGAUCAUGAAACAAUUUGCAUUGCGUACUGAAAUGAUCACGUUCAUUGCAAAGUUCACAAGUACGGCUAAGAAAGUUUAAAUUUUCAGCACAAACAUCUAGCCUCUCUUGCAACCAUUUAGUUUCUAAGUACUUGUCCCUCUUACAAAAUCUAUAUUCCCUUUUUGGUAUGUAUUUGCAAACUCUAUGCACUCCACAGAAAUCGACAUGCUUAUAGGAAACAUUUUCAUCAUGAAUAGUGCAAUCAUCAUUAGUACCAUGGAUAUUCAAAGAGUUCAUACUAACAAUAUUGCAAUCAUGCUCAUCAUUCAAAGAUUCAGUGCCAAACAUUUUAUAGACUUCUUCUUCUAGAACUUGAGCACAAUUUCCCUUUCCAUCAUUCUCACGAAAGAUAUUAAAAAGAUGAAGCGUAUGAGACAAACUCAAUUCCAUUUUUUUGUGGUUUUCUUUUAUAAACUAAACUUGUGAUAAAACAAGAAGCUAAAAGAUUCAAUUGCAAGAUCUAAAGAUAUACCUUCAGGCACUCACCUCCCCGGCAAUGGCUAGUAGACGUUGUUGGGCCUCCAAGUGCAGAGGUUUGUAGGACAAUAGCAAAUUUCCCUCAAGUGGAUGACCUAAGGUUUAUCAAUCCAUGGGAGGCGUAGGAUGAGGAUGGUCUCUCUCAAACAACCCUGCAACCAAAUAACAAAGAGUCUCUUGUGUCCCCAACACACCCAAUACAAUGGUAAAUUGUAUAGGUGCACUAGUUCAGUGAAGAGAUGGUGAUACAAGUGCAAUAUGGAUGGUAGAUAUAGGUUUUUGUAAUCUGAAAAUAUAAAAACAGCAAGGUAACUAAUAAUAAAAGUGAGCGUAAACGGUAUUGCAAUGCUAGGAAACAAGGCCUAGGGUUCAUACUUUCACUAGUGCAAGUUCUCUCAACAAUAAUAACAUAAUUGGAUCAUAUAACUAUCCCUCAACAUGCAAAAAAGAGUCACUCCAAAGUCACUAACAGCGGAGAACAAACGAAGAGAUUAUGGUAGGGUACGAAACCACCUCAAAGUUAUUCUUUCGGAUCGAUCUAUUCAAGAGUCCGUAGUAAAAUAACACGAAGCUAUUCUUUCCGUUCGAUCUAUCAUAGAGUUCGUACUAGAAUAACACCUUAAGACACAAAUCAACCAAAACCCUGAUGUCACCUAGAUACUCCAAUGUCACCUCAAGUAUCCGUGGGUAUGAUUAUACGAUAUGUAUCACACAAUCUCAGAUUCAUCUAUUUCAACCAACACAGAGAACUUCAAAGAGUGCCCCAAAGUUUCUACCAGAGAGUCAAGACGAAAACGUGUGCCAACCCCUAUGCAUAAGUUCACGAGGUCACGGAACCCACAAGUUGAUCACCAAAACAUACAUCAAGUGAAUCACGUGAUAUCCCAUUGUCACCACAGAUAAGCACAUGCAAGACAUACAUCAAGUGUUCUCAAAUCCUUAAAGACUCAAUUCGAUAAGAUAACUUCAAAGGGAAAACUCAAUCCAUCACAAGAGAGUAGAGGGGGAGAAACAUAAUAGGAUCCAACUACAAUAGCAAAGCUCACGAUACAUCAAGACUGUGCCACCUCAAGAACAUGAGAGAGAGAGAGAGAGAUCAAACGCAUAGCUACUGGUACAUACCCUCAGCCUCGAGGGUGAACUACUCCCUCCUUGUCAAGGAGAUCGCCGGGAUGAUAAAGAUGGCCACCGGUGAUGGAUCCCCCAUCCGGCAGAGUGCGGAACAGGGUCCCGAUUGGUUUUUGGUGGCUACAGAGGCUUGCGGCGGCGGAACUCCCGAUCUAUUCUGUUCUCCGAUGUUUUUAGGGUAUAUGGACAUAUAUAGGCGAAAGAAGUCGGUCAGGGGAGCCACGAGGGGCCCAUGAGGGUGGGGGCGCGCCCAGGGGCAGGCGCGCCUCCCUGCCUCGUGGCCACCUUGUUGCUUCCCUGACGUACACUCCAAGUCUCCUGGAUUGCUUCCGUUCCAAAAAGAACUCUCUCGAAGGUUUCAUUCCGUUUGGACUCCGUUUGAUAUUCCUUUUCUUCGAAACACUAAAAUAGGCAAGAAAACAACAAUUUGGGCUGGGCCUCCGGUUAAUAGGUUAGUCCCAAAAAUAAUAUAAAAGUGUUUAGUAAAGCCCAUAAAAUAUCCAAAACAGAUAAUAUAAUAGCAUGGAACAAUAAAAAAAUUAUAGAUACGUUGGAGACGUAUCAAUUCCCAAGGUGACAUUGGGGUAAUCUAUGCAUAGGGGUUGAUGCACGUUCUUGUCUUUGUUUCUCCGGUAGAAAUCUUGGGGCACUCUUUGAAGUUCUUUGUGUUGGACUGAGUAUUAUGAAUAUGGAUUUGCUUUGGUGUUAUUUUCGUACGAACUCUAGGAUAGAUCGAACGGAAAGAAUAGCUUUGUGUUAUUUUAGUACGAACUCUUGAGUAGAUCGAACGGAAAGAAUAGCUUUGAGGUGGUUUUGUGCCCUACAAACAAUUUAUUCUUAUGCUCUCCGCUAGAUAGGAACUUUGGAGUGAUUCUCCGUCGCACUUUGAGGGGUGGUUAUAUGAUCCAAUUAUAAUAGCAUUGUCGAGAUAUUGCACUAGCGAAAGUACGGACCCUAGGCCUCAUUUUCAAGCAUUGCAAUACCGUUUUUGUGCCUGUUUACUAUUUGCUACCUUGCUGUUUUUAUUUAUUCAGACUAUAAAAAUAUAUUUCUACCAUCCAUAUUACACUUUUAUCACCAUCUCUUCACCGAACUAGUGCACCUAUACAAUUUGCCAUUGUAUUGGGUGUGUUGGGGACACAAGAGAUUUCCUGUAUUUGGUUGCAGGGUCAUUUGAGAGAGACCAUCUUCAUCCUACACCUCUCAUGGAUUGAUAAACCUUAGAUCAUCCACUUGAGCGAAAAUUGCUACUGUCCUACAAAACUCUGCGCUUGGAGGCCCAACACGUGUCUACAAGAAUAAAGUUGCGUAGUAGACAUCAAGCUCUUUUCUGGCGCCGUUACCGGGGAGGUUAGUGCUUGAAGGUAUAUCUUUAGAUAUUGCAAUUGAAUCUUUUAGUUUCUUGUUUUAUCACUAGUGUGACGCCCGGAUAAUCAAGCUACAGUAAAACUCUGCUAAUGAUGCCACGUCACCUCCGUUACUGUUUCGAAUCCUUCGUUAGUUCAAAACCAGAUUCAAAAAUCAAUUCAAAAUAUGGCAAACAACAAAAGUUUUCAAACUUUGAAACAAAAAUGUUUGGAGUGAACCAAAUAUUGCACAGAUAAUUAUGGUGGAGAAACCACACCUUUAUAAAAUGUUUAAAUACUAUGAGAUGAAUAAAACAGUAGCAAAAACAAUUAUAUAAGUGUUUUUAAAUAUAAACAAAUAUUAAACUAGUUUAUUUAGUCACUAAAAACUUUUUACAACUCCGAUUUAGGUGUGGGCUUUAACUUAUUAUAAAACUAUAACUAUUAAAGAAAUAAAAUAAAACAGUAAAGGAAAAUAAAUAAAAGAAAACACAAACAAAAACAAAACAACUGCCCCCCCCCUGCUGGGCCAAGUGGCCCAGCUGGCCUCAGCCGCCCGAACGGGCCGGCCCACCCCGGUCCACCUCCCCUACUAACCCCCCGCUACCCCGUAACCCUAACCCCCACCAGUCGCCCCCGAUCCCCACUCCCUCGUCUCCCNNNNNNNNNNNNNNNNNNNNNNNNNNNNNNNNNNNNNNNNNNNNNNNNNNNNNNNNNNNNNNNNNNNNNNNNNNNNNNNNNNNNNNNNNNNNNNNNNNNNNNNNNNNNNNNNNNNNNNNNNNNNNNNNNNNNNNNNNNNNNNNNNNNNNNNNNNNNNNNNNNNNNNNNNNNNNNNNNNNNNNNNNNNNNNNNNNNNNNNNNNNNNNNNNNNNNNNNNNNNNNNNNNNNNNNNNNNNNNNNNNNNNNNNNNNNNNNNNNNNNNNNNNNNNNNNNNNNNNNNNNNNNNNNNNNNNNNNNNNNNNNNNNNNNNNNNNNNNNNNNNNNNNNNNNNNNNNNNNNNNNNNNNNNNNNNNNNNNNNNNNNNNNNNNNNNNNNNNNNNNNNNNNNNNNNNNNNNNNNNNNNNNNNNNNNNNNNNNNNNNNNNNNNNNNNNNNNNNNNNNNNNNNNNNNNNNNNNNNNNNNNNNNNNNNNNNNNNNNNNNNNNNNNNNNNNNNNNNNNNNNNNNNNNNNNNNNNNNNNNNNNNNNNNNNNNNNNNNNNNNNNNNNNNNNNNNNNNNNNNNNNNNNNNNNNNNNNNNNNNNNNNNNNNNNNNNNNNNNNNNNNNNNNNNNNNNNNNNNNNNNNNNNNNNNNNNNNNNNNNNNNNNNNNNNNNNNNNNNNNNNNNNNNNNNNNNNNNNNNNNNNNNNNNNNNNNNNNNNNNNNNNNNNNNNNNNNNNNNNNNNNNNNNNNNNNNNCCCCUGGCUGCGUCUAGCGCUCCGUGCCCGGCGCCCGUCCGCGCGGUCCCACUCCGGCACCACCUCCUGCUGCCGUCACGACCACCCCCUCGCCGUGCCGCCCCGGCGCCAUGCCGUCGCCGUUGCCCCUUUGGCAGUUGAGGCGUGCGCCCGAACGAACGGGUGCUGGGCACCCGUUGCGCCCAUUCGCCCAGUGCCCGCUGCACCCCCCUGAGCCACUGACACGAGGACCCCACCCCAGAACGUAAAAAAAAAGAAGAAAAAAAAAGAAAAAAAAGAAGAAUAAAAAAAAUAAAUAAUAAUAAUAUAUUAAAAACAAUUAAUUAAUUAAAGAAUUAAUUAACCUAAUUAAUUUUUGAUUAAUUAAACUAAUCUAAUAACUAAACUAAUUAAACUAUUAGUUAAUUAAUUAAUCAGUCAAUGACAGCUGGGUCCCGCACAUCAGUUUGACCCAGUCAACGCCCUGUUGACUGCUGACGUCAUGAUGACGUCAGCAGGCCCUAUUCUGGAUAAUGUUGAAUUAAAUAAAUUAAAUAAAUUCUAAAAUGAUUUAAAACUUUGAAAAUUCAUAUCUUUUAAACCAUAACUCGGAUGAAAAUGUUUUCUAUAUGAAAGUUGCUCAGAACGACGAGACGAAUCCAAAUACGCAGUCCGUUCGUCCACCACACCUCCCUAACCUAUCGAACUCGCAACUUUCCCCCUCCGGUCCGUCUGUUCGAAAACGCGAAACAUCGGGAAGACUUUCCCGGAUGUUUCCCCCCUUCACCGGUAUCACCUCAUACCGCGUUAGAACACGUCUAGCUCUGCCUGUUGUCUUGUUAUGCACUUGCUUGCUAUGUAUUUACUGUUUCUCCCCCCUCUUCUCUUCGGUAGACCCCGUGACGAUGCUGAUGCCCCUGUGGUCGACUACGUCACCGAUGACCCAUCCUUCUUGUCUGAGCAACCAGGCAAGCCCCCCCUUGAUCACCAGAUAUCGCCUACUCUACUCUCUACUACUUGCAUUAGAGUAGUGUAGCAUGUUACUGCUUUCGAUUAAUCCUAUUCUGUUGCAUAGCCUGUCAUUGUUGCUACAGUUGUUCCCCUUACCUGCUAUCCUACUGCUUAGUCUAGGAUGCUAGAUUUCCAUCAGUGGCCCUACAUUCUUGUCCGUCUGCUGUGCUAUACUAUCGGGCCGUGAUCACCUGGGCGGUGAUCACGGGUAUAUACUAUAUACAUUAUAUACAUGACACAUGUGGUGACUAAAGUCGGGUCGGCUCGAGGAGUACCCGCAGGUGAUUCUGAUGAGGGGGCUGAAAGGACAGGUGGCUCCACCCCGGUAGAGGUGGGCCUGGGUUCUUGACGGCCCCCGACUGUUACUUUGUGGCGAAGCGACAGGGCAGGUUGAGACCACCCAGGAGAGAGGUGGGCCUGGCCCUGGUCGGCGUUCGCGGAUAAACAACACGCUUAACGAGUUCUGGGUAUUUGAUCUGAGUCUGGCCAUUUGGUCUAUACGCACUAACCAUCUACGUGGGAGUAGUUAUGGGUAUCCCGACGUCGUGGUAUCAGCCGAAGCUCUUUUGACGUCAGCGACUGAGUGGCGCGCGCCGGAUUGGACUGGAACGCCACUAGGCUAGGUCUGCUUCCGGCCGCGUACGCAACGUGCAGGUGUGCAUAGGGCGAUGGGCCCAGACCCCUGCGCGCAUAGGUUUAGACCGGCGUGCUGGCCUCUCUGUUGAGCCUAGGUGGGGCUGCGACGUGUUGAUCUUACGAGGCCGGGCAUGACCCAGAAAAGUGUGUCCGGCCAAAUGGGAUCGAGCGUGUUGGGUUAUGUGGUGCACCCCUGCAGUAAAGUUUAUCUAUUCGAAUAGCCGUGUCCCUCGGUAAAAGGACGACCCGGAGUUGUACCUUGACCUUAUGACAACUAGAACUGGAUACUUAAUAAAACACACCCUUCCAAGUGCCAGAUAUAACCCGGUGGUCGCUCUCUAACAGGGUGACGAGGAGGGGAUCGCCGGGUAGGAUUAUGCUAUGCGAUGCUACUUGGAGGACUUCAACCUACUCUCUUCUAUAUGCUGCAAGAUGGAGAUGUCCAGAAGCGUAGUCUUCGACAGGACUAGCUAUCCCCCUCUUAUUCUGGCAUUCUGCAGUUCAGUCCACUGAUAUGCCCCUUUACACAUAUUCCCAUGCAUAUGUAGUGUAGCUCCUUGCUUGCGAGUACUUUGGAUGAGUACUCACGGUUGCUUUUCUCCCUCUUUUCCCCUUUCUAUACCGGAUUGUCGCAACCAGAUGCUGGAGUCCAGGAGCUAGAGAUCCCGAGGAUGAUUCUACAACGAGUUCGGCUUCGAGGAGUAGUUAGGAGGUCCCAGGCAGGAGGCCUUGCCUUUUCGAUCGUGGCUACUUUUGUGCUAGCCUUCUUAAGGCAAACUUGUUUAACUUAUGUCUGUACUCAGAUAUUGUUGCUUCCGCUGACUCGUCUAUGAUCGAGCACUUUUAUUCGAGCCCUCGAGGCCCCUGGCUUGUAUUAUAAUGCUUGUAUGACUUAUUUAUGUUUUAGAGUUGUGUUGUGAUAUCUUCCCGUGAGUCCCUGAUCUUGGUCGUACACAUUUGCGUGCAUGAUUAGUGUACGGUCAAAUCGGGGGCGUCACAACUAGUUUGGUUUAUAAAAAGAAAACUACAAAAAUAUGGAAUUGAGGAAAAUUGUGCUCCAUUGUUAGAAGAAGAAUUCUAUAAAAUGUUUGACAAAAAAUCUUUGAAUGAUGAGCAUGAUUGCAAUGUUGUUGGUAUGAACUCUUUGAAUAUCCAUGAUGCUAGUGAUAUGCAAAGCCAUAAGCUUGGGGAUGCUAUGUUUGAUGAAGAUGAUAUUUUUAGUCCCCCAAGAUUUGAUGUGCAAAUUUGUUAUAAUGAUUGCAUGCCUCCUAUUUAUGAUGAUUAUAUUGAUGAAAGUGGGUUUGGAAGAGUGUCAACUUUAGAUAGUGAUCCCACUAUUUUGGAGGGUGUUGAAUCUUAUUGUUAUAAUGAUAAAAAUGGAAUUGGAAAGGUCAUGACUUUAUUUAGUGAUGAAUCCACUAUUUCGGAAGAGGUUCCAAUUGAUUAUGAGAACAAAAUUGCUAUAUAUGAUGAUUAUGGUGAUGACAUGUAUGCUAUAAAGAAUAAUGAUAACCAUGAAACUUGUCAUCAUGAUUUUAAUUUUCACUCUCAUGAUAGUUAUUUUGUUGAGUUUGCUCCCACUACUAUUGAUGAGAAGAAUUUUUCUUAUGUGGAGAGUAAUGAGUUUUCUAUGCUUUUGUGUCAUGAAAAGAAUGCUUUAUGUGAUAGUUAUAUUUUUUAUUUUCUUCAUGAUGCAACUGAAAUUUUUUUAUGAGGUAAGAACAUAUGCUUGUAGGAAUUGCAAUAAUAUCAAGUUUCCUGUCUAUGUGUUGAAAGUUUUGAAGUUAUGCUUGUUUUGCCUUCCUAUGCUAGUUGAUUAUUGUUCCCAUAAGUUGUUUGCUCACAAAAUACCUAUGCAUAGGAAGUGGGUUAGACUUAAAUGUGCUAGUCAUAUGCUUCAGGAUGCUCUCUUUGUGUUUCAGUUCUUUACUUUUAUGCGCGCAUCAUUGAAAUCAUCAUGCCUAGCUAAAAGGCACUAAAGAAAAGCGCUUGUUGGGAGACAACCCAAAACUUUUACCUACUGUUUUUGUGUGUUCACAUGAUUAGGCUACUAUAGUAAUCAUGUUUUAUUGCAUUCGUUUCAAUAAAGUGCCAAGUAAGACCUUUGGGAUCUUGCUAAAAAACAGAAACGUUGGCGCUGACGAAAAUAAGUCUCAUUUUUAACAUAAGAGUGCUUUUGAGUUGAUUAUUUUUGCAGAAGUUUAAUAUACUAAUUGCUCACGUGGUCAUAAUUUUUUGAGUAGCAGAAGUAUGGUAGUUAUCCAGAUCAUUACAGACUGUUCUGUUUUUGACAGAUUCUGUUUUCAAUGCAUAGUUUGCUUGUUUUCUAGUUUCUAUGGCUUAUAUUACUCAAUAUAAAUUGUGGAAAUGAUGAGGUACAGUAGGCAUUGUGUGGAAAAAAUUAUGAACCUUAUCUUUGACAGUACCAAAGUGAGAUGGUUUGCUCUUUAUCAUACUAACCUAUCUCACGAAGUUCCGUUAAGUUUUGUGUGAUUGAAGUUUUCAAGUUUUAGGUGAGAUAUCGAUAUGAGGAGAAUAAGGAGUGACAAGACACUAAGCUUGGGGAUGCCCAAGGCACCCCAAGCUAAUAUCCAAGGAAGAUCCAAGCAACUAAGCUUGGGGAUGCCCGGAAGGCAUCCCCUCUUUCGUCUCCAACAUUAUCGGUAACCUCCCUUGGAGCUAUGUUUUCUUCGUCACAUGAUUUUUUUUUGUUUGGAGCAUCAUUUUAUUUUGUUAGGAUUUUAUUGUUGUUAUUUAGAAUAAUCUUUUGCAUCUUUUAUUUCGAUAAAAGUGGCAAUGAUAGCCUUUGCCAUGCUUAUUUUGCAAGUAUACAUGUUGCUGUUUGAAAACAGAAAGUUUACCGGUGUUGCAAAAAUUCCCUAGAAAAGUCAAAAUGUGAUAAAAUGUUGAAACUUCUUGAAUAAUAAGCUAUGAUAAAUUCUCUACAGUGUGGUAGAAUUCCAUAAUGUUUGGAGUUGAAUAAGUAUUGAUACUCUUGCAUUCUUUACAAACUGUACUGUUUUGGCAGAUUGCUGUUAUGUUUGCAUUGUUUGCAUAUGUUUGCUUGUUUAAUGAUCCUAUUUGUGCAUAUGAGUAUUAAAUAUGCAGAGGCAUUUAGUAUGCAAUGUUGAAUAAUAAUUUUAGUGAUUUGCUGCAGUAGAUAAUGAUAAGGUUUUUGCAUUGGUUUAUACUGACUUAUCUCACGAGUUCUUGUUGAGUUUUGUGUGGAUGAAGCUUUUGAGAUUUAGGAAAACCGUGAUAUGAGAGGAAUUAAGGAGACACAAAAGCUCAAGCUUGGGGAUGCCCAAGGCAUCCCAAGAUAAUAUUUCAAGAAGUCUCAAGCAUCUAAGCUUGGCGAUGCCCCGGUAGGCAUCCCACCUUUUCUCUUCAACAAUAAUCGGUUAGUAUCGGUUGAGCCUAAGUUUUUGCUUCUUCACAUGAGUUGUGCUAUUCUUAGAACGUCAUUUUAUUUUUGUUUUGCUUGUUGUUUUAAUAGAAUACUUAGAUCUGUAAGUUUUAAAUAAGAGAGAGUCCAGACAUAGCUAUCUAUUUACUUAACUACUCAUUUGAUCUUCACUUAUAUCUUUUUGGAGUAGCUUGUCAUUUACUCUUGUGCUUCACUUAUAUCCUAUAAGUAAAUUGUUGAAUGAACUGAAUAUCAUGAAGUUGAAAUUAUAUCAUGCCUAGUGGUAGCUUAACAUUGGGUUUAGAAAGUGAAAGCUUUUGAGGCUUGACAAUCACAAUAUUGGUCAUACAAGCAAUUCCACGAAUAAUUAGUAUAAGGAAGAGAACUUUCACAUGCAAAUACAUUAUCAUGGAAAUAUUUUGUGAUUGUGAGCCCCCAUCAAAAUAUUAUAUGCCAAAAUUGUUGACGUUGAACAAGGAAGACAAUGUAAUGAUUUAUGUUUGCUCAUAUUCACAUAGAAGUUAUAUUGUCAUAUAUCCUUCAACAUGUGGUGCUUGCCCCCAUCUUUGCUAGCCAAAAAUUCUGCACCAAGUAGAGAUACUACUUGUGCAUCCAAAAACCCUUAAACCCAAAUCUUAUUUUCAAGAGUCCACCAUACCUACCUAAGGAUUGAGUCAGAUCCUUCAAUUAAGUUGUCAUCGAUGCAUUGAGGCAAUAAAAAUUGCUUCUAAAAGUGAGAUCAUUUAGUGUAAGAGAAAAUUGAGCGUUGUACGAACUUGGAUGGCAAAGAAUAGAAUCGACAGACUGCAUAAUAAAGGUUGCCAUCUUAAGGGGCAAUACAAUGUGACGUUCUUUUGCACUAAGGGAUUGAGCAUACAAACAAAUAAGCGCAUGGCAACCUCUGCUUCCCUCUGUGAAGGGCCUAUCUUUUACUUCUAUGUAUUUACUUUUAUGCAAGAGUCAAAGUUUUUCUCUCUAUUCCUUUUUUAUUUUCUCUUUUGGCAAGCAUCAUGUGGUGAGGACAGAUCUAGGCACAUAUGUCCAGUUGAAUAUGGGUAGCAUGAGUUAUUAUUGUUGACAUCACCCUUGAGGUGAAUACGUUGGGAGGCGAAACUAUAAGCCCCUAUCUUUUGUAGCGACCCGACCUCAGUCGGUCAAGUCUCUGUGCUUCCGUAUCAUCCCUAGAUCGGUAAUGCUGACACACACAGUACUCGAAUGAUUUAUAACAGAGUAGCAAUCACACACUUAUUACAUCAAAUGUCUCAAAAGAGAACUUAUUACAAUAAAUAUGGCAUAAGGCCAUCUAAUACGAUAACAUCGGAAGGCUUGGAAUAUAAAGUGAGUCCAUCAACUCCAACGGCAUAGCUGAGCUGCACGGCAAUGACCUAACGAACCUUACUCCUCGUCUGAAAAGUCUGCAACAAAUACGUUACAGCCCGAAAACGGGUCAGCACAUGGAAUAUGCUGGCAAUAUAACACGGUAGAGCAAGAACAGAAUAAAUGCUAUCACUACAUGCAUAUUUGGCUGGUGGAAAGCUCCAUGGUUAUAGUUUUGCGAAAAGCCAAUUUUCCCUACAACAAAGGAAUAGAUUUUAUUUAACUAUCAUGGUAGUUGAAACAUCAUUGAGAAGGUUCCUCCAACUCAAUCCCAAUUAAAAGUAAUUAUCAACCCAACAAUAUUAAAUUAAAGUGAUGAGAUACUUAGGAUAAUCCAAGUACUAGAUACUCAAGAUGUCCAUAACCGGGGACACGGCUAAUCAUGAUUAGAUUGUACACUCUGCAGAGGUUUGCGCACUUUUCCCCACAAGACUCGAUCUCCUCCGUUGGAUUUCUCGCACUACAUGGUGUUUGAGAAACGGAUGACCGAGACACAGUCUUUCAGAAGCAUUAACUCUAACCCCGGGUGGACAGUACCAACCUACAUCCCUCUAUAUCUGCUAGCCUACCAAUGGAAGAGGUCAUGCAACUUACUCAACUAUGCUAGAGCCCAUAAUAGCUUGUGGCUGCACACGGAAGUUUCUAGCACGAAAUAUCUCAGUUCCCUUUGAGCCUGGGUGGCGGAUCUUAGGAUGAUCACACGGGUACUCCGGGAUAUCCUAGGACAACACUGGAUUCUCCAGGUUCCCGACAAGCAAUCCACCCAGAUGUGUAUUAAAGUUGCCACCUUAAGUUGAACCAUUAAUUAACAAACUCACAUCUGUCAUGGAUUCACUCACCCAAACCACGUCUACGAGCAUAGCAUAGCAAUAUAAGCAUUACGUAGAAGUAACUCCCAAGGGUUUUAUAAUAACAGGGCAAUAGGUUCUACCUCGUCAACUACUUCCCAAUACCCACAAGUUAAUCACAUCCUAUUCAUGUAGUGUUUGAGGAUUGGAGCUAAUGCACAAAAACUGGGUAUGAAAAGACAAUGAUCAAUGUGUUACUUGCCUUGUUGAUGAUCCGCAAAACGUAGGGACUCGUAGUAGCACGCUUCGCACUCCAGGAAUUCUAUCGCAAACAAACAAUAGCAUACAUAAGCAAUAAAUCAUAGAUGAAUGGGCAAAACUCAAAUAAGAAGAAUUGACCAGAAAGUUCAACUUAAGAACUCCGGUUUGCAAAAAGAAUCAAAUCAAACGGAGCAACGAAACUCAAACUACGAAAGAAACAAGAUCCGAUUACUAAUCUGGACUAAAGUCAAAUUUUACAGUACCAAAAUCUUGUUCAAGUUGAUUAAACAGAAAGAGGGUUCCGAGACAAAGAUCUAGGCGCUUGAAUCGCCUGAUUCCGAUAAACAAGCGAAAAGAUAAACUAAAACGAAAAUCGGAUCAGAAAUCGCGAUCGAAAAUAAUCGAGAAAAACCCGAGAAAAAUAAAAAAUGACGAACAGGCUAACGAACGAACGUUCGUUGUCUGUGACUAACGGGCGAAAACUGUUCGUUAAAACGAAUGUACGGACGAACGUCCACAAAAUAAACUAAACCGAGAAAACCGGCGAACCGAUCUAAAAAAACGAACUAGGGUUUUUUUAAUAAAACCGACAGUUUUUACCAAAACCGAAAAAAACCGAGCGGCUCCGGAUCGGAUCGGCGGCGGCGGCUCCGGCGGCGAGGCGGCGGCUCCGGCGGCGCGAGGUGGGGCUGCGGGGUGGCGGCGGCGGCGCAAGGCGAGGCGAGGCGCGGGAGAUUCCGCCGAAAAUAAAUCCUAGAAAAAUAAAUAAAAAUUUAAAAAUGCCAAAACAAUUCACCAUCUAAAUAAAAUAUUUAGAACAAGAUGAACAUUUUCUUGGCCCUAAAAUGCAAUUUUGAAAACAUGCAAUUUUUCUAAUGCAAAUAAAAUAGCAAUAAAAUCCGAAUAAAAUCAAAUAUUUGAUUUUAAUAUUUUCCUCCAAUAUUUCAUUUAUUUUGAAGAAGUCAUAUUAUCUUCGCUCAUAUAUUUUAAUAUGAAAUAUUUUUCGGAGAGAAAUAAUUAAAACAAAUAAUCCUCGUUUCAAUAUUUGAUAAAACUCAAAUAUGAAAACAGUGAAAUCCCCAACUCUCUCCGAGGGUCCUUGAGUUGCUUAGAAUUUCGACGAUCGCGAAACGAAAUGCAACAAAAAUAUGAUAUGCAUGAAUGAUCUAUGUAUAACAAUCCAAAUUGAAAAUUUGGGAUGUUACAAACCUACCCCCCUUAAGAUGAAUCUCGCCCUCGAGAUUCGGGUUGGCUAGAAAAUAGGUGUGGGUGGUCUUUGCGAAGAUCAUCCUCUCGUUCCCAGGUGGCUUCAUCCUCGGUAUGGUGGCUCCACUGAACUUUGCAAAACUGGAUAACCUUGUUGCGGGUGACUCGGCUGGCAAAUUCAAGAAUCUUGACCGGCUUCUCCUCAUAGGUCAGAUCACUGUCCAACUGAAUCGCUUCUAGAGGAACUAUAUCUCUUAGUGGUAUAUCGGCCAUCUCAGCAUGACACUUCUUCAACUGUGAAACAUGAAACACAUCAUGAACUCCUGACAGUCCUUCAGGUAUCUCAAACUUGUAGGCAACCUCUCCCAUACGUUCCAAUACACGAUACGGUCCUACAAAUCUCGGGGCUAACUUUCCCUUAACUCCGAAACGUUUCACUCCUCGCAGAGGUGACACUCGCAAAUAUGCUCUAUCUCCAAUUUCAUAGGUUACUUCCUUGCGUUUCGAAUCCGCAUAACUCUUCUGCCUGGACUGAGCUACCUUCAGUCUAUCGCGAAUCAAUUUAACUUUCUCUUCAGACUCCUUGAUCAAAUCUGGUCCAAACAACUGUCGGCCUCCAACUUCAUCCCACAUCAACGGUGUUCUGCACCUUCGUCCAUACAGGGCUUCGAAUGGUACCAUCUUCAAACUGGCUUGAUACCUAUUGUUGUAUGAGAACUCCGCGUAGGGCAAAUUUUCAUCCCAACUAGAUCCAUAAUCUAGUGCACAAGCUCUCAACAUAUCCUCCAGAAUCUGGUUGACUCUCUCGGUCUGUCCAUCUGUCUGCGGAUGGAAUGUUGUACUGAACUCUAGCCUUGUGCCCAAAGUCUGGUGCAACUGAUGCCAAAACUUUGAGGUAAACUGUGUUCCUCUAUCUGAUACGAUGGUCCUCGGAACUCCAUGCACACAUACGAUCCUGGUCAUGUAUAUCUUGGCCAACUUCGCACUUGUAUAGGUGGUUUUCACAGGGAUAAAGUGGGCUACUUUGGUCAAGCGAUCAACUACUACCCAUACAGAAUCAUAUCCUGAUUUGGUCCUGGGCAAUCCGGUGAUGAAAUCCAUGCCAAGUUUAUCCCACUUCCAUUCGGGUAUCAGCAUAGGUUGUAGCAAUCCUGCUGGCUUUUGAUGUUGUGCCUUCAGUCUCUGACAUACAUCACAUACGACUACAUACUCGGCAAUAUCCUUCUUCAUACCAGUCCACCAGAAACGUUCCUUCAAAUCCAAAUACAUCUUGGUGUUUCCGGGGUGUAUCGAGUAUGGUGAGUCAUGAGCCUCCUGAAGUAUUAACUUCCUGAUCUCUGUGUUAUUAGGCACAUAAACACGGUCCUCAAACCAUAAGGUGUCGUGCUCAUCUUCACGAAAACCUUUGGCCUUUCCUUUGCUCAUUCUCUCUUUUAUCUCGGCAAUCUCUUUGUCAUCCUUCUGAGCUUCUCGAAUUGUUCCUAACAAUGUAGACUGAACUUCCAUUGUUGCAACAAAACCUCUAGGAACAAUCUCCAAUCGAAGUUCCCUGAGAUCCUCUACUAACUCCUUUGGCAAUCCUGUGCUUACGAGGGUGUUAGCAUAACUCUUGCGACUCAAAGCGUCUGCUACGACAUUGGCCUUGCCUGGAUGAUAGUGAAGUUUCAUGUCAUAAUCCUUUAUAAGCUCCAACCAUCUCCUCUGCCUAAGGUUCAGCUCCUUCUGUGUGAAAAUGUACUUCAAACUCUUAUGAUCAGUGUACCCAUCACAAUGGUUUCCAAUAAGAUAAUGUCUCCAAGUCUUGAGUGCAUGCACUAUAGCUGCUAACUCCAAAUCAUGCGUGGCAUAAUUCAAUUCGUGCGGUUUUAGUUGUCGUGAGGCAUACGAAACAACUCUUCCGUCCUACAUAAGCACACUUCCAAGUCCUAGGCGAGAGGCGUCACAAUACACUUGGAAAUCCUUGCGUAUAUCCGGCAGAAUCAACACUGGGGCUGUAGUCAAACGUUUCUUUAACUCCUGAAUACUCGCCUCACAUUCUUCCGUCUAUUUAAAUUUGGUAUCCUUCUUCAAUAACUCCUUCAUUGGCUUCGCAAUCUUGAAAAAAUUCUCAAUGAAUCUCCGAUAGUAUCCUGCGAGUCCAAGAAAACUGCGGAUCUCGCUAACUGAAGUGGGUGCCAACCAUUUAGUGACUGACUGAACCUUGGUAGGGUCUACUGAUAUACCUUCUCCUGAUAUAACAUGUCCAAGGAAUCCAACUUCCUUCAACCGAAACUCACAUUUGCUGAACUUGGCAUACAACUAAUGUUCCCUGAGUUUUUCGAGAACUCAACGCAAAUGCUCUUUGUGCUCCUCUUCAUUCUUCGAGUAUACCAUUAUAUCAUCAAUGAACACCACAACAAACUUAUUGAAAUAUUCCAUGAACACCUUGUUCAUCAUGCUCAUGAAGUAAGCAGGGGCGUUAGUCAGUCCAAAUGACAUGACCGUAUAUUCAUACAACCCAUACCGUGUGGUGAAUGUUGUCUUUGGUAUAUCCUUCUCUCAAAUCUUCAGCUGAUGAUACCUGAUCGCAGAUCGAUCUUCGAAAACACUUUAGCUCCUUGCAGCUGGUCAAACAAAUCAUUGAUCAUCGGCAGUGGGUAUUUUUUCUUGAUCGUCACCUCAUUCAACGCCCGAUAAUCAACAACCAUUCUCAAGGAUCCAUCCUUCUUCUUAACCAAGAGCACUGGGGCUCCCCACGGUGAUGAACUUCGUCGAAUGUAACCUUUCUCCAAUAACUCCUUGAUCUGCUUCUUAAUCUCCUCCAGAUCAUUUGCGGGCAUCUGGUACGGUCGCUUCGAUAUAGCACUACAAAAAAAAUACACUUCCGUGAUGAUACGUGUUUGUCACAGUAGGUCGCAUUUUCUGUCAUGCAUGUACAUCCAUGACGAUUUUAUGACAGAAUCAAGAUAGUCAUACCUGUGCUGUCGUAGAAGUGUUCCAUGACAUUACCAAAAUUAUCAUCACGGAAGUGUCCACUUCCAUGACGAUAAAUCCCGCGUCACAGAAGUGCUUUCGUCAAGGGUGGCCGACGCGUGGCAUCCACCGUAACGGAACGCCGUUAAGCUAUCGGGUAGGGUUUUGGAUCUGAUAACCCGUUAACAGCCCCGACCAAUGGGGAUUUUCCACGUGUAAAAUCAUCAUUGGCUGGAGGAAAGACGUGUCGGCUCAUCGUUGGGACAGAUGUCAUCCACUCAUUGGACAGAAGGCGCCUAUGAUACGUCGACACGUGGCACGGCCCAACAGAGGCCCAUUCCUGUGAAAAGGCCGGCCCGUUUGACUUGGUCAAAAGGUGGCGGGCCAGCCCAUGUAAAGCCUGUUAACGGCAUGUUCGCAUAUAGCCCAUUUACAGCCCGCUAACCCAAGGCCCGUUACGCCCUAUCCGAAUUAGGCCCAGUAGCGUCAUCUGGGCCACCCAAUAUGAUUCUAGCCCAUUUUCACUUCUGGCCCAUGUAUGGCCCAUGACGUCUUUCGGCCCAUAUGAGGCCCUAUCUAACUCUUGGUCUAUUAACGGCCCGUGGUGAAACUGGCCCGUAAUGAACAGUGUAUCACUUUACACCCAUUAACUGCCCGUGGUGAAACUGGCCCGUAAUGAACAGUGUAUCACUUUAUACCCAUUAACGGCCCGUUAUUCCGUUGGGCCAUUUCCAGCCCAUGUUAUCUUUCGGGCUUCUCAGAGCCCAUUUAUUCUUGGUCUCAUUUCCAGCAUUCGUUUACUUACGGCCCGUUACUGUCAUUUUCUGCUUGUGGGCCAAAUUCAGCCCGUGGUUACAGUCGGCCCGUUUGUGGUCCGUUAAUACGUUGGGCCGUUUUCAUAGCGUCAUCAAAUACGGCCUAUUAAUGAUGGCCCGUUAUGGUCGGCCCAUGAACGGACGAUUCCAACUCUAGCCCGUUUAUGGCCAUAAUGCGGCCUGUUAUUGGCCCAUGUUUGGCCAAUCGAUCAUACUGCCCGUAUAAGGCCCAUUGAUGAUACGGCCCGUAGAAGGCCCAUUGUUUCUACGUCCCGUAGAAGGCCCACUGUUUCUACGGCCAGUAGAAGGCCCACUGUUUCUACGGCCCGUAGGAGGCCCAGUGUCACUAUAGUAAAUAUUAGCCCAUGGUUAUUGUGGCCUAGUUUUAAAAAAUAGGUUAUUGCAGCCACUAGCAAACCGCGGAAAAAGAACUGCAACGACUACAAGCAAACAAAUAGACAAGACAACAAGGAAAUAAAUAAGCAAGCAACUUACGCUAGGCUAUCACGGCUAUCACACAUAUUACAUCCACUGGGCAUCAAAGUUCGCCACCAGUGCAAAUAAACGCGCCGACAAAAGAAUAUACAAAAUUGAGAGCACUUCAGAAGGCACUAGGCCUGGCCACGUCGGCCCCCCCCCCCAAACAGCUGAAGAAGCUGAGUAGACCUCAGUUGUGUCAACGAUUGAUGCAUCAACACUGGAUUUAAGGCAUGAUGGUGCGCACAGCAGUCCUCUGACAUCUUCAUUGCAUCUUUGACUUCAAGUCGGAGCUGAGCUGAAGCAAGCCUUUCCGCUUUAAGUUGAGACUGAAGAAGUCGAACUGAUUGAGGCAGCGACUGCACAGAGGUUGUCUCACACCUGCUGGUGAGUAGCUUCAACUCACUGUCUUCAUCAAGACAGGACCUUGGGGUCAUCUCGCUGUCCUCAAGAUGGUUUGGCUCACUAUCUUCCCUAAAGUUCUGCCUGGCGUAAGAGAUACGAGUCUGAAAGAGAAACAAGGAUACACGUAACAGGUUUCACAAUUAUAUAAGCAAAUAAAUGGAUCUGUUCUGCAUAAGGAACAUGUUUUUACAACUACAAUUUGAAACUGGUAGUUGUUGCAAACAUCCAAUCAGAUGUAAACAACAAAGCAAACAGCAGUGGAGGAAAUGCUGCCUAUCCAAAUCUAUACUAGAACAAAGUUUGAAGGCUUGAGAAGGAUGAACAUACAUUACAUGUUAACACGGGUUGGACAAAGCCCUUCUCCAUGUUGAUGGAAGGAUAAUUCAAUAAAUUCCCCAAAGAAAAUUCUUUAUAAGCGUUGCCAUUAUUCUACAUUUUGCAAAGAGUAAAUAUAGAUCAAAUAAUAUUGGAAGAAACAGAGGAUAAUGAAGCUCAGGUGCAGACUGAUGAUACAUAAUCAAAUAGCAAUUAAUUAAGUACAGCGUUACAAGGCAAAAGGGAGAGAGGUACUGACAAGAGCAAUGCAGAGCCCAUUAUUGUUUUGAGAUCGUAUGAUCCUUUGAGCAAGGAGAUUCAUCUGAAAUUAGUUUUCAUACAAGAGAGAAGGUAAGGCACGAGCAGAAAUUUAGGAGUUCAAAUUUUGAAUUGAUAUCAUAGACAGUACGUGACGCUGGGCUCCCAGCAGUUCUAAUAGGGGUUUGGCCACUGGAGUAGGGGUAAAGUGUGGUAUAGUUGGGCCUGUGUUUUCUGUGGCUGCUGAUCUAUCUGAUUUAACAGGUAUCACUACCUUUUCCAAAUACCUAGUUUGUACUCCUUGAGGAUCUGCACUCACCCUCUUCCUUUUGGACAUCUAUUACGAAAGAACAACAUUUGACUAGAAAACAUAGUGUGACGACACAUGGAAUAGGUACAGAAAAUGGAUAGGUAUGGCAUAUACUCAUAUAUGAUGCUUAAACUAAGCAGAUGGUGUAACAAAGUAGAACUAAUGCAAGAGGUCAGAUGCAAAAUAUGUGCGACCAAUACAACUUUGCAAAGUUAGAGCAAGCACCUUGAUGGGUGAAUAAGAUAGGCCAUCCUCCACCAUGCCAAGUUUGUUAGCCAGUGGAUCGUUCCGCAAUAUUCCUCUCGUGCGCCCAUUCUCAUAUUCAUUUUGAUAAUGUUCAAUAUCUGACAUGCAUGAAAACAUAAAAACAAGUGAGAUUUUCUUUGUAAUGCACAAGUGAUUCUAAUCCAAUACUGCCUCCCUGUAAACCUCUUUGUGCUAUCUCUGCAAUUCUUUUAAAAGAUGCCACUGUAAUUUGUUGUGUUCAUUAAUAUAAUGUGGCCUACUACUCAAAAUAUGAGAGCUCCAGAAGUGAUGACACUUCGCAGAUGAUAGCUUCAACAUAUAGUAAAGAAGAACAAGUCGACCUGACCUGACAGAUUCAAAAUAUACUAAGGGAGAACAACUCGACCUGACCAGUCGACCGCAAGAGAAGAGUAUCAUCUUAAAGAAGAGCAGAAGAGCAAGCAGAUUGAAGAUAUUACAAGUCUUUCAAUACAAUGUCGGUUGGCCACCCAUGAUGAACCAGAGUGCACAGAGAAAUACUAUUCUUUCAGGUCUCUCCAUAUGUGGCUCACAUGCAUUUUGAAACUAAAGUAGGAACAUUUAGCUAACCAAUUAAACAUCUCUCAGUUUUACUAUAUCAGCAAUAUCAUCAGAUAUGAAUUUGUACAACUUAGCUUGUUUAGCUCGAUGGGUGGAGCAGUGCUAUUACGACACGAACCACGUAGGCUGAUUGUGGUCAUCAUAAAAUGGGGAAAACAUAAGCAUGAUGAGUACAGUGUUGACCGUGGCAGUGGGAUAGCAGAUCUGAAGCUGCAAACCGCGCAAAGGGUAGUUAGCAACCGAUGUUUGCUUUGAAAUAACAACUAAGAUUUGGUAUGGACAAGAAAGUAUGGUCAACAAGUGACAAAGAAAUGCAAUUAUGCUGUCUCUCUAUAUGUCGCGACAUGCAUUUGGAAACUCAAGUGGGACCUUUAGCUAACCAAUUAAAAGUGUCGGUUAACUAAUAUCAGUAUCAUAUCACAAUCAUAUUUGAACAACUAAGCUUUCGAAUUCUGAGUGUUGUGUUGUUUAGCUUGAAGGGUGGAGUAAUGCUAGUAUGACAUAAAGCACCUACGCAGAUCAUAGUAGAGUAGAUAAAAGGGGAAAACCCUAAGCAUCAAGAGAAAAAUCAGGAAAGUGGAACUAGCUGGACCAGUGGGUGGCGCACAUGCUUUUCGAAACGAAUAUAGGAACAUUAGGUGACCAAUUAAACGUUCUCUGUUUUAGUGAUAUGAGCAUCAUAUCAGAUUCGUAUUUCAACACGUAAGCUUUGGGUUGAGGUCUUGAGGAGCAGUGCUAGCACGACACGAAGCACCUACGAUGAUGGUAGUGAAUAUAAAGGGGGGAAACCAUAAGCUUUACGAGUAGAGUGUCCGUGCCAUGGCGGAUCUGAAGGUGCAAACCGGACAAAGCUACUUCGCAACCAAUGUUAGCUUUCAACUAGCAACAAGAAAAGUACAGUAAACAAAUUACGAUCUAUUUUUGGGAGAGAUCAAUAAAUUAAGCACAUAUGGAAGAGUACCACCUCUCUUCCGACGCCGUGUAGGCCUAUGCUGAUACGUUGAGGGUGCUGCGGGUGCGAUGGCUGUCGGUGGCGGGGAAGAAGACUUUAGACGGCAGACGGCCGGGUCGGGGGAUAUAUCCUGUUGCCGUGGACGAGGCGGUCGUAGGAGCGGCAACGGCAAGGUGGACAACGGCGCCGAUGAAGCGAGAGGAGGCGAUAAAAGGAUCCUGGUCCAGCGCCGUGGAUGAGAGAUGUCCAUCUCUUGUAGUGGACGACAGGGUAGGGGUAGCGGCUUCGGCAAGGUGGAGGAUGGGGUGCCGGACGGAGGAGGCUGGCCGCAGUGCGGAGGUUGUCAUGCCGCCGACGGUGUAUGAAUGGGGAAAUGGAGGGGAGGGGGAUCUCAAACUUUGGGACGCGCUUCUCUAAAAUGGGGGAAAGUUACGAACUUAUCCCCCGUUUAAAAUUUCGGACAUCGCGUCGGUUGGGGAUAGGACGAUAAUCUCGCAUCUCCCAAAUAUUUGCCGGUAACUAUUUCACGCGAGGAGAGGGUGUUUUGCCGGCCACGGUUGGCGCCCACGGUGUAUUAACGGGCCUGACAGGUAGGGCGGUUGUGUCACGUCUGAUGGAAGUUACACAUCUGCCCCUAUUUAAAAUAUUAGCCUACAUCGAUUUCGGACAAGGAGAGUUUGUUUUGCCGCCCACCGUGUAUGAAUGGGGAAAUGGAGGAAGAGACACAUGUCUUUCGGACGAGCUUGAAUCAAAUGUGUUUUGCCGCCCACGUUUGGCGCCCACCGUGUCUGAAUGGGCUCCGAGGCCGUCGUGUCACGUCUGAUUGAAGUUACUAGUCUACCCCUAUCGACAGCAGUGUAAAUCCGGUCGAUAAGGAUGUCAAGUGUCAGGGGUAGAUAGUAAUUUCCAUCUCGCAAACACUUGCUUCGGGCAGCCCACAAAUUAUAGUGGGUGUUUAGCCGCUUCGUUCAAAACUUGGGAGAAUUAGCAUUCACGUUUGCCCUGGGACCUGGCAAACUAAAUUCAAAUCCAAUUUGUAUUCGAUUACGAAUAUCCACAGAUAAUUAUAUGUUUUGUUAUUUAUUUCUUCAAAACCACAACAAAGAUUUAUUCCACCUUUAUAUAUGGUUAUGAUUUAGAAAUGCCGUGAUUUCGAAUUCAGUAGGUUGGAUACACUCUGAAUCAAACAGUUAUUUCAUCCAAUACAAUAUGCCCAUACGAAAAACAGUUCACCUUAUGUAAAUCAUACAAGUACUGAGGAUUACCUCGCCUAAAAAAUUCGGAUCAUUACAACACAUGGACAACAUAGGGGGUCUUGCAACAUAAUCCAUUCAGAGACAUGACACAACAUGCAAGUACAAUAAUCUAAUGAUAACUGGUAUCUAAAGAAGAACCGGGAUUACCUUGGGCUUCAGAUAGCAGAAACAGCAGGACCUCCUCCAUCUUCAAAUGCAACAUUCUUACUUCCUCCAAUUCUUGGGUUGCUUGCAUAAUGCGUGCCGCUAAUUCCGUAAUUUCCAGCCUCAAGAUAAAGAUGACCUCAUUCAUGGCAGCCACACCAUCUCUUUCUGCCUCUAGUAGAGCCUCAAGCACUAUAAUAUCUGUGCUCAGACUGCUCUCUGGCGGUGUUGCCUCUGAACUGCUACCAUCUGGUAACAUGGAUGGCGCACUGCUUCCAAAAAAUAGAUUCUGGGGUUGUACAUUGUGUCCUAGUGUGAACGGCAUCCUGAAAGGUUUCUGCUGGACAUCAGUAAGAGAUAGUUAUCGUAUGAUCCAGGCAGUAAGCUUACAUGGUAAACGACGGACGAAUUAUUGCCGAGCAUGGCAAACUAUAUUUAAAUGGUUCGAAGCAGCAUCAGCCGAAAAGAAAUUAAAAUGGUAAGAUGAAACAAGGGAUGUAAGUGGCAAAUAAACGACAUCCGCCAGUCCCAUCUAGUUAGUUUUUGCUACCUCCCUAGUUCAUUUUCCUCAAAAAACAAAAAACUCUUUUGAACUAUCAUACCACUAGUGGACUUUAAUCGGGAUUAAACGGGACCCAGUUGACAUCCCUAGUUGAAAGGGAGUGUACAACCGCUAUAUUUAAGUUGCCAAGGCAUCUAAGCAGUUGAAAUAAUCUUAGAAAGCACUUAAUAGUGUGGCCUCAUAUAAACUACGAAGAAAAUCUUAAUAGUGCAUGCAUUUCUUUACGAUAGUACAGCAGGCACUGCUGACAUAUUGGCCAACUCAGGUAUAGCGUAACAACAAAUAAGCAUUCGAAUCAAGCACUACAGCAAAGCAGACAACUGAACUAUUUGUAAUUCGGUAGGAUUACACGUUGAGGGCACAAUCCAAGAAAGCAGCCCACUCGCAUUACAUUUCACAUGUACUAAAACACACUGGCUUACCAUAUGUUGCUGUGAAGCCUAGCUGCUGUUGCAAUGUUCUUUGAAGAUAUCGCCAGCAUCCCGUGGUUGCAAAUCUAGUUGUUGUAGUUUAUUCUGCACCAUCUAUUUAGGUAAAAUUAAUUUUAAUCGCAUGCACUGGUCCGAAUUGAUCAUCAAUGGUUCAUCUAAACUAAUGAAAGAAGGGUUUGUGCAUACACGACAAUAUAUCUGCUUCCAUCUAUUUUAUGCUUGUUCGAGGUGCCAGCCCCAAAAGAACAAAUAUUUUGCUUGAUGGGGUUGGCAACUCCAUAAUUAAUAGAAGCAUCAAAUUAGUCAUGCAACUUGGGAAGAUCAAGAACACACAAACAAGUAAUGAACAGAGGCUCGGAGCAGUGAUGUAAUAGUUAGCAUCAGAAAAUGUAGGGUAAAACGAACAAAAAGCAGCGGAACCACAUGCUAGUUUGCUGCUGUGUAAUUAAGCAUAGAGAACAUUAAGCAGUCUGAUGGAACCAACAGGUGGCAUCAGAACAAAACUAAAGCAUAUUAACUAUAUGUGCACUGGUAUGUAAUUUAGCACAUGUAACAUGUUCACUGCCAGAAGUAUGGCCCUAUAGGUGCAAGCAGAAGAAUGCGUCUCAUGAAAAACUGAAUGAUGCCCUGAAGAAAUUCAAAGGUGCGGUGCUUAUGCUAGGAAAGUGAACGUAGGCGCCGGCUGUUGGAUAAUAGUACCUGAUUCUCGGCAGUGUACGGGUAUCGUUGUCAUACUUGAUAGCUAAGGAUCGUCGAUGGUGCUCGUGUUGCGGUUGAGUUUGGGCCGGCUGUCGCCGUCGCUGAAGCGGCUCCGGUGCUACGGUUGCGGCGCCUGCCGACAUACAAGAAAGCUCAUCUGUGGUAAGUGAACAGUUGCACGAUAAAGAGAAAAACCGAAGGAGUACAAAUCAAAAUAACCUGAUGAGGCUGCAGCGUCGGUAAAGCAGGGCCGGUGGAGUUGAAUAUGGCGUCCGUGGAGCGGGUCCGGUGCAGUGGACGAAGGCUUCAGCGGGUGCGUUGUACAGUGCUUUCGGUGAGGCGGAUCUGUUGCGGCAGACGAGGGCUUGUAUGAAGGGCCAGCGAAGGGGCUGACGAGGGAGUCAGUGAAGGGCCUACGCUGUGGUGGACGAGGGCGCCGGUUAAGCCGAUCCGGUGCGGUGGACCAUGAUGGCGGUCAAGGAUAUCUAGGGCGGUGGACAAGCCAGUCGCUGAAGCGGCUACGGUGAAGUGGUGAGUUGGCAGUUGGGGGUUCCAAGGUGCGGAAGGUAGAUCCGGCGGGGUGUGAGGUCCACAGCUGCGGCGGAGGACUAGAUUCGGCGGCUUGCCGUGGUUGGGGGGUCGGGGAGGGGCUCUGGGAAGAAUGUUGGGGGCAAAGAGGGGAAAACAAUGGAGUUACCAAAGCAGCCCUUUUCCGUUCAUGUGGCAAGGGUAAAACAGGAAUAUCGCAGGGCUAAACUUUCGGGCGCGUGAUAUUUCGAUGUGAGCGGGAAGUUUGAAAGCUUUUGGCGCCUAAAAUUAUAAGUAUUCUGCUCUCGUACGGCCGACUAUGAUAUCAUGGCUGACAAUUUGUUUGUUUUGCACGCAAAAAAAUGUGCAAGUUUUGAAAAUCAAUGUCUCCAACUCGAAACCUAGAUUGUCCAUUCAAUUCAAAUAUGGAUCAUUGAGCUACUACAAGCAAAUACCAUCAUUCGGUCCAAUUCAAAUGAAAUUCCAAAUGUGUAUAUCCUAAAUAUGAUGACAAAAGCAAAAUUGUGUAUGUGUAUGAAUAAAGUGGAUGAUUAUAAAGCUUGAACAUGCCCGUGUGUGUAUAUCUCUAGGUUUGAUAUAUGAAUUUGAAAUCACGAAAUCCCGGCUUAAAAAAUGUACCUCCGUUUAAAUGAAUUACAAAAGCUAAUGAUGGAGUCGAAUUCCAAAAUUCCAAUCUUAGGUUUGUAAUUCUGGUACAUCAAGGUAUAUCACGCAUGUUCAAAAGUAUCGUUAUCUCAUAGUACAAAUNNNNNNNNNNNNNNNNNNNNNNNNNNNNNNNNNNNNNNNNNNNNNNNNNNNNNNNNNNNNNNNNNNNNNNNNNNNNNNNNNNNNNNNNNNNNNNNNNNNNNNNNNNNNNNNNNNNNNNNNNNNNNNNNNNNNNNNNNNNNNNNNNNNNNNNNNNNNNNNNNNNNNNNNNNNNNNNNNNNNNNNNNNNNNNNNNNNNNNNNNNNNNNNNNNNNNNNNNNNNNNNNNNNNNNNNNNNNNNNNNNNNNNNNNNNNNNNNNNNNNNNNNNNNNNNNNNNNNNNNNNNNNNNNNNNNNNNNNNNNNNNNNNNNNNNNNNNNNNNNNNNNNNNNNNNNNNNNNNNNNNNNNNNNNNNAGAGAAGUCGUUCUCUCCCCCAAACACCAACACACGAGCACAUUAACACCCCUCUCUCUUGUAAAGUCCGGAUCCCAACAUAGGUCUCUAUCACUUUGUCUCUCGGGCAUGCACACAUCUCUUACCUCACUCUCUAGGUCUCCCGCUAUCUCUCUUACCCAAGCAAACGCACUAUGUAGAGUGUAUAUUUCCCAUACACACAAAACGUCGCCCCCAAACGUCUAUCUCCCUAGUCAUUUGGUUCUCGCGCACUCACCUCACACACCACCCCCACUGCAAACAAGCACACUUUGUCUCCUUGUGCACCACUCUCCUCUUUCUAUCUCUCCCACAUGCGGACCCGCCCCAGCUCCUUCCCUGUAUACAUAUAUGUCGUGACUCUUUGCCUAGCUCCCUAAUGUAUAAUCGUUCUCGAUUUUGCACAUUGUUCUCUACACCAUCUAUUCUAGAUCUCUCAUGAAGUCCCUAUCACACACACGAUGACUCGCUUCCCUUGCGUCUCCGUUCAUAGGCCAAUUUCGGACAACAUCAACAUUGUCUCCCUAUCUAUACGCCAUUUAUGGACACAAACGACCCCUCUCGCCCCCUCUCUUCCUCUCUCUCUCUCUCUCUCUCUCUCUCUCUCUCUCUCCGUCGCUAGCUCUCUCUUUCUCUCGCUCUCACACCCCUCUCCCACACACACACUCGAUGUCUCUUCCAAAUAGUCUGCUCCCCCCGCCCGCACCCGUGCUAUCUCGCUACUACACAUGUCACACCAUUCCCCCCUUUCCUUAUACUAGGUUUACAUCAUCAGUGGUCUCUCUACUCCACGUACACUCUCUCCCUCUCACACACAAACGCGUGCACAAACACACACAGACACGCACAAACACCCAUUUAUCUGGAUCCUCAUCUCUCCUCAUGUCCGCAUGUGUAUCUCACACACUCACUCUCUAAUUAUGUAUAUGUGUCUCCACGUUACACAACACAAAGCCCCAUGUACAUGUCUCUCUCUAUCCUCCACACACAUAGACACAAAGAAUCUGUUAUCAUUACCUCAGUCUCUAACAUAUCACACACGCACACUGUCUCUCUCUCUCUCUCUCGCAAACACGCUCAACAAGGGUUUUCCCGUGAAUAACUUACCGUCUAUUCACCAACAGUCGUGGCAGUACGGCGAACACGAGACGUGAAAAAGAAUAAAUCUACACGUGCUUAGACCACCUAGUAUGACUACUAGGACUAGAGCAAGCCAAAAAGCGCGCCGCCGUCACCCCCUCCUUGUCGGCGACGGGAAAAUCUUUGUUUUACACAGUCGAGAAGUCAUUGUGCUAAGGCCCCACAUGCCGAGGCGUUGAAUAGAAUGUAGAUGCUAGUUUACGGAAGCAAAUAUCGAUAAUACGUUUGUAUCUCCAUACUUAUAUUUCUUCUCUUAUAAAAAACCGAGUUGGUGAUGAUGGUACGUGUGCCAUCUUGCAAUAUAGACCGUCCAAUCUAUAUCUGACGGAUGGAAACUAAACUAAAAGAUACCCGCACCCCUCUCCACAUUUGCAGACAAGGCCUUCCCUCGUUCAUCCUUAUCUCCAACAAACCUCAUUGUUGAGCAAUUAAGAAAGGAAGCCUCUGGAACAAACUGGCCUGGUGGCCGCUGCCAGCGUCGUCAAUCCCCAUGCCUCCGCUCAGUCCGACCACCAACCACCACCACACCCCACUCCUCUUCACCUUAUCUCAUAUUUCUCGAGAUAUCAUUAGUUUUUACACAUGGGAUUACUCCCGCAAGGGUCAAUCACAACAAGUGUUUUAUAAAAAAAUGCAUCUUGAUGUUCCGUGCAAUGCACGGAUCUUGCUAGUACUCCUACACAAGACUAAGUUGGUGAUGCUGGUGUGUCUGCCAUCCAUCGUUUCUGACCAUUAGAUCUACAUCUAACGAUUGUGAGGUAAGUUGUUGCCUUUUCUCACCAACAUCCCACUUGUCUACCAAUUUGCAGAAAAACCCAUAAUUAGUAUCUUAAAACCAACCACAUCCCUCCCUGGCCUCACCAAAACAGCCCAAGGAAUAUAUUCUAAUUGAAACAUAAUAUAUCUCUAGUGACAUAUGUAUAUCAAAAUUAGAGUGUUUUGUACCAAGUUUGUGACUAAGUAUUAUUCUAAUUAUGAUUCGUUGCAACGGACAUGAACAUUGCUAGUAUUUCCAACCAUACAUUUUUCCUAGUAUUCCAUAGUUUCGAGUUUUCCAUCAAGAUAUUAGUCACUCAUGGUUGAUAUUUACUUUCAAUCAUGUACACAUAUGCACUAUGUAACUAGCCUUGCUUAUUGGCUUCCAAAGCUUAACUUUCACUCCUACUUACAAUAUGUAGAGUAUUUAACAAAAAACUACCACUUUCGACCAGCCCUAGGAAGAAUCUAUUGUACAAAAAUAGCAAAAACAUACCCAAAAUUUCUUAAUCCACGCCAAAAACUACCUAGUACUCCUACCGAUUAGGUUCGUUUAAACCCAUUUAUGACAGGGUUGGCCUACACGUCCGUGCUGAGAGGCAGCUUAAACCAACACAUUUUGUUUGACCGUUGACACGAGGGACCCACAUCUGACCUUCCAUCAUGUUAUUCCCCCUCAAAUCAUUAUUUUUCCUGAACAUUACUUCAAACAGUACUGAUGCGUGUUCGUCGGUGGCGCCGGUGAUGAGCGAGUUGGCCGCCGCUCCGCCGGACAGGCCGGACGCCGCGCUGGCCUCCGCAUGGGUUGGCAGGCUGGCCCGAGUGUGAGUCACGAGCGAGCAAGCCGCCGCGCUGGCCUUCGCUCGGGCCAGAUGGCUGGCCUUAGCGCGACACGCACGAGCAAGCCGCCGCGCUGCCGUGCCAAUCUAGCUAGCAAACCUUGCAGACAAGCAGCUGGACGGAGCUAUCUUGGCUAGAUAGCGGCCGCGAGCGCCGGACGGAGCUGGCAUCCGGGCUGCCGCAACAUGGGCUCCGCACCGCCGACGGUUUUGACCUCGCCUUCUGCCGGCGGCGGUAGCUGCGUCCCGUGGCCGAGGAUGACUAGGUGGACGGGCCGGAGGGAGGAGGUCACUCGAGGAUUUUUGCUGGUAAGAGCAUGUACAAUGGUUGAUAAGGUAGUCUUAUCUUAAGUCUGCCACGUAUGCAAGUGGUAGUAGUUUCUUGGCAUUUUAGUGGUUUCUUGCAUUAUUAGAGCAAGUACAAUAGAGCUGAGUCAGCGGACUAUAAGAAAUAAACUAGUAUAUUUCUGCUUAGUUGGAGGAAAGAGAAGAGGAGAGAGAAGGUAAGCGGGCUCUUCGUGAAGAGCCAGCUCUAGCACGUGCUCCUAGGCACUUUGUGAGAAUGAGAAGUGGGCCACAUAAUAAAAAAGUAGUACACUCUUUUGAUCUAUUAUUGUACAUGUUGGCUAUAAGAUGGGCUGUAGAUGACAUGGCACUGGCUUAUAGCCAGCAGCUGGCUAUACUAUUAACCAUUAGGGGUUUCUUGUAAGGAACAAUGUACGUACUACUAGCGACAAAAUGCGAUUCUAGGUUGCGCUGUACUCCAACGAGUACUACUAAUGGUCGCGGGAGUGUAUACCUCGUUUUGUGGGUUCGAUCCCGGCCGAACGCACGGCGGCCUUUUUUUUAAAUAGUACUACUACACUUCGCUGUGAGCCGAUAUUUUAUACGGGUAGUUUGAGUUUUGAAGUCAAACGGGCGUGCAGCCCCACAAUCUCGGUGCACUGGACAGCCUAGCCACGUGAACGGGUUUUCCCUCCCAACAUCCCGUGGCUCGCGUGCUCGCCCUAGCCGCAUCUCGCUUGCAGCUUCCAGCUAGUAGCAUAUUUAAACUAGCGCCUCCCAAUUAAGCCCGAGGAGCCGGAAAAGCCUGGCGGGGCAUUGGGAACUGUGCAAUAUGGCUCUGUACGUAAAGUGCUCUACUACUAAUCUGUAGCUUGUGGCGUUGCACGCAUGGACUUCACUCCAUUAUCGGCUCUACUAUAAAAGAAAUUCCUCUUGACGUGUUUUUUUUGAAACGAAGGCAAAAGCUUUGCUUCAUCUCAUUCAUAAAGAAGGAACUACUAACAAAGUUCGACAAGAUCCAUUACACCUCCACAAAUGGAAGCGAAAAGCCUAGUCUCGCUGUAUCAAAUAACUCAAAUGUUCUGCCUCCGCAGUAACCGUCGCUGAUAAACAGGCUGCUAGUGUGUGCGUGAGAGGAGCGGCUGAGUAGGCCAGCUACAUGAGAGGAGCGGCUGAAUAGAUCACCGAGAGUACCCACUAGGGCACUACGCAGGUGUACUUCCCCUGCAUUGAUAGUACAGCGAUGGUUCUAGAGAACAGUAGUACCCUCCACUUCCAACUGUAGCUCCUUGGCCCUGAGAUUCAAGAGUUCAAAACUGGUGCACUAUACUAGACUAGACUAGAAGUACAGUACAUCGCACUACUAGUUGAGAAAAGUAGUACGAGUACUGCUACAGUACGAGUACAUACUCCUCCGUCACAUAAUGUAAGACGUUUUUUGACACUAGUUGGCGUGUACAAAAAAUGGCAAAAACAUACCCAAAAAUUCUUAAUCCACGCCAAAAACUACUACCUAGUGCCAAAAAUUUCUUACUAGUGCUAUUAUUUACAGUAUAAUGCAAUCCCAUAACGUUCCAUAAUGCUAGUACUAGUAGUAAAUAAUAGCCUCACCCCUUCGCUGAGGAACGAUCUACAGUUGGAAGGGACGAGGCCCUACGGUUACUACGCUCUUAUCUCCUCCUCGCCAGUCCCCCUCCCCCCGAAGAGAAGGCAGUUCAUCGCUGCACCCAUGGAUUCGCCAGGCGGUUCUCCUCCUCGUCGGGGCUGGGAGACCUUGGACGACGAUCCUCUGGGAGAAAUCGCACGCCGCUCCGACGUCCUCACCGCCGCAAGACUCGGUGCUUCCUGCACCAACUUUUUCAAGACGCAGCUUAAACAGGCUUGGGAAAAGGCCAUGCUUGUUGGUCUUCCAUGCGUCCUCGAGGAGAAGGUUCUUCUAUGGGACAAUCCUUCGAACAGUCCACCACUCCCUGGCCAUGGUUGCACAUUGACUCCGCUAGAGUUGCCGACGUUGAGAGGUAGUCGGAUUUUGUCCGAUGAGCAGGUCAGUAAUGGAGUUUGAUCAUGUAGUACUUAGUUAUUCCAUUUCCAUCCCGUAAUUUCUCCGCUGCCCACCGUCUUAUAUAUAGGUCUGGGUCGGUGCCAAUGAAGAUUGGCUUGCAUACCUCCGGCCGGAUACCACCAUCAUUUUGCACAACAUCCACAGCAGUGCGGCCGUUCCGGUAGACCCCUUCUCCACCAUUGGGAUCGGCCUUCCGGACUGGCUGGGCUUGAAUACGUAUGAUGAUGCCUACAUGAGAUUGAAGAAGAUAGCAAUUGCGGACCCGCCGACAAAGCGACGCGGCUACGACGAUUACUAUCUCAUCGCGGUGUUCGACAUAAGGAUUGCCAUCAAUGCAAGAGGCAGUAACGGCAGAGGCUGGCGCAUGUUGGCGGCGGCAGAUUUGUACCCCUACAUGUUCGAAGACGCCGUGCGCCAUCUAGGCCGCAUCUUCGCGGUGACAAGCCAGGGGACUUGUUUCAUCUGGUUGCCAUCCUACGGUACGGGAGAUUACAAACGGAAUGCACAAACCAUCAUUUGCAUCCCUAACGGUACUCCAUUAUUUUGCAGGGACCAGUCAUCCCCCGAUCAAAAUAAGAUCGCCGAUCCUGGAUGUGCAUUUGCAUCUGCGAUUCGGUCUAACCUGGAACCUUGUAGCUGACUUUGGCAUAUUGGGAUCAACUAUCUUAGCAGUCGUUACCCAUGGUACCACUGAUGUGCAACAUGGUCACACAAUCUACCACGAUCGGACCGUCACCAUCUACCCAGGUAUUCCAUUUUUUAACCCUCUCGCCUUCUCUUUCAUUGUUGUACUAGUAGUAUACUUUGUAGUACUAGUAGGAGUACUUUUUACCUUAGAGGAUGCGUAUAGCUAGCUAGGCCCUUGAAGACUUGAACCCACUAGCUGCCACCAUUUUCAUUUUUCCAUGUCUUACUAUCUCAUCCAUGUAGCCAAGAGUAGCUAUAUAUAAUAAGCCAGUUAUUUUACUUCCUCUAUACCGGAGUAGUACUAUUUGCUGCACAGUAUUACUGACCGCCAUAUUUGAGCACAACAUUAUUAUGCAUGGACCUUGACUAUGUACGUCACCAUGUGUCCAGAUCUGGGAUGCUGCGUGUACCAGAUGAACGGCGCCGAGUUCGACCCCUGUGAUGCUACGUGGGUGCCGAGGAACACUCUUGGAGAGUACUCGCUUUUCAUCGGGGACAGCUACCCCAUUGUGAAGCGGAUGCCACCUUCCGUGCACGAUACGGAAGGCCUGCCGUUCAUGAAGCAUGGUUGUGUCUUCAGUGCGCACCGCCGGAUGAACGUCAUGCUGGGACACGCUAUCCCUGAUUUAUGCCGCUUCAGCCUGGAUGAGUCUCCAUCGUGUGGAACCGGACUAGAAAGUUGCGACAAUGAUUCCCGUUGCCCACCGCUAUGGAUCAUGCCAUCCAUGAAGAACACCUGGGACUGGAACCUGGAGGAGGACAUGUAGCCCAUCUAUAACGUGUAAGUGGAGUAUGGUAAUUGUGAACGGUAGCGCUGUGAAUAUAUGUAGACUAGUCGUGCACAAAUUUAUCACAUGAAUUGGAGAUGAACUUGUGUGGCAUACUGGCAUUUGUCCUUUAGAAUUUAUUACUAGUAAAUGUGUUAUGUGUACGUGCAACUUGUGUGGUUGUUGCACGGGCUCCAACACGCUCUUUGAGAAAAAAAAGGUGGCACAGCUUUGGAUAUACGUGACAUGGCGGCAUCAUACAGUAGCAUCGUUCGCUAUAGUUGUAGUACACUCCUACUAGGACGACAACUCCUAUAAAACCUUGCGCUUGGCUCUUUGCCUCUUCGGGAGGUUCAACAGUUCGUACUCGUGUGAACCUUGCACUUGGCUCUUCGCCUCUUCGGAAGGUCCAACAAUGAUGAUACUACAGUACAAUAUGCUUCUGGCAAUCUGACACCGAUUGAACUGCUGCACGUCCACCGCGAGGGCGAGGGAGAGGGAGAGGGAGAGGGAGAGGGCGCUGUAGUCAAAACCCUCUCCUCGUCCUACGAACCACCGCGCGCGUCGGCGAGGGAGAGGCAUAGUAAGCAAGCUUCUCCUCGUUCGGCGAGUUGACGGGACACAUCAAAGCAGUACUAGUACUAGUAGUAGUAGUCCAUACUGCGUCCUUUCCGAUUAAUAUGGCUUAAUUUGAAAUGAGAAAAAUACACUGGCGGUCAACAUAUGUAACAAUACGCUCUUUACGGUCACUACAUAUAGUUUUGCGGCGAUUAUACGAUCACUAGCUCAUCGUAGAGCACCGUAUUGCACCCUAUUGACCUGCCACAUAGUCGACAUGGCACUUUGUUGACUGGUUAAAUUGUCACCUGGUUUCUGGGACCCACCUGUCAGUUGGCAGAGCAAAGAAAUCAGUUAAACAAAACUUUACGCAGGCGCGACAAGAGCCCAACCCUUGUGCACGAACCGUCCUAGCUGUGUAUGUGAGUGCAUGCACGUGUCCUCCCUCGGUCUUCCAACAAAGAGUGUACAUCGGCUAUAAAACAAAGAGUGUAGUACAUGAUGUACAUCUACACUUCCAAUGCAUUUAGCCUUUAAUCUAAAUCGAUAUUGAUUGACUAAUGCACCAACUUGUGCUGUAGGUAUACGCUACAUGUCUAUCCUUAAUUACAGCAUGCAACGGCCUUCAUUUAAUCUUCUUAUCUCAAUGGUCGCAUGCACACAUAAGUCUACUACUUUUGGGCGUUAAUUAUGCCCUGGUCAAUGUGUAAAUCUCUAAAUGUACUUGAGCGUGAGCGUGUGUGUUGCGUCGUGUGCUGUGUGCCGCAUGGGUGCGUGAGUGUUGCGUGCGUCCAUGUGUACGUGUGAGUGUUGCAUGUUGCAUGCAUGCAUGGGGCUUACUACCUCCCAUUGACAUGUUCAUAUUUCAAGCUUCCUCUGUUCCCUCCAUAUGGUGAUACUCCCUCUGUUCCCAAAGAGUACGGAGUAAAAGCCUCCCUCUGUUCCUAAAUACGGAGUAUUUGUCUUUCUACAUAUUUCAACAAGUGACUAGGUACGGAACAAAAUGAGUGCAGUGAGCAUAGAGGCAUAGGGAUACUGUAGAAAGGAAGUCCUCGCAAUCCAUUAUUCCCCAUCUCGGUCAGAGAGAACUAUUCAACUAGUCUUCGCAGUGAAGUGACAAUACACGCUGCAGCAGAUGGGACACGUAAUUAAUAAGCUGAACCAGCGUGUUGGUGUUACUAAAUCAGCCUUACCCAGUACUGCCAUCAUGUUUGCCAGUAGAGCACGCUUCCGCAAAUACGCCUACGCACCUCUGUCCUCCAUUAACUGACAUAUGUCCCCUGUUGUGGUAGACCCACAUGUCAUCGGUGUAACUAUUUACACUCCGAAGGACGGUAUAUCCUGGUAGUAGUACUAGUAGAAUUGAGAUUGAAUGCACUUUCUUCCCCGUCUUCCACUCUUCUUCCUCCUCUCUUCUUCUUCCUCCUCUCUUCCCCAUCGUCGGCCAGACACCAUUUACCCCCGCUCACUGCUCGCCCGCCCGCGCCAUCUUCCUUGGUAGCUCGCGCGUACCAUAUCCUCCCGCUCACUGCUCGGCCACACGAGGAGAAGCUUCUUUGCUCGCCCGCCCGAAUCCACUUCCCCGCUGGCUCGCAGGCACCGAAAACCCCAAUGGCAGAACCGACUGACACGCAGAGCCGCGAUUGGAAUUCCCUCCCCGAUGUUCUCUUGGAGCAGAUCUGUAGUCGUAUGGACCUACUCAGCACCGUCCGUCUGGCCGCAUGCUCGGUGUCUUUGUACCAUCUACUCGUCUGCAACCGGCCGGCUCUUUUCAAGACACCCUGCUUGCUGAUGCCCGAUCCUCGCAGGUGGCCCAAACACCGACUUGAUGAUCCUACGGAGGUUGUCGUGGUUCCCCUCGACAUGCUACCACUACCCGUCCACCUGUCCUUCAUGCGCGGCCACUACUGGGCGGGCAUGAAGGCCAACUGGAUCGUCCUCAUCCACCACACCGGUAGUCCGUGGCGUCUCGUGGAUAUCUACACCCAGCGAGAGAUCACCCUUCCAUCAUUGGAUACCGCCGCCAUCGAGCCUCGUGGCCCGCCGGACACUCCUGCCUACUACGCACGAGACGCGUCAAGCUUUUGGCUCGACCUCUGUUUGCAGAAAGUUGUAAUCUGCGAAGUGCCCACACCAUCAGAAGACUACAUGGAUUACAAGCUCAUUGCCUUGUUCAACAUGGGAUUAGUCUAUCUGGAAUCCGGUUGCCAUACAUGGUUAUGGCUCAUCAUCAAUCCUGUUGAGGCAACAUUUCUGUCUGAUGCUAUAGUGCACGAUGGCAUCGUUUACGCGGUCGACGCACAGAUUGGCUGCCUAUACUGGUGGAAUCUAUCGUCGUGUAAUUGUUCUAUCUCAUCUCAUCUUUACCUUAUGAAUACAACUGCCUGUUCAUUUGUUACAAAUUUAGAAUGCAUAGCAUGUCUAUAACCACAUCAUUGCUAUAUGUUCCUCUCAUUUCCUAGAUUUUUAUGACCACACAUGUUAUUGUUAGAGUUGAUAUGAGAACAAUUGGCAUCUAAUGAUUGUUAGAAUACAUAUUAUGAGCAUAACAUCAUGAUUGCUAUAUGUUACUCUCGUUUACAAGAUUUUUAUAACAACGCAUGUUAUUGCUUAGAGUUGAUAUGAGAACAGUAGUAGUAAGUGCUAUGGUAGAAUAUGAGUAGGCGUUGUCAUAGCGGUUUUCCUCUCAUUGUUAUAUGAUGUUUGAACCAUGACAUAUUGCUUGAAUAUGAAAGCCAUUGGCUUAUUUUUUUAACUUGGGGUAUGAUUAUGACCACGGCAUUGCAAUUCUCUGUCUAUGGUAUGUGUCGCUGUUAUAAUAAUCUUAAUUCCACACAUACUCUGAACAUGAUUGUUCUUUUUUGUCCUUUUGGUCUCCAAUUUGAAUUGUUGCAGCAGACGCAAAUGCGCUGGCCUUCAUGAUUCCAGGACCUGGAAUCAUACCAGCCGAUGGGUGGUGGUUUAUCGCUCGUUCAGCUGACGGCGGUCAUUUGAUGCUCAUUCGCACGUACCAAAUUGACCAAACCAUUACAUCAAACCACAUGCAGUACAAUGCGUGGGGCGUUCGUGACAUUGAUGGCUAUGGCUGCUUCGUGUUCGAGAAAGAUCCCAGCUCCGUUGGGCCAGGCGUAUUCAACUGGAGGCGGGUUUACAGCCUCCGCAACCACUCCUUUUUCCUCGGGCUCAAUUAUCCGAUCAUCCAACCAAUCAUCGAUCGUAUCACCGGUGAUGAUUACUGUGCUAUGCAACUUCCAUUCGCGAGGGGGGGGCUGUGUUUACACAUCAUACCAUGGGUUUCAUGAAUCACCAUAUCCAGAGAUUCGUCGACACAGCUUGUUGCCAGAUAAUCUUCAGUGUGUGAAAGGCAUCAAGCUUCCAUGCGAUGGAUGGCUUUUGCAAACCCGACAUGCGGCGAUGUGGUUCAUGCCAACAGCAAAUAUGCACAACUUGAUUCGUGCUGAUAUCUAGACUGAGCCAUGUAUUCUGCUGCUGUAGCACGACCCUCUUUUGUUGGAUAUUAUGUACUGUUGUUAGUUUGAAGCACUCCUCUGGUUUGAAGGAUAGAUUUUUUCCUGGGAUCAAGUGCAUCCUAACUCACCUGCGUAGGAUGUAUUAUAUAUAUAUAUAUAUAUAUAUAUAUCAGUUAGGCUUCAAGUGCGUACUUGUUAGUUAAACCUAUGUAUAAAUUGUGACACUAAAUACGACUAGUAAGUAGUACAAUAGCAGUACUAGUAUACGUCGGUCAAAUUAUUCAUCAUGUCCACACAUUGAAUUGACGUGACAACACGCUGCGCGUGAGGUGACACAAGAAUCCCGGCGACGUGUUCAGGUAUUCUGGAUUUCAGAUUUGGAGUACCACUUAUCUGUUGAAAUCUUUCAUCAUUCACUUAAAACAGUCGAUUGAUCAUACAUUGAGUACGAUAUAACUGGAAUUACCGAUGCAAGUCGAAGAAGGAUUGGCCGGUGCUGCCGGCUGGCGUCAAGUUCGAUCCCACGGAUCAGGAGUUGAUCGAGCACCUUGAGGCCAAAGUGAGUGCUGACAGCGCGAGAUUUCAGUCUCUCAUCGAUUUGUUCAUACCAACCAUCGACAGCGAGCACGGCAUAUGCUACACCCAACCUGAGAAACUUCCAGGUAAGACACCGAUCGGCCGUCUACUUGCACAAACAUAUUCCUUUGUUUAUAGCUCUAUUUUUCUUUUUAGACGCAGACCUGGUGAAGCAAUUACAAUUUGACAGUUAAUAAAAAGUGAAACAAGUGACUGCAACAUGCCAAAGAUGUUAUGAAAAUGCCAACUAGGUACAUUGAAACCUGUAUUCCACAAUACUGCAGGUAUCACACUGAGUGGCCUAAGGAAGCAUUUCUUCCAGCGCAAUUCCAGGGCGUUCAAAAGGGGCACGUGGACGCGUCGCAAGAUACAGUCGGAGUGCGGCAUGCACGCGAUGUGGCACAAGACCGGCAAUACCUUGCCGGUGAUGGUCAACGGCCGGCAAGACGGGCAGCAAAAAAGGUUCUGGUGCUGCACACCAACAAGAACUUCGACCAGCAGAGGACCAACUGGCUAAUGCACCAGUAUCACCUCGGGACCUAGAGCAAGAGAAGGAGCGGGAGCUGGUCCUCUGCAAGAUUUUCUACCAGACGAACACUAGGGCCAGGAGUAAAAAGAUUAUAAGUUAGUUUGGUAUUGGUAGUUGUACUACCUUGUCGUCCGCAAGUUGGUAUUGUUGUUAACGAUCUUUUGGUAUGAACUUGCAUUUGCUUCCAACCAUCAUGCCGAGGGUCGACGUCGAUAUAAAGCUGAAUCGUUUGUUUCGAAAUGAAUUUUCAGGCACCUGAUUUUUAUUUGAUGGGUAGCAUAAGCACCCGCCGUUCGAAUUCCCAGUUCUCAAAUUUUUCCGAAACAAGUGCAUGCACUUAUUAUCACGAUAAAAAAAAUAUCCGUGCUGCAUCCCAGUUAUCAGUCUGUACUUGCAGAAUUCUCUCGUUUAUUGAGCACGUAUAUUGUUUUUUCAGGUCGAGCAAGUUUCAACUGGGUUGUAGACUGCCCAGGGUUGGUUUUGUUUUUAACAGGCCCAGCCCAUGACGACAACGGGGCACAAAGAUCCAGCAGGUAUCUACUGGCCUCUGGCCCGCCAGCGUUAGUUAUAUUUUGUCUUACAACAUCCGCAGGCAGUUUUUUUUACUGAAUCAAACACAUAGCCCAGUUCUAUUUUCCUCUUGAAACGCAUGUCCUACAUCCGUUUUCUGAUCUCUGCCUAUAGUUUUACUAGUUCAUAUACACGUAUCAUUAUAUUGAAAACACAUAAAAUUCCCUUUUCAUAUUUACAUCCUUAUUUUUGUUGUUUUUUCCCACCCAGCGCUGAUUUUUUUACCACUGGUUUCCCCUUAAACCAACUCAAUUGUCCCACGUCUUAUUUGCUUACAAAAACAAAACGAUUUUUUUGGCAAAUCAAUAAGUUCUUAAAAAAAAUGUUUAUCAUUUCGGGAUUACAACAGUUCGGACUCCACCGAAAUAUGCAAAAUAAGGUUGAACUUUUUGACCGUGGUCCUGGGCAGAAAAUGGGCUGUAAUAAAUUACUUAAGAAUUAGCAAAUGGGCUACAAAUUAUAAAAAAUAGAAAAUGGGCUUUAUGUUGUCUGCCAUAGAUUUGGAGGCUGACUUGUGGGCCUACUAAGUGCAUGCGUACACAAGGUUUCUCAAAAAAGAAACUUAGUCAACAAUCGACUCUACCAGCGUCAGACCGUUAGAUGUCAAUCUAACGGCAAUCGUGCUUCUUCAGUCUCUGAUCUUCCUGUCCCAGCCGCCCAAACCAGCGCCGUCGGAACCCCUGCUCCCGCCUCCCGUGGCCGGCAGUGCUGCCGGGCAGGCCUCACGGCCCCAUCAUACUCGCAUCCCUGGCCUAUCUAUCCCUCUACUCACCCACACCUCCUGUUAUUUUCCGGCGACGACAGCCGAACCAGUCAACCCUCGUACUCUCCACCGCGUGGGCAGCCAUUGCCGUGUCUUCCCCGGCUCCGUGUCGUUCCCUUCGUAGGCCUCGCCAUCGUCCACCGCCCUGGUGCUCUCGGCGCAGCGUGGUCAACGAUGUCCAUCCAACGGCCGUAGUGCUUCUUCAACCUCUGGUCUUCUUGCCCCAGCUGCCCAAAGCAGUGCCGGUCGUGCCGCAUGCUCCUGCCUCCCGUGGCCCGGUGUGCUGCCGCGGAGGCCUCACCGUCCCCAUACUACUCCCACCGCUGGACAGGCCAUCCCUCCACUCACCCACUCCCCCUGUUAUUCUGCGGCGACGGCAGCCUCACACCGCAGCCGAACCAGUGAACCCUCGUACUCCUCUCUGCGUGGGCAUCCACUGCCGCGUCUUCCCCGGCUCCGCGUCGUCCCCUUCCUAGGCCUCGCCGUCGUCCACCGUCGUGGUGCUCUCGGCGCGGCGUGGUCAAUGUGAUCAACGACGACUUCCAUCGGAAGAGUACUGUACGUGGAGAGGCUGACAGCUGGGUCCACGGCAGCCGCAAGGAAGUGCCUCCUUAUUACGCACAAAAUAAUUAUUCCUCCACCUAACAGCAGGGACCCACCGGACGGGCCACCAGUAUUUCGCGGAAAAAACGUUUCCCACCUGACUGCUGGGCCCCACCGGACGGGCCACCGUAUUUUCCGAAAAAAACGUUUGCCCCUGACUGCUGGGACCCACCGGAUGGACCACCGUAUUUCGCGAAAAAAAACGUUCCCCCUGCUGUCAGCUUGGACCCACCGGAAGUGCCUCCUUAUUACGCAUAGAAAAAUGAAUACUCCCCCUGCUAGCUGGGACCCACCAUGGUGGGAGGCUGACUUGUGGGCCUACUAAGUUGACGGGGACGGAGGGCUUUGUCAACUUAGUCAAUAUGAACGAUUCUAGCUCCAGUCACCGUACGAUGUCCAUCCAACGGCCGUAGUGCUUCAUCAACCUCUGGUCUUCUUACUCCAGCCGCCCAAAGCAGCGCCGGUCGUGCCGCAUGCUCCUGCCUCCCGUGGCCGGCUGUGCUGCCACGGAGGCCUCACCGCCCCCUACUAUUCCCACCGCUGGCCAGGCCCUGCGGCGACGGCAGCCUCACACCGCAGCCGAACCAGUGAACCCUCGUACUCCUCUCCGCGCGGGCUUCCACUGCCGCGUCUUCCCCGGCUCCGCGUUGUCCCCUUCCUAGGCCUCGCUGUCGUCCACCGCCGUGGUGCUCUCCGCGCGGCGUGGUCAACGUGGUCAAGGAACGACUUCCAUCGGAAGAGUACUGUACGUGGAGAGGCUGACAGCUGGGUCCACGGCCACAGCCCAGUUUUUUUGUGAUUUGCCAAGUAAGUCGCUUUGUCAGGCCUGUUGGGCUGCAAAUCUUUCAAGACGAGGAGAGCUUUCAUUCGGCUGGCCGAGAAAAUGGCCCAUCAGUAAUGAGAAAUGGGCUGUACAUUUUUAAAACACAUCAAACCGGCAAUUAGUUUCAAAUAUCUUUUUUUUCAUUUUGAGAUUUUAAAUUACAUUAAUUUUUAUGCGUGGAGAAUUUGUUAGAUUUUAUAUUGAUAUACAUUUAUUUUUAAAAUCAGUUUGAAUGUGAGUCGAAAUUUCGGGAUUAAAAACAGUUCGGACCGCACCGAAAUAUGCAAAAUUUUGUAUAAUUUUUUAACCGUGGCCACAAUAUGGGCUAUAAUGCUAACAAAAAGAAUAUGGGUUCCAAAAAAAACCUUAAUAAUUAGCAAAUGGGCUGUAAAUUAUUAGAAAUAAUGGCAGAUGGGUUGUAUGCUGUUUUCCACAGAUUUGAGGCUUUCCUAAAAAAAGGUUGACGCACAAGCAGUGACUAUUGGAUGGCCAUCCAACAGCCGUCGUGCUUCUUCAAUCUCUGCUCUUCCUGCUCCAGCCGCUCAAACAAGCGCCGGCGGGACUGCCUGCUCCCUCCUCCCUGCGACUGGCUCUGCUGCUGCGCAGGCCUCACCGCCCCACCGUACUCCCAUCGCUGGCCUAGCCAUCCCUCAACUCACCCACACCUGCUGUUAUUCUUCGGCGACGGCAGACGAACCAGUAAACCCUCGUACAGUCGUACUCCCCUCCGCGUGGGAAACAACUGCCAAGUCUUCCCUGCCUCCGUGUCAUUCCCUUCCUAGGCCUCGCCGUCGUCCACCGCCCUGGUGCUCUCGGCGCGGCCUGGUCAACAUGGUCAAUGACCGACAUGCAUCUGAAGUGGACUGUACGUGGAGAGGCCGACAGCUGGGUCCACGGCCGCACGCAAGGAAAUGCCUCCUUAAUACGCGCAAAAUAAUGAUUCCUCCACCUGACAUCAGGGACCCACCGAAAAGGGCCUCUGUAUUUCGCGAAAAAACGUUACCGCCGCUGACAGCUCGGACCCACCAGCUAUAUCUUUGCACGCAAGGAAGUGCCUCCUUAUUAUGCACACAAAAAAUGAAUACUCCCCCUAUUAGCUAGGACCCAGUAUAGUGGCAGGCUGACUUGUGGGCCUACUAAGUUGACGGGGACGGAGGGCUUUGUCAACUUAGUCAAUAUGCACGAUUCUAGCUCCAGUGACCGUACGAUGUCCAUCCAACGGCCGUAGUGCUUCUUCAACCUCCGGUCUUCUUGCUCCAGCCGCCCAAACUAGCGUCGGUCGUGCCUCGUGCUCCUGCCUCCCGUGGCCGGCUGCGAUGCGGCGGAGGCCUCAAUGCCCCUACUACUCCCACCGCUGGCCAGGCCAUCUCUCUACUCACCCACACCCCCUGUUAUUCUGCGGCGACGGCAGCCUCACACCGCAGCGAACCAGUGAACCCUCGUACUCCUCUACGCGUGGGCAUCCACAGCCGCGUCUUCCCCGGCUCCGCGUCAUCCCCUUCCUAGGCCUCGCCGUCGUCCACCGCCCUGGUGCUCUCGGCGCGGCGUGGUCAACGUGGUCAAGGAACGGCUUCCAUCGGACGUGGACUGUACGUGGAGAGGUUGACAGCUGGGUCCACGGCCGCAGCAAGGAAGUGCCUCCUUAUUACGUGCAAAAUAAUUAUUCCUCCACCUGACAGCGGGGACCCACCAGAUGGGCCACCGUAUUUCACGAAAAAAAACGUUUCCUCCUGACUGCUGGGACCCACCAACUACACCUUCGCACGCAAGGAAGUGCGUCCGGGCAAAAAAACAAAACGAUUCGCCCCCCUGACUGUUGGGACCCACCAGCUACAUCUUCGCACGGAAGGAAGUGCCUGACAGUCGGGACCCACCUGGUCGAAGCGUACGUAGCAUUGUCAUUCUGGUCGCGAACGUGUACGUACAUAUAUACUGAUGGAUGUAGAGGCGUGUACGUGUCGUAGUAGAGGCGCGCACGUAGCAUGUACACGUACAUACAGCGGCUAGGGUGCAAGAAAGAAAAUACGGCCACGUAUGUGUACAUACGGGCGGGGUCUCGAACGCCUACUCGCGCAUACGUACGGCCAGGGCUCGUGUACAUGGCUGGGUCGGAACGGAGAAACAGCGUCGUCGUCAUGUUCAUGGGAAGGCUACGGAAUGCGUCGUGUUCAUCAGGAGGCAACGGAACGCGUGGGAGCCAACCGGCUGGGUCGGAACGGAAUGCGUGGUCGUGUUCAUCGGGAGGGCUUGGACGGAACAGGCGAUGGAAACUAGGCCUGGCGUACCGCAGAACGGAGGAAACGGACCUCCUACGGUCGAAACGGGGGUCCUGUUGAUCGGGAGGGGUGUGGCGUACCGCAAAACGGAGGAAACAGACCUCCUACGAUCGAAACGGGGGUCCUGUUGAUCGGGAGGGGUGUGGCGUACCGCAAAACGGACGAAACAGACCUCCUACGGUCGAAACGGGGGUCCUGUUCAUCGGGAGGGGUGUGGCGUACCGCAAAACGGGACUCCACGAGAUACUGUUCAUCUCCACCGUCGACCUCCUCCAGCCUCCACGGGCUACCGUCGACCUCCUCCAGCCUCCACGGGCUCCUGUUCAUCCAGCCUCCACCNNNNNNNNNNNNNNNNNNNNNNNNNNNNNNNNNNNNNNNNNNNNNNNNNNNNNNNNNNNNNNNNNNNNNNNNNNNNNNNNNNNNNNNNNNNNNNNNNNNNNNNNNNNNNNNNNNNNNNNNNNNNNNNNNNNNNNNNNNNNNNNNNNNNNNNNNNNNNNNNNNNNNNNNNNNNNNNNNNNNNNNNNNNNNNNNNNNNNNNNNNNNNNNNNNNNNNNNNNNNNNNNNNNNNNNNNNNNNNNNNNNNNNNNNNNNNNNNNNNNNNNNNNNNNNNNNNNNNNNNNNNNNNNNNNNNNNNNNNNNNNNNNNNNNNNNNNNNNNNNNNNNNNNNNNNNNNNNNNNNNNNNNNNNNNNNNNNNNNNNNNNNNNNNNNNNNNNNNNNNNNNNNNNNNNNNNNNNNNNNNNNNNNNNNNNNNNNNNNNNNNNNNNNNNNNNNNNNNNNNGUUCAGUAACGCGUAGCCUGCAGUGCAAUCGCUCGGGUUCAGUUAGAGCCCAACGCCUCGCUCGGGUUCAGUUAGAGCCAACGCCUCGCACACACGCGCGUACGUGUACGAGAGAAACGCGCAUCGCUCGGCCCCCGACCUCCCACCGUAACCGGGAACUCCCCGAAAUUUUCCUCGCCCUCGCUUCUACCAUGGUUUUUUCCGUCAUGGACGGCCCAAAGAAUGUCAUGCAGCUGUGUCUUCGGCCCGCCCUGGACGAAAAGCCCAUUUUCUGUCAUGAUUUUUUGUCAUAGAAGUAGGAGCCCACCACAUCUAUGAUGAUACCGGGUUUUGUCACAAUUAUCGUCAUAGAAGUGUCAUAUGUAUGACAAAAAAAAAUUCAUUCGGCCCAAAAUGUCACAGAUGUGUCUUUUUUUGUAGUGUAGGCCCGGUGCCUGGCAACAGUUCUAUCAAAAACUCGAUGUCUCGAUCUGGCGGCAUUCCUGGUAAUUCCUCUGGAAAUACAUACGGGUAAUCCUUUACGACAGGCACUUCCUCCUGAACAACUCCUGAGAGGGAAUUCACUUGGCUCCUCCUAGGCGCGUGCCUAGAUACAUACUUGAUCCUUUUUCCCUCCGGGGUGGUGAGAUAAAUCGACUUACUAGCACAGUCAAUGCUUCCUCCAUACUUUGACAUCCAGUCCAUGCCUAAUAUCACAUCCAAUCCUUGUGACUCCAAAAUUAUUAGGUCGGACGGAAAAACAUGGCUACCAAUGGUUAAGGGUAUCCGGUCGCACCAUCGGCUAGCCAUAUACUCUGCUCCAGGUGAACUUACUAACAGAGGGGUCCUAAGGGCUUGGGUUGGUAGUUUAAACUUAUCCACGAAUCCCCUUGAUAUGUAUGAAUGUGAUGCACCAGUAUCAAAAAGAACAAGGGCGGUAAAAGACUUAACCAAAAACGUACCGAUAACCGCGUCUGGCUGCUCUUCAACCUCCUCCAUGUUAACGUGGAUCACUUGUCCUUUGUUGAAUGGAUUGGGCUUCUUCCCAGCGCUCCCAUUACCGUUUCCAUUCUUCGCUUCAGGGCACUCCGUGGCAUAGUGUCCAGUCUUCCCACACUUGAAGCAAGUAAUGUGACUUAGGUCUCUCUUGGCGGGUGUGGCUGGAUUGGAGCGAUUCUGAUUGUUGCUUGUUUCGUUCCCAGUCCCAUUCUUAGAACCAUUAUGGUUAUGCCAACUUCCUCCGGUGUGGUUAUGACCUCCAUGGUUAUGAACAAGUCCUCCCGAGUUCGGGGUUAGACGGGGCUUAUGCUGAGCUCCAGAAUUGUAUCUUCCUUGCCCAUACUUCCUCUUACGGCUCUCAAUCUGCUGCUGCUUCCCUUCAAUCAUAAGAGCCUUAUCUACCAACUCCUGGUAGUUGUUGAAUGUUGCCACCAUCAACUGCAUGCUCAUCUCGUCAUUCAGCCCUUCCAUAAAUUUCUCCUGCUUCGCAGCAUCUGUGGCCACAUCAUCAGGGGCAUAGCGAGAUAACUUGCUAAACUCAUCCACGUACUGAGCUACAGUACGGUUUCCCUGCCGUAAGUUGCGAAACUCACGCUUCUUCAUGUUCAUAGCUCCAGUUGAGACAUGGGUUGUGCGGAAAGCUUGCUGAAACUGAUCCCAAGUGACGUUGGCUAUGGGGAAAGUGGCCAUAUAAUUCUCCCACCAUGAGGCUGCUGGUCCAUCCAAUUGAUGUGCGGCAAAGCGCACCUUCUCAGCAUCUGUGCAACCUACGGUGAUCAAUUCCCUUCCAAUACGGUGUAGCCAAUCAUCAGCAACUAUAGGAUCGGUGCUACUGGAAAACACCGACGGCUGCAACCUCAGAAAGCGAGCUAAGUUGUGAACUGGAGGCGGGUUGUUGUUGUUGUUGUUGUUGUUGCCUUGGUUCCGGACUAACAAUUGCAUCAAGGCAUUCUGCUGCUGGAUCAACUGAGUGAGCUCUGGCGGGAAGGCAAAUCCGGUGUCACGUCUCGGAGGCAUCUGAUGGGUUUAGAGGGGAGAUAUUAGAAUAGAAUAGGGGUCUAGUGAGAGAACACUACCCAUAUGCACAUGGGAAAAACACAAUCAUAUCACUCAAUCAAUCAAACAAGGGCAUACAAACGGUCUAGAACUAUCGUUGAAAGUGCUCAAUUACUACUAUAUACAUGGGGGAACACUACUAAUCAUUUGGUGGUCAUCUAGAAAUUUUGAUCGGUAGAAGACUCCAUGAUGUCUGCUCCAGCUUCGUCUUCAAAGUCAUCUUCACUGGGGUCGGAGUCGGUGUCGUCGAUGAUGAUGUAGCUCUCCGGGCAAGUGGAAUCGCCAUCCUCUCCUCCUGGUGCGGGGUCUCCCAUGAAUACUCCGAUCUUCUUUAUCAGGUCGUCAUUCUUCUCCAAUAGUGUUGCAAUUUCCUCCUCGUAUCCAUCGCGUGUAGACUUGAGUUCUUCUUCCAGCUCGAUGAUCCUUGUCUUCGCCUUCUUCAAAUCUAUCACGUCUGCGCACAUCUGAUUCUCCUAGCGUCGAAUGUGUUGGUUUAACUCUGGAUGAAAGCUGCAAUGGAUCUAUCCUUCUUGGUGCUGAUCAUCUCCCAUUGCUCAUCUUAGCGACCACAUAUCUGGUAGAUAGUGUCCUUGAGCUCCUUGUUGUAGACUUCUCCAAUACGUCCCAUGGCAAUGUGGGCUGCCAUGCUCUUGCCCAGACUCCAGGUUGGUGCAUCAAAGGAAAACUCUAUGGGCUCAGUGAUUGGCGUGAACGUCCUUCCUGGAACUUGAACUCGAAUCAUCCAGCGCUCCUCUUCUGGUAAAGUGCCGUUGUAGGUCCCAGUGAAGCUUGGUAUUCCGAUGUUCAGGUACCUAGUGACUUCCUUCAAGUGGCGUCCAAAGGGUGCAUCUUCAUCCGGUUGUCCAAACUUGUUCCUCGAAUCCGCCAUCCUAAAGAGUAGAAAAUGGAGAGGAGUCAGAAAUGAGUAGAGAAGAGUGACCUAUGGUUUAUCUUAGUGGUCGUGUCCUACACUCAGUGUGUGCUCUGAUAGCAUCUUGUACCGACCCGACCUCAGACGGUCAAGUCUCUGUGCUUCCGUGUCAUCCCUGGAUCGGUAAUGCUGACACACACAGUACUCGAAGGAUUUAUAACAGAGUAGCAAUCACACACUUAUUACAUCGAAUGUCUCAAAAGAGAACUUAUUACAAUAAACAUGGCAUAAGGCCAUCUAAUACGAUAACAGCGGAAGGCUUGGAAGAUAAAGUGAGUCCAUCAACUCCAACGGCAUAGCUGAACUGCACGGCAACGACCUAACAAACCUUACUCCUCGUCUGAAAAGUCUGCAACAUAAUACGUUGCAGCCCAAAAACUGGUCAGCACAUGGAAUAUGCUGGCAAUAUAACACAGCAGAGCAAGAACAGAACAAAAGCUAUCACUACAUGCAUAUUUGGCUGGUGGAAAGCUCUAUGGUUAUAGUUUUGCGAAAAGCCAAUUUUUCCCUACAACAAAUCAAUGGAUUUUAUUUAACUAUCAUGGUAGUUGAAACAUCAUUUUUUUGAACCUUUUAACAGUAUGAGAACCUCCUACUGUUUUUGUAUUAAUAUGAUGGGGGUGACAAUUUACAUGAGGGCAUUACAUGAUGUCUUUACAACUCACCCUCCCUUUGGGAGGUGAGGGAGAACUCAAGAUAUAGAGGAGAGGAUGAGUGGAAUGAGAUGUUUAUGCUUUUCCUUAACCCCAUAGGUAAGGAGAGAAAAAUCAGUCUUAAGCCUAUCUAACCAUGAAGUCUUCGAGGGCAUCAUCCCCCUGAAGUGUUUGUUGUUACGUUCUUUCCAGAUACUCCAGGCGGCAGUCAGAAAUAGCUCCAUGAAGAGAGGCCUGUUCCAGUUGUUUUUGGCAAACACAACAUUUUGCAGGCGAGGUUGUCCCUGAUUCCACAGAAUUCCAAGGCCGGACUAGCAUUCAGUACUAAAUUGACACUCAAAGAAGAGGUGCUCCAGUGUUUCCUCGAUGUGUAGUCCACAUAAGAUGCAAUCAUAGUCAUUUCCUAUAUUGUAGUGCCUCCUUUUGAGCAUAUUCCGCGUGUUUAGUCGAUCAGAAAGGAGCAACCAUCCAAAGACUUUAAUUUUCAUGGUGGCUUUUGAUUUCCAGAUCCAGCCAAACGCCUCAUGAGCCCUAACUUCUCCGAAGUAGAAAGUGUAGUAUCUAUGAGCUGUGUAGCUUUCCGUGCCCCAAAUAUAUGUCCAAACAUCUGGCUCAUUGGAGAUAGCCGUUUCCCUCGUGUCCUCUUGCAGUUGACGCACCUCUGCAUGGGCCUGUGCCGAGAGAGGUAAAUGAAACGCCUUGCUCAGUGACGUGAUGGACAAGAAAUCCUUCACAGAGAUAUCUUCAUUGAUGGCGUAAGAGAGUGCACGCGGGUACUUCUCAUCAAAUGUGGUAUCAGUCCAUAAAUCUUUCCAGAAGAGCACAUUAGAUCCAUUAAUCACAUGAACGUUUGAGAUACCCCUAUAGGUUGGCAUUAGUUUGGCAACGUCUCGCCACCAGAAUGAUCCACAAGGGUCUGAAGCAUGCGGAAUUUGAUUCGUGUAGUAUGUUUCCCAGAUGAGUUCAACCCAAGGCACGUUCCAUCUAUUGUAGAAUUUAUGUAAAUACUUUAAUAAGAGUGCAUCACCUUGGAUCCUGAGAUCAAUCACUCCCAAUCCACCACUUUCCUUGGGAUGACAAACCAUUUCCCAAGAAGCAAGAGAAUUGCAUUUGUCCCCUUGCUCUGUUUUCUUUGUCCAUAGGCAUUUCCUUCUAAUUUUGUCUAGGAGCUCAAUAAUUUUGGUAGGCAAUCGAAGCGUGCAUAGCGCAAAGAUAAUGAGCGAAGUGAUCACCGAAUUAAGCAGGUUUAGCUUUCCACCAUAUGAAAUCAUGUUGAGAGUAGCCGUUAGUCUUCUCUCCAUGGAAUAGACCAGAGGCAUGAGAUCGAGGACAGUUGGUCGAGUAGUACCAAGUGGGAGCCCUAGGUAUGUGAAGGGCAUCUUGCCAACGACGCAUCCGAAGAUAUUAGCAAUCUCUUCGGAUUUAACAUUAUCACAAUUGAUUGGAAUGAGAGUAGAUUUGUGGAAGUUUCAAACCAAUGGACGUAGCAUAGUCUGUCAAAAUGUCCUUGAUAACGGUCGCAUGUUGUGUGCAUGUUGGUAACACUAGAAUGGUAUCAUCGGCGUACUGGAUGACUGGGUACUCUUUUUGAUGCGGAGAAGGGAAGGGCAGGUGUAUUUGAUGGCGUGCAAAGGCAUCGUUGAUGGCUGCUUGAAGGAGAUCCGCUGCUAGCAUGAAAAUGAGGGGUGAAAGAGGAUCCCCCUGCCUGACCCCACACUUGCAAAGAAAUUGGCGCCCAGGAGUACCAUUUAGGAGGACAGAGGAUUUUGCUGAAGAAAAGAUGCAGCGAAUCCAGGUGAGCCAUUUGUCAUUGAAUCCCAUGUUUUUCAUAAUCUCAAUCAUCACUUCAUGUUCAAUUGUGUCGAAGGCUUUGGCAAAGUCAAGCUUGAGAAGCAUGAUUUCUUUUUUAGAACUUUGGCAUUGAUAAAUAUACUCGUAUGCCCAUGCGAGGCAGUCCUGGAUAGUCCUCCCCUUUAGGAACCCAUAUUGGUUAUAGUUGAAACAUCAUUGAGAAGGUUCCUCCAACUCAAUCCCAAUUAAAAGUAAUUAUCAACCCAACAAUAUUAAAUUAAAGUGAUGAGAUACUUAGGAUAAUCCAAGUACUAGAUACUCAAGAUGUCCAUAACCGGGGACACGGCUAAUCAUGAUUAGAUUGUACACUCUGCAGAGGUUUGCGCACUUUUCCCCACAAGACUCGAUCUCCUCCGUUGGAUUUCUCGCACUACAUGGUGUUUGAGAAACGGAUGACCGAGACACAGUCUUUCAGAAGCAUUAACUCUAACCCCGGGUAGACAGUACCAACCUACAUCCCUCUACAUCUGCUAGCCUACCACUUGAAGAGGUCAUGACACUUACUCAACUAUGCUAGAGCCCAUAAUGGCUUGUGGCUGCACACGGAAGUUUCUAGAAUGAAAUAUCUCAGUUCCCUUUGAGCCUGGGUGGCGGACCUUAGGAUGAUCACACGGGUCCUCCGGGAUAUCCUAGGACAACACUGGAUUCUCCAGGUGCCCGACAAGCAAUCCACCCAGAUGUGUAUUAAAGUUGCCACCUUAAGUUGAACCAUUAAUUAACAAACUCACAUCUGUCAUGGAUUCACUCACCCAAACCACGUCUACGAGCAUAGCAUAGCAAUAUAAGCAUUACGUAGAAGUAACUCCCAAGGGGAUUUAUAAUAACAGGGCAAUAGGUUCUACCUCAUCAACUACUUCCCAAUACCCACAAGUUAAUCACAUCCUAUUCAUGCAGUGUUUGAGGAUUGGAGCUAAUGCAUAAAAACUGGGUAUGAAAAGAGUAUGAUCAAUGUGUUACUUGCCUUGCUGACGAUCCGCAAAACCUAGGGACUCGUAGUAGCACGCUUCGCACUCCGGGAAUUCUAUCGCAAACAAACAAUAGCAUACAUAAGAAAUCAAUCAUAGAUGCACGGGCAAAACUCAAAUAAGAAGAAUUGACCAAAAAGUUCAACUUAAGAACUCCGGUUUGCAAAAAGAAUCAAAUCAAACGGAGCAACGAAACUCAAACUUCGAAAGAAACAAGAUCCGAUUACUAAUCUGGACUAAAGUCAAAUUUUAUAGUACCAUAAUCUUGUUCAAGUUGGUUAAGCAGAAAGAGGGUUUCGAGACGAAGAUCUAGGCGCUUGAAUCCCCUGAUUCCGAUAAACGAGCGAAAAGAUAAACUAAAACGAAAAUCAGAUCAGAAAUCGCGAUCGAAAAUAAUCGCGAAAAACCCGAGAAAAGGAAAAACUGACGAACAGGCUAAUGAACGAACGUUCAUUGUCUGUGACUAAUGGGCAAAAACCAUUCGUUAAAACGAACGUACGGACGAACGUCCGCAAAAUAAACUAAACCGAGAAAACCGGCGAACCGAUCUAAAAAAACGAACUAGGUUUUUAAAAAAACCGACAGUUUUUACCUAAACCGAAAAAAACCGAGCGGCUCCGGAUCGGAUCGGCGGCGGCGGCUCCAGCGGCGCGAGGUGGGGCUGCGGGGUGGCGGCGACGAUGGGGUGGUGCGGCGCGGCGGCGGCGGCACAAGGCGAGGCGAGGCGCAGCAAGCGGCGGCGGGCGGCGGCUGCUGCUGCUGCUUGUGGAGGCGGUGGUCGCGAUUUGGGGCGGCGGCGGCGGGGUAUUUAAGAGGGGGAGGGGCGGGGUCAGCUUGGGGAAGGGAGCGGGAGGAGUCCCGGGCGGCGACGGCGGCGGCUGCCAAGUCCUGGCCGGACUCGGGCACGGGGAGGCGGUGGCGCGGGGUUGGGCCGGCCUGGCUCGGCUGGGCUUCGGCCCAGUCGGGCGCAUAAAAAUUUUUUAAACAGAUUCUGCUGAAAAUAAAUCAUAGAAAAAUAAAUAAAUAACUGAAAAUGAAAAAACAAAUUUUCACCGUCUAAAUAAAAUAGUUAGAACAAGAUGAACACUUUCUUGGCCCUAAAAUGCAAUUUUUCUAAUGCAAAUAAAAUAGCAAUAAAAUCCGAAUAAGAUCAAAUAUUUGGUUUUAAUAUUUUUCCUCCAAUAUUUCAUUUAUUUUGAAGAAGUCAUAUUAUCUCCUCUCAUAUAUUUUAAUAUGAAAUAUUUUUCGGAGAGAAAAAUAAUUAAAACAAAUAAUCCUUGUUUCAAUAUUUGAUAAAAAUCAAAUAUGAAAACAGUGAAAUCCCUAACUCUCUCCGAGGGUCCUUGAGUUGCUUAGAAUUUCGAGGAUCGCGAAACGAAAUGCAACAAAAAUAUGAUAUGCAUGAAUGAUCUAUGUAUAACAUUCCAAAUUGAAAAUUUGGGAUGUUACAUCUUUCUAUGUGUCCGGUUGAAACGUUUUGCUCAUGUGUAUGUGGUGAGUGUUAGCAGUCAUAGAAGACUAUAUGAUGGUUGAGUAUGUGGAGCUCUUACUUAGACUCUGUUGAAUAAGUUGAAUUGCAAUUGCUUGGUGACUAAGAACAUAGGUUGUUGAGUAUCAAGAGAGUUCAUUGUUUGGACCUUAACAUGUGAAUUCGUUGCUACUAUAACAUGAGAAGUUUUAUAAGAAAGAAUUGAUGUUAUGAUGCUAGGAAAAGUGAUUAAAUUUAUCAUUGAUCAAACUUAUGUACUUUGCUAGCAUUCACACUUCAUAAAUUAUUUCUUUUAUCAUUUACCUACUCGAGGACAAGUAGGAAUUAAGCUUGGGGAUGCUGAUACGUCUCCAACGUAUCUAUAAUUUAUGAAUUAUUCAUGUUGUUAUUUUAUCAUCCUUGGAUCUUUUACAAUCAUUUUAUAGCAACUUUAUAUCAUUUUUUGGGACUAACCUAUUGACCCAGUGCCCAGUGCCAGUUUGUUGUCUUUGCUUGUUUAUUACAUCGCAGGAAAUCAAUACCAAAUGGAGUCCAAACGCAACGAAACUCCACGGAGAUUUUUUAUGGACCAGAAGGAAUCCAAUGGGCCAGAGUUGCACCUGGGGGUGCCCCGAGGGGGGCACAACCCACCAGGGCGCGCCAGGGCCCCCUAGCGCGCCCAGGUGGGUUGUUCCCACCUCGGUGGCCUCCCGCACCCCCUCUUUACCCUAUAAAUUCCCAAAAAUUCCAAAAACCCUCGGGGUUAACCUAGAUCAGAAGUCCCGCCGCCGCAGGGCUCCGUAGCCACUGAAAACCAAUCUAGACCCGUUCUGGCAUCCUGCCGGAGGGGAAUCAUCUCUGGUGGCCAUCUUCAUCAUCCCGGCGGCCACCAUGAUGAGGAGGGAGUAGUACACCCUCGGGGCUGAGGGUUUGUACCAGUAGCUAUGUGUUUAAUCUCUCUCUCUCGUGUUCUUGAGAUGUCAUGAUCUUGAUGUAUCGUGGGCUUUGUUAAUAUAGUCGGAUCAUAUGGUGUUUUCCCCUCUCUAUCUUGUUGUGAUGAAUUGAGUAUUUCCCUUUGAGAUUUCGUUGUUAUCGGAUUGAAUACUUUUAUGGAUUUGAGAACACUUGAUAUAUGUCUUGCAAUUGAAUACUCGUGGUGACAAUGGGGUAACGUAUUGAUUCACAUGAUAUAUGUUCUGGCACUCAACUCGCAGAUUCCCGAGGUGACAUUGGGAUAAUCUAUGCAUAGGGGUUGAUGCACGUUCUUGUCUUUGUUUCUCCGGUAGAAAUCUUGGGGCACUCUUUGAAGUUCUUUGUGUUGGAUUGAGUAUUAUGAAUGUGGAUUUGCUUUGAUGUUAUUUUAGUACGAACUCUAGGAUAGAUUGAACGGAAAGAAUAGCUUUGUGUUAUUUUAGUACGAACUCUUGAAUAGAUCGAACGGAAAGAAUAGCUUUGAGGUGGUUUCGUACCCUACAAACAAUUUAUUCUUAUGUUCUCUGCUAGAUAGGAACUUUGGAGUGAUUCUCCGUCGCACUUUGAGGGGUGUUUAUAUGAUCCAAUUAUAUUAGCAUUGUUGAGAAAUUGCACUAGCGAAAGUACGGACCCUAGGCCUCAUUUUCAAGCAUUGCAAUACCGUUUUUGUGCCUGUUUACUAUUUGCUACCUUGCUGUUUUCAUUUAUUCAGAUUAUAGAAAUAUAUUUCUACCAUCCAUAUUACACUUUUAUCACCAUCUCUGCGCCGAACUAGUGCACCUAUACAAUUUGCCAUUGUAUUGGGUGUGUUGGGGACACAAGAGAUUUCUUGUAUUUGGUUGCAGGAUCAUUUGAGAGAGACUAUCUUCAUCCUACACCUCUCAGGGAUUGAUAAACCUUAGGUCAUCCACUUGACGGAAAAUUGCUACUGUCCUACAAAACUCUACGCUUGGAGGCCCAACACGUGUCUACAAGAAUAAAGUUGCGUAGUAGACAUCAACUUACUAGCCGAAGCCUUUGCAGCUGAAGAACUAACCACCCUACGAUCCACAGUGGACAAGGAUGAUGUGAUUCUCGACAAGAGAUCUAAAUGCACCUCUUUCAAGCUAGCAGAUGAAAUAGUUAAAUUCCAAGUGCACCCGGCGGAUCCUAAUAAAGCAGCGUCCAUCGGAGCAUAGCUGGAUCCGACGGUAGACGCCGCCUUAUGCGUGUUCCUACGUGAAAAUCGGGAUAUCUUUGCCUGGCACCCCUUAGACAUGCCCGGGAUCCCACAUAGGCUAGCCGAACACAGCCUCAACAUAAUCAAAGGGUUCAAACCAGUCAAGCAAACGCUGCGGCGAUUUUCCAAACCCAAACGAUAAGCUAUGGUGGAGGAGCUAGCCAAACUGCUCGAGGCCAGGUUCAUCAGAGAAAUCAAACACCCGGAUUGGUUAGCCAACUUGGUCAUGGUGCCGAAGAAGGAUCAAUCUUGGCGCCUUUGUGUCGAUUUCAAAGACCUCAAUAAGGCUUGCCCUAAAGCCCCUUUCCCAUUACCCCGUAUUGACCAGAUCAUUGAUGCGACCGUGGGACAUGACUCAUUGUGUUUCCUCGACGCUUACUCCGGAUACCAUCAGAUUAAAAUGAAGGAGUCUGAUCAGGCCGCAACAGCGUUCAUCACCCCGUAUGGGCCUUUCUGUUUCAACACUAUGCAUUUUGGGCUUAAAAACACUGGUGCCACUUACCAACAAAUGAUUCAAACAUGCUUGGAAAAACAAAUCGGCAACACAGUUGAAGAAUAUGUGGAUGACGUGGUCAUCGAGAAUAAACACGUCAAAUCACUGGUGGACGAUCUCUGCCUCACAUUUGACAACCUCCAAACAUAGGAAUCAAUCCGGAAAAAUGCAUGUUUGGCGUUCUAGCCGGAAAGCUAUUAGGGUUCAUUGUCUCCCAUAGAGGAAUUGAAGCAAACCGAGCUAAAAUCCGAGACUUGCCGCAAUUGGCCACACCAAUAGACUUAAAGCAGGUCCAAAAGCUAGCAGGGUGCGUGGCGGCUUUGAGCCGCUUUAGCUCCAGAUUAGGAGAAAAAGCAUUACCACUUUAUAGACUGCUUAGACGCACCGACAACUUUGAAUGGACGGAUGCGGCCACAGCCGGAUUGGAAGAAAUAAAAACCUUAUUAGCAGGCAACCCAAUCCUAACCUCCCCAAGUGUUGGCGAGCCUAUGUUGCUUUAUAUCUCCACAACUCAACAGGUAGUGAGCGAUGUACUCAUCGUCGAGCGAGGGGAAGAGGGACAUAAAUUCCCCAUCCAAAAGCCAGUGUAUUACGUAUUAGAGGUCCUUACACCAUGCAAAUCCUGAUACCCUCACUACCAGAAGAUAGCUUACGUGGUCUUUAUGGCAUCUUGAAAACUCCGACACUAUUUUCAAGAGUGUUCGAUCACGGUGGCAUCCGAAGUACCACUUAACAACAUUAUAAACAAUAGGGACACCACCGUUUGAAAUAACGUACAAGCCACGCCGAGCUAUUAAAUCACAGGUGCUGGCCGACUUCGUUGCCGAGUGGACGGAAGCCGAGCUCCCUAAAGAGUAUAGUUCAUACUCCAACUGCAUGUACUUCGACGACUCUAAAAUGCUAGCCGGACUGGGGGCUGGUGUCAUCUUGACAUCCCGGGGACACGGUCCGCUACGUGUUGCAAAUCAUGUAUACGGACUCCAAUAAUGCAGCUGAAUACGAGGCACUUCUACAUGGUCUCCGCAUGGCUGUCUCCAUGGGCAUACAACGCCUCGAGGUGCGCGGAGACUCAAUCCUUGCAAUAUCUCAGAUAAAUGGAGAGUUCGAUGCAAAAGAUCCAAAAAUGGUGGCACACUGAAACGCCGUAUUAAAAAUAUCGGCUCGGUUCGAGGGACUUGAAUUUCAUCACUUCGCUCGAGACAGUAACCAGGCAGCGGACAUACUCACUUGCACGGGCGCCAAGUGCGACCCCGUCCCGCCUAAUACCUUUGUGGAAAGGCUCUUCAGGCCAUCCGUGGUAUGGCAGGACGAGAGCGGAGAUGCUAGUACGGACCUGAUCAUGCCCCCGGCAGCCGAACAUAAUACAGAUAUCAUCGGGGGUCCGGUUACCGAAAUAACGCCUUCUGAUCAUGAGAUUCGGCCGUUAUUGCUCCUUGGACCGAACCCUUCCUGGCCUACCUUAAUAGGCAGGAGCUUCCCGAUGAUCAAAAUGAGGCCCGUCGCAUAGUUCGGCGUUCUAAAGCAUACAAAGUUCAUGAAGGUGAACUGUACAAGAAAAGCACUACCGGAGUUCUCCAAAUGUGCAUCUCCGAAGAGGAGGGACGACAACUCCUGGCUGAAAUACAUGCUGAUCUGGGCGGCCAUCACGCCGCAGCUCGGGCCCUCGUAAGCAAAGCCUUCCGGACAGGUUUUUUCUGGCCAAUGGCCCAAGCAGACGCACAGGCCCUUGUCCAACGUUGUGUGGGAUGUCAGCUUUUCGCCAAUCAAAGUCAUAUGCCUCCCACUGCCUUAAGAACAAUCCCCAUCACUUGGCCCUUCACGGUCUGGGGGCUGGAUAUGGUCGGACCCCUUAAAGGGGGAAGCCACAAAAAGAAAUAUUUACUGGUUAUGGUGGAUAAAUUCACUAAGUGGAUAGAGGCCAAACCAAUAAAAACGGCCGAAGCAGGAUCAGUGGUUGACUUUAUAUCCGGCGUGGCACACCGCUAUGGUGUCCUGCCCAGCAUCAUCACUGAUAAUGGCUCCAAUUUUACAGCUGAUGAGGUGAAAAACUGGUGUGCUAACUUGGGCAUUAAACUCGACUAUGCAUCCGUCUACCACCCUCAAACAAACGGUCAGGUUGAACGGGCCAAUGGCCAGAUAAUGAGCGGCAUUAAGCCCCGACUAGUGCGCUCCCUACGAGAGUCGGAUAAGCAAUGGGUUGAGGAACUCGAUUCCGUGCUCUGGGGGCUACGGACUACACCUAACCGAACAACCAGAUAUACACCUUUCUUCAUGGUGUACGGCGCGGACGCUGUCCUACCCUGCGACAUUAUUCAUGACUCACCUCGAGUGCGCAUGUACGAAGAGCGAGAAGCCGAGCUCGAUCGACAGGACGACCUAGACGGCCUCGAAGAGGAGCACGAUAUUGCACAAGCCCGUUCUGCAUUUUAUCAACAACAGGCCAGGUGAUACCAAAGCAGAGAAGUGCGGGCCAAGACAUAUAACAUUGGCGUCCUCAUCUUGCGUCUCCCAGAGAAGAAGAAGGAUAAGCUCAAACCAAGAUGGGAGGGCCACUUCAUCAUAGAUGAAGUUCUCACGGGAGGAUCCUAUCGCCUUCGUAAUGCAUCGGAUAAUCACCUUGAGCCGAAUCCAUGGAACGCUGCUCGGCUCCGACGAUUCUACGGAUAGUUCGGUAGCACCUUUUUUACUUUGACUAGGUUCCUUUUUCUCCUCUCCUUUUUUAUUUUUUCCUUUUUAUAUCCCAGGGUAUGUUCGGAUCUACCAAACUAUUAGGGGUACACAUCUUUAAAUGUAUACACCCCACUAUAACUGGGGCCUUCUUUGAUGAAGCUUAUUAUUAAAAGCUUGUGGCUUACAUUGUUUACGUCAUUUGUUCUAUACACUUUUUUGCCAUUAUAUGCACCUCUAUGACUUAAGUUUUUGCCAAGCUGGGUUGCCUUGCUCCUGUGUUUAUACCCUACGUUCCCUAUUGUUCGGCUAGAGUGUAAAGGGAGCACCUCUGCGAUUGUUACAACCGGGUAAUCUGGAUCUGUACCUCAGACGGGUGAAGCCAAAAGCUAGCGCUCUUAAGGGAAUAAUUGGUCGGCAAGCAACGAAAGAUUAUUUAUGUUUAUGUAAUUCUUCUAACAAAUAAGGGAUAGGCUACCCGUAAUUCUAUCUUUUGGAUCAAAGCCUAGGCAUGCAUAAUUAGGCAUGCCGACCCAAGGAAACGAACCCUUAAUGGAACUAUUUUCCCUCGAAGAUGUUUCUUACGUUAAAUAGUAAUAUAACAUAACUCCCCGAAGAAAUUUUGUCUGUUUGAGCAAUAUGACCGGAUUGCCUGUUUUCCGGACAUAAUGAAUGUUUAUUACAUUCCAACAUGGUCUCCGGAAACACUCCAACUUCUUGGUUCGGAGGUUAAAGCCGAAGGCCUGCAAUGACAAAUUUUGACAAGUUCGGUUGGAGAUAAGUUUGAUGAUAAAGUACAUUGAUACAUUGAAUCGAACGCCUACUCUUUAUCUAUGUCAUCUAUAAGACUGUUUAAGCUACAGUCUUCUUGCAAAUAUUUCGCAGCUAUCAUCACUUGGUCAUAUACCAAGUUCACGGGAAUCUUUUUUCCGUCCGGUCCCUGAGGUCCAACUUGGGCCAUACGAUUCGGAUCGAGCCCGGUGUAGCGCGUUUUCAUCAUCGCCCAUGCCUCUCGUGCACCUUCCCGGCAUGCUGACGCCUUCCAUAGCUCCAAACGGCGCCGGGCACCUUUCAACAGGUUCGCCAACCCCUCCAUGCUUUCUGGAGGGACAUCGGAUGGCCAUAAGGCUUUGGCCAUACUUCUCAUGGCUUUCCGGGCCCGCUCAUGCACUACGGACAGCUCUUUUAGAACGUCGCCUCGGAAUCGGGAUACUUCUUCUUCAUGAUGCCCGGUUAACAGACCUGCAAGAACAGCAUUAUAACACUCUGAAUUACAGGAUAAUAUUAGUCCCUUGGAUGGUUCAAAUGUCAUACCGAAUAUGCCGCCUUUCAACUUUUUAUUCUCUAUUUGUGCAUCUGAUAAUUGAGCCUUUAAGCUCUUUAUCUCUUCGGCUUGCUUAUCCUUUUCCUCCUCCAGUUUGUUCUUUUGAUCAAUGGUCAUCGUGACCUUCUUCAUUUCCUCUAGCUCUGUGGUGGCGGCAUUUAGCUUUGUCCAGCUCGUUUCAAGCUCCUGGGACAGUGUGUUGUUCUUCUCUUUGAGAACCUGCGGUCAUAACGAUCCUUAAAUCGGUUGGUCUAAACCGCUUCAAGUCUCGGGGGCUACUGGCAUAUAUCUAUUAAAUUUACACAAAACAUUACAUGCAUAUGUUUUGAAAACAGGUGAGCAACUCCAGCAAGUCUGUCCCGGGCAGCUCGGAUAUAUGCAUCCACGGUGCUAAGGGCAGUAAAUUCCUGCUCGGUAAAAACUGGAGCACGCAUGGUCUCUUUCACUCGUGGGUGGUUCAUCACGCUCUCCACUUCGGAAUUUGUGACGGAUAUGUCAUCCGAGUCCUCAUGAGGUGGAUGAGUUGGUGCUGCAUCCGUAUUGGCUCUUGUCUUGGUUGAUGAGCCCGGUGCCAGAUUAGCUGAUGAUCGGCUAGCUGGGACUUUAGACACGGUUCACCGUGUGCUCCUUCGGAAAUAAGAUGGGAAGAGAAGUAUGACAAUCUGGUCUUAUGCCUAGGCACAUGUUAAAAUUUAUAGCUCUUUGAUGAAGGAUGGGGCUCGACAGCGCUCCCGGUUUCCUUCCGUUUUCAAGGCUCACCCUGCAUAGAUGCUACCUUCCUAGAGGCCGCCCUCGAUGGAGUGUAGCUCGCUGAGCACCGAUCCUAUGAAGCACGAUUCAUUGUCAUGGGUGAGACACAAGUGGGUGGCUCCUUUUUUGUGGCUCCUUUUUUGAGGAUGAUUUCCGAGUACUUACCUUGGAGAAAGGGAAAAGGCCAGGGUAGUCGGCCGUAAUAGCCACUUCCGAGCCAUCAAGCCUUGCUUGAUAAAAGACUCCAUCAUCAAACUCUAUAAAUAUAUCCGGAUCCUCGCGAAAUCCGGGGUCCUCGUUGCGAGCAUAGUCCUCUGGCUGUGGGGAGGGGCAAUGAAUAUUUUCGACCACCUUCCACCAUGUCUGUUUCAAGACGACAAGAAAAAUUUGAUUAGCACACCUCAAUAAUGAGGUAGGACAAUGCUGAUAAACAAAAACUUACCCAUUCAAUGGGGUUAUACAUGGAGAAACCUUCCCGACAAUUUAAACGGAUGAAUUCUUCGUUCUCCCCCUUAUAAAGAUCUGCAAGAAUGGCCGCCAGAGCGGCUGGGGUAUCCGGGCCCUCAUGCUUAUAACGAGAUGCGUCGUCCUUUCCAUUGUAACACCAUAAAGGGGUCACUCUAGACUGAAGGGGCUGGAUGCAUCGCUUUAUCGCUAUGGCCAUGACUACGAUUAUCAAGAGUUUGGAAUGGGAGAGUAACCUGACCUUGCUAACUAAACUAUUUACUUCCACACUGUCUUCUUGCUUGGGGCUCCGGGGGCGCCAAUUGAAGUGUUUCUUCAAAGGAGAACUGAAGAAUUCGGGAAGUCCACGUCGAACUGGGUCCGGAAGGGGAACGUCCUCAACAUAAAACCAUUCCGAAGUCCAUUCUUCUGAUCCCUUCUUGGGAGUUCCGACGAGGUAACCUGAUCCGGCUAUGCACCAUACUUUGGCGCCGCCCACUUCAAAUAUAGAACCCCCUUGAUGACAAGGGAUGAGGCAAAAGAACUUUCUCCACAAUUUAAAAGGAGCCUCCCAGCCUAAAACUGUUCGCAGAGAGCACAAAACCUGAUACGUGCAGAAUAGAACCUGGUGUGAGGUUGUGUAGUUGGAUCCCGUAGAAUUCCAAUAGACCUCUGAGGAAUGGGUGGAUCGUGAAUCCUAAGACCCUCAGAAUAAACGAGACGAAGCACACCCUCUCCUCCUUGUUGGGGUUGGGGAAAUUCUAUGCUAGCACAUCAUUGCCAAUCGAGGCCAAUCCUGCCUGCAUGGAGAGUAGAUCUGUGGGAGGGAGAUAUCCUUGCGUUUGAAGUCGAUUUAGUUGGAGGGGAGACACUGAGCAGCUUCGCCAAUCACCCGCUUGAGGGCCAUGAGGGCGCGAGGAAGAGCUAGGAGCGCUCGCCAUGUUUUGAAGUUUUUUCCUGGUUUGCUCUGAUGCUCCUUGCGCAAUAUGGGAUGGCAUUUGGGGAUCUAACCCCCUUAUAUAGAUGCCGCCCUUGCAUGGUAAGGGGCUUAUUUGUAAAAAAUUAUGGACUGUUCGCAUUUGCCCGGCGCGUGGAAAUCGAGGCGACGACAGGAAGGAAUGUAAAGGCAGAACAUGAAGUUCAAAGCCGGACUGUCGUCAAUCCGGAGUAUGGUGAGGAACCUGCCUUGCAAAGCUGGAUACUACCUCGCCAUUGAAGGCAAGUUCGGGGGCUACUGAGGGAGUCCUGGAUUCGGGGGUCCUCAGGUGUCCGGCCUAUUCGAUAUGGGCCGGGCUGAUGGGUCGUGAAGACAAAGCAGAAGACCGCCUCCCAUGUCCGGGUAGGACUCCUAUGUGCGUAGAACGGCAAGUUUGGUGUCUGGGUGUAAUUCUCUUUGCCUCUGAAGUGACUUUGUAUAACCCUAGGUCUCUCUGGUGUGUAUAUAAACCGGAGGGGUUAGUCCACAGAGGGCAUCAGAAUAAUCAUAGGCUAGACAGCUAGGGUUUGGCCAUUACGAUCUCGAGGUAGAUCAACUCUUGUAACCCCUAUACUCAUCGAAUACAAUCAAGAAGGACGUAGGGUUUUACCUCCUUCGAGGGGGCCCGAACCUGGGUGAACACCGUGUCCCCUUGUCCCUUGUUACCAUUGAUCCUUAGACUCACAGCUUGGGCCCCCCUACCCGAGAUCUGCCGGUUUUGACACUGACAAGUAUCCCUAGCCCACCAGGGUUCAAGUCAUGAUACUCGCAUUUGUCAUGGAUUUAUUUCAGGAUUCCCGGUGAUCUACGGGUCAUUCCGUGCUCGACCCUGCACAGACCGCACAUGCUCGUCAGACAGUACAACACCAUAGGAUCCACAUCGUGGUUUCCCAGCAUUCCAAUUCUACGGUCUCGUCGAUUUUUUCUACUUUAUGUGGGAUCAAGAAAUAGCAUGUACAGGGGCCUUCGCACCCAACACACACAGUAGUAUAGCAUGUUCUUUCACAUGUUUUACCAUUAGUCGUUUGGUUCGAUCGAUCACAAGCCCCUGCUGCUGAACAGCAAAGCGACUAAACAUGCAACAAAUCACCAAACUCCAAUUUAUUAUUAUACACCAAAGGCGCACACAAGUUCAACCGAAGAACGAUACUAAAAACUCAGUCGGCUGAUAGGUGGAUCAUCAAAGGAGAAUCAAUGCAUCCAGAAGUAAGGCCAACAUAGGAGAGGUGCACCACGCGAGAGACAUAGCCAGUCGAGGAAAUUCAGCCAGUGAUCCUCAGAAGAACCCCCGGACAACGCCACCCCCACGCUGCAUGGUAGGCUUCACAUGCCACCUAGUCCAUGACUUUUGCUCCUAGCGGACACACCCUUUGAUUUCCCUCCUUUUAUCUGCAAAAUUGCCCAAUUUGUUAGCCACUCACAUAUCAACCUGAUAAGCAUAAUUAGAACAUUUAUUAGCUUUUUUUUCAAAAACAACAACUGUUUCUGCAUCUCCAAAUUGUCCAAAAGUUAGCAGCCACACCAACUAACACCCUUUUUUGGUUACAUCAUGUUGAUUUUUUUAAUAGAGACACUAAAGCACAGAAUCAGAUUAGUAGGAUUGAUCUCAAAUUUAAAGUAUAUUUAAGAAAACCCCACACUAGUCUAUUGCUCUCAUCUUGACCACAAAACACACAAUUUUUGGGAUCUAUCCAGCCACUCUUCAAUAAAUGGUCUCUAGGUAAUACGCUAUUUUUGACCAUCAACCAAAGAAAGACUUUGAUUUUUGGUGGAAUUUUAUUUUUUUCUUAAAACAAUUGUGACAAACCACAAUAUUGAACAACAAGGUGUCUAUAAAGUGUUUUGACUGUAAAAAGACCAUAUGCAGUUAACAUACACUUAAUAGAAUCCUUGUUGUGAGACAUCACAUUCCAUCACAUCUCAUUUUGAGGCUAUCCCAAAGAGCUAGAGUAUCACCUCACAAAGUUCUUCUAAAUCUAAAACCCUCCCAACCUCUCUACAAGGCAUCAGUUGUAGUAAUAUUCUAAUCAGAACUCAAAUUAUACAGUAUAGCAUCAGAGAUUUUAAGGGGUUUAUAAUCCACCAACAGUAUUCCCAAAAAUCCAGCAUUCUUGCCAUUACCACUUUUUUACAAUAUUGGUAGAAUGUGUAUUUAAUUUUCAUGAUACUGGACCAGAAAUGGGAGUCCCCAGUCUUAGGUUUAGUUCCAAAAAGGCAACCAUUCCGAAGAUGCUUGUUCAGGAGAAUCAUGUGCCAAAUACCAUUUUUAUUUUCUACCAUAACUAUUUAGCAGACAAGUUUUGUUCAUGAGUUCAAGAUUUAAAAUCCCUAAACCCCCUUAAUCUUUAGGUCUAAAUCAAGUGUUCCACUUUACUAAGUGUUAUUUUUUUUCUUAUUGUCAUCUGCCUACCAAACAAAUCUAGCCAUGAAAAAAUUGGCUCUUUUCUUCACAUCAACUGGGAUGGGGUAGAAAAACAUCAUACAUAAGUUGAAUAUCCCCCUCUAUUGUUAAAUCUUCUCUCAUAGUGAUAGUUAUCAAAUCUCUCCCCUUUUGUUGAAACUACCUUGCACGCCUGCACCACCAUAAGACCUAGCCAUCCCUUCUUGCUCACCAGAUGGCGGCGUAGCAGUCAAGCCUUACCACACAUCGAUUGCUUGCCCACCAAAUUCUCUUAGGGGGCGGACCAAAGCAUCUAAAUACCCAAAGGUAGCACAAGGCGCAUUCUCCUUAAGUGCUUUCCUAUUCCACUAACCUGGACCUCCUAUACCAAAAACAUCUAGUCCAACCGCCCAGGGCCAACUACAGAAGGUUCUAUGGGUAAAGGCCAAAACCCUAAAACUCACCCCCUCCUUGCUCAAUAUUUAUCAUCACAACAUCAAUGUAAUCUAAGAAAUCCACCCCAAAAACAAGCAUAUCCUUUGUAAAAUUGGCAAGGGUAGCUGGAAAAUUACCAAUUCUCAUAGCCUUUUUGACUAGAUUUCCACCAACAUCGAAAUUCCAUUUAAAAACUAUAUCAUCACAAAUUUUGAUAUUGUGGGUAUCAACAUCAGAAAGAUCCAAGGACAAACCAUCCUCAUAACAGUAUUACGAUCAAAAUCAAUGACAUGAUCAACUUCCAUCGGAAAAUCCACCGAAGACUUUUCGAGCAUGCAACUAAGAUAUCCUAACACUAUUUCUCGCAACUACAAUCCUCCCAACUGUUAGUUUGUACAUGAGGAUGUAAAUAUUUGUAGAGAUCAGCAAUCUUACUUGAAAAUGAAGCAGCAAAACGAUUGUAGGAGUCGUCGACUCCUCCCCGGCAGCAGCCAUAAUUGACUGCCUGCCAGGAAGACGCCUACUCGUCGGCGGCGCGCUGUGCAAGCGCCUGGAUCCGCGCAGAACGCCGGGGGAACCGAGGGGAGCGACGAGGCAGCUGUGAAAUCACCCGCGCCACAUUUUGCCUCGGCACCACCCGCACAUCGUCGUCGGUCAUGACAGGCAUCACCGGACAGUGUGGCGGUGACCUUGUCGCCGUGGUCACCACCCGCACACCAUCCCAGAUCAGAUUGGACGAAACCCAAUCAUACGACGCGUAGCGGUACCACCGCGCGCGCUGCACCGGAUCGUUGGAUUCCGCCUCCAUCAUUGCCCAAUAGAGAAUCUCGAGCGGGGACUUCCCUGAGAUCCAACUUUGUUCCUCCUCUGAGGCCUCUUCAAACACCCGACGUGAUUCCUGAUGCAUCUCCUCCGCAUCCCUGUACUGCCCACAGAUCUCGCGAAGCCUCGCCAUCUUCGUCUCGUCGCUACCGCGAUUGCCGCCGCCAUGAUCUCCCCCCACGCCAAAGGCCCUUCCAUCACCGAGAUCUGAGACGAAGGUUGGAGGGGAAGAAGAAGGGGAUCGUCGACACCCUCGUGCCUCGCGUGUAGAUUUAAUGCUUGCCAAAGUCAUAGGUAUUCAUUGCCCACAUCACGGGUUCCUCGAGAUUAGUGUGGGAUCAACACCGUUGAUUUUUUGGAAAUUAUUAUGUCCUGGAUGUUGCGAAAUCAUCUAUUAGGGGCCAUCCUAUCACGAUCCCGAUGCCAAGUUGUACUCCACUAAAACUAGAAUUGGCAUCCGUCCAUCCACGGAACGAGCACAAGCCAACAAGAUUACACCAAACGUGACGCUGCACCAGUUUCAGUUUCACAGGUACGCUGCCGUGGGAAAGCGAAGAAAUUGUUGGUAAAGUGAGAGAAGGACAGCAUGGUAAACGAUGUCUGGUCCAGGUCCCGUCUGCCGCCCGCCACACCGCAAACGCACCAUCCAGCUCACUUUUGCCUGGAUUGUGUCGAUGCGAUGCAAUGCAAUUCCCUGGAUGCCAAUUGUUUGGUGGAACCACAAUUUCAGUCUUGACAUACGUACAUGACCCAUGACGCAUUGUCCGGCCAAACUUCUAAAUGCAAUACACGUAGGCUAGAAAUUCCCCAUUCGGAAAAACAAGAGGAAGAAGUUGACCUCCGCAUCCUGGUGCCGGAGAACAAAACGGCCGACAGAUGCAGCAUCGUUAAUGUGGAAAAUUGAUCUCUCUCAGAAAAAGAAAAAAAAUGGAAAGCCGAUCCUGGCACGCACAAGUCUCUCUCGGUGACAAACGCGUGCACUGUUGUAUGUAUUUAGGUGACGAUGGAAGCCGCGCUAGGAUAGGAAGUUAAGUGAUCACGCAUCGAUCAUUCGACAUGCACCAAAACUAGAGUUUUCACACCUGACAGUCACGCCCACCUAAAAUGGCACCCUUUGUCAGUGAUUUUUUUGCGAGGCACCCUUUGUCAGUGUUACACCCUUCUCACGCAUUCUUGAUCGUGAAGCUUCUCGUAUGAACAAACAAGUAAAUGGCCAACGGAACGAGGGCACACGAAAAAAAGCCGCCGCCUCCUCCUCCAGAAAAAAAAAAGCUAAGGUUUCUACCUCCCGCCGGCAACGCCGCAAGUCCGCCUCCUCUCCGAUGGCUAUAGGGCCAUGGGGUGCGGUGGAUCUCGGCAAGUGCCGGCGGGAGGGCUCCGUUUUUAGUCGUUUCUUUCAGUUUUGCUAGGGUAUGUGUCCUGCUUAGGAAGACGAGAAGGCGGCGGCUCCCUGAAGAUGGAAUAAAGGUCUCCCCGCCUCGCCCCUGUUCCGGCGGUGCGUCUAGCACCAUUGGUGGACGUGUGGAGGUGUGUCUUCGACGGAUCUAUCUUUGAUGGAUUUGCUCGGAUCUCGUCGUUGUUUGUCUACGUUUGUGUGUCUUCGAGUUGGAUCCUUCUGAUCUACGUUAUUCUUCAUCUGGGGCGGUUGCUGUUCUGGUGUGCUGAUCCUACGGGGCCUUAGCACGACAACUUUCCGACUGUCUAGUACAACAAGUUGUGCCCGACUCCGGCGAUGGAGGGGCGAUGACAGCGGCGCGCCUCCGGCUCGCUUCAGUGCUUAUAGUCGUUGGUAGGUGGUCUACGGAUCUGGAUGUAAUCUUUAUUAUUUCUAAUAUUCAUUGUACUGGCAUGAUUGAUGAUGAAUAGAUCACAAAUUUUCCUGAAAAAUAAGUAAAUGGAUAGAGAAAGUUUGUUGUCUGUCGAGUACCUCGGCAGUCAGCUAGGAGUACUUAAGCAGGAGUGGCCGUUUGAAUCAAUCAGGCGGCGGGAGAUACGUACUCCCAUUCCGGAGAAAAAGUAGGCUAGUGAGCGGACCUAGAAGGACGCACUAAAUCUCACGCGGACGUCGCGGAUGUGCACGUACGGGCUCGAGUGCGCGGCAGCGGCCGCGUGUAUGCGAUGAGGCCGGAUUCUACACGAGUGAAUCAGCAGUCGGAGAGAGUCCAUUCCAGGUUAAGACCAAAUCCUCUUGCCUCGACAAGACUUCCUGCCGAGACAGACGCGUCCGUACUUACGUGAGCCAGCAGCAGUCGGCACACACGUUUUUUUUGGAAACAGAGGCAUGAGAUUUGCGUCAUCUAUUAAAUAAGGAAUCUAUUAAAUAAGGAGAGAAUAGAGUUUAGAGAAUUACAACACACCCACACAUUCGGCAUGACAAUUACUCGCCCAGAAAAAUAUUCCUAAUUUCUUUGCGCCUGCGGCCAUCCAAAGCUUGGCCUCGUCGACGAUGGCGGUGAGCAGGAUGGUCGGUGGUGCACUUUUGUGGCAGAACACCCGUGCAUUUCUUUCAUUUCAAAUGGUCCACGAGACGAGCAUGGUGAGGGAGGCCAUAGCUUGCCGGUUAGGGUUGCGGUUGUCGGUUCUCUUGUCCCACCACUGGUAGACGGAGUCGUCCAUGAGCCACUCGGAUGUAUCCAUGUGCGCAAGACCUAGCUUCUCAAUGAGAGACUUCCAUAGCCGGAUCGUGUAGAGGCACUUGAAGAAAAGGUGGGCUCCCGAUUCUUGCUCCCUAUUGCAAAGCUUGCAAAGGCCACAAUUUGGCCAACCUCGACGCUCCAAGCGACCGGCGGUCCAAAUCCUAUCUUGUAACGCCAACCAAGCAAAAAACUUAACCUUUGGGAGUGCCCAUGCCUUCCAAACCAUGCGAUCCAAGGGGGAGAGAGUCAUGCCUAGGAAUUGAGCCUUGUACGCGCUGGCCGCCGUGUAGAUCCCAUCGUUCGCAUGCUUCCAAACGAUGGCGUCUUCGGUUUGCUCAUGAAGGUGGACGUCAUUAAGGAGCAUCCAAAGAGUGAAGAACUCCCUAAUGUGGGCAAUGGAGACAACCGUGUCCGUGUCAUGAUUGAUCUCGAAGAUCCAAGCGUUCCCCCUGAGGGCCUCACGGACCUUCCAAUUCUUUCUUCUCGAGGCCGCAAACAAGAGUGGCGCGAUAUCCUUGGGUUUGCGACCAAGAAGCCACGGGGAGGCCCAAAAAGGCGUUUUGAAGCCAUCCCUUACAGUGAUAGUCGUAGAGGCAUAGAAAAACUCGAGGUCCUCCUCCGUGCACGGGUUUCCAAGGCCAACCCAUAAUCUGCGGGGCUCAGUCCAUUCAUACCAUAGCAUUCGGAGCCGCAAAGCACGUGCAAACUUGUCGGUGUCGAGCACCCCAAGGCCACCAUAUUCUUUUGGUCUACAAACCACCUUCCAGUUGACCUUGCAUUUGGCUCCCGUUGUCUUGUCCGAGCCGGACCAAAGGAAAGCUAUCUCAAUUUUUUUAAGACUAUGGAGAGAGCUCUGAGGCACGACGAGGGGCGUGAUGGAGAAUACUGCUUGGGAGGUAAUGACCGACCUAACAAGUGUCGUACGACCUAUGGUAGUGAUGUUUUGGCCCUCCCAAGUUACCAAUUUGCCGGCCGCUUUGUCCUCAAGGUAUCGGAAAUCCACCUUCUUGAGUUGCCAAACAGAGAGUAGUAGUCCUAGGUAUUUGACCGGAAAAGAGGCACGUGCUGCCGGCAUGCUCUGAAGAAUUUGCUCAAGGUCAAGGUGAUUGCAACGAAUAGGCACAACCGAGCUUUUUUGGAAGUUGGAACAAAGGCCUGUGACGUCCCCAAAGCCUCUCAGGAUAGAGGCAAGAUUGUCGAUGUCCCGCUUGAUGGGGGCCACAAAGACCGCCGCAUCAUCCGCAUAGAGGGAGGUGCGCACCAUGGCACCCCGACCACAGAUCUUAUGUAAGAGCCCUUUUCCCGUCGCCAAGUCUAGGAUCUUAUGCAAGGGGUCAAUUGCCAGGACAAAGAGGAGUGGAGAGAUGGGGUCCCCCUACCUGAAUCCACGGCCAUGCUUGACAGGAGGGCCGGGUAGCCCGUUUAGCAUUAUCCGAGAUGAAGAAGAGGAUAGAAGCGCAACAAUCCAAGCUCGAAAUUUUGGAGGGAAGCCCAACCGUUGGAGCAGCUCAAGAAUGUAUCCCCACUUGACUGAGUCGAAAGCCUUUUUUAUAUCAAGAUUGAAAAGGAGUGCGGGGGUCUUGCAUUUGUGUAGACGCCGGGCGAAAUUCCAAACAUACAUGAAGUUGUCGUGGAUACUUCUCCUUUUAAUGAAAGCACUCUGGGCAUUGGAAACGAGGUCAUCCAUGUGGGGCGCAAGGCGUAGCGAAAGAACCAUGGCAAUGAUUUUAGCGAUGGCAUGUAUGAGGCUAAUGGGCCCAUAAUCAGAGAUGCCUUCCGCGCCAUCCUUCUUAGGCAGCAGAACAACAUUGGCAGAGUUUAGCCACUGCAGGUUGGAGGUGUGUAAGCAAUCGAAGCAUUGAAUGACCCCCAUGAUCGUAUGUUUGAUGAUUCCCCAACACUUCUUGAAGAAGAUCCCCGUGAAACCAUCCGGUCCCGGCGCCUUGUUACUAGGCAUCUCUUUUAUAGCCUCCCAAACCUCCUCCUCGGUGAUGGCGGCGUCGAGGUCUUGCAAGGCAUGGGCCUCAAUGCCCAGUUACUCCCAAUUGAAAUCCUUAUUGCUCGUACUUCCCCGGCCCAUGACCUCGGAGAAGUGAUCAUGGAUGAUCUUCUCUUUUUCCUUGUGGUCGGUCACCCAACCAUGAGCAUGCUUUAGCCGGUGAAUAUGGUUUUUUCAACUACGGGCAUUGAUGCGACGGUGGAAGAAUUUGGUGUUGGCAUCACCCUCCCUUAGAUUUGCCAAUCUAGCACAUUGGCUCUUCCUAGCCCGCUCAAGAACCGCCAAACUAACCACUCUUCGCUUAAGUCUAGCACUGAAGGAAAUAUGCCCUAGAGGCAAUAAUAAAGUAUUAUUUAUUUCCUUGUAUCAUGAUAAAUGUUUAUUAUUCAUGCUAGAAUUGUAUUAACCAGAAACAUAAUACAUGUGUGAAUAUAUAGACAAACAGAGUGUCACUAGUAUGCCUCUACUUGACUAGCUCGUUAAUCAAAGAUGGUUAUGUUUCCUAGCCAUAGACAUAAGUUGUCAUUUGAUUAACGAGAUCACCUCAUUAGGAGAAUGACGUGAUUGACUUGACCCAUUCCGUUAGCUUAGCACUCGAUCGUUUAGUAUGUUGCUAUUGCUUUCUUCAUGACUUAUACAUGUUCCUAUGACUAUGAGAUUAUGCAACUCCCGUUUACCGGAGGAACACUUUGUGUGCUACCAAACGUCACAACGUAAAUGGGUGAUUAUAAAGGUGCUCUACAGGUGUCUCCAAAGGUACUUGUUGGGUUGGCGUAUUUCGAGAUUAGGAUUUGUCACUUCAAUUGUCGGAGAGGUAUCUCUGGGCCCACUCGGUAAUGCACAUCACUAUAAGCCUUGCAAGCAUUGUGACUAAUGAGUUAGUUGCGGGAUGAUGCAUUACGGAACGAGUAAAGAGACUUGCCGGUAACGAGAUUGAACUAGGUAUCGAGAUACCGACGAUCAAAUCUCGGGCAAGUAACAUACCGGUGACAAAGGGAACAACGUAUGUUGUUAUGCGGUCUGACCGAUAAAGAUCUUCGUAGAAUAUGUGGGAGCCAAUAUGGGCAUCCAGGUCCCGCUAUUGGUUAUUGACCGGAGACGUGUCUCGGUCAUGUCUACAUAGUUCUCGAACCCGUAGGAUCCGCACGCUUAACGUACGAUGACAGUUUUAUUGAGUUUUGAUGUACCGAAGGAGUUCGGAGUCCCGGAUGAGAUCGGGGAUAUGACGAGGAGUCUCUAAAUGGUCGAGACGUAAAAAUCGAUAUAUUGGACGACUAUAUUCGGACUUCGGAAAGGUUCCGAGUGAUUCGGGUAUUUUUCGGAGUACCGGAGAGUUACGGGAAUUCGUAUUGGGCCUUAAUGGGCCAUACGGGAAAGGAGAGAAAGGCCUCAAAAGGUGGCCGCACCCCUCCCCAUGGUCUGGUCCGAAUUGGACUAGGGAAGGGGGGCGCACCCUUCCUUCUUUUUCCUUCCCCCUUCCCUUCUCCUACUCCCACAAGGAAAGGAGGAGUCCUACUCCCGGUGGGAGUAGGACUCCCCCCUAUGGCGCGCCUCUCCCCUUGGCCUGCUGCCUCCCCCUUGCUCCUUUAUAUACGGGGGCAGGGGGCACCCAGAGACACAACAAUUGAUCCUUGAGAUCUCUUAGCCGUGUGCGGUGCCCCCCUCCACCAUAUUACACCUCGAUAAUACCGUUGCGGAGCUUAGGCGAAGCCCUGCGUCGGUGGAACAUCAUCAUCGUCACCACGCCGUCGUGCUGACGAAACUCUCCCUCAACACUUGGCUGGAUCGGAGUUCGAGGGACAUCAUCGAGCUGAACGUGUGUAGAACUCAGAGGUGCCGUACGUUCGGUACUUGAUCGGUCGGAUCGUGAAGACAUACGACUACAUCAACCGCGUUGUGAUAACGCUUCCGCUGUCGGUCUACGAGGGUACGUGGACAACACUCUCCCCUCUCGUUGCUAUGCAUCACCAUGAUCUUGCGUGUGCGUAGGAAUUUUUUUGAAAUUACUGCGUUCCCCAACAAGCACGCAGGUCCCUCUCCUCAGGUGAGAGGGCUCGUUCCUCUUGCGCCAACUCCAACUGAAGGAUCACCGAGAGGGCCGCAUGGAGUUGGAUCUUGGCCUUGGAGAAAAACUUCUUGCUCCAUUCAGUGAGCCGGGUCGCGGUUUUCUUGAGCCUAUGAUGAAGAAUUUGGAAAGGCUCUGUGUGGUUUACAUGCUCAUUCCACGCCUUUAGGACGACGUCAUAGAAUCCAGGCAAAGAUACCCAAUUUUUUUCAAAUUUGAAGGACCGUGGACGUUUAGGUCCCUUGUCAUCGGCAAGCAGGAGGGGGCAAUGGUCGGAGAGGGAAGAUGAAAGGGCAUGUAACACAUGUGUGUUGAAAGUAGUGUCCCACUCGGCGUUGCAAAAGAAAGAGUCAAGCUUGCAAAGGGUGGGGUUUUCCCGCUCAUUGCUCCAAGUGAAGCGUCUAUGUUGGAGAUGAAUUUCUUUGAGCUCACAAGAUUGAAGGGUUGCGCGGAAACGGUUUAUCCUACUCCAGUUUACAUUUCUCUUGUUCUUGUCUCGUGCUCGGUAGAUUUGAUUAAAAUCCCCAAGGGCCAACCAAGCAACACCUGACAAAGGCUUGUGGGCGACAAUCUCGGUAAAGAAAGAAUCUUUACUAGCGUGGUUAGUGGGACUGUAGGCAGAUGUUAUCUUGAAGUAUACAUAUGUCGCUCGAAUGCGAACCUUGCCGGAGAGGCAAAAGGCCGACGAAGAAAUGUCGGAGACCUCGACGACGUUGUCAUCCCAUAGUAAUAAGAUCCCACCACUAGUUCCCGUCGCCGGUCGCUGCGCAAAACUUUUCAGCCGGUUGCCACCAAGGAAGGCAGCCACAUAUUUGUCCACGCUAACUAGCUUCGUCUCUUGUAAACACACAAUUUGGCACGAGGAGUCUGCAAUCGUAGCGCUGACGGUUGCCCUCCGGGCUGGGCAGUUUAGACCACGUAUGUUCCAACUCAGGGUGUUUAUAGGUUGUGGAGUCAUGGGGCACACGAACAUUCACUUUGAACAGUCCAGGAGGGAGGACAGCAACGAACGGACAGCAGAAUAACAACAGUAUUGAACUGAGCUACAAACCCCAUUGGAGCACAUGAGUACUGGACGUAGCUUAACAUAUGGACGUAGCCUAACACAUAUGGCCGAGCCAAGUGGCACUAGACUUACACAUAGAUGGAACUAAGGCAGCCAACAGGCUGACACACAUUACAGUGCAGAGGAGAGCUAACAUAAUCAACUAAAACAGCCCUGAACGACGAACUGGACGAGCAAGUCGCCGCCUACUGUGCUCACAGGCUCGGCUGAGCCGCACUAGCAUCCUGGGACAUCUCCAAAGCUCCCUCACCACCGUGAUCAAUCAGUGCAUCCUCGACAUCGUUGACAGCCUUGUCGUCAAGGUGAAAAAAAAUCCCUCAUGGCCAUAAUCAGCUCAGGAGCAAGUUGCUCUUUGAACUUGGCAGUGAAAUCAGCAAGUGUAGCCUCUGCUACGUCUUCUCCAUCUCUGACUAUCCCAAAGGACCGGCAAACUAGCUUCUUCGCCGCCUUGGCUGUUGGGAGCACCAUAUGGGUGCGUUUGAUUUUCUGCAGGGAGAGCCCCCCCUUGUUGGAGAUCUUGACGCCGGCAAGGGUCUUCCGGCGAGCCGUGGGAGGCCUGGGAGGGGGGGACUCGGGCGGAGCAAGGAUGCCCAUCUGGCGCUCCUCAAAAAUAGGCGCCAGAACAUCUUCAAGGCAAGGUAAAGCACGGCUUCGCACGGGGGAGGGCGUGCGCUGCAGAGGGCCGUCGCAGAUCAGGGGCGGUGUAGGCGAUGUCUGGAAACCCGGCGGCCUGGAGGGCGACCGCAGGGGCAGCAUGAGAGACGCGGGCGCACAAAGCUCCAGCAAGGCUUGACUGGGCGCGGGGCUCGCCAGGGGGGAAGUCGAGGCCACAGCGCGCUUGGAGAUCAGGCUUGGCGGCAGCACGGUUGUCGAAGACAGCGGAGGGGACACCGGGGGGGUCCGCUCCUUGAGAGCGGCGCCUGGAGGAGCGUGGAGAGGUCUGACGCGUCGGGCUGCGCCCCCGAGCGUCAACGCCGGCAGGGUCGGGGACGACCGACAGCUCAAGGGCGCGAACAGGCUCAGCACUGCCUGAGCCAGAGCCCCUAAGCACCAAGCCAGGACACACAGGGGGGGGGCGGCCGCAACAGCCUGGCCGCACACACGUUUGGAGCUACGAUACGAUGAACAACCCGUGCCUGGUCGAUCAGCCUGAUAUGCACAGACACAGUAACAAAAGUACCUCCAUGUCCUGCGGUAGAUGUCUCGAUCACGCAACGAGCAAAGAUUAGAGCUUGUCGAUCAUCACUCGACGUGGGCAGGGUAGUACGAUGUCCACACUCCACUCCACGGUGGCAUGAAGAAAUCUCUGCUAAUUCCAGUUUGCCUUGCCGGUGUGACCAACCGUUGCUCCCGAUCGACCGGUCUAAUAACGCUGAGUGCUACUACUAUGUUCGCACUCCACAGUCCAGUCGCAUUUUGAAGUUUCUCCUUUUAGCGUGUUGGUGUGACCGUCCGUUGCACACCAUCGACGCAUGCGUCUCAUAUUCAGUACGCAUACACAAGGCGUAACUAAUUGUGCGCGCACGGGCGGGCGUAUCCUUACUCGCAAAGUUUCCUUCCCUUGGUUACGCGCGCGUAUGCAGGACGACGGAAGCUUCUGGAUCGGCAGGAAACGAGCCAAACCGAAGACCAAGACAAAACUGACCGCGUUCAAUUGUGAGGUGCGACACGCGGUUGAGUACACGACGUGCACAUUCCAAGAGAGGAAUGAAUGAUGUUGGCACGAGACCGCACAUACGCACCGGGCCAUGCUGUUCGUGGUCGGCAUGGGCACGUCCAGGUCAAACCCAACUCCGGCCAUCUGCACACAGACAGAGCUACGAACGCGACCCUUGAUUGCUUCCUGCCGCGUCAGCACCCACUAGUACUCAUCGUCGACCUACCGACCGACCGUAGCAGCACCACAGCACGCGCUCGUAGCCCUGUCUGGCGGUUCAUUCGUCGUGUUUAGAGACAGAAGUAAAGAACAAGGACAAGAAUGAAUCGCUGUUCUCUUCAUUGAUUGAAAACUGCUCUUUAUACAAAGGGAAGAGACGCUUGUAGAAAGACGUCUGUUCGGAGGAGAUGCCUGUCCGGCAGUGAACCGACGCGGAGGAUAAGCAGGGAUUAUCCCUUCAUUAACACUCGUUAAUUAAUCCUAACACGUCCGUGCUGUGCUCUGUCCAGGGUCUGCACCCACCACACGCACGUGCUCGUCACAGAGUACAGUAUCACAGGAUCCCCAUCGCGGUUUCCAUUCCCAGUAUUCCAUUCUACCGUCUCGUCGAAUAUUUCCGAGCUAUACGGGCUCAAGAAAUAGCAGCACGUACAGGUACAGGGGCAUCCGCACCACACACAGUAGUAUGCCAUGUUCUUCCACAUCUUUUACCAUUAUAAAAGAAAUCAUUUGAUUCGAUCGAUCACGAGCCCCUCAUGCUGAAUAGCAAAGCGACUAAACAGGCAACGAAUCAACAAACUCCAACUUAUUACACAUCAAAGUCGCACAACAGUUUAACCGCAGAACGGUGAUAAAACUCAGUCUGAUAGAUGGAUCAUCAAAGAAGAAUCAACGCAUCCAGAAGCAAGGCCGGCAUAGGAGCUGUGCACCAUGCUAGGGACGUAGCCAGUCGAGGAAGUUCAGCCGGUGAUCCUCGCAACCCCCGGACGAGGACGCCACUCCUGCGAUGCACUGUAUGCUUCACCCGCCACCUGCUCCAUGACUUUUGCUCCCAGUGUCAACACCCUUUGAUUUCCCUCCUUUAUCUGCAAAAUUGCCCAAUUUGUUAUCCACCGAAAUAUCAACCCGAUAAGAGUAAUAGGGUCAUUUAUCAGCUUUCUUUCAAAAAUAAUAUCAUUUCUGCUUCUCCAAAUUGUCCCAAAGAUAGCAGUAACACCAACUAACAUCUGUUUUUCAGUUUCAUGCUGUAAACUUUUAAUCUAGCUACUAAAGUACAAACUCAGAUUAUAAGGAAUAUAUCUCAAAUGAAAAGCACAUUUAAACAAACCCCACUCUAGUUUAGCCACCAAACUCCUGAAGAAUAACUACUCAGAGCUCUCAUCAUUUUUUGGGGACCGAUCUAGCCUCUUUUCAGCAAAUUGUCUCUAGUUAAUUUGCUAUUUUGACCAUCGACCAAAGAAAGACUUUCAUUUUUGGCGGAAUUAUGUUUCCACAAAAAGGUCAAAACCCAUAAUAUUGAAUAGCUUAUAGUUUUGAUAAUAAAAAGACUGUCUACAGUUAACAUACACUUAAUAGAAUCCUUGUUGUUAGGCACAACAAUUUCCUCACAUCCUUUUUUGAUGCUAUCCACAAGAGCUAGAGUAUUACCCCACGUAGUUCUCAUAAAUCUAAAAUCCUCUCGGCCUUUCUGCAAGGUAUCAACUACAAUAAUAUUGUGGUCAAAACUAAAAUUGUGCAGUCUAGCACAAGAGAUUUUAAGAGGUUUAUCAUCCACCUACUUGUCUUCCCAAAAUCAAGUAUUUUUGCCAUUACCACUUUUUUUGGCAAGGCUGGUAGAACAUGUCUUUUAUUUUCAUGAGACUCAACUAAAAAUGGGAGUCCCCUGUCUUAGGUUUAGUUGCAGAAAAGCAACCAUUCCGAACAUGUUUGUUCGGGAGAAUUGUUUGCUAGAGACCAUUUAAAGUCUCUAACUUCCAUAACCAUUUAGCCAGGAUAGCAUUGUUCAUGAGGUCAAGAUAUCUGAUCCCUAGCCCCCCUUGGUCUUUAGGUCUAAAGCCACUGGCCCAGUUUACUAUGAGAUAUUUUUUUUCUUGUUGUCGUCUCAUGCUAAACAAACCUAGCCAUGAAGAAAUUGGCUCUUUUCUUCACACUAAUCGGGAUGGGGUAGAAAGACAUUAUAUAAGUUGAAUCCUCCCCUUAUGUUGUUAAAGAACCAAGGACAAAUCAUCCCAGCAACAAUAUUAUAAUCAAAAUCAGUGGCAUGAUUGACUUUCGUUGAAAAAUCCAGCGAAACUAUUUGAAGCAUGGAACUCACAUCUUUGAACCCUAUUUCUCGCAGCUACAAAUCCCCACAUCAUUACUUUGUACAGGAGAAUGUAAAAAUUUGUAGAGACCAACAAUCUUACUGGAAAAUGAAGUAGCAAAACGGUCGCACGAGUCCUCAUUGUCGGACUCCUCCCUGGCCAACAGCCAGAAUCGACUGCCAGCCAGGAAGACGCCUACUCAUCGGCGGCGGCGCUCUAUGUAAGUGCCUGGAUCCGUGCAGAACGCCGGGGAAACCGAGGGAAGCGACGAGGCAGCUGUGAAACCACCUGGGCAACAUUUUUCCUUGGCAACACCUGCACGUCGUUGUCAGUCAUGACGGGCAUCGCCGGACUGCGUGGCGGUGACCUCCCCGUCAUGGUCACCACCCGAACAUUAUCCCAGAUUGAAUGGGACGAAACCCAAUCGUACGGCAAGUAGCGGUACCACCGCUCGCGCCGCAUCGGAUCGCCGGACUCCGCCUCCAUCACCGCCCAAUAGAGGAUCUUGAGUGGGGUCUUCCCUGAGAUCCGACUCUGCUCCUCCUCCUAGGCCGGUUCAACCACCCGACGUGAUACUUGACACAUCUCCUCUGCAUCCAUGUAUCGCCAGUAGAUCUCGCGGAGCCUCGCCAUCUUCGCCUCAUCGCCGCCCGCGAUCGCCGCCGCAAUGGGACCCCCCCGCACCCAAGGCCCUUCCAACCCCAUCGCCGCCAUGUUCUCUUCCCACGCCCAAGGCCCUUCCAGCUCUCAGAUCUGACAUGGAAGUCAGAGGGGGAGAAGGAGGGAUUGCCAAGACCCUUGUGCUUUCGCGCGUGGAUUUAAUGUCUGCCAAACUCGUAGGUAUUCAUUGCCCGCCAUUGAUUUUUUUGGAAAGUAAUAUGUCAUAUAUCUCGAGAAAUCAUUUAUUAGGUGCCAUCCUAUCAAGAUCCCACUGCCCAAGUUGUACUUCACUAAAACCAAAAUUGGCAUCUGUCCAUCCGCGGAACGAGCACAAACCAACAAGAUUACACCAAACGUGUUGCACCAGUUUCAGUAUCCAGAGACGCUACCGUGGGAAAGCGAAGAAACUGUUGGUAAAAUGAGGCACAAACAGUGUGGUAAACAGUGUCCGGUCGAGUCUGACACACGCCGCACCACAAACGCACCAUCCAGCACCCGACAUGCGCCUCAACCGCCGAACGGGUCAGACGAACAGUCAUCUUACAAGCCGACCCCACUCGCAGCGACACCCGACACCCCCUUAUUAACCGCACACACAGCCAGACCAAUCCAAUCAUCGUCAACCUCGCCGCGUACCUCCCUCCGCUACGCGUCAUAAAAUGUUAAAACCCCAUCCCUCCUAGACAUUUCCCCGGUCCAUCCACCGGUGCCGCGACGCUGAGCCCCGACCAAGCAUGGAGUUGUUUGCGCACGCCGAGGGAAUUCUCCUUCCAGCUUGUGCCAAUAUGACAGCGACUAACCUCUUUUCGUCGAGCUUUUCACUGCCCAAGUUUUCUAUUUAUAACCUGAAUGGUGAGUAGGCUUUCCGCCACCAUGACUAUAACCAUGCUUAUAUGAACCGCAAUUUUAUUUUUUUAGAAAAAGGAGGAUUACCCCAGCCUCUGCAUCAGAGUGAUACAUGCAGCCCCGACUAUAUGAACCGCAAUGGCGAAUGUAGACAAGUAUGGAUGGAUCAAUGGAUGGAUGCUCAGGUGUUUAAUAUUUCUUCUGAGCAAUUUACUGUGUUGUGUGAUAUCGUGUUUCAGCCAUGGCAUGUUUUUUUCCUGAACAUGCUUUUCGCGUUGAGGUGUUGCCAUCAUUCAUGUCGCUUGUGGGUUUGGACUUGGAUGCUCCUGUAAAACGGUGGCGGUUUGCCUAGCCACGUUAUGCUUUCCUUCCCUUUUGUGUGAAAAGUUUCAUGUAUUUCCUUACGUAUAGAAAGAUUCCCUCAUUCGUGUAUAUACUUUUCUGCUUGGUCUGCGCGCACACUUGAGCAAGUUCCAGCUAUGGAAAGGAUAGCAAUGAUUGAUGAGGAGAUGAGGUAGUUGUACUUGUACAUGGAUAUAGUUUGCCAACACUGUUUUAAUCUGAAUUUGGCCCUCUUCAUGGGGUUGGUGGCAUUCGACGCGGAUGUUUUGUCCAUGAUUGGACUGGACAUGUUGUGUGCUACUAACCGUCCUUAGCAUUGAGCCCCAUAUAUACUCCUGAUGAUAAUGAAAGACAAGUUGCCAAUAGUUAGCUAGUACUUAUGAUUUAAGUGUGUUGUGACGUUAAUUAUAGAGGCAGGACUUUUUCCUGGAAUGUGCGAUGCAGUGCAAUUCCUUGGAUUCCAAUUGUUUGGUGGAACCACGAUUUCAGUCUUGACGUGUCCCUCCUCCCGUCCCUCCCGUCCCUCCCCCGUGCGGCGGCGCCGCCCCGCACCGGGGAGCCUCCGCCCUCCUCCUAUAGCCUCGCCCCUCCUCCGCUCCCCUCCGCCGCCGUCGCUAGGGGCGUCACAGGGCAAAGCCCUUGUGGUGUGGCGGCAGCGGCGGUUUCUUCUCGGAUCUCGAUCUGGUUGGGAGGCGGCGCUCCUCUCUGGCCAGAUCGGCGGCGGUGGCGCAGAUUGGCGGCGACAUGGAAGUGGUGCGGCAGCGGCGGGGGAGGACGGCACCAGCAACGACGGAUCUGGCCUUGACUCAUGUCGGGCUAAUUCGUUGUGCUACCGAUCUCAAUCGCCGUCGGCGGGGCACUGUUCCUGGACUUGAUCUGCAACACGAGGAUGUCUGGGCGCCGGCCCUAGGCUUGGUGGUGGUGGCCUUCUUCUUCGUCGGAGUUGGUCGGCCGGCUGGCUGUGCUCGCAUGGUCAUGCAGUGACCGGCGGCUUGGCCGGUCGGCGGCGGCGGAACUUGGCCGGUGGCAGCGGCAAAGUUCUGUCUGGAUCCCGGGGCGGCGGCCCUAGAGGGUGGAGGCCGGUGAAGCUCGGGCUUCCCGCGGCGGCAUGGCGUGGUGCAGUCCCUGUCCAAGGCGGAUCUGCGACGGCGAUCUGCUAUGGAUUGGUUCGGAUCAGAGACGGCGACGAGCGCGCGGGAUCUUUCUCGGCGGCUUUCGCGGCUUGGCGAGGCGGGGUGGGAGCCCUCCUCCUAGGCUCCAGUGGUGGCACACUCAGGCAGUGGCCGGUGCGCCAGGGGUCCCACGGUGGCACUAUUGCUGCGGUUGGUCGCCAGAUCUAGGCGGCUGGAUCUGGGGCUUUGAAAGCGGUCGAGACGGUGCACAUGUUAUUGGGUGGAUUUCGUGGGACGGAUCCUGGUGAAAACCUGAUCUUCGGUCGAUGACCGGAGACGGUGAUGACGAUGCCCUUAUCAUCGUUUCCUUCAUGAAGGCAUCAUUGAGGUGAAGCUCCCAACUCCACUCAAUACCUCCGGGGGAAACCCUAGAUCAGCUAAUCGGAUGUUGGCGGCAAUCAUGUGUUGUAACCCCCUUGGGGGCGGCAUUCUUGGAGGUGCACUCGGCUUCGUGGGACUAGCGGACGGCUUCUUUGGUGGAGCGGUGCUUCAUCCAUACAUUGAUGGCGACGGAUCUGGACGCCGUGGUGCAGUGCAGAUGCGGAGUUCGAUGUGGGAGGAUGGACUCGCGCAGGAGGAUGACGCUGUCUGGCGUCGUGGUGGCGUCGAUGGCAGAGAGACCUGGCACGGUAGAUACAACAGUACAGCUCUGAAGAUGGACUCGUGGCAGGUGGCUGCGGCGGCCCCAUACCCGGCAGGCGUCCUGGUUGAGGAGUGCGCCGGACUGGUAGGUGCCCCAUAUCAGGCAGGCGUCCUGGUUGGGACCUCAGGUCUUAGAUGUUUAGGUUUGGCUGCGAUGUCUGUUUGGUAUUAGACCCAGACUAUCAGCGUCCCUUCAUCAACUGGAUAGGUGUAGCGACAGUUGUUGCUUAGACGGUGGCUUCAGUCUUACUGUUGUAUGACUUUGUAAGAUCUUAUGAGAAUAAUUAAUAAAGUGACCGCAUGCAUCGUCCAGAUGCAGAAGCCGGGGAUCGUCCUCCUUCUCUAAAAAAAGAGGUAUUGACAGGUCUUGACGUACGUAUAUGGCUAGUGACGCAUUGCCCGGCCAAACUCUCAAUGUAAUACACGUAGGCUAGAAACUCCCCAUUCCGAAAAGGAAGAGGAAGAAGUUUGAUUUCAGGGCCCACAGAUGCAACAUCGUUCAUGUGGAAAAUUGAUCUUUCUCAACAACAACACAAACAAAAAAUGGAAAGGUUAUCCUGGCACGCACGGGUCUCUCUCGGUGACAAGCGCGUGCACCUGCUCUAUUUAGGCGACGGUGAAAGCCGCCCCAGCAAAGCAAAGGAAGUUAAGUGAUCGUGCAUCCAUCAUUCGACAUGCACCAUAACUGGCGUUUUCACACCUAAAAUAGCAUCCUUUGUCAGUGUUGCAUUCCUCUCAUGCAUUCUUAACCGUGAAACUUAUUGUAGGAACAAAUAAUUAAACAAACAAGUAAAUGGAUAGUGAAAGUUUGUUGUCUUUCAAGUACCUCGGCAGUCAGCUAACAGCAGGAGUGACCACUUGUAUCAAUCAGGUGGCGGAAGAUACGUACUCCCCUCCCGGAGAAAGACCGGGAUAGCUAGGCUAGCGAGCCGACCUAGAACGACGCACUGAAUCUCACGCGAACGCCAAGCUUUCUAGAAAUGGGCAAUGAAAAAAUCUGACACGGAUCCUGCAUGCAUGCGACGAAGCCGGCCGGAUUCGGCACGAGUGAGUGGACCGAUCGAUCGGAGAGUGUCCAGGUCAGACCGAACCUCUCGACAAGACGCGGGGGCGAAGCCGAAUGCCCUUGACAGACGCGUCCGUACGUGAGCCAGCAGCGGCAGUCGGCACAUACUACGUUUGGAGCUACGAUACGAUGAACAACCCGCGCCUGGUCGAUCAGCCUGGUCUGCACUGCACAGACAGUGACCGUGUGCUUGCACCACCAUGUCCUGUGGUAGGUGUCUCGAUCAUGCAACGAGCAACGGUUAGCGCUUGUCGAUCAUCACUCGACCUGAGCAGGAGUAGGAUGUUCACACUCCAAUCCACGGUCGCCUGAAGAAAUCUAUGCUAAUUCCAGUUUGCCUUGCCUUGUCGGUGUGACCAACCGUUGCUCUCCAUCAACCGCUCUACGCUGAGUACUAGUACUACGUUCACACUCCACAGUCCAGUCGAAUUUCGUAGUUUCUCCUUUUAGCGUGUUGGUACGUGUGACCGACCGUUGCACACCAUGGACGGACGCGUCUCAUAUGUACUCCCUUCGUUCGGAAUUACUCGUCCAAGAAAUAAAUGUAUCUAGAUGUAUUGUAGUUGUAUAUACAUUCAUUUUUAUGACAAGUAAUUCCGAACGAAGGAAGUACGUGUAUACAAGGCGUAAUUAAUUAUAAGAAAACGUUUGGGGCCGGGGCACCGGCGAAACGAUUCGGCCGGUCUCCCUCUUCCUCGCGCAGCGCACGUACAGAAGGGCACCAGAGCCGGCAGGCACCACGCGCGGGCCAGGCGACCAGCGGGCUCCUUCGAUCGCUGUCGCCAGAGAAGAGCGCCUUGUCGUCCGCGUGCGGCCGCCCCUCACCGGAUGUCGUUCGCGUGCGGCCGCCCCUCGCCGAAUCUCGUUCGCAUGCGGCCGCCCCUCGCCGGAUCUCGUCCGCCUGCGGCCGCCCCUCGCCGGACUACUACCCCUCUGCCUCUUCCUAGAAUCCGCCCCUCUCCCUGGAAUCCGCCCCGGCCGCCCCUCGCCAGACCUUGCAGCGCUCGAGCCUCCCCAGCCAUGGCAAACUACACCCCACGGUGAUUUUUUGUUAGAACCGGUUGUAGCAAAUUCAAUCGCCGGUGGUAGCAAAAAUCUACUACUGUUGCAGCAAAACGGCGUCAUCGUCAUCGCGAGCAAACACUAGACAUCGCGCUUUUUUGUUACAUGCUACAGCCUGUAUCACAUUUUGCUACAACCGGCACACCACUCAGCUACAACCGGCGCCGAGUUUUGCUACAUCGGAUAUACAGAAAGUUGCAAGCGUUCAGUGCCAUCGAGGAAAGCUACAACUGUCUACAGAAAAUGCUACAACCUUCGAUGAAAAAAGCUUCAACCAAACGAGAGAUGAAUUUUUCACCCGGACGCUGCUCAAAACGAAAAAAGUUUCAAUCGUUUACAGAAAAGCUUCCACCGUAGAGGAGAAAAGCUACAAUCGUGUCAAUUUUUUGCUACUACCGUCUGUGUGUUUUGCUACAUCCAUUCAUGCGGCCAUGGUACUUUUUUGUGACUGAGGUGUGACCGGCGACGACGAGGACGAACAUUUUUUGUUGCAACAACCUCGUUUUUUGCUACCAUUGGCGAUGUGUUUUGCUACAUCUGAUUAACAUGUUUGCUACAAUGGCGACGCUGAUGGAUUUUUUUUGUUGCAACCGUUGUCUUCAUUUGCUACGACUGACACGGGAAAAUGCUACCACGGGGCAUCUCUGUUUUUUGCUGGAACCAAUCAUCGGUGAGGCGGAGCUGCAUCCAUGGCACUCCGACGAGCAGCGGGGGCAGCGAGCGGUCGGGGCCAACCGAGUCCCGGAGCGCGGGGCGGCCCCGACGGGUGGCCGGGGCGGCGAGCGGACUUGGACGAGUUGAGUCGCGGAGCUGCAUCCAUGGCGCUCCGAUGGGCGGUCGAGGCGGUGAGCGGUCAGCUCCAACCGGCGGCCGGGGCGGCGAGCGGGCGGGGCGAGCUGAGUGCCGGAGUGUGGGGCGGCCGGCGAAGACGGACGGCGAGACGGGGUUCCUUUCCCGUCCGCGCUCGCGAGAGGAAGACGACGCCCUGGUUGGAUAAGGAUCCAACGGAUCGGAAUGGGCCGAUCUGACGGCUAGGGCUGGACCGGCCGAAGCGUCCGGCCGGUCCGCCGGCGCCUAGCAUCGCCCUUAAUUAUAUGCGCACGGGCGGGCGUAUCCUUCCUCGCAAAGUUUUCUUCCCUUGGUUACGCGCGCGUAUGCGUACACAGGAGACGGAAUAGCUUCUGGAUCGGGCAGGAAACGAGCCAAACCGGAGACCAAUACGAAACUGACGUUCCAUUGUAGGGUGCGAGUGUGCGACACACGGUAGAGUGCACAACGUGCGCUCACUGCGCGGCAGCCGAAUUCCAAGAGACGAAUGAAUGAUGUUGGUACGUAUGAGCCAUGUUUGUUCGUGCUCGGCAUGCGUCCACGUCCAGGUCAACCCCAACUCGAUCUGUACACUGACAGAGCUACGAACGAGACCCCUGAUUGUUGCAGUAGUACUCAUCGUUACAAUCGAAGGGCAAAAGAUCCUCAGUAUAAAGGGAUCUUGGUUGAGCCACACCCACACCCCCUGACAGAUUGCCUACUACUAUAAUUUGCCAAAUGAUCAGCCACACUAUUUGGUUCACGAAUAUUCUGAGGAAUAAACUCCCUCUCGGAACACAAAGCCUUUAUCUCCAAGCCAAGAUACGAGUCAAUUGCACAAAACUACCACAUUUGCGGCUAGGUUUGCAGAAAACCACCAAGUCGCUAAUCCGUUGCAAAAAUCACUGCUUUUUCACUAAACCUCUUGCAAAAACACUGAUCAUCCACUUUGGCUCAUCUAAGCGAGUUUAUGACAGAUGGGACCAGAUCGUCAGUGCUGGCUUGGCAAAAGAAAAGAUUCUUCCCCAAUCUCUUUACAUAGAGACCCCUCUAUGAAAAAAGAAAAACGCAAUCAAAUCCCGCCGUCUCUCCCUCUCUCUGGAUGGAAUGCACGGGGAGCCGGAGGCGGCCGCCGGGAGCUCGUCCUUGAAGCCACGACGGCGCCCUUUGCCUGUCGUCCGUCGGGAUGUUGUGGCCGCUCGGCGCCGUGGAUGGGGCCUAACCUCCAUGCGCUUCGGCUCCUGGCGCCGGCGGCUCCGCCCGUCUCCGGUGCCUCUUCCAGGCCCGCAGGAGAGCCCCGCCGCCCUCUGCGCACGCGCCAUCUAGCCUCGCGCCACUCCACUCGGGCUUCCCCGCAGCUAGCUGCCGCCAGUUCGCCGGUGCACCGGGCACCACCGCCGCCCCCUCUCCCUCUCCAACUUCGUUGUCUCUCUCCCUUCUCCAACACCGCUGCCUGCCACCGCGCCAGGGCCAGGCCGGCCGGCGACGGGACCUUCCCGUCCGUGCCCGUGCUGGGCGAGACGCCGCCCACCCUAGGGGACACCCUCCCUGCGAGUAGAGCCGACUAGUGGACGGUGCCAGAGGAAGAGCUCCACAAAUCAACGGCGGCCGGAGCUGGGCCACCAUGGCGUCAUCCUCGCCAGAGGAGGAGCCGUGGCUGCAGGCUGCAGCACCUCCCCUCGACGGAUCCCGUCGCAACUGAGCUCAACAGCGACAGAUCUGAGCGGAUGGAUGAGGCCAACAUCAGGAGGAGCAGACUGCGUUUGUUUUCAGAUUCCAGGGGUGUGUGUGUCAAUUUUUUGCCAAGUCAGCUCUGACGAUCUGGUCCCAUCUGUCAUAAACACGCUUAGACGAGCCAAAGUGGAUGAUCAGUGCUUUUUGCAAAAGGUUUAGUGAAAAAGCAGUGAUUUUUGCAACAGAUUAGCGACUUGGUGGUUUUCUGCAAACCUAGCCGCAAAUGUGGUGGUUUUGUGCAAUUGACUCCCAAGAUACCUAUAAGCAGAGCGAGAGAGAGCUUCAGUGGAGAACACUGCUAACGCCUCCGAGGAAUUGAGCUGUACAAUGACUGGAAAGUCCGUAUGUUGAAUAGCCUUACAUGAUCUCAUGUAACUUGACCUCCAGCGCCUCGUUGCAAUUAAAGAUAUAGCGAUAGGCUAAAGAUAGGACCGAACCAUCUUCUCUUCUCAGUAUCAUGCCUGCCGCAGCUGUGCCAUCUGCUGUAAAGAAGGAACCAUCAACCGACAGCGCGAUGUAGCCAGCGGGCGGCUAAGGCCAAUGUAGGCGUUGUGGAGGCGCAACACUCUCUUGGACGUGAACCAACUCACAUGCACGCAUCUUGCCUUUAACAUUUUCCUCCAAUCUAUACUUGUGAGAGUAAAUAAGAGACUUCAAAUAGCUAUCAAGGAAUUCUACUGUAGCCACCACUCGAGGCGUCUCUGGAGCUGCCAAAUGCACCAAAUCAACAUAAUCACCAUGUCCCGCAUGGUUGCUGUGCAAUUCAUUAGAACAUUCAGCAGCCAAUUAGUCCCACUGUCUACUAACAUGACAUCACGGGGCAAGGGCCAUAUAGCACGCAUGUGCUCCCAAAUAUUCCGAGCAUGGCCGCAGGAAACCAAUGCAUGGAAUGAACUUUAAUCUUUGAUACCGCACAUGUAUAUGUUUGAUAACCUAUAAAUAUAGGGGAUUAAUUGUGUACUUUUUCGAUAAGUAAAAGUGUCGAACCCAACGAGGAGCUAAAGAUAGAAUUAAUAUUCUCUCAAGUUCUAUCGAUCACCAAUACAACUCUACGCACACUUAAUGUUUGCUUUACCUAAAAUAAGAAUAAAACUACUUUGUAGGUGUAAUAGGAUAAGUUUGCAAGAAUAAAACUAGAAGUUCUUAGCGGGAUAAUAAAAGUUAGUCUGUUUUAGUAGAGAGUAUUUUGUAACACAAAGAUAAAGAUUGUCCAUAGGCAAUUGAAUAUAACACAAUAUAUACUUAUCGUAUGGAAUGAGGGAGAGACAUGAGCUAACAUACUUUCUCUACUUGGAUCACAUGUUCUUAUGAUUGUAACUCUAGCAUCCGCAACUACUAAAGAACAUUAAGGUAAAAGUCAACCAUAGCAUUAAGUAACAAGUCCUCUUUACUCUCAUUCCCCCUACUCAUGUUUAAGCUUCUGUCACUCGCGCAACCCACUAUAAGCGAAUUAUGAACGUAUUACAACGCCCUACAACGGUAAUCCCACACGCUUGCGCGACACGGAGGGCAUCAUAGGACAGCACCAUAUUAACAUACAACUCACAUCAAUCACACCAUACCACAAUUAACCCGUAGAACAAAACAAAUCUACUCAAACAUUAUAUGAUGCCACACGUCAUUGGACAAUGAUAACCCACAAGUAUAGGGGAUCACAACAGUUUUCGAGGGCAGAGUAUUUUGCUGGGGAACGUAGUAAUUUCAAAAAAAUUCCUACGCACCCGCAGGAUCAUGGUGAUGCAUAGCAACGAGAGGGGAGAGUGUGUCCACGUACCCUCGUAGACCGAAAGCGGAAGCGUUAGCACAACGUGGUUGAUGUAGUCGUACGUCUUCACGAUCCGACCGAUCCAAGUACUGAACGCACGGCACCUCCGAGUUCAGCACAUGUUCAACUCGAUGAUGUCCAGCGAGCUCCGAUCCAGCAGAGCUUCGCCGGAGAGUUUCGUCAGCACGACGGCGUGGUGACGGUGAUGAUGAUGCUACCGACGCAGGGCUUCGCCUAAGCACCGCUACGAUAUGAUCGAGGUGGAUUAUGGUGGAGGGGGGCACCGCACACGGCUUGGAACAAUCAACUUGUGUGUCUUUGGGUGCCCCCUGCCCCCGUAUAUAAAGGAGCAAGGGGGAGGCCGGCCAGCCUUGGUGCGCCCCAAGGAGAGGAGGAAUCCUCUUGCUACUAGAAAGAGGAUUCAUCCUUUCCUAGUCCAACUAGGAAGAGGGAAGGGGGAAGGAAAGAGAGGGAGAGGGAGAGGGAAAGAGGGGCCGCGCCCCCCUCCCCUAGUCCAAUUCGGACUCCUCAUGGGAGGGGGCGUGCAACCUCCUGGGCUGCUGCCCUCUCUCUCCCCUCAGGCCCACUAAGGCCCAAUACUUCCCCGGGGGGUUCCGAUAACCCCUUCGGCGCUCCGGUUUUCUCCGAAAUCACCCGGAACACUUCCGGUGUCCGAAUAUAGUCCCAAUAUAUCGAUCUUUACGUCUCGACCAUUUUGAGACUCCUCGUCAUGUCCGUGAUCAUAUCCGGGACUCCGAACUACCUUAGGUACAUCAAAACACAAAAACUCAUAAUACCGAUCGUCACCGAACUUUAAGCGUGCGGACCCUACGGGUUCGAGAACUAUGUAGACAUGACCGAGACACGUCUCCGGUCAAUAACCAAUAGCGGAACCUGGAUGCUCAUAUUGGCUUCACUAGUGGCUUCUCUCAAGAUAGCAUAAGUAUUACGGUGGGUGAACAAAUUACUGUCGAGCAAUUGAUAGAAUUGAGCAUAGUUAUGAGAAUAUCUAGGUAUGAUCAUGUAUAUAGGCAUCACGUCCGCGACAAGUAGACCGAAAUGAUUCUGCAUCUACUACUAUUACUCCACACACCGACCGCUAUCCAACAUGCAUCUAGAGUAUUAAGUUCAUAAGAACAUAGUAACGCUUUAAGCAAUAUGACAUGAUGUAGAGGGAUAAACUCAUGCAAUAUGAUAUAAACCCCAUCUUUUUAUCCUCGAUGGCAACAAUACAAUACGUGCCUUGCUGCCCCUACUGUCACUGGGAAAGGACACCGCAAGAUUGAACCCAAAGCUAAGCACUUCUCCCAUUGCAAGAAAGAUCAAUCUAGUAGGCCAAGCCAAACUGAUAAUUCGAAGAGACUUGCAAAGAUAACCAAUCAUACAUAAAAGAAUUCAGAGGAGAUUCAAAUAUUGUUCAUAGAUAAUCUUGAUCAUAAACCAUCGGUCUCGACAAACACACCGCAAAAAUAAGAUUACUUUUCUUGUUGUAGUAGUAAUAAUUAAAAAGAAAACCCAAAAAGAUUUCCCGUUCUUCUUUUGCUUGUUGGGAGCUUUCCCGUGUAAAUAGUUUUUAUUUCUGUCCUUUUCUUUGGGGGUCGAUAGGAGAAGACCAUAAUUAAAUUGUUGAAGUGGCUCUUAUAUGCAUUAUUGUUGAUUUAACCAAGAGCCCAUAUUGCCUUGUCUUCUCCUGUUUAUUGAAUGCUCGCAGAUUCCAGCUUAGUCCGAUGCACGUGCACUCUUAUUAUUUUCACAUCGUUCGGUCGUGCAAGUGAAAGGCAAUUAUGACGAUAUAUGAUGGACUGAUUGAGAUGAGAGAAGCUGGUAUGAACUCGACCUCUCUUGUUUUUGUAAAUAUGAUUAGUUCAUCGUUCCUAUUCAGCCUAUUAUGAAUAAAUAUGUUUGCAAUGACAAUUAGAGAUUAUAGUUGCUUGUGCCAUGCUUAAGUAGCUAUGAGUUAUAAUGGUUUACCUUGCGUGCCAACAUGCUAUUAAAAUGGUUGUGAUGUGGUAUAGUGGGGUGGUAUCCUCCUUCGAAUGAUUUAAGUGACUCGACUUGGCACAUGUUCACACAUGUAGUUGAAACAAAUCAACAUGGCCUUCAUGAUAUUUAUGUUCAUGGUGGAUUAUAUCCUACUCAUGCUUGUACUCCAUGUUUAUUAAUUUUAAUGCAUGUUCAUGACUUUUGUCGCUCUCUAGUUGGUCGCUUCCCAGUCUUUUGCUAGCCUUCACUUGUACUAAGCGGGAAUACUGCUUGUGCAUCCAAUUCCUUAAACCCCAAAGUUAUGCCAUAUGAGUCCACUAUACCUUCCUAUAUGCGGUAUCUACCUGUCGUUCCAAGUAAAUUUGUAUGUGCCAAACUCUAAACCUUCAAAUGAAAUUCUGUUUUGUAUGCUCGAAUAGCUCAUGUAUCAACUAGGUUUGUCCGUAUCUUCCAUGCUAGGCGGGUUAUUCUCAAGAGGAGUGGACUCCGCUCCUCACUCACGAGAAAAUGGCUAGUCACCGGGAUGCCCAGUCCCAUGCUUUAUGCAAAUCAAAUCAAAAUAAUUGUAAACAAAACUCCCCCGGGACUGUUGUUAGUUGGAGGCACUCGUUGUUUCGAGCAAGCCAUGGAUUGAUGCUUGUUGGUGGAGGGGGAGUAUAAACUUUACCAUUCUGUUUGGGAACCGCCUAUAGGCGUUGUUUGGAUAGGGCCGGAUACAUGGUAAACGAGUUUGUUGCCGGAUUUUAGCAAAAUCGGUUUUGCUAAUGAAUUUUUGGAUAACUAAUUUACACAGAAACACGUUUGGGUUUGGAAAGGAUAAAACUAGCUUGUACAUUUCCUUGUUUGGGUAGGAGGAUACCGAUUCACUUCCUCCCCUUGCCUUCUCUCCCUUACUUUCCCCAAGUUUGGCCAUUGACGACGACUUCCCAAAGCUUCGACUCCAGCCGCUCCAGCCUGUGAUUCCUCUUCCGUCGUUCGUCCUCACCGCCAGACACCGGUGCCCUCCUCCCGUCGGGACGGCCUCGACGACUCCGCGUGCGGAGGCUUUCCCUGGUCGCCUAUGAAGGGGAACGCGACAGAAAACAAAAAUUUUCCGACCUACGCACCAGCCCAGGACCACUAUGGAGACUGCAUACAUGGUUUGAUCUUUUUCGUUACCGACUCGUAGCGCAGCGGGAAGUAGAGUCGAUGACGAUCGGCAGUGCAGAUCCCCGCAGCUAGGAUUUACAACCUCCCAACUGCGAGGAUGUAUACCCUCAUCUGCUCCUCAGACAGCCCUCCGGGAGGCGGUCGAACAGCCCCCCGGACGGUGUCGCGGACAGCCCUUCGGGAGGACCUUCGAAACUCGAACGAUCACUCGGACAGCCCUUCGGGAGGACCUUCGAAACUCGGACGGUCACACGGACAGCCCUUCGGGAGGCACUCACGAACUAAGACCGAAACUACGAUCUCUCUACAGAGUUGCACACAUACGGUGUCAUCUAUCCGGCAGGGCUUCGCCGUCCAGAACUAGUUCCUGCCGGAACCCAGACAGCCUUACGGCUCUACGAAACUCUUUUCGUGGGAGGGAGAGAAGAAGCCAGAUAAUGCAUGGCAUGUGUAUGAGAGCAAGGGAUGAGUGUGGAGGGCUGCCCCUCCACCUCUAUUUAUAGGAAAUCCCAAGGGGGUAGGGUAGUUUCACAAAAAACCCAAAAUGCACAUGAAUGAAGUCCUUCCAUAAGGACCUAGGAGUGAAACCAAGGAACAAGAGGGUCCCCAAGGGGGGAUACCCCAUGUGGCCGGCCACACCCCCAUGAGGGGCCCAAAAAAUGGCUCCUAUCCAUCCAUGUCAUCCCCAAGAUCUUUUGGAGCAAAGCCCCAAAAGGUGGCUUUCCAUAAAGUAACCAUAAAGCUGAUUUUCACUAUUCACGACGACAUUUUUCAGCGUCUGAUCGAACUGAAAAUAUUUAUGUGGGCUAAGAACAUUUCCAGUACCCACUAAAAUGAUUUUCAACGCGUUCCGAAACAAUUCCGGUUUUAGUGAUUUUCAUCUGCGAAACGCAUCUGAAGUGGCUCCGGCAGCUCCGGAACAUUUCCGGUUUUUAUCUUAGAAAAUUCCAAAAAGCUUCCAGAAUGAUUCUGGCAUCCUCCAAGAAUUAUCAGGCAUGUGCCGAAACCAAUUUGACUUAAUGGUGUAUCCCGAAACAACUUUUCGGUAUCAUCAAAACUUAUCCGAUGACCUCUCUCUACGGUACGAUUCCGCUGUCCGAAACUUUUCGGUGUCCGAAACUUUUUCGGUGAUUUUCUCUCAGACUCCCUGUCUAGUAUUCAGCAGAUAGAUGACCCUUAAGCGUGUGACCCUAUAGGUUCGGUGAAGUAUAGACAUGACCCGGAACCCCUUCCGAUCAAUGAUCAACAUCGGAGCCGUGGACACCCAUAUUGACCCCUAUACCCACACGAAUAAAUAUUCGAGUGAACCUCCAGUUGCCGUGUGCUAUUCCUGUUGCUUCGCGAUAUGUUACAAAUACCCGAGGUGAGGCAUGUUGGCAUUCCCGUGGAUCAACAACUUGUCCACUAUGCUAGUUACCUCGUUACCGGUUUUGUUCUCUUUUCUCGUUUCGUGUUCCGGCAUCCCCGUGAUCAAAUCACAAAGUGUCUGGCCAGACGAUGAUGGACACCGUAACACCGAGAGGGCCCGAGUAUAUCUCUCCAUCGUCGGAGGAGCAAAUCCCAAUCUCGAGCUAUCAAGUCACUUAACAUACUUUCCCAUGAACCCGUAAGCCGCCGUAAUAGCCAUCCAGUUACGGAUGACGUUUAACAAACCCCAAAGUUCAUGAAGCAAGCAUGAAGAAACUCGAUACUCUCAUGGUCUAAGGAAUUAUGCAAACAUUAACCAUCUCUGUGUUAUAAACCAAUAACUUGUGAUGAAUGUAUCUCAUAGCAUAACAUCAAUUCGGGUCGAUUCAACACAAAUGUCCUUCCUGACAUUGUGCCCUCAAAAUUGCUUGGCAUAGACAUGCCCAUGAUUGGGAAAACAUAAUCAUCAUGCAACACUUGAGCUAGUCUUAGAGGCACGACUAGGAAUACAUUUUACCGUUUAUUAUUCCACACGUGCAUAUGGGUUCUCCCCAGAGCCUUUAUGGAUAUACGGGCUCGGGAACCACAGCAGUUAUAGCAUGGAACAUAAACAUAAUUAUGAACAGGGAGAUAAUCAAUAACAUUUAUUAUUGCCUCUAGGGCAUAUCUCCUACAGCCUAGGCCGACUCUGGUCAUCCCCGUACUGGCUCUGCUCGGCGAGAUCUGCUCCUCGAGCUCAUCCCGUAGGUCCGCCGCCCCUGGGCGACCUCCCACAUCGGCCCUGCACAGGCUUUGCUCGGGGAGAGGUUCUUCUCGAGCUCAUCCUAGAUGUACGCCACCCCUUGAUGCUGGCCGUCCAGCAGUGUCCGUACAUGGAAGUUCAGAUCUCAAAAGAGUGCUCGACGCCGCCCACCCUGAUAGCGGCCAUGUCGGGGCUGGAGGUCAAGCGUGAGGACGAUGAUUCGGCGGAGCAGGUAAACAUUUCAUCUUUGUUUGCAUUUCAAGGUCGAAUUAUUUGAGCUGGGAGCUUGAACAAUUCAUAUGAUGAUUCUACUUGUGUUAAUAAGAAAUGCCAUUCUACUUGCCAAGAGGAAAAAAACUUCAUAGUUUACAGGGCUUAACAAUUAGCUACAUGGUAAAGUCGUUGAUUUAAUUCUUUCCCAUAAUAGGGACGAAGUGAUAAUUUGGAGAGUGGUUUGACACAGCCUUUGCUCAUAGAGACAAAGGAGUGGCAAGUUGACAAUGCAGAGGAUAAUGAUGGUUGCUGGUCCAUACAGAUUCCUCAUGCCACAUGUGAAGGUUUUCUCGUAAUCUCUUGAAUGUGCUUAUUUUUUGUUGCUGAAUGCAUAACCUUCAUCUGCAUUGGCUAUUUUCACAAAUAUAUCAGUUUCAGUUCUUCAACUUCAUUCUCUAGUCUGCAAUGGCCAUUUUUCUUAUCGAAUGACAAAUUUAUUGCACACAGUUGUACAUAAAAUAAUUUAGCAUUACUAUCAUCUUGUAAUACAGAACGGGAAAUUUUGGAACCUAUAAAUUGAUGAAAAAUUGUAACAAUUAUUACUGUAAUGAAUCUAUAAAUAAAAUUUAAAAAAUAAUAUUGUAAUGCUCAAUCAUCUUCUGGUUGUUGAGCGGAACGCUGUUGAUGUUUACUCCACAACUGUCGAGCAAUGCCUGCACGAACUCUCUCACCAGCAGCUCGUUCAUCUUCUCUUGCUUGCCCUCUAACUUGCUGAUCACCAUGGUCAACAUGUUGUUGUGCUUCCCCAUGCUCAUAAAGCUCGAACAACUCAUCAUGAUGAUUAACCUUCCGGAUGAAGUUGUGGAUAAUACAGCAAGCCAUAACAAUUUUGACUUGUGUUUUAUAUGGAUAAGGAAUUCCUCCUUUCCUACUUAAAAUUGGAAAGCGAGCUUUUAGAACACCAAAAGUUCGCUCAACAACAUUUCGUAGUUGUGCGUGCAGAUGAUUGAACAUAUCUUUCUCACUAGUAUAUCGUCGAUUACUUCCACGAAAAGAAGCAAUAUGAUAAUGAUCUCCACGGUACGGGGCAAUAAAUUUUGGAGUAUUUUCAUAUCCAGAAUCAACAAGAUAAAAUUUACCUGCACUUAAGGUUUGAUAGCACGGUCAGAAUCUUUAUGUAAUAAGAUUAAUCAAUAUAUAGUUCAUAUGUUUGAACUUUUACCUUCAGGAACAACAAACCCCCCACUAGUAACAGCCCAUCUUAGAACUGCUUGAUCUGACGCAGAACCUUCCCAUCCAGCAGCGACAUAUGAGAAUGUCAUGUCAAAUGACACUACUGCCAUUACAUUUUGAGAGGGGUAACCAUGCCUAUUUCUAUAAGGAGUUUGCUUAUCUAGCUUGAUUUUUGCCGCAAUGUGUGUCCCAUCAAUUGCUCCUAGGCAGUUCUGUUGGGAUUUUUGUUAGUCAAACAAUGAAGUUUAAAUUUUCCAUGACAUAGUAUUUAAUCAUAUUUAAAAGUAACAUGUGUUUGCGAUAGGAAAAUACCUUGAAAUAUGGGUAGAACCUUGCAUCACCCAAUAUUUUUGCUGGGAUUUCAUUCCUUGGAUCUGUUAUGCAAACAUCACGCAACCCAUUUAUGGCAUCUAAAACAAUGUUGAAGUGUCGGCUGAUUGGUUCACCAGAAUGCUGAUAUCUAUCUUGGAUGACACGGUUCCUAACAUUGUGACCAAUGAUAUGGCUAAUUUUUUUUAAAUAAUACUUUUUUUUAAAUUACAGAAAUAAUACGCAAAAAAAGAAUUUUCAAAAAUAAUACACCGUCGGCCUACUGCAGGCCGACUGAGCCCAGUCGGCCCACAGCAGGCCGACUGGUGGCCCAUCAGUUUGCUGCUGGCCGAUUGGGCCGUCGGCCACCAGAUCAAGCCCAGUCGGCCUGCAGUUGGCCGACAGGGUCCAGUCGGCCUGCAGUACACCGAUAGGCCUGCAGUGGGCCGACUAUGCUCAGUUGGCCUGCUGUGGGCCGACUGGUGCAUGCCUAUUUUUAAUAAUACAUGAUGAUAUUUUUUAAAAGUAUAUAUUUUAACACGUUAUGAAUACAUGGUAACAUUUCUUCAAAUACAUUUUUAAUGGAAAUACCAUUUUUUUAAACCACACAACAUUUUUUAAAAUGCUUUUCUGAAAUUUUCACAAACUUUUUUUAGAAACACGCGAAUAUUUUCUUACAAUGUCAUGAUCCAUCUAAACAUUUGUUAACCCACGUGAUAUGUGAGUAUAUUGAUUGUAAUAUCAUCUUAUAUUAUGGGAUGAAGGGAGUACCAUUUUUUACAAUGUCAUGGAUAUUUUUUGGAAACACGAGAAUAUUUCCAGCAAAGGUGACGUACAUUCAUUUAGUGGCACGAACCAUUUCUUUUCAUAUUUUCCAAAAAAANNNNNNNNNNNNNNNNNNNNNNNNNNNNNNNNNNNNNNNNNNNNNNNNNNNNNNNNNNNNNNNNNNNNNNNNNNNNNNNNNNNNNNNNNNNNNNNNNNNNNNNNNNNNNNNNNNNNNNNNNNNNNNNNNNNNNNNNNNNNNNNNNNNNNNNNNNNNNNNNNNNNNNNNNNNNNNNNNNNNNNNNNNNNNNNNNNNNNNNNNNNNNNNNNNNNNNNNNNNNNNNNNNNNNNNNNNNNNNNNNNNNNNNNNNNNNNNNNNNNNNNNNNNNNNNNNNNNNNNNNNNNNNNNNNNNNNNNNNNNNNNNNNNNNNNNNNNNNNNNNNNNNNNNNNNNNNNNNNNNNNNNNNNNNNNNNNNNNNNNNNNNNNNNNNNNNNNNNNNNNNNNNNNNNNNNNNNNNNNNNNNNNNNNNNNNNNNNNNNNNNNNNNNNACCCGUUUCCCGCCACCCGUUUCCCUCCUCCCAUUUCCCGCCAACCUUUCCCGCCAUACCGCAGUCGUUCUUUCCCGCCAUUUUCUCGUCUCUACCUAUAAAACCCCCUUCAGACGGAGCUGGAUAAGCAUUGCAGUGUAGUGUAGUUGAGGUGUCCCAUUAUCCUUUCGAUCGUAGUUUUCACCCUGGGAUGAGCAGGACUCUUCUGAGGCUAGCUACCGAUUUCAGGAUGGAUAAUAGGAUAGUUCCAUGGGACGAACUCACCGGUAGUGACACCAUAAUGAAUGAGUUGGCUCACCAAUUACGUAGGUCUGGGUGGCCUGAAAGGACCUAUGAGGAGGUACGUAAAGAACUUCUUAGGUUGCAUGACAGGUGGAAGAAGGUAGUGGUGCCGAAGAGUGAAACUUUCAGAAGGAUUGCAGCAAAUAAUCCAUGUUUAUGGACUGAGGAGAGCGAGGACGAAGAUGAUAUCUUCAUGCCGCCGCUUCCGGGUUCUGCAUCGUCGAAGGGCAAGAGUUCUUCAUCAUCGAAGGGCAAGGUUUCUGCAUCGUCGAAGGGCAAGAGUUCUUCAUCAUCGAAGGGCAAGGUUUCUGCAUCGUCGAAGGGCAAGAGUUCUUCAUCGUCGAAGGGCAAGAGUUCUGCAUCGAUCGAGGAUGACGAUGAUGACUUCAUGUAGUUUUUAUGCUGUAUGUUGUGAGUUCAGUUACGUGCCAUUUAAUUUAGAUGUAGUUCUAUCUAGUUGUUUGUAAUGUCUUGUUGUAUGAAUAUUGUGUUCUAUCUAAAUAUGAUCUUGUAGAGUAGGCAUAUGUCUCGUACAUAAGUACAUAGUCAUUUGUCUCAUACAUAGAAUAGACAUAAGUCUCACACAUAAAUAGAUGGUAAUGUCUCUACUGAUACAUAGGAGCUGCAAUGACGACGUCUGGCCUGCCGGGGAGGUGGAUCUCGAAUAACAAAUUCAUCACAUAUAACUCGGUUUCCUGUAGCAAUGCAACUGAACAACCCUUUUCCAUUCCCAUUCGCUCAGCAUUUCUUGAAUCUUGCCAUCAUCAGUUAUGUCAAUCAAUUUUCUUUCCCCAGGGCCAUCUGAAUGCUUCCUGCUGACGUAGUACACAAAAUCGUCUUCCUUCAACCCUUGCUUCAACAUGAAUUUAGUCUUCAACCAAUCAAAAGUGAGGUCCACUUCACUAACUUGCACAACACUUGGAGACAAGCCUUGGACAUGAACAAUAGGGCUAAGCACCCACUGAGUACCCUCAGCCAUCUGCAACACACAAAUCGCAUUGAGUACCUACCCUACCCCUUAAUAUCCCCACUAACAAAUAUUAGACAUGUCUAUAUAUUACGAAGCCAUAUAUUACAGAAUAUUAACGGAGCAACUAAUACAAUUCACCCACCUACAAUUAUAUUACGAAUAUUUGCCGUAACAACUACAAAUAUUGACAGAUUAAUAUAUUUGACUGGACUGCCUAUAUUACGGACCUUUUUUCUGGACUCCUACAUAUACUGACACUCCUAAAUACUUGACAUCCACAUAUAGGACGGAUUAUUACCGGAGCAACUACACAUUUUUACACAACUAAUUAGUUGACAUCUAAAUAUAUUAACAAAUACUACCGGGGCACCUACGAAAAAUAAAAUGUGGGCUAAAAUAUACCCUUGAAGCGUGCGUGCGAAGGAUGAACGAUGAACGGCGGCCACCAAACUGCCGGUGCUCCGGCUCCAACGAAGAACGACGAACAACAGCUUCACCUCCACCACAGUGCCCCAACUUCACCACCCGCACACUGCAAUGCUUAUCCAGCUCCGUCUGAAGGGGGUUUUAUAGGUAGAGAGGAGAAAAUGGCGGGAAAGAACGACUGCGGUAUGGCGAGAAAGGGUUGGCGGGAAAUGGGAGGAGGGAAACGGGUCGCGGGAAACGGGUGGCGGGAAACGGGGCGGGAAAUGGGAGGAGGGAAACGGGUGGCGGGAAAAAGUUGGCGCGAACAUAUGGCGGGAAAAAGUUGGCGCGAACAUAUGACGAUGAUGACUUCAUGUAGUUUUUAUGCUGUAUGUUGUGAGUUCAGUUACGUACCAUUUAAUUUAGAUGUAGUUCUAUCUAAUUGUUUGCAAUGUCUCGUUGUAUGAAUAUUAUGUUCUAUCUAUAUAUGAUCUUGUAGUUCCGAUAACAGAGUACUAAAAUAGAGUAGGCAUAUGUCUCGUACAUAAGUACAUAGUCAUUUGUCUCAUACAUAGAAUAGACAUAAGUCUUACACAGAAAUAGAUGGUAAUGUCUCUACUGAUACAUAGAAGCGUCAGUGACGACGUCUGGCCUGGCGGGGAGGCGGAUCUGGAAUCGGGGACCAUCCCAACCUGUCGGGUGCCCUAAUGUGACGAGGAGGAAUCUCAGACUCUCCCUGGUCAUGCUGUGUAUCCUGUGUGGGGCCUGGUGGAGGAGUCGAAAACAUGUUCAUCCACUGGGUGUGCUGCGACAUCUGAGCCUGUAUGUUGUCCUCGGGAUGUUGAUCACUCCCCCACGUAUCAUGUGAUGCCGACAUAGACGCCUGAUAUCCAUAGGCCCCUACGCGAUGGAACGUUUCAUCAUGAAGAAUGAGGUCGCGUCAAUUAAUAUUGAAAACAAUAAAUAUGAAGACACAUACCUGCUGGGUGUGACGUCUGCUCUGGCUGAAACACGAAACUAGACGAGGGACCGUGCUGCUGUGGCUGUGGAGAAAACACGAAGCUCGACGAGGGACCGUGUUGCUGUGGCUGUGGAGAAAACACGAAGCUCGACGUGGGACCAUAGUGCUGCGGGUGCCACGUAGAACUGCCAGGUUGGUCAGGACGGGGUGGCCUGGUUGUCGGCUGCUGUGCUAGGCGUGGACGUGGUUGAUGUCGGUGCAUGGAGUGACGCGGCUGCUCCUGCUCGUGCUGAACAACAUCGGUUCUCCGGGUGCACGUGAUAGCCUCGUACACAGUCCGUAUCUUAUUCUGAAUUCUUUUUAAGAAGGGCUAUACCACUGGACGAUGAUGAAGAAGAGGUCCAGACGAUAGUGAUCGUCCAAAGGUGGUCACGUCGUCGUACAGUUCGCGUGUCAAGGUAGCCUGCAAAUUUCCAUGACGAUUAAUAAUGUCUGUCUCUUGCACGUCAAAGUAUGUGACAACAUUACGUAAAGAAAAAAUAUCUUACCGCGUACUGCCUAGAGCCCGAAGUAUCAUAGCUCGGGUACAUAUCCGACGGAGUAGGAUCCGGUAACUCCUCUGGGUGGGAGUACUCAACAAUGUGUAACCGUGUUCCGGUCAUGUAGCGCCGCCAAUAGAGAUUGAAUUCAUCGAGAUCGAAAUUGUGAUUCUCGUGCCAUAGAUUUGUGUUUGCUGUCUCCCAUUCUAUAACAUACGGCUCUAGUCUAACUAGCCAGUCAGCAGUUGUCCUGUUCAUGCCCUUCCUUGUCGACCUACAAUUGUGGUGUGUGUUCAACAAUUACCUAAAGCUUCGAAUGGAGUACUAUGAAAGAAAAUGCAACAUUGAAAAACUGGUUAAUAUCUGUGGAUGUGUGCUGGCACCGGGUUCUCUAUAGGGGGAGGUAGCUCCAACUGCAGAAGACCAAAUUGCCUCAUAACCCUCUGUUGUGCCAUCUCCUCAACGAAGACAUCGAAGAUGAUCUUCGAUUUUGUCAUCCAGUAAUCUCGGUCCCUUGUGCAUAGCACAGACAUACCAGCAGGGUAUCUCGCUUGUAUGGCUGCUUCCGUGUAGGGCUGCCAGAUGACCCCGGUGUACGCAUCGAACUGCUCGUUCGAUGCUAUGUAUGCCUUCCUGGUCUGAUCACUAGCAAAGCGUCUCUGCAGAGAAUAAAAGUUAGUAGCCGCUAGCAUCGAUUGAUCUCUUGUGCAGAAAAAGUUGCAUUAAACUACAACACGGUGCAUACCUUGCGACGAGUCCAACACAGACCGAAAGUAGGCAUGUCGAUGCCGUCAACAUCAAACAUGGCGUCUAUAGGCUCAUGAACACGUACAUCUGGUCGCCCUAUAGAGAACCUCUCCCACGACCACAGCUGUAGGAAUAGAGGGCAUCCAAGAAGGGCUGGCUUUCUCGAUGUAAGCUGGCAACCGUUGCACAUACCUCGGUAUGUAGCCGCUAACACCGCUGAACCCCAACUCCUCUGUCUGAUCUGAUCCGCCGUCUGAGCGCUCGCUAUCUCGAGUGCCAUAGGGAUGUAGAGGGCGCUAAUAGUGGUGACAUGGUUCUCCGUGAACAUCACCUUGCCGAAAAGCCACAGUAAGUAGGCCUCGAGGCUCCGAGUGAUCUGUUCCGCAGUCAACGGCGCCCGGAAGUUCUGGAUCUGCAUUAAGCGAAGAGAAAGUUUUAGUAAGCCGCAAUUAUUUUUUGUAAAACUUUAUGCGCGAUAACUUGAAGAGAAUAGGUAGGGGAAAUUACCCGGAAAUUUAGCAACCACUCAUACUUAGGUCCGUGAUGCUCCCAUACCGGAUCGGGAGCAUCCGGAAAAACACCGUGAAAACGUUCUGUAAGAGCUCGCUCCCAACCAGCCGGUGCGUCCAACGGUCCUACGGCAUGACCUACCAACGGUAGUCCGAGCAAAAGUGACACAUCCUCCAGAGUAGGAGCCAUCUCUCCCCAUCUGAAGUGAAACGUGUGGGUCUCUGGCCUCCAACGGUCCACUAAGCAGCUCAGCAAAGACCCAUCGAUGGCGACGCGUUUCUCACCCGGGAUAGACUCAACCAGACGCGCGAAAGGUAAAAGGCCGGCCCAUUUCAACCUUCAUCAGAGAACUUUUCAGUUAGUGUCUCCCAUUUCAACCAUUAAUAUGCAUGUCAGUGUGCAAAUUAAUAAAGCACGUACCGCUGAAGCUAUCCUGAGUGUAUCUUCCAGUUUUCCUUAGGAGUGCGAGUGACCAGAGGCUCAAGCUUGCGCUCAUACCAUAUCGCAGCACGAUGACCCCUAUCAAUGUCCCCAUUCAGCAACCACAAUCCCGACAUUCCUGCACAUACAAAAUUCAGAAUAUAGUGUCACACUUAAUAAAAAUUCAGAACAAAGUGCCACACUUAAUAAAAAUUCAUAACAUAGUGCCACACUUAAUAAAAAUUCAGAACAUACUGUCACACUUUUACAAAUUCAGAACAUAGUGCCACACUUAAUAAAAAUUUAGAACAUAGUGCCACACUUAAUAAAAAUUCAGAACAUAGUGCCACACUUAAUACAAAUUCAGAACAUAGUGCCACACUUAAUACAAAUUCAGAACAUAGUGCCACAGCACACUUAAUAUAAAUUCAGAACAAACUAGUGCUAGCUUAGCUUCUUCCUCUCGCCCUUACUCCUCUACUACCUCUACCUCCUCUUCUUCCCCGGUUGCCUCGUCCACGCCCAGUGAUGAAAGUGGGACAAUUAGUGUCCCUAUGGCCAAAUUCAUUGCAUAGAAUGCAUUGCCUAGUCGGACCUCCUGCUUCAGAUUCAUCCAUAUCAUUUCGGAUGCGCUGACACUGCCGUCUGCCUCUACUUGUACGCAUAUGCUCUGGGUUUGGAAUGUAACGCCUUUCGGCGGGGUUGACGCUGUUGAAAUUACCCAUUGAUCGAAAACCCAUCAGCUCACCUGUCCAGGUAUUGAGGACAGCCUCUUUCAGAAAAUAUGGAGACACAAAUGAUAUUGCGUCCAUUCCAAGCUGCCCGCAAGCAGCAAGUACAUGUGAGCAAGGUAGGUGAAGCAAUUUCGGUUUAUUGCAUGUGCACUCACACGUUGGCCAGGCUUCAUUGCCAAUUUUCACCUCAUGCGUCCUCAACUCAUUUGCACAUCCGAAUUUGUUGUUGGCUAAGCGGACCUCAAACCUUCUUUCUUGAUUACCGAUGGCGACUACAGUGUGUGACCUAGCUUUUUGCAUCUUGUUGUCCAUGUACUUCGUGGCUCUUUCACAGUACCGUGUGUUUGGGUUGUUCAAGAUAUGCUGCUCUGCUAUUUGACGUCUGUCUCUGAAAUACUUGACGGUGCCAUAGAAAAUACCCUCAACGAUGGCUGUAAGUGGCAAUGCCCGGUUUCCUCUGAGGACAAAGUUGUAUGUUUCCGCGAGGUUCGUUGUCAUGACACGUACCUUGCUCCAUGUGUGUCAUGUAGCAAAGACCACCUCUGCAGAGGCUCAUGCUCUAUCCACUGCUCGAAGGUUUUAAUCGACCUCCCGAGCCUUCUCCUAGUACCAGGUGGGUCAAAGCCUGGCAGGUCACAUAGCUCAACAGCCUCCUCCUCCACGGCCGCUGUUCCUGUUGCCAACCGUGCAGCUACUGCUUCAACAUGUGCCCUCACCGCUGCAUCUCUUGCAGCUUUCCUAUCCCUCACGUGUCUCUGCGUGCACACAUUAAGUCCGUCGCGUAUCAAAUUGUACUUCCAUAACUGGUUCUGCUUGCAGAGUUUUUUGAACAGAUUCAUCAGGUUCUUAUUUCUAAACUGCGAGAAGAAAUUAGCCCCGAGAUGGCGCAUGCACCAACGGCUCUGCAAGUACUGCCAUGGAACUUGUUCCUCAGGGCCUGGGUUUGUCAGUGUCCUUAUCGCACUGAGUAUACCUGCAUGCCUGUCAUGAAGGAUGCACACAUUGGGCUUCUCCUUAACAACUGAUAUUUUCAACUGCCUGAAGAACCAUGUCCAACUUUCAAUGUUCUCACUCUCCACAAAAGCAAAUGCCAGUGGGACGACUUGAUUUUGGCCAUCUUGACCUAUGGCUGUCAGGAUCUGACCCUUGUACUUGCCUAUGAGAAAAGUACCGUCAACACAUAUCACCGGUCGGCAAUGCCUGAAAGCUUCGAUGCAUACACCGAAAGAGAAGAAGAGACGAUGCAAAACCCUCACAGUUGGGAACUCUGGCAUGAACAUGUCUUGGAUAUCGAUAUAGGUGCCUGGAUUCCGCUGCUGCAGGGUGUGGAGGAGGUGGACAACAGAGUCAUAUGCAUGAAAAUAAGAACCAAAUCUCCUCUCAAGCGCUGCAUGCUUAGCCCUCCAAGCCUUGCCAUAAGAAAUUCUGUACUUCAACCUGGCGAACACUUUUGUCUGCACUGCCUUCACUUCCAUAGCUUUGCCUUGCACUAUCUCAUCGUAAAACAGUCGAGCAAUAAGCGUGGAUGAAAGGUUGGCAUGAUCUUGAGGGAUGCAGGGAAUAAGACAAGUGUGAUUAACUAAGUCACUUAUCACCCAACUUGUGCCAUACUUAGGGAGAAAGCCGUGCACCCUUGCGGGACAAUCUGCGUUCUUGCAUACCAUUGUGAGGAAUUUCUGACUGGACACCUCAGCUUUGAAAACCCUUUGCGUGGACAUUGCCCAAUUAAUUUUUGCAUCCUUCAGGGCUUGCUUGUUCGGAUACAUAGCACCCAUCGCAAUAUUGUUCUGGUGAUAUUGCUAGGCUGAAUCAUGUCCAUCAUUCACGGUCAUUGCAGAUGAUAAGUCAUGAUUCCACCAUGCAAGAUUCAGGACCUCCUCUGCAUUUUCUUCUUCAUCUGACUCGUCAGAAUCAUCGGCAUGACCCCUUUCAACAUCGGUGUCUUCUUCUUCCAUCUGGUUCUGCAUGUGCCCAUCUACCUCGUCAGCGUCCACCUCACCAUUGUAAUCACCAUCGGCAUUUCCUCCUUCUACCUGACUACUCUGCCCUGGUUCAUAACCAUAAGCAUUUCCUCCUUCUACCUGACUGCUCUGUCCUUGUCGUAACCAUAAGCAUUUCCUCCUUCUACAUGACUGCUCUGUCCUUCGUAGCCACCCUCCCCUUCAUGUGCAGUGACCUCCUUCACGACGGGAAGCACUAAAGCAACAUGAUUGCAUCCCCUUCGUUCACAACCUUGUAACCACCGCACCCAAUCGGAGUCUCCCUCUAUUGGCCUCAAAUAAAAGUAAAUUUUUGAACUUGACCGUGUCCACAAUGCAUGAACACCGACGGUGUGUGUUUCAGUAUCAAGACCUAAACUUGCCGCAAUCCAUUCUUUCAACUGACUAACAGACCAUGUUUGUGGUGCGUUGAUUGCCACCUCUAUGUGAGUAAAUUCACUCAGAUCUGCUCCCAACUCAUUUGUUUGGACAGUACCAGGACCAUAGUAAAAUCUCAACUUCACUACAUCGGACAUCUCGACUCACCUAUUUUUUUCAACAUAGAAAUACAAGUAUUAGACAUGUCUAUAUAUAUAUUACCAGGACCAUAGUAAAUUUCACGAUCAAUAUAAUUUAAUCUAUGUGGACGAUUAUGAUGAGUUGCUUCACUCUUCUUUUAAUAAUAAUAUAAUAAAUAGGCCCAUGUUUACUAAUAAUAAAUAGGCCUCAAAUAAUAAUAAUAAUAUAACCGUCAAAUAUGAUAAUUUAGUUUAUUUGAAUUAUAUGGCCCAUGUUGAUGUAUUUUUUAUUUUAAUCUAUGUUAAGAAUAAUUUAGAAAAAGGCAUGCGUCUUAUUUCUACGAUCAUGUAAAAUUCUUCCUUGCAAAGAAGUUUUUAUCCGAAGUUUUUUUUUUAAACUACAGCGUGUCCGUUUAAAAAAUAACAGUGUGGGUUAGCGGGUAAUCCGCUUCAUAUUGGCAUCGGGUACGGACUGAAACGUUUUUUAACAUGUAGUUCUACUUUUCCCAUUUUUUGUUUGCUUGUUAAAUUUCCAUCACACUGACAUGCUAUGCACAUGCCGACCCUAACUCUUUAAAAAAAACUUGUCUCUUCUUUCCAACUUUUUAUUCAUGUUUCCAACUUCUUAUCCCGCACCUGUGUACGUGUCAAGUAUUAAGCAACAACUUAUUAUCCCCACUAACAACUAAUACAAUUCACACACCUACAACUAUAUUACGAAUAUUUGCCGUAGCAACUACAAAUAUUUACGUAUACUACCGGGGCAAAUAACAAUAAUCGCACACAAAUUUAAUUUCACAUUGAACGAAGCGUGCGUGCGAACGAAUAAUAUUUACGUAUACUACCGGGGCAAAUAACAAUAUUUCUGUAUACUACCGGGCCAAAUAACAAUAAUCGCACACAAAUAUUUACGUAUACUACCGCGGCAAAUAACAAUAUUUACGUAUACUACCGGAGCACCUAUGAAAAAUAAAAUGUGGGCUGAAAUAUACCCUUGAAGCGUGCGUGAGAACGAAGAACGAAGAACGACGAACGACGAACGACGAACGACGACGAACGAAAAACUGCCGCUGCUCCGGCUCCAACGAAGAACGACGAACAACAGCUUCACCUCCACCUCACUGCCCCAACUUCACCACCACCACACUGCCCCAACUUCACCACCACCACACUGCCCCAACUUCACCACCACCACCUCCACCAAAAUGCUCACCACGACCACCACGAGCUACCCCGUCAGUAGAUCGACACCUCUUUUGGCUGCCCUAAAUGAGUUGAACCCAUUCACGGUGCCAAAAUGGCAAAAAUGUAGCUCAUUUAGGUGUACAAAUGUGUGCCAUUUUUCUGUAGAGAGAGGAGGAGGAAGAACACAGAAGAAAUGAGCCACCAGGUGGAUAGGAGAGGAAUGAGAGGAUAAGGGCGGGCACGGGAGAAGAAUAAUGGAGGAAGGAGAGGAAGGAGAGGAUAAGGGCGGGCCGGCCAGCGCGCGUCAGGUCGGCAGCACCCUGUCGGCCACCAGGUGGCCGAUCGGCGGGCGGCAGGCCGACAGGGGCGCACCACGCCGACAGGCCACUGCCUCCCCCUCGCGACGUGGCCUGACCAACCACAGGCCGCCGCGUGCCAGCCCGGCAUGCAGUCGGCCUCCUGCUAGCCGAUCGGCCUGCUGUGGGCCGACUGGGCUCAGUCGGCCUGCAGUGGGCCGACGGUGUAAUAUUUUUGUAAAUACUUUUUUCUGCGUAUUAUUUCUGUAAUUUAAAAAAAAUGUAUUAUUUAAAAAAAAUAGAAACAUGAGUAGUUGUUCGUCCACUGUCAUUCGCUUUGUAUCCUUCAGUAAGCCUCUCUCACACAAAGCAUCUCGCAGCAAGUAGAAUAUGUGCUUCUCAAGAUGAAUUUGUUCGUAAAAUUUAACUGGAUGUCCCUCUAGCAACUCUUUUGUUUUCUGGGCACCAGUUAAUAUGGAGGUGUUACGAGGUGUUUUGAAUAACCUUGUGAACAACACAUCACGAAACACGGACACUGCAGAAAUGUUAUUAAUAAGAACUUGCUCGGAAUCAGAAAAUUCAUCAUCUGGCACAUAUAAACUGUUCAUGGUUCCCUGCACAGUGUACACUAUUGAUUGUAUCAUCUCAGAAUAAUAUUUUAUAAGAUAUAUAAAAUAGUUGGAAAUGAACUUUCUCAAAAUGAAAGUACAGUUGAUCGUUGCAACACAAACUGACAGAAAAAGCAAUGGAAAUUGUUCUCUAAAUACAUAAAACGACAAUUACUGAAAUCAAAUAAUGGUGUAUUACAAAAUAACUAAGGAUCAAGAAUCCAAAGCUUUCGAGUUUCUUCAUCCAUCUCAAUGAAAAUGGUGCGUUUGUCACCAUCUGUAAAUGCUUUUACUGCUUUCAGUUUUGUGCUGGCAUCGAGGCUACCCAUACUAUUUAAUACUGACACGCAUGAUUUAACCGAGUAAGUGUCAUUUUGUUCUGCUGUUUUUUUCUUUGCUUCAGCAAUGCUGAGUGAUGCAUCUGCAAGACGAUCAAUUGCUGUUAUGGCAUCAUCAGCUAUACGUUUUUGUCCUCUUGUAGUUUCUUUUAAUCCACUUCCAGGGAAUUUCCUUUUUUCUGGCUCAAUGGCUGUCGACUUCUUAGUGAACACAACAGGGGAGCCAUUGUUUUCAUCAGACUCGAUUUCAUGUACUUCAACAUCCUUAUUGAGAUCAAUUUGAGAUGAUUUAGUUGUGCAUGAACCAUCUUUCCCUUUGCUAGAUAUAGCACCAACUCCAGAUGCCGUUGAACUAGCACAUAUUUGUUGAAGAUCUUCCCAACUAGGCCACACCUUUUCUCGAUAUUCUUGGAGUGACUUAUCCUUCUGCAAGUUGUUAAUUUUUAUUAAUAAAUACAAUAUACCAAUUUUAUAUGAAUCCUACUCGCACAAACUUACCUCAAUUAGUUCCUCCCAAGUUUCUUCUGAAGCUUUUAUCAUUUUGUCAUCAUCAUCCCAACCAAAUCCCGUCAGUUUAAGAAGUCUAUCCAUGGCAGCAUAGCAACUCCUAUAGUACUUAUGGCGAUUUUUCAAUUGUUGUAAUUCAAGUUUGUCUACUCUUGAAUCAUUGAAUUGUUCUAAGAUAUCACGCCAUGCUUUCUUUGUGUAACAUGUUCCUUCUUUCCCUCCGUGUAAAGUUUGAUCUUUCAGUAUAGUGAGAAGUAUUUUGUCCUCCGAAGAUUUCCAUACAUGCCUCUUUUUAUCUGGGUUUUCUUUCCUUUUUUUUUGGUCCCUCUGAUCAUCCAUAUUUAUCUACAAGAAAAUAAAAAAUUUAAAUGAGUAUGUGAUUGACAAACUUAAUUUCUCUUGACAUUUCAAAGCCUCCAAUUUAAAGUUGUACUUACAACAAGCCAUAUUGCAAAGUGAGUUAUUUGGUUGAGAAGAGCACUGUUAAGUGGAAGAAAUGAACAUGAUAAUAAUAUUUCAACUGCAUUCGUGUGAUCUCUUGGCGUGUAUUCUUCUGAUUGCAGUAGACAAAUGGGGGUCUAGGACUGAGCUAAUCUUUAAUGUUUUACCUAUGACAACACUUACUACUAAUUGUUUGAUUUCUACGUGUAUUCCUAUGUUCUUUUCACAAUGCAGGUCGACAAAGGAACUGAUGGCUUGUAUUUCAGUGAUCUACUGUUGGCUUACCAUUUGUUUUUAUAGAGGUAAAGCUGCAUGUGCGUGUUGAAUUUAAAUUUGAGGGCCCCUUAUAUCCAGGAGUACAUGAUUGGCCUACAUACUAGACUAUGAUACUUGUGUAUACAAUUUAGACUACAGCACAAACAUACAUACUUAUAUCGCACAGUUCAGAUUGGCCUAGUGCCUAUUAAUACCAUAUAAAUAUAUAAUUAGAGUUAGCGUGCCAUUUACUCUUCUUUCAUAUCUGGCAUUUACCUGGUUUCCAUGUACAACAGCAAGUAACUAGUGUAGUGGGUUUCUUUUAUAAUCAAACAGAGGUGUGUUUCCAAUUAGAGAGAGGAAGGGACAAAUUGCCAAGUUGGUGGUUCUAGUUUCAUCUACGAAUUGGCUAUCUCAGAUUACCGGAGUUUUUUCUUUCUGCAAAAUGAGCUUCAUUACCAAAAAAAUGAAUCGAUGAACAAUACCAUGAAUUUGUAGAUCUACGGACGAAUUUGUUGAUCAGGAUGAUUGAUCGAUGAACAAUACCAUGAAAUCUGUACAUCUAAACUCAUAUGGACCAAUUUGUUGAUCAAGAUGAUUGAUCGAUGAACAAAACCAUGAAAUUUGUACAUCUACAACUUAUAUGGACUAAUUUGUUGAUCUGGAUGAUUGAUCAAUGGACAAUAUCAUGAAAUAUGGACAUCGACUACAACUUAUAUUGACAGGAUGAUUGAUCUUACCAGGGUCGUGCAACUUGAUUGAAGAUGGGAAGAUGAUGAGAACCGCCUGAUGAAGAAGCUGCUGAGAACCAGCGCCAGCGUCUCCCAGCCAGCGCCUGUGAAUGGAAUUGACGGCCAGCCAGUUCUAUUAGCGAUGGGGCCUGUAUAUAAGCAAUGAAAAAGGCGCGAGGGCGAGCAGCAAAACGCAGAACUGGCACCAGAAAAGUUGUUGAGAAGCGAGCGGGCGGGAAAAAGUUGUGGCGAUCACGCAUAUAGCAAUCGCGUUUGUGGAAAAACGGAUAAAGCUCAUUUUUCUAUAAGCCCGAAAUCUUGGGUUGUACAGUUCCAAGUUUCCUAUAAACGUGGAUUGGUUAUAGUAGCCAAACGAGGUUUUGUUCGGUUGAACCGUUUCCCUGGUUUAUAGAGUACGGAUUCUAUAUAUAUCUUCUAUCCAAACAACGCCAUAAUGUGUGUAGCAUGGAAGAUAUCGCCAUCUCUUGGUUGUUAUGUUGACAAUGAAAGUAUGCCGCUCAAAAUAUUAUUUAUCUCUAUUUCAAAAUCGAGCUCUGGCACCUCUACAAAUCCCUGCUUCCCUCUGCGAAGGGCCUAUCUAUUUACUUUUAUGUUGAGCCAUCACCCUCUUAUUAAAAAGCACCAGCUGGAGAGCACCGCUGUCAUUUGCAUCCAUUACUAUUAGUUUAUAUUGGGUAUGACUAUGACUGGAUCUCUUUUACCAUGAAUUACAAUGUUUAGUCAGUCCUUGAUCUUUAAAGGUGCUCUGCAUUUAUGUUUUGCGGUCUCAGAAAGGGCUAGCGAGAUACCAUCUUGUUAUAUCAUAUUAUGAUUGUUUUGAGAAAGUGUUGUCAUUCGAGAUUUAUUAUUAUUGCUCGCUAGUUGAUUAUGCCAUUGAUAUGAGUAAACAUGAGACCUAAGAGUUAUUGUGAAUGUGGUUAGUCAUAAUAUUUGCUGAAAACUUGAAUGCUGGCUUUACAUAUUUACAACAACAAGAGCAAACAGAGUUUGUAAAAGUUUUUCUUUGUCACUUUCAGUUUAUCAACUGAAUUGCUUGAGGACAAGCAAAGGUUUAAGCUUGGUGGAGUUGAUACGUCUCCGUCGUAUCUACUUUUCCAAACACUUUUGCCCUUGUUUUGGACUCUAACUUGCAUGAUUUGAAUGGAACUAACCCGGACUGACGCUGUUUUCAGCAGACUUUCCAUGGUGCUAUUUAUGUGCAGAAACAAAAGUUCUCGGAAUGACCUAAAACUCCACGGAACUUAUUUUUUGGAAAAAAAAUAAAAUACUGGAAGAAGAAUCCACGUCAGGGGGGCCUCCACCUAUCCAUGAGGGUGGGGGCGCGCCCCCUGCCUUGUGGGCCCCCUGUUGCUCCACCGACCUCAACUCCAACUCCAUAUAUUCAUGUUCGGGGAGAAAAAAUUAGAGAGAAGGAUUCAUCGCGUUUUACGAUAUGGAGCUGCCGCCAAGCCCUAAAACCUCUCGGGAGGGCUGAUCUGGAGUCCGUUCGGGGCUCCGGAGAGGGGAAUCCGUCGCCAUCGUCAUCAUCAACCAUCCUCCAUCACCAAUUUCAUGAUGCUCACCGCCGUGCGUGAGUAAUUCCAUCGUAGGCUUGUUGGACAGUGAUGGGUUGGAUGAGAUCUAUCAUGUAAUCGAGUUAGUUUUGUUAGGGUUUGAUCCCUAGUAUCCAUUAUGUUCUGAGAUUGAUGUUGCUAUGACUUUGCUAUGCUUAAUGCUUGUCACUAGGGCCCGAGUGCCAUGAUUUCAGAUCUGAACCUAUUAUGUUUUCAUGAAUAUAUGUGAGUUCUUGAUCCUAUCUUGCAAGUCUAUAGUCACCUACUAUGUGUUAUGAUCCGGCAACCCCGAAGUGACAAUAAUCGGGACCACUCCCGGUGAUGACCGUAGUUUGAGGAGUUCAUGUAUUCACUAUGUGUUAAUGCUUUGGUCCGGUACUCUAUUAAAAGGAGGCCUUAAUAUCCCUUAGUUUCCAUUAGGACCCCGCUGCCACGGGAGGCUAGGACAAAAGAUGUCAUGCAAGUUCUUUUCCAUAAGCACGUAUGACUAUAUUCGGAAUACAUGCCUACAUUACAUUGAUGAAUUGGAGCUAGUUCUGUGUCACCCUAUGUUAUGACUGUUAUAUGAUGAACCGCAUCUGGCAUAAUUCUCCAUCACCGAUCCAAUGCCUACGAGAUUUUCAAAUAUUGUUCUUCGCUUAUUUACUUUUUCGUUGCUACUGUUACAAUCACUACAAAACCCAAAAAUAUUACUUUUGCUACCGUUACCGUUACUUCCGUAUUACUUUGCUACUAAAUACUUUGCUGCAGAUACUAAGUUAUCCAGGUGUGGUUGAAUUGACAACUCAGCUGCUAAUACUUGAGAAUAUUCUUUGGCUCCCCUUGUGUCGAAUCAAUAAAUUUGGGUUGAAUACUCUACCCUCGAAAACUGUUGCGAUCCCCUAUACUUGUGGGUUAUCACCAAGCCGGCGGCCAAGGCCAAUGUAGGCAUUGCGCAGGCGCAACACUCUCUUGGACGUAAACUAACUCACAUGCACGCAUCUUGCCUUUAAAAAUUUCCUUCAAGCUAUACUUGUGAGAGUAAACAAGGGACAUCAAAUAGCUAUCAAGGAAUUCCAGUGUAGCCACCACUGGAGGCAUCUCUUUGCCAUGGCACAAGUCAUUCUGCAGCUGCCAAAUGCACCAAAUCAACAUAAUCACCAUGUCCCGCAUGGUUGAAGUGCAAUUCAUUAGAACAUUCAGCAGCCAAUCAUUCUCACUGUCUACUAAGAGUACAUCCCGGGGCAAGGGCCAUAUAACACACAUGUGCUCCCAAAUAUUCCGAGCAUGGCUGCUGGAAACCAAUGCAUGGAAGGAACUUUCAUCUUCGAUACCGCACAAUGUAAAGAUUUGAUAACCCAUAAGUAUAGGGGAUCAAUUGUAGCCUUUUUUUGAUAAGUAAGAGUGUCGAACCCAACGAGGAGCUAAAGGUAGAAUUAAUAUUCUCUCAAGUUCUAUCGACCACCGAUACAACUCAACACACACUUAACAUUUGCUUUACCUAGAACAAGAAUAAAACUACUUUGUAGGUGUAAUAGGAUAAGUUUGUAAGAAUAAAACUAGAAGUACUUAGCGGGAUAAUAAAAGUUAGGUUGUUUUAAUAGAGAGCAUUUUGUAACACAAAGAGAAAGAUUGUCCAUUGGCAAUUGAAUAUAACACGAUAGAUACUUAUCAUAUGCAAUGAGGGAGAGGCAUGCGCUAACAUACUUUCCGUACUUGGAUCACAUGUUCUUAUUAUUGGAACUCUAGAAAGCAUCCGCAACUACUAAAGAUCAUUAAGGUAAAACCCAACCAUAUCAUUAAGUAACAAGUCCUCUUUACUCUCAUACGCAACAACCCCCUUUCUCGGGUUUAAGGUUAUGUCUCGCAACCCACUAUAAGCGAAUCAUGAAUGUAUUGCAACACCGUACAACGGUUAUCCCACACGCUUGCGCGACACAGAGGGCAUCAUAGGACAGCACCAUAUUAACAUUAAACUCAUAUCAGUCACACCAUACCACAAUUAACCCGUAGGACAAAAUAAAUCUACUCACAUUAUAUGAUUGCCACACAUCAUUGGAUAAUAACAUAUACUAUUAAGCACCAUGUUCAAGUACAUAAUUACAACGGGAACAGAGAGGUUACACCACUGCAUAGAGUUGUUGGUGUAGAUCGCCGUCACGAUGAUUUCCCCGGUGGAGCUCCGGCAACACCGGAAGAGAAGGGGCAGAGCCCCCCUCCUUCUUCUUCUUGCUUGGCCUCCCCCAUAGAUGGGAGGAGGGUUUUCCCACUGGUCCAUGGCCGCCAUGGCUCUCGGAGGGCAGGAGCCCCUCCGAGAUUGCAUCUCUCUCUGUGUUUCUCUUCUGUUUUUCAUUUAUUUUUGGACACCUUCACCGUUUUUUAUAUUCCCGAAGAUCCAUAACUCCAUUGGGAUGAAAUUUUUAGGGGAUUUUUGUCUAGAAAUUAUCUUUCUUGCGGCGAAAGAAGGGCUCCAAUUGAGGUAAGAGGGCGUCACAAGGCAACACAGCGCGCCCUGGGGUAUCGUCUUGCAUUGAUUCUUCUUCCCAAAAAUCACAUAUAUUCCAAAAUAAACCUUAGCAAAAUUUUAUCUUGUUUGGAAUUCAUUUGAUAUGGAUAUUCUGCGAAACAAAAAAACAUGCAAAGAAAAGGAACCGGCACUGGGCACUGGAUCAAUAUGUUAGUCCCAAAAACAAUAUUAAAUGUUGCCAAAAGUAUAUAAAAGUUGUAGAAUAUUGGCAUGAAAUAAUCAAAAAUUAUAGAUACGACAGAGACGUAUCAAGGUUCCACGUCUAGCCAGGUGCCGGUUUGCCUUGUCGAGCGUGGCCCACACACCGACAUCCACGUAGUGAUCUUCAUCUUUUGCGGUACAACUGCUUUCCAAAUACAGUUCCAUAACGACCGCUCACCAUGCGGUGAGCUACUUGAUGCACCAUGCGGUAAUCAUGUUCAGUUGUCGCUAAUCUAUAUGCACUCUUCAGACCGUGGGUAGUAACAUAUAUAGGGUUCAACUCAGCAAAUUUACUUAUGUGGUAAUGAUUUAAUGAGGAGAGAGAUGAUUUUAGUAACAUAGCUCGUUAUUUACACUAUGGGUAACACCACACAUAUCAAGACAAGAUGAGUCUAUAAUCUAAUAAAAGAAGUGUUGCAUGACACCACACUUAUGUUAGGCCCCACUAUGGGUAGUCUCACUGUAAAAUUUCCAGAUUUCUAAGGAUUCCCAGCGAAGAAGUCACUUUGUUGUCUUGGAGAUGUUCGAAUUUUUAUAAUCUCCUGAACAUCAUCACCCAAAAAUGAGUAUUAAGCAUGUCAAUGUUCCAGCUUCCGUUAUCAUCCAAGAAAUCGGCCACCCGGUUAAACCGACAAUUACGGUUCAGAGUAACUGGGCCAAAAGAGGAACACCUCGGAAUCCAUGGAUCUCGCCAAGUUCUGAUCAUGGCGCCAUUCCCAACCCUCGAAAUAAUGCCCUUCUUCACCAGCUCCAAUCCCCUUCCAAACAGCCGAGGAGGUACGUGAAAAAAAUAGUGUCCAAAAGGUUCCCAGUCGGACAGUAUUUUGCAUGGAGGAGAUGAGCACACAAACUGUUAGGUGCAUCCAGCAAACCGCCACACUUGUUUAUCAAGUAAUGCUUGGUUGAAAGCCCUAAUAUCACGGAAGCCCAUACCACCGUUAGAACUGGGUAAUAUCAUUUUUUCCCAACUAAGCUAGGCCAUCUUAUGCUUUCCCUUCUCGACCACCACCAAUAUUGCCUCAUCAAUCGUGUAAGAUCAGCACAUACUGAGGCAGGAAGACGGAACACACUCAUCACAUAUGAAGGGAUAGCUUGGGCCACCGCCUUAAUAAGAAUAUUUUUAUUUCCAGAAGACAAGUAUUGUUCACUCCAAUCCAAUGGACAUUUACUCAACACCGCUUGAACGGUUUCAAAUCUACCCUUGUGCAUCCUCCCUUCCGGCACUGCAAGGCCCAAGUACUUAGGCUCAAACACUUCAUUUGUGAUACCUAGAAUAUUUUUUAUCUCCAUGGAAAUCGUAGGUAAGCAAUUUUCAGAAAAAAUAAUAGAACAGUUGGUAGGGUUAAUGUGUUGGCCCGUGGCUGAGGCAUAAGUGCUCAAACCAUCCUUAACCAAACAUGCCUGUUGCUCAGAAGCUUGAAUGAAUAACAAUGAGUCAUCCGCAAAUAGAAGAUGUGAAAUAGUUUGCGCCCUUCGGCAUAUCAAUCCCUCCUCCGCCAUGGACUUGCUGAUCAGUGCAGACAAUGCGCCAGCAACAAAGAGAAAUAAAAACAUGGACAAAGGAUCGCCUUGGCGAAGUCCCUGCGAAGGGGUAAAAGACUCGAGUAAUUUUCCACUAAACUUUAUGCAAUAUUUCAGCGAAGUAACACAAGCCAUAAUACGAGAAAUCCAUGAUGUAGUAAAACCCCACUUACAUAGGGCUUACACAAGAAACACAUAGUCGGCGCGAUCAUAUGCCUUCAAUAGGUCAAGCUUGUAAGCACAUAAUGCCAGAUUAUCCUCUCACAGAGAUAGAAUAUGAUGAAUCACUCAAAAACAAAGAUGGAAUUAUCUGAAAUAUGUCUACGUGGAAUGAAAGCACUUUGGUUUUUAGAGAUAAGAUCCAUCAUCAAAGGCCUUAGCCUAUUCACCAUGCAUUUUGACACAAUUUUGUAAACCACAUUGCAAAGACUGAUGGGAUGAAAAUCAUUUAUGUCCUUAGGUUGCGGAACCUUUGGAAUUAUAACUAUCGCCGUAUCAUUCACUCCCAUAGGCAUAAUCCCUAUCACAAAAAAACCACUGAACAGUCGCACAACAUCUGAUUUAAGCAUUGCCCAGUUAUAAUGAUAGAAACGAGCUGGAAAACCAUCCAUACAUGGGGCCUUAAUAGGGUCGAUCUGGAAAAGAGCAUCAAAGAUCCCCUUCUCUUAGAAAGGUGCGCACAAGACCUCGUUCAUCUGCACUGUCACCUUAGGCUCAAUACACUCUAAAACUGCCUCUGGGGAGAGGGUUGGGUUGUUGGUACAAACCUCCUUGAAGUAGGAGGCUGCCAUUCGCUCCAUCUUCUAAGGAACAUAGCACCAUGUCCAAUCCAAGUUGCCCAAGCACCGAAUAUAAUUCCUCCUUGCCUGCCAAACAUCGCGAUGGUGGGGGUAUUUGGUAUUCCGCUCCCCUUCUUCCAGCCAUGUGAUACAUGAGCAUUGCAACCAUAACAUUUCCUCACGGUAUAGUAACUCAUCAAGUUGGUUUCUCUUUUUUUGCAUACUCAUACGAUCUGAUCCAUUAUAUCUAGCUCACCACAGAGCUUCUCUAUGUCAUUGUUGAUAGGAGCAAAAUUCUUUCAGCUCCAAUCCUUCAAACUAUGCAUAAGUGCUCACAACAACUCCGCUACAUAGGAGGAUAGUGGUAUCCCUAGCCCACCAGGGUUCAAGUCCUGAUACUCGCAUUUAUCCUGGAUAUAUUUCAGGAUUUCCGAUGAUGCGCGUUCAGUGGGAGGAUACGUUCCCGUCGACUACGAGGCGUCUACGAUGAGUUUGUAAAAUCUCAAGAUGAUAUGUGACUCAGUCUCCCAGAUGUGCUCAUAAGGGUAGGAUGUGUGUGUGUGCGUUCAUAGGGGUGAGUCUAUGCGCACAUAUAUGAGCGCUUAUGUCUGUACUGUGUUAAAACAAGUACUGGACAUUGUGACCUGCCUGGACAUUGUGACUCACUGGAGACCUGGCGGGCGGAUCCGAUGGACGACAAGGCCGAAGGCCCAGGAGGCUAGCUUAUACUCUGGUGGGCUGGCUUAAGGAGAAAGGGAUGACGAAUAUUUCCUUUACGAGGGAGCAAGACCCGGACUUGUAUUCAACUUGUAAGAAAAGAUAGACUAGUCCUAGUCCUACUAGGACUCCGCAUGUAACCCGCCCCUCUAACUUAUAUAAGGAGGGGCAGGGUACCCCAAAGAGGGACAAGCAAGAAACAAUAAUGUCUAGGGCUAGACACAACUAAAGGAGAGCCGGCUUAUGCGGCGUCUCCCUGAUGAGCAUAAUGAGAUCUAGCCACAAACAGCAUGUAGGGCUAUUACCGGAUGAUGUUUCCCGGGGCCUGAAGCUGUCUAAAUCCUUGUCUUGUGUUGCGUCUCUCGAUUCCAACCAACCCCUCUCAAGCUACCACAUAGAUGCACUGGCCUCGCGACUAAGUCCUGACACUAAGGACAUUUGCCGUGACAAUUCCACGACACUACCUAAGCCUUUUUCCCUUGGGAGUCGCGCUCCCGAGGGUCAUCUUUAUUUUACCCCCCUGGGCCAGUGCUCCUCUGAGUGUUGGUCUAAACUAGAGCCCUUUGCAGCGCCACCUCGGGGAAACUUGAGGCCUGGUUUUAGUUGUACGGAUUGCUCAUCUGAUGUGCCCUGAGAACGACAUAUGUGCAGCUCCUAUCGGGAUUUGUCGGCACAUUCGGGCGGCUUUGCUGGUCUUGUUUUACCAUUGUCGAAAUGUCUUGUAAACCGGGAUUCCGAGACUGAUCGGGUCUUCCCGGGAGAAGGAAUAUCCUUCGUUGACUGUGAGAGCUUAUAAUGGGCUAAGUUGGGACACCCCUGCAGGGUAUUAUCUUUCGAAAGCCUUGCCCGCGGUUAUGUGGCAGAUAGGAAUUUGUUAAUGUCCAGUUGUAGAGAACUUGACACUUGACUUAAAUAAAAUGCAUCAACCGCGUGUGUAACCGUGAUGGUCUCUUUUCGGCGGAGUCCGGGAAGUGAACACGGUUUUGGGUUAUGUUUGAACGUAAGUAGUUUCAGGAUCACUUCUUGAUCAUUGCUAGUCUCACGACCGUUCCGUUACUUCUCUUCUCGCUCUUAUUUGCGUAUGUUAGCCACCAUACAUUGCUUAGUCGCUGCUGCAACCUCACCACUUAUCCUUUCCAUACCCUUUAAGCUUUGCUAGUCUUGAUACCCAUGGUAAUGGGAUUGCUGAGUCCUCGUGGCUCAUAGAUUACUACAACAAUAGUUGCAGGUAUAGGUUUUGCGAAGAUCAUGACGCGAGAGCGAUGUUACUUGUUUUGGAGUUCUUCUUCUGCUUCUUCUUCAAUCAGGGGAUAGGUUCCAGGUCGGCAGCCUGGGCUAGCAGGGUGUAUGUUGUUUGAGUUUCUGUUUGUGUUUCAUCCGUAGUCGGAUGUUGAUCUUAUGUAUGAUGUAUUGGUGUAUUCUUGGGGCGUUUGUGCCUUUUGUAUGUUUCCCCAUCUAUUAUGUAAUGUUGAUGUAAUGAUAUCCACCUUGCAAAAAGCGUUUCAAUAUGCGGGUCUAUCCUUGGUGGGACCUUCGAGUUCCUCUCGGAUAGGGUCGCAUAUUGGGCGUGACAAGUUGGUAUCAGAGCCUCGACCGACCUUAGGAGCCCCCCUUGAUUGAUUGUAUAGUUUGGCCGUUGUUGAGUCUAGAAGAAAACUGUUUUUCGGAGUCUAGUUAUAUCGGAGAGUAGGAAUUCUUUUUACUCCUCAGCCCCUUCGUCGCUCUGGUGAGGAAUCUUGACGUAGGUGUUUCGACUUACUUCUCUUCCCCUUCAAUUUUUCUUUAGGAUCACGCGGAUAGUUUUCAUUCGUUGUCCAUCCUCUUUUCAAUCCGGCGCAUUUUUUCUUCGAGUGGUUUCGCUCCUCGCCAUCUUUUGCAAGAUCAGUCCUCAGUGCUUUCUCAACCGACGUUGUUUCCCCAUCAGAAGUUGUCCUUGUCUUUCCCACCCGCCCACCCUUCUUCUUCUUUGAGCCGGAGUCCGUGAUCGAGUAUCCAUCCUACUCGUGUGAAGCCUUUGCAUUCUUUCCUCAAGUAUUUAAACUCUUCAAGCUAUUCGUCGGUUCUCCCUUUCAAGUUGCCUUUGUUUCCCGCCCUCCCACCCUCUUUUUCCCGGAGCUUGAGUCUCUUUCGAGCAUCAAUUUCAUUCGUGUGGAGUAUCUUCAGUCUUUCCUCAGUUGUCUCAACCGGUGAAUUCUCGCCUAGUUAAUCAUUGUUCGUCUCAUUUCCUUUUCCGGUGGAUUCAAUUCCAAUUUUCGGUAGUGAUUAUAUUCUUUCCUCGGCUCAAAUGUUUCCCGUUGCUCGUUCCCCUCUCGUCAUUUAAUCGUUCCGGAGUGAUGAAGACAUCUCAGGAGAUUUGUCUGUGUUCGAAUUAAUCCGAGGUUAUCACCUCAUUCAAAUAUUUCAAUUGUUCCGGUGCAUCAUCUAUCUCUGCAACAAUAUUUUUCAACGGUGUUUCUUUUUAGUGGGCCCUAACCCACAGGUCUUUUCCCCGGAUCUUACCUGACUCUUCUGUCGUGGAAUUGUCACGGCAGAUGUCCUCGUGCAAGGACUCAGUCGUGGAGCCAUCGCAACUAGGAAGCUUAAAGGGGUUAAACGGGACAAAGGACACGAGGAUUAUACUGGUUCGGCCCUUUACGGUGAAGGUAAAAGCCUACUCCAGUUGAGGUGGAAUUACUUAGGGUUUCGAUGACCAGGGAGCUUAAUCGCUAUGCCUGGCUUUCGAUCUGAUGUUGCCUGUCCUGAACCGCCGCCGGGUCGUCUCCUUAUAUAGAGAGGUUGACGCCUAGCGGCUCUCAGAGUCCCAGCCGGCUUAUAACAGCAUCCGGCUCGGACUCUUAACUAUUCUUGCCUUACACUACAAGUCUUGCCAUAACGGCGGUUUAUCACUACGGGCCUUAAGCCGCCUCCGGGUCUUAAACCCAUUACUGAACCGCCAUCCUCAAACUUGGUACUGGGCUUCACGUGAUGAUCAUUAUGACAUAACCCGGCCCCUCCUGGGCGGGUGACUCGAAUGGUUAUAUCCUCAACAUUAGGCCCCGGAUUGAUUUGAACCGGUUCAGGUCAAUCUUCAAUACCUUUUAAAAGAAAAUCUUCCGGCUUCUGCUUGUGCGAAGGUUAUAACCCGCCGUGACGUCAUCUUCUGGAUUCUUGGUAACCCGCCAUGACGUCAUCUUCCAUUAAAUUCAUUUUUUAUUCUGCCAUAUCCCAACGGAUCUUAUCUUAAUGACCAUCCUGAGAAUCGAGGCGUUUCUGCGGCAAGAUAAUCAUGUCUUCAGCCUCGUCGUUUCUCGCGCCCAUUUACCAGCCGUCCCUUAUAAAUAGGCCCGGUCCAUAAACCUUUCGCCACUCUUCUCGAUCCAUCGUCUUCCUCCUCUGACGCACCAGAGCUCGAGCUCCUCCGCCGCCGCCGCGCCCCUCGUCUUCCUCAACCUCGGCCGCUGCAUCAUCCUGAAUCGGUCCAGAGAAACGGCGGCGACCUCCGCUGCUCAUUGGCACCAGUAAGUCCUUGCUACUUCGUACAGUAGAUUCGCAUUAGGGUUCCAUGAUUCUUCCCUGUUCUUCGUAGUUUCAUCUCGAUUUCUUCAUAGUCCCUCCACCGAGGCUCCUUUGGAUCCGAAAACGGUACAGACUCCCUGCGGUAGUAGUUUCUCACCCAUUUUUAUGCUAGUAGAUCCCUUUUGCCCGAAAAAAGACCUCAUUUAGACUUUAUGAACUCCUCUGUAUCAGUUUUUUAGGUCUAGAAAUUUUUCCUUUCUGGACGAUCGUUUGAUCCAAAGUAAUCUCUGCAAUCUGUGAAACUUGUUUGUGCAACACUUAGACAAAAACUGCAUCUGUUAGCCAUGGCGGCUCAUAUCGCCGGCUUAAAAGAGACCCUGCUUUGUAAAAUCUCCGGCUCACUCACAAGAGAGUUAAAUAACUUAAAUUGCAUCAGAUAUCCGCAGUGGCUUAGAUAACCUGACACAGUUAGUCAUAUAUCAUUAGGCCCCUUCAUAAACCGCCAUCUUGAAUACUGAACUGAAAUCUUCCUCCGGCUUAAAUUUGAACGGGGAAUUUUCUUUUGCCGUAGGCUUCCAUUUUCCACAAUGCCGCACAAGGCUCCCAAAGCGCCCAUUACAUGCAACUGGGUGAGAUCCAACAUUACUGAUAGCACCUUAGAUGACUUCGUAAAAAUGGUCUACCUGCCUAAGAAGGAGGUCAUGUCCUACCGAGCUCCUGACCCGUUCGAAGAGAGACCUCAACCAAAGGACGGAGAGGUUGUCAUAUUUGCUGACCACAUGAGCCGGGGCUUUGCUCCUUCUGGCUCAAAAUUCUUCAGAGAUGUUCUACACUUUUUCGAUCUGCGACCUCAAGACAUUGGACCCAACUCCGUGUCGAACAUUUGUAACUUUCAAGUGUUCUGUGAGGUAUACCUUGGAGAAGAACCCAGCCUGCUACUCUUUAGGGAGUUAUUUUACCUGAACCGCCAGAAUGAAUGUGCCAACGGGCCUAGCUUGGAACUUGGUGGAAUCUCAAUCCAACGACGGAGAGAUUGCUCUUUCCUUAUGCUGAGCCACCAAGCCACCCGAGGACUGGAACCAGACAUGGUUCUACUGUCAAGAUACUUCUCCGGCUGAUGAGAACCCUCUGCCCGGCUUUCGCGCCCUGCGUCUGGAGUCAAAUCACCCUCUGCCAGACAAAUUAUCUCAAGCUGAGCGUCAACCGCUUAUUCCCACCAUCAACAAAAUCAAAGCUCUUCUGGGAAACGGCCUAAACGGCAUUGAUAUAGUCCGGGUCUGGAUUGCUUGGCGGGUGAUUCCUCUAAGCCGCCGCCCCGGCUUAAUGUGUGAUUACACGGGCCGGAAGGAUGAUUCUCUUCGGCACAGCCCUGACAACUUACCUGAGGACAUCGUUGAUGACAUGACCAAGUCUCUUCUGAACGAGAGCUUAGAAGAUUGCGGGAGGACAGGCCUAAGCCCCUUGUGCAAGGCUAACCCGGCCCCGGCGGUAAGCUAUUGACCUGAACACCUUACUUUCCAUUUUAACAAUUUUCGUCUUAACUUCAAGAAACAUUUUUUGUAUUUUUCAGGCUAAUGAUAAGUUCUGGAACGUCAGGUAUGACCAUGAAGCUGCUAAAAAAGCCAGGAAGGUUAAAAAAGCCGCCAGGAGAGCCGCUCCCCGCAAGAAGGGGAGUAAGCCUAGCGCCUCAGAUCUGCUUCACCUGGAAGACACCUCUGAGUCAGAGGUAGCCCUUGAUUCUUUAGGCUCCUUUUUAACCAUCUUAUUGACACUGAUUAUCUGCAAGAGGAUACUGGAGCGAGUAACCCGGUGAUUGAAGAGGUAACUAUACUUUCCUCCGACUCGGAGCCCUUGCCAAGACUGAAAGUCCGAAGUGUAACCUGGAAAGUAAGAUUUUCACAUCCUUUAGCUUAUCAAGAUCCUCAAUUUCUUUUGAAGCGACAGAUUCAUGAGAGUCGGAGGCAGACCCGGACCAGCAAGGAUGCAGACCUCUCCUCCGGCUUACCCGAAGCAUCAAGGAAGCGCCGGACCGAGGUUAUCUCCGACUUAUAUCCUUUUCAUCCUUUGGCGGGCGUCACUCGUCAACCACUCAAUUCUUCUGAUUCAAACUAUCAGGGAACUUCACCUUCCUCUGGCGACUCCAUGCAAUCUAACUUGCCGGCCUUCAAAACCGCACCGGGUAAUGAUAGCUAGCUUCUUUUGUGCUUAUCUUACUCAUGUUUUUGCACUAACCCUUUGACUUUCAGUAUACAAGUAAAGCCCAGCAAGAGGGCGAAGAAAAGUAAGCCGACCGAAGAUCCCCAGCCCCUGAACCGCCAUCUGCACCAGCUCCAGAAACCACCACUGCCCCAUCUGAUGAGCAAGCCAUGGAGGGUUCUGAUAACCCGGAGAUCCCCAGCCCGGCUCAUCCAGAUGACCCGGACGUGGUGAUUACCCGGACCGAAUUUGUUGAACCGGGAAGACCCACCGUGCUGGCUAGGUGCUCUGCCAAGGAGGAACUUCUGGAACGCCGCAGAGCCAGGCUGGACAUUACUAACUAUGCCAAUCUGAGCAUUGAAGAUAUUGUCACUGGCUAUAUUGGCCAAGUGCACAACAGCCGGGACCUGGAGAUUGACAUGGUGAAGCAAAUACAACAAAAAUCUGAGGUACGACUCCCUUGCUUACUCCAUAGUCAUCCUUACCAUGCCAGCCCCCAAAUCUAUUACUUAUGAUGGAAUAUGUUGUAGAUUUAAUACCGGCUUAAUAAUUACUGCAAGAAGACCGGCUUCCCUGGUGACACUCACGGGCCGGAUUAAACAACAUAGUUUAACCGGUCUUUACCUUAGGUUAAUCAAGUAGUUGAGCAACUUUACACAUUAGCCCCCAAGUGCCGAGUACCUUUGCCUGCAAAGUGCUGGGGACUUACUUUCAUGAACCGGCACUGUAGAUAGAGCCUUUCAGCAUACAUUAGUCCCCAAGUGCCAAGUGUUUUUGCUUGCAAAAUGCUUGGGACUUAAUAUUGCAUUAUAAUCACCUUAACUGUAACCCGGAAUUUGUACAGGCCGCCUGUAAGAAAUUUGAAUCGGAAAUCUCUGAUCUGAAGAGCCGCCAGAAGACCCAGGAAAGUGAAACCCAAAAAGCCAACUCCAAAUUUGAACUCAGUGUAUCCGCACAAGAGAAACUGAAGAAAAAAUUUGAAGCAGAAAAGAAAGCCUGGGCAGAUGAAAAAGCUGCUUUGCUCAGCCGGGCCGAACAAGCGGAGGCCACUCUUACUGAAAGAACCACCGAGCUCUCCGGCUUAAAACGCCAUGUCUCUCAGAUGGUCUCCGCAAUCUUUGGUAAAUUUCUAACCAGUUUACAUCGUUUAGUUCCCAUAAACAUCUCAAUUGCCAACAACUCACUUGACUUGGUAAUGCAGGUCCCAGGAGUUCCAAUCUCAACCAGAGCGUGCUGACCAAGCUGAAGGCGGUUUACACCUUGGUGGAGCAACUUUACACCGGGUCACAGCGUGCUUUAGCUGUUGUGGCUCUGUCCAAUGAAGUUCCCACUCACCUGGCAGAUGUACUCAGGCGGCUUGCCAUACUUCCUCAGCGCUUCCAAGAGCUGAGACGGGCUUCUGCAAGAGCCGGAGCCAUAGCCGCUCUGAGCCGUGCCAAGGCGUUUCUACCGGAGCUAGACCCGGCUGACAUCGUCCUUGGGUAUCCCAGCUUGAAGGAAGACGGCACCCCCUUUGAACAGAAGGACUUCGCCGCCUGUGUGAAGAGCGUACGCCCUGUGGCCACUUUGAUUGGCAGUGACACAGAUCUUUCCAAAUAUCAGCCGGGCUAUGACACGGAGAAUCAGAGAAUUCCAACACCACGCUAUGAGGCAGUCAGCCUGAUUCCGCCAACUCGUAAGCAUACCUUCGCCCCUGAAGUUGACCCGGCCGGGUUAAUUGAUGAUGAGGCUCAAUUUGAAGCUUUGAGCGGCAUUGACUGGAAAUCAUCAACCUUCCAGGUCAUGGAAACAGCCGGAGGAGCGGAGAGGGAUGAGCCGGUAGCUUCAACCCAACAGGCACUUUAAUUUCUUAGGCGGCUCAUGGUUAUUCCUCAAAACAAUGCCUCACCUUUUGGACUCGGGGAGUCGUGUAAUAGAGUAGAUCGAACACUUAAUUUUGUCGUGCCAUCGUGCACGUGUGCAGCACUUAACUCUGUUUAAGCUACCCUUUUAUAUCCCUCCGGGUUACGUUUGAUCCUCUGCUUUCCUUAAGUUUAAAGAGCUGUCUGUAAUUCCUCUGCAUAGAAAACAAAUCGCAAGUCCCUAGGCGGCUUACCGCAUGGAGAGUCAUAUAUUUUACAUAUAACCCGGAAUAUGAAUCAAAGUCAUAAUAAACUGGCUCACAAUUAUAUCUUAGAGAUAACCAUAACAGCAUACCUGCGAGCUUUCAAGUGAACUUCUGGUUUAUGUAACCCGAAUAAGGAGGUUGAGAACUCAACUCCGGUUUACCAGCACCCAUAAUGCUUAUUGUGUGCUAUCAACAUUAUCAAUCAAGGUUAAACCGGUGGAAUAAGAACCAACCUUGAACACCUUUGAUAUGAUUAAAAGAACUUGUUGCAAACCAAGAGAUCAGAAACUUAAGGGCUUCUGAUUCGAAUACGACCAGAGAACCGUCCCAAAGGGGUUAAGCUAAGAUUCGAAUGCGAUCAUAUAGCCCCCAGUGGCUUUGGCGCUGCCUAUCAAGAGGGUACCGACAGCUAUGUUCUCUUUGGUUCGAAUACGACCUAUGUUUGAACAGGAAGCCCCCAAAUGACCUUGAAAUUUGUUUAACGACACUGAUUCAAAUACGAUCCACGUCGGCUCCCAAAGGGGGUUGAGCUAUGAUUCAAAUAUGAUCAAGAAAAAACUCCCCAAUGAGCUCAGCAAUAUGCCAAUCAAAUGGGUAUCGACAGCUCUGUUCUCUUUGGUUCGAAUACGACCUAUGUUUGAACAGGAAGCCCCCAAGUGAUCAUGUUUUUAACGGCGAGAUUCGAAUACGAUCAUAAGCCGGAUCAACCUCCAAGUGACCAUGUAAUGUUACAAUGAAAAUAACAACGAUACAUUUACCUUGUGAGGAAAAAAGGACAGAGGUCCUGCUUUUUUAUUUAUCACAAUAUAUACAUUGCUAUAGAAAUAUGUACAUUAUGAGAGCCGGUGGCUCAAGUGUAAUAAGGCCGAAGCUGAGCUAUGUUCCACGGGCGGCGGGUCUCCUCCUCCGACUUACGUGAAUCUCUAUGCUCUCGAACAUCGAUAAGGUAGUAUGACCCAUUGUGCAAGUUCUUGCUGACCACAAAGGGCCCUUCCCAAGGUGGGGAUAACUUGUGCGCAUCUGUUUGAUCCUGGAUGAGCCGGAGCACCAAAUCACCUUCCUGAAAGGCCCGGGACUUAACUCGGCGGCUGUGAUAGCGGCGCGGGUCUUGUUGGUAAAUCGCCGAACGAGCUGCUGCUAUGUCACAUUGUUCAUCCAACAAGUCAAGAGCUUCUUGACGCGCCUGCUCAUUGUCUGCCUCGACAUAAGCAGCCACUCGAGGCGAGUCAUGACGGAUGUCGCUAGGGAGGACCGCCUCAGCUCCGUAAACCAUGAAGAAAGGUGUGUAACCCGUAGACCAGUUAGGAGUAGUAUUGAUGCUCCAUAACACGGAAGGUAACUCCUCCACCCAACAACCUGGCGUCCGUUGCAAAGGGACCAAAAGCCGGGGCUUGAUGCCCUUCAAGAUCUCCUGAUUGACUCUCUCAGCCUGACCAUUGGAUUGAGGGUGAGCCACUAAUGAAACAUCGAGCCGAAUAUGCUCUCGUUGACAAAAUUCCUCCAUGGCGCCUUUAGACAGAUUGGUGCCAUUGUCAGUUAUAAUGCCGUGUGGAAAACCAAAGCAAAAUAUCACCCUUUUCAUGAACUGAACCGCUGUGGCCGCGCCACACUUACUAACUGGCUCUGCCUCAACCCACUUUGUGAACUUGUCGACCGCCACCAGGAGGUGGGUCUUCUUAUCCUUGGACCUUUUAAAAGGCCCAACCAUAUCAAGCCCCCAGACCGCAAAUGGCCAAGUGAUUGGAAUCAUCCUCAACUCUUGAGCCGGCACAUGAGCCCAUCGCGAGAACCUCUGACAACCGUCACAUUUACUGACCAAGUCCUCUGCAUCAGCAUGAGCCGUCAGCCAAUAAAAACCAUGACGAAAAGCCUUGGCCACAAGGGAUUUUGAGCCGGCAUGAUGGCCGCAAUCCCCCUCGUGAAUCUCACGUAAAAUUUCUUGACCUUCCUCAGGGGAAACACAACGCUGGAAAGUUCCAGUGACACUGCAACGAUGCAGCUCGCCAUUGAUAAUUGUCACUGACUUAGACCGCCGGGUUAUUUGUCUGGCCAAAGUUUCAUCCUCAGGCAAUUCUCCCCGGGUCAUGUAAGCCAAGUAUGGUACUAUCCAAUCUGGGAUAACGUGGAGAGCCGCCACCAACUGUGUUUUCGGGUCAGGAACAGCCAAGUCUUCCUCUGUAGGCAACUUAACAGAAGUGUUGAGGAUAUAGACCUUAGAGUCACCCGCAAGGAGGGGCCGGGUUACUCAUAAUGGUCAUUGCCAGAAGCCCGGCGCUAAGCUCGAAGACGGUGGGCCAAAGAUGGGCUUAAGACCCGGAUAUGGCUUAAGGCCCGUAGUUACAAUCAUUAUUAUGGUAGAACUUGUAGUGUAAGGCAAGAAUAGUUGAGAGUCCGAGCCGGACACUCUUAUGAGCCGGCCGGGACUCUGAGAGUUGCUGGGCGUCAGCCCCCUAUAUAAAGGGACGACCUGGCGGCGGUUUAGGGACAAGAAAGAUCUGACCGAGAGCCAGGCAUAGCAGUUAAGCUCCCUGGUCAACGAAACCCUAAUCAAUACCACCUCAACUGGACGUAGGCUUUUACCUUCACCGUAAGGGGCCGAACCAGUAUAAACCCUCGUGUUCCUUGUCCCGUUAACCCCUUCAAGCUUCCUAGCGGCGAUGGCUCCACGACUAAGUCCUAGCUUGAGGACAUCUGCCGUGACAAUUCCACGACAGUUGGCGCCCACCGUGGGGCCACCGCACGAUGGAUUUGAGUUCUUGAAGGGCAGCUUCGAAGGGCUCAAGGGAUACGUUGUGGGCCGGAUGACCAAGAGUCGUUGCGGCAAGCUCUACAUCGACGAUGCAAACUGGGGCCCCUACGCCGGCUCAAUUGAGUACGGGUACCGGGUCCCCUUCGGCGGAAUUCAUGUUUUCAUUGGCAAGAUUGGUGAGCCGGGCCCUGAGUCGGAUCUCUGCGCCGAUCUCAUCGAGACGGCUCAGCGCGCACGACCCGCCCGGGCCCGGCCUGCCUGAAAGCAUGCUUUUGUGGGAUGUAUCCAUGGAGGGCUCUCUGAUCGAUCUGGAUCUGGUGAUGAGACGGCCGCCGGCUCUGAUGGCGAGUCGUCCACAGAUGAGUCAAACUCGUUGUAUCAACUUCAAGAUGGCAGGCUCAUGGGUUGUUCCGAUGGUGAUAGUAUUCCGGACCCGUUUGAGCCGCCAAGUCAGAUUGGAGUCUUUAUGGCCGGUGCACAGCCUGUUCAGAACCCUGCUGCUGGAGCGGGAAACCCGGUGCCCUCGCCGGCUCAGGUGCUGAUGGAUCUCACGGACAAGAUGACGGCCCUGUUAACUGCCGCGGUUGACCCGGCGGAUCAAGCUCAGCAUGAUGCGGAGGUGGCGCAAUUAAAGUUAGAUCUAGUGAAAGCUAAGGAGGACCUGGCAGCGGAAGGGAUCAGGAUGGCUGCGGAGAGGGCGGCUCUUGACGCCCAAACACAAUUGAUCUAGGCGCAGUCUUUCCGGCUCACGAUGGAUCAGAACACGUCCAAUGAGGUCAUGAGAAGGAGGCAUCAGAAGGCCCAAUCUCGGCUCCCUCCGGUUUACGAUCCACGAAACCUCUUCAACACACCAGGUGCAGGGUCUAGUAACCCGCCAGGGGUCAUAGUGCCCGGGUCUGGGACCCCUAUUCAGCCACAAGUGAUGGGGCCUCCCCAGGUGCCCCCUGCCCCGCCUCAGUACGUGCCAAUACCACCGGGUCAUUAUGCCAACCCGCUGGAGAACAUGGUCGCCGCGGCAGCACGGCUGGCGGCUCUCCCAAUUGACGGCGACUCUCCGACGGCUAUUGAAACCCGCCGGGUCAGGGAACUCCUUCAGACAGCACUGGCGCAACAAGAGGCGUACUCCUACAGCCGGGACAGGAUCCACUCGACCCCUCGUCCAGGCCGGAGCCCGAGUUACAGCAGACACAUGGUCUCAGCGACCGGCUUAAGUAACGUCCGACGCCAUGACCCGCCCCCUACCCAUGGCCCGGCUCAUAGCGGAGCCUUUCACGCAGCAAACCAAGACAGAGUGCGGCAAGAGGCGGAGCAGGUGCCUCAGUUGACGGCUUACCAGACUCCCCCGGCUUACCCGACGACGUCUGUCGACGUGGGUAUCCCUAACAGGACUGGGGGUGUCCCUUGUUUAGUACCAGCUAUCCACAAUGAACGUCUACCCAAGGACUUCAAAGGCCCUAGGAAGGUGCCUAAUUACACGGCUGACUUACAGCCCGCAGCCUGGAUCGAGAUUUACGAGAUGGCCAUGGAACUGCUGGAGGUCAGUGAGGCGGCAAUGGCCAAGUACUUCACCAUGAUGUUAGAUGGGACUGCCCGCACUUGGUUGAAAGGGCUACCACCAAAUUCCAUCGGGUCUUGGGCUGAGCUGAAAGCCCGGUUCAUCCAAAACUUCAAGGAUACCUGUAGGCAGUCUAUGUCAAUUGUGGAUUUGAGUAACUAUAAGCAGCAGAAGGGUGAAUCCACGACACAUUGGGUUCGCCGGGUCAAGGAGAUCAUACAUUCAUCAGAUAAGAUGGAUGCCGGCUCUGCAGUCUUAAUAUUGGAGCAGAAUUGUCGUUUUGUGCCCCUGAAGAUGAAACUCGGGUGGCUUAAGCGCGACUGCAAUGAUAUGGGUACACUGAUGGCGGCUCUUGUCAAGUACGCCGAUUCUGAUGGUACCAAAGACCCCGCUUCAGAUGAUGAAAGGACAGGGAAGGGAAAGAAGAAUGGCAAUGGCAAGGGUCCUCAGCAUAACCCGGGGAAUCAAGGAUGUGAGAAGCGCAAGGCCGAUGGCAGCCUAGAGUUUGUAGCCAAUGCCAGCUCACAGGGUAAUAACCAGCGACGCAAGGGAAGGCCCCCUCCCCGAGCCGGCGGGUCAGGCCCGACGCUGGAGCAGCUGUUGAAUGAGCCUUGUCCAAGGCAUGGCUCUAGAGAGAAGCCACCUACCCAUCUAUGGAAGGAUUGUGCAAUCAUGAAGGCCUUUAAAAAUUACAAUGGCCCGGGCGGCGGCUCAGGCGCCGGCGGUUUUCAUGGCCCGGGCGGUGGCUCAAAUUCUAAUCCUCGGAACGGUCAAGGGGGUUUUAAUCAGCAGUCUGGCCAGGGUCAUCAACAGCAGCAGGGGGGUUAUCAGACCAAUCCAAAGCAGCUUAGCGGUGGACAGUAUCAUGUGUUUACCACCAGUCUGUGUAAGCGAGAUCAGAAGCCUCAUAAGAGGGCUGUGAAUGCUGUUGAGCCGGCGGUUCCACGCUACUUGCGGUGGUCUGAGCAGCCUAUAGUGUGGAGUAGGGAGGAUCAUCCUCCCCGGGUGGAUAAUCCGGGUCACUUGGCCUUGCUGGUGGCUCCUCAGGUGGGAGGAUAUAAGUUCACUAAGGUGCUCAUGGAUGGAGGCAGCAGCAUCAACAUCCUCUAUUAUGAGACGUUCCGUCGUAUGGGGUUGAUUGAUAAGAACCUCAGCUAGUCAAACACUAUUUUCCACGGUGUGGUGCCUGGUAAGUCGGCUUACCCAGCCGGCAAGAUCGAGUUGGAAGUGGCCUUUGGAGAUGAGCACAACUACAGGGUGGAAAAAUUGACCUUUGAGGUGGUCAAGAUAAGAAGUCCGUACCAUGCCAUAUUUGGGCGGCCGGCUUACGCCAAGUUCAUGGCACGGCCGUGUUACGUGUAUUUACAGCUCAAGAUGCCGGGUCAUAAUGGGACCAUUACGGUUCAUGGAAGCCGGAAGGUGGCCCUGGAGUGUGAGGAAGGCGGUGCAGCUUAUGCAGAAUCUGUUUGUGCAACAGAGGAGUUAAAGUUUUACGAAGACAACGUUGACCCAACAGAUAUGACCUCUCUGAAAAAGCCGACUACGGAGCAUGAGCUGGCAAUGAAAUUCAAGUCAGCUGAUGAGACUAAACUUGUUGAUUUCGUUCCAAGAGAUUCAUCUCAGCAGUUUAGCAUCAGUGCCAAUCUGGAUCCAAAAUAGGAAAGCCCGCUCAUCGAGUUCAUCCGUGAGAAUAGGGACAUCUUCGCGUGGAAACCUUCUGACAUGCAAGGUGUACCUAGAGAACUCGCUGAGCACACUCUCAAUGUUGAUUCGAAAUUUAAGCCGGUCAGGCAGUUCCUUCGGCGGUUCAAUGAGGAGAGGCGGGAAGCUAUUGGUGAAGAGGUGGCCCGGCUCUUGGCGGCCGGGUUUAUUGUUGAAGUCUUUCACCCAGAGUGGUUAGCUAACCCGGUCCUCGUACUCAAGAAGAACGGCACUUGGCGGAUGUGUGUGGACUACACGGACUUAAACAAGGCGUGUCCGGCUGAUCCUUUUGCCCUUCCCCGUAUUGACCAAAUUAUUGAUGCUACGACAGGUUGUGCGCGCUUAAGUUUCUUGGAUGCUUAUUCCGGUUAUCAUCAGAUCAAAAUGGCAGUUAAGGACCAGGAGAAGACGACGUUCAUCACUCCCUUUGGAGCCUUCUGCUAUGUAUCUAUGCCCUUUGGACUCAAGUGUGCACAGGCAACUUAUCAGCGUUGCGUGCAGAACUGUCUUCAUAACCAGAUUGGGUGCAAUGUUCAUGCUUAUGUGGACGAUAUUGUGGUUAAAUAUAUAAAGGAGGAAACCCUGAUAGAUGAUUUGAGGGAAACCUUUGAUAAUCUCCGGGUUUACAAGAUGAUGCUUAACCCGGCCAAGUGUGUUUUUGGUGUUCCUGCAGGCAAACUCUUGGGUUUCUUGGUUUCUGACAGAGGCAUUAAAGCUAACCCGGAGAAGAUCAAGGCCAUCACCUCCCUGGCUAAGCCGGCGUGUAUAAUGAUGUUCAGCGCUUGGCUGGUCGCAUCGCUGCUUUAAGCCGGUUUAUAAGCCGUUUGGGUGAGAAGGCCAUGCCAUUAUAUCAGUUGAUGAAGAAAACUGAUAACUUUGUCUGGAAUGGUGCAGCUGAUACUGCCUUUGAGGAUUUGAAGAAGCAGCUGGCAGAGCCCCCAGUCCUUGCUGCUCCGGUUGAUAAGGAGCCCUUAUUACUAUAUGUGGCGGCGAACACACGAGCUGUCAGUGUGGCUGUGGUGGUGGAGCGCAAGGAAGAGGGUAAGGAGCAUCCGGUUCAGCCGCCGGUUUAUUAUGUCAGCGAAGUUCUCAUCGAGUCCAAACAGCGGUAUCCACAUUGGCAGAAGCUUGUUUAUGGUGUGUUCAUGGCGAGCCGGAAGCUUAAGCAUUAUUUCCAGGGUCAUCCCAUCACUGUGGUUAGUUCGGCUCCUCUUGGUGAUAUCAUUCAAAACAGAGAGGCCACAGGAAGAGUAGCUAAGUGGGCCAUAGAGCUCGGACCUCAUGGUCUCAAAUACGUGCCACGCACUGCUGUUAAAUCUCAGGCCUUGGUGGAUUUCAUCAAUGAUUGGACAGAGUCACAAGUGCCUGAGCAAAAGCCGGAUAACACAUAUUGGACUAUUCACUUUGAUGGGUCCAGGCAGUUGGAGGGCUCGGGGGCUGGAGUCGUAUUGGCUUCCCCUAAGGGUGAUAAGUUCCAUUAUGUGCUACAAUUGAUGUUUCCUUGUACCAACAACGUAGCUGAGUACGAGGCCUUGCUCCACGGUCUUCGAAUGGCUAAGGAGAUGAGCUUGAGCCGGGUAAGGUGUUUCGGUGACUCAGACUUGGUGGCUCAACAAGUAUCAGGGAAGUGGGACUCUAAGGACCCUCUCAUGGCGGCUUAUCGCCGCGAAGUUGAUGCCAUUGCUGGGCACUUUCAGGGCUACCAAGUAGAGCACAUUGAUCGCAGGAAGAACAAGGCGACUGAUGCCCUAAGCCGGCUGGGCUCUCAGCGAAAGCCGUUGCUACUUUCCUGGAUGUCCUGUAUAACCCUUCUGUUAAGUUGCCUACAGAGGAAGACUUGGCUGUCCCUGACCCGGAGGCACGACUGGUGGCGGCUCUCCACAUCAUACCGGACUGGACAAUGACCUAUCUGGCUUACAUGACCCGGGGAGAGUUGCCUGAGGAUGAAACUUUGGCCAGAAAAAUAACCCGGCGGGCUAAGUCAAUGAUUGUUAUCAAUGGCGAGUUGCAUCACCGCAGUGUUAUGGGAGCAUUCCAGCGUUGUGUCUCCCCUGAGGAAGGUCAAGAGAUCUUGUGUGAGAUUCAUGAAGGGGAUUGUGGCCAUCACGCCGGCUCAAAAUCUCUUGUGGCCAAGGCUUUUCGUCAUGGUUUUUAUUGGCUGACGGCUCAUGCUGAUGCGGAGGACUUGGUCAGUAAAUGUGAUGGUUGCCAAAGGUUCUCACGACGGGCUCAUGUGCCAGCUCAGGAGCUGAGGAUGAUCCCAAUUACUUGGCCCUUUGCGGUCUGGGGGCUUGAUAUGGUUGGGCCUUUUAAAAGGUCCAAGGAUAAGAAGACCCACCUCUUGGUGGCAGUUGACAAAUUUACCAAGUGGGUUGAAGGGAGCAAGUUAGCAAGUGUGAUGCAGCCACGAUGGUUCAAUUUAUGAAAAAGGUGAUUUUUCGCUUUGGCUUUCCGCACAACAUUAUAACUGACAAUGGCACCAAUCUAUCCAAAGGCGCCAUGGAAGAGUUUUGUCAACGAGAGCAUAUCCAACUUGAUGUUUCCUCGGUGGCUCAUCCUCAAUCCAAUGGUCAAGCUGAGAGAGCUAAUCAGGAGAUUCUGAAGGGCAUCAAGCCCCGGCUUUUGGUCCCUUUGCAAUGGACGCCGGGUUGUUGGGUGGAGCAGUUGCCCUCCGUGUUAUGGAGCAUCAACACUACUCCUAACAGGUCUACAGGUUUUACGCCUUUCUUCAUGGUUUAUGGGGCAGAAGUAGUCCUCCCCAGUGACAUCCGUCAUGACUCGCCUCGAGUGGCGGCUUAUGUUGAGGCGGAUAAUGAGCAGGCGCGCCAAGAUGCUCUCGACUUGUUGGACGAACAGCGGGAUGUGGCAGCAGCUCGCUCAGCGAUUUACCAACAAGACCUGCGCCGUUAUCAUAGUCGCCGGGUUAAAUCCCGGGUCUUCCAGGAAGGCGAUCUCGUGCUCCGGCUCAUCCAAGAUCAAACAGAUGCGCACAAGCUAUCCCCGCCUUGGGAAGGGCCCUUUGUGGUCAGCAAGAAUUUGCACAACGGGUCAUAUUACCUCAUUGACAUUCGGGAGCACAAAGAUUCACGUAAGUCGGAGGAAGAGACCCGUCAGCCAUGGAACAUAGCUCAGCUUCGGCCUUACUACACUUGAGCCACCGGCUCUCAUAAUGUACAUAUUUCUCUCAGCCAUGUAUAUAUUAUGAUAAGCAAUAAAGCAGGACCUCUGUCCUUUUUUCUCCUCCAAAUGUGCAUGUGUUGUUUUCAUUGCAAGAUUACAUGAUAACUCGAAGGAGGAUCCGGCUUAUGAUCGUAUUCGAAUCUAGCCGUCGGUAAUAAGGUCACUUGGGGGCUUCCUGUUCAAACAUGGGUCGUAUUCGAACCAAAGAGAACAUAGCUGUCGAUACCCAUUUGAUUGGCAAAGUGCCGAGCUCAUUGGGGAGUUUUCUUUGAUCAUAUUUGAAUCUUAGUUAACCCCUUUGGGAGCCGACGUGGAUCGUAUUCGAAUCAGCGUCGUUAAACAAAUCUUAAAAUCACUUGGGGGCUUCCUGUUCAAACAUUGGUCGUAUUCGAACCAAAGAGAACAUAGCUGUCGGUACCCUCUUGAUUGGCAUCGCCACACCCACUGGGGGCUAUAUGAUCGCAUUCGAAUCUUAGCAUAACCCCUUUGGGACGGGUCUCUGGUCAUAUUCGAACUGGAAGCCCCUAAGUUUUUCUGACUUGUCACAAGUUCUUCUGAUUAUGUCAAGUAUGCACGGCCGGGUCGCACUUUGCCGGCUUAACUUUGAUUUGCAGUACUAGUCGAACACAAUUGGCGUUAGUAAGACUGGUAAACCGGAAUUGAGGUACCAACCUCAUAGCCCGGGUUAUCUAAGCCGACAGUGUACUUGCAGGCUGGUAAGUGUGUUGUUACGAUUAUAUCAAGGACAUCAUUGAGGGCCAGUCUUUGGUGAAUCAUAUUCCGGGUUAUAGGCAUAAGACUAUGAUUCUCCAUGCGGUAAGCCGCCUCGAGACUUGUGAUUUGUAUUUUCUUGCAGGGUAGUUAAAGACAACUAUUUCAGCUUAAGGAAUAUGACUGAUCAACUGUAACCCGGAGACAUAUAAGGAAGCAACUUUCAUAAGGAUUCAGCAUUCAACACGUGCACGAUGGCACAACACAGUUAAAGUGUUGACCCUAUUCUAUUACAAGACUCGUUGAGUCCAAAAGGGUGAAGCAUUGUUUCACAUAAAUCGUCUACAGAGUUAAGACGCUUGCUGGGUUGAAGUCUCCGGCUCAUCCCUCUCUUCUCCUCCGGCUGUUCCCAAGGUCUGGAAAGUCGACGACUUCCAGUCGAUGCUGCUCAGAGCUUCGAAUUGAGCUUCCACGUCAAUUAACCCCGCCGGGUCAAUCUCCGGGGCGAAGGUCUGCUUGCGAGUCGGCGGGAUUAAGCUGAGGGCCUCAUAGCGCGGAGUGGGGAUCCUCUGAUUCUCUGCAUUGUAACCCGGUUGAUACUUAGUCAGAUCUGUAUCAUUGCCAAUCAGAGUGGCCACCGGGCGUACGAUCUUCACGCAAGCUGCGAAGUCCUUCUGGUCGAAGGCGGUGCCGUCUUCCUUCAAACUGGGGUAGCCCAGAGCGAUGUCCGCCGGGUCUAGCUCUGGAAGGAACGCCUUAGCCCGGCUUAGAGCCGCUAUGGCUCCGGCUCUUGCAGAGGCCCGUCGCAGCUCUUGGAUGCAUUGAGGAAGAACGGCGAGCCGGCGAAGAACCUCAGCCAGGUGAGUCGGCACCUCGUUGGAUAGGGCCACCACAGCCAGAGCACGCUGUGACCCGGUGUAGAGUUGCUCCACCAGGGUGUACACGGCUUUCAGCUUGGUUACCACGCUUUGGUUGAGGUUGGCGCUUCUGGGACCUGUUUAACAGAAUAAGAUAAGCCGCCGACAAGGAUGAGUUAUGAGAUAUACAGAUUCUAAACUUGAUGAAAGCUGGUGAGAUGACUUACCGAAGAUUGCGGCAACCAUCUGGGACACUUGGCGCUUUAAGCCGGAGAGUUCGGCGGUCUUCUCUGAGAGAGCCUUCUCCGCCUGUUCGGCCCGGCUCACCAGAGUGGCCUUCUCUUCGGCCCAGGCUCUCCGUUCAGCAUCAAAGUCUGUCUUCAGCUUUUCUUGCGCGGCAAUGCUGGACACAAAUUUGGCGUUUGCUUUCCGGGUCUCCGUCUCUUGCGUCUUCAGACGGGUCUUGAGAUCAGCGAUGUCAGCUUCAAACUUCUUGCCAGCAUCCUGCAUAAUUUCCGGGUUAUAGCAUGAACAGUUACUAUGCAAAUUUAAAAGUCCCAAGCGUUUUCCAAGCAAAGACACUUGGCACUUGGGGGCUAAUGCGUAUCGAACGUUCCUAUCUACAAAUUUCCGGUUCAUGGAAGUAAGCCGGAACUUAAGUCUACAACAUAUUCUUUCAUAAGUCGUCGACUUGGGGGCUAGCAUGGUAAAGGUAACUAUGCAGUAAGUAAGAGGACAGAAGAGUGAUACCUCAGACUUCUGCUGAAUCUGGUUCACCAUGGCGAUCUCUAAGUCCCGGCUCUUGUGCACUUGGUUGAUAUAGCCGGAGAUGACCUCUCCGAUGCUCAGAUUGGCAUAGUCGGUGAGGUCCAGAUUGGCCUGGUGGCGCCCUAACAACUCCUCCUUAGCGGAGCACUUGGCCAGCGCAGUAGGUCUCCCCGGCUCAACAUAUUCCGUCCGGGUGAUUACUACAUCCGAGUCAUCUGCUGGUUGAGCCGAGCUGGAGGCCUCCGGGUUAGCAGAAGCUUCUGCUAUGGGCUUGUUGGUUGGAGCAGCGGCCUCAGGAGCAGAGGCAGCUGGCGGUUCUUGAGCGGCUAUCUCCGGCUCAAGCAAGUCCGGCUCAUCGGUUGGCUUGUUCUUCUUCGCCCUUUUGUUGAGUUUUGCUUGGGCACUGAAAAGACAAAAAGGUCAAGCACAAAAGUUUAAGUAAAGACAAAAUACAACAUGAGGUGAUCAUCAUUACCCGGGCACGGUCUUGAAAGCCGGAAGAUUCGACUGCAUAGAGUCGCCAGAAGAGGGGGAAGUUUCCUGAUAAUUUGAAUCAGAAGAGUUGAGCGGUUGACGUAUAACACUUGCCAAAGGAUGAAAAGGGUACAACUUUGAGAUCACCUCGGUCUGGCGUUUCUUCGAUGCGUCAGGUAACCCGGAGGAGAGGUCAGUGUCUUUGUUGUUCCGGGUGUGCCGCCGGCUUUCAUGAACCUGUCGCUUCAAAAUAAAUUGAGGAUCUUGAUAAGCUAAAGGAUGUGAAAAGCUUACUUUCCAGGUUACCCUUCGGACUUUCAGCCUUGGCAAGGGCUCCGAGUCAGAGGAAAGUGACAUUACCUCUUCAACCACCGGGUUACUUGCGCCGGUGUCAUCCUGUUGGUGAACAGUAUUGGUAAGGUGGACAGAAAUAAAUAGCAGAUAUAACAAGAGCUUACAGGUUCAGGGGUUACCUCUGACUCGGAGCUGUCGCUUAAUUGCAUCAGCUCUGAAGCAGUAGGCCUACUUCCCUUCUUGCGGGGAGCGGCUUUCUUCGCCUUCCUGGCCUUCUUGGCCGCCUCGUGGUCAUAUUUGACCUUCCAGAAUUUGUCAUCAGCCUGAAAAAUACAAUGAUGAUUUCUUAAAGAUUCAGAUGAAGGUUAUCUGCAGACGGAGAUAAAAUGUUGAAAUCAGCGGCUUACUGCUGGGGCUGGGUUGAUCUUGCAGAAGGGGGCUAACCCGGUCCUCCCGCAGUCUGCCAAGCUCUCGUUCAAAAGAGCCUUGGUCAUGUCCUCAGCAACAUCUUCAGGAAGAUCGUUGCGACUGUGUCUCUGGGGGUCAUCCUUUCAGCCCGUGUAUUCGCACAUUAAGCCGGGGCGGCGGCUCAAUGGGAUCACCCGCCACGACAUCCAGACCCGGACCAGAUCGAUUCCGUUGAGACCAUUGCCCAGGAGAGCCUUGAUCUUUUUUAUGGUGGGGAGCAGAGGUUGGCGCUCCGCCUGAGUCAACUUGUCAGACAGAGGGUGAGUUGGUUCCAGACGUGAAGGGCGAAAGCCGGGCAGAGGGCUCUCGUCAGCCGGCGACGUGUCUUGGCAAUAGAACCACGUCUGGUUCCAGUCUUUUGGGUGACUCGGCGGCUCGGCGUAAGGGAAGAGGCAGUCUCUCCGUCGCUGAAUGGAGAUUCCGCCGAGUUCCAAACUUGGCCCGUUGGCGCACUCAUUCUGGCGGUUCAGGUAGAAUAGCUCUCUGAAGAGCAGCAGGCUGGGCUCUUCUCCAAGAUAAACCUCGCAGAACACUUGGAAAUUGCAUAUGUUGGACACCGAGUUGGGUCCUAUAUCUUGUGGCCGCAGGUCAAAGAAGUUCAGCACAUCUCUAAAAAACUUUGAGCCGGGCGGUGCGAAGCCCCGGCUCAUGUGAUCCGCAAAAAUGACCACCUCCCCGUCCCUUGGCUGUGGUCUCUCCUCUGAUGGGUCGGGGGCGCGGUAGGACAUGAUGUCCUUCUUGGGUAGGUAACCUGACUUGACAAAAUCCGCUAAAGUCUCGUUGGUGACAUUGGACCUCAUCCAAUUGCAAGUGAUGGAGGCUUUAGGAGCUUUGGGAGGCAUGGUGAAAGUCGGCAGCCUAUGAUAAAAGGAAACGUCCGGUUUAAUUAUAAGCCGGAGGAAAUUUACAGUUCAAUGUUAAAGUGGCGGCUUAUGAAGGGGACUAAUGACAUAUAUCUAAGUGCACCGGGUUAUUUAAGCCGCCCGAAGUAUUGAGAGUAAUUCGAUUGUCUACGGCCUUAUCACAGAUGAGCCGGAAAAUUCUAUGGCGCAUGGUCUCUUUUGAGUCGGAAGGUUCUACGGCGCGUGGUUUCUUUAAACCGGAAAUGUAAACCGCCAUGACUCAAUGAGUGCAGUUUUUACUAAGUGUGGUGAAAACAAGUUUCACACAUUGCAGUAAAUAAUUUGGAUCAAAAUGGUCGGUCAAAAGGAAAGUUUCUAGACCUAAAAACAGACGCAGGGGAGUUCUUGAGCUCGAACGAGGCCUUUAUGCAGUAAAAAGAGGUCUACUUGCAUUUGAAAUGAGUACUAAACAGCCGCCGCACUGGUUCUAUACUGUCCUAAGAUCAAAAAGAGGCAGUAAAAAGGAAAACUACCAAGAACUCACGGGCGGCAGCGAAGAACACGGAAGAACAGGAUGAACCUACUGCAGAUCUGUUCUACGGGGCAGUCAGAACUUACAGGUGCUGGUGAGUCGCGGAGGUCGCCGCCGUUUUCUCUGGACACAACAGGUUGAUGCAGCGGCCGGAGUUGGUGAGGAGGAGGAGACCCGCGGCGGCGACGGCAACAGAGCUUGAGCGGAGGAACAGUGGCACGAGGAGGAAGAACGGGUGGCUGAAGGACCGACGGACCGGGCUAUUUAUAAGGACGAGCUCAUAAGUGGGCGCGAGAAACGAGGAGACCACGACGUGGUUAUCUCCCCAUGAAACGCCUCGAUUUUCGGGAUGGCAGUAAAGAUAAGAUCCGUUGCGGAUCUGGUGGAGUAAAAAACGGACUUAAUGGAAGAUGACGUCACGGCGGAUUACCCGGAGUCCAGAGGAUGACGUCACGCCGGGUUAUGGCCUUCACACAAUUAUAAGCCGGAGAUUUUUCUGUCGAAAGGAUUGAAAAUUGACAUGAGUCGGCUCAAAUCAAUCUGGGGCCUAAUGUUGAGGAUAUAGACCUUAGAGUCACCCGCCAGGAGGGGCCGGGUUACUCAUAAUGGUCAUUGCCAGAAGCCCGGCGCCAAGCUUGAAGACGGUGGGCCAAAGAUGGGCUUAAGACCCGGAUAUGGCUUAAGGCCCGUAGUUACAAUCAUUAUUAUGGUAGAACUUGUAGUGUAAGGCAAGAAUAGUUGAGAGUCCGAGCCGGACACUCUUAUGAGCCGGCCGGGACUCUGAGAGUUGCUGGGCGUCAGCCUCCCUAUAUAAAGGGACGACCCGGCGGCGGUUUAGGGACAAGAAAGAUCUGACCGAGAGCCAGGCAUAGCAGUUAAGCUCCCUGGUCAUCGAAACCCUAAUCAAUACCACCUCAACUGGACGUAGGCUUUUACCUUCACCGUAAGGGGCCGAACCAGUAUAAACCCUCGUGUUCCUUGUCCCGUUAACCCCUUCAAGCUUCCUAGCGGCGAUGGCUCCAUGACUAAGUCCUAGCUUGAGGACAUCUGCCGUGACAAUUCCACGACAAGAAGGGUUAUGCAAAAUGUCCAAGAAAGUAUUAGGCGGCACCGGCUUUCGCUGAGAGCCCAGCCGGCUUAAUGCAUCAGCCGCCUCGUUCUUCCUGCGAUCGAUGUGCUCUACUUGGUAACCCUGAAAAUGUCCAGCAAUGGCAUCAACUUCGCGGCGAUAAGCCGCCAUGAGGGGGUCCUUGGAAUCCCACUUGCCUGACACUUGUUGGGCCACUAAAUCUGAGUCGCCAAAGCACCUUACCCGGCUUAAGCUCAUCUCCUUAGCCAUCCGGACACCAUGGAGCAAGGCCUCGUACUCAGCUGCAUUGUUAGUACAGGGAAACAUCAACCGUAGCACAUAGCAAAACUUGUCACCUCGAGAGGAAGCUAGUACAACUCCAGCCCCCGAGCCCUCCAAUUGCCUGGACCCGUCGAAGUGAAUAGUCCAGUAUGUAUUAUCUGGCUUCUCUUCAGGCACCUGCAGCUUUGUCCAAUCGUUGAUGAAAUCCACCAAUGCUUGAGACUUGAUAGCAGUGCGUGGCACGUAUUUUAGACCAUGAGGCCCAAGCUCUAUAGCCCACUUAGCAACUCUUCCUGUGGCUUCUCGAUUUUGGAUGAUAUCUCCUAGGGGAGCAGAACUAACCACAGUGAUAGGGUGACCCUGGAAAUAAUGCUUAAGCUUCCGGCUUGCCAUGAACACCCCAUAAACAAGCUUCUGCCAAUGUGGAUACCGUUGUUUGGACUCAAUGAGUACUUCGCUGACGUAGUAAACCGGCCGCUGAACCGGAUGCUCCUUACCCGCUUCCUUACGCUCCACCACCAUAGCCACACAGACGGCUCGUGUGUUAGCGGCUACAUACAGCAAUAAAGGCUCCUUGUCAACAGGAGCAGCAAGGACUGGUGGCUCAGCUAGCUGUCUUUUCAAAUCCUCAAAAGCAGCAUUAGCAGCAUCAUUCCAGAUAAAGUCAUCUGUUUUCUUCAUCAUCUGGUACAGUGGCAUGGCCUUUUCACCCAAACGGCUUAUAAACCGACUCAAAGCAGCGAUGCGACCCGCGAGACGCUGGACGUCGUUUACACACGCCGGCUUAGCCAGAGAGGUGAUUGCCUUGAUCCUUUCCGGGUUAGCUUCAAGGCCUCUGUGAGAAACCAGAAAACCCAAGAGCUUGCCUGCGGGAACACCAAAACACACUUGGCCGGGUUAAGCAUCAUCUUGUAGACCCGGAGAUUGUCAAAGGUCUCUCUCAGCUCUUCUAUCAAGGUCUCCUUCUCCCUGGAUUUAACCACGAUAUCAUCCACAUAGGCAUGAAUGUUGCGCCCAAUCUGGUUAUGAAGACAAUUCAGCACGCAACGCUGGUAAGUCGCCUGUGCACUCUUGAGCCCAAAAGGCAUUAGACACAUAACAGAAGGCUCCAAAGGGAGUGAUGAACGCCGUCUUCUCCUGGUCCUUAACUGCCAUUUUGAUCUGAUGGUAUCCAGAGUAAGCAUCCAAAAAGCUUAAACGCUCACAACCCGCCGUAGCAUCAAUAAUUUGAUCAAUACGGGGGAGAGCAAAAGGAUCAGCCGGACAAGCUUUGUUUAAAUCCGUAUAGUCUACACACAUCCGCCAGGUGCCGUUCUUCUUGAGCACGAGCACCGGGUUAGCUAACCAUUCUGGAUGAAAAACCUCAACAAUAAACCUGGCCGCCAAGAGCCGGGCUACCUCCUCACCAAUGGCUUUCCGCCUCUCCUCAUUAAAUCGCCGGAGGAAUUGCCUGACCGGCUUAAAUUUCGGAUCAAUAUUAAGAGUGUGCACAGCGAGUUCUCUAGGUACACCCGGCAUGUCAGAAGGUUUCAAUGCAAAGAUGUCCCUGUUCUCACGGAUGAACUCGAUGAGCGCGCCUUCCUAUUUCGGAUCCAGAUUGGCACUGAUGCUGAACUGCUGAGAUGAGUCACCUGGAACAAAAUCAACAAGUUUAGUCUCAUCAGCUGACUUAAAUUUCAUUACCGGCUCAUGCUCCGUGGUUGGCUUUUUCAAAGACGUCAUAUCUGCCGGGUCAACAUUAUCCUUGUAAAACUUUAAUUCCUCUGUCGCACAAACAGAUUCAGCGUAAGCAGCGUCACCUUCCUCACAUUCCAAGGCUAUCUUUCGGCUGCCAUGAACCGUAAUGGUCCCAUUGUGACCCGACAUCUUGAGCUACAAAUACACGUAACACGACCGUGCCAUGAACUUGGCGUAAGCCGGCCACCCAAAUAGAGCAUGGUACGGGCUUUUUAUUUUAACCACCUCAAACGUGAGUUUUUCCGCUUUGUAGUUGUACUCAUCUCCAAAGGCUACUUCCAGCUCGAUCUUACCGACUGGGUAGGCCGACUUACCAGGCACCACCCCAUGGAAAACAGUAUUGGACUGGCUGAGGUUUUUAUUAGUUAGUCCCAUACGACAGCAGGUCUCAUAAUAGAGGAUGUUGAUGUUGCUGCCUCCGUCCAAGAGCACUUUAAUGAAUUUGUAUCCUCCAACCUGAGGAGCCACCACCAAGGCCAGGUGACCCGGAUUAUCAACCCGGGGAGGGUGAUCUUCCCUACUCCACACAAUAGGUUGUUCAGACCAUCUCAAAUAACGGGGAACCGCCGGCUCAACAGCAUUCACAGCCCUCUUAUGAAGCUUCUGGUCUCGCUUGCACAGACUGGUAGUAAACACAUGAUACUGCCCACCAUUAAGCUGCUUUGGAUUGGUCUGGUAUCCCCCCUGCUGCUGCUGCUGAUUACCCUGGCCAGACUGCUGAUUAAAGCCCCCUUGAAAAUUCUGAGAGUUGGAAUUUGAGCCACCGCCCGGGCCAUGAAAGCCGCCAGCUCCUGAGCCGCCGCCCUGCCCAUUGUUGCCAUUAAAAGCGUUGGAAUUUUUGAAGGCUUUCAUGAUUGCGCAGUCUUUCCAUAGAUGAGUGGCCGGCUUAUCCCUAGAGCCAUGCCUUGGACAGGGCUCAUUCAACAACUGCUCAAGCGUCGGGCCUGACCCGCCGGCUCGGGGAGGUGGUCUCCCCUUACGUCGGUGGUUGUUACCCUGCGCAUUGACGUUGGCCACAAACUCCACACUGCCAUCAGCCUUACGCUUGUUACCUCCCUGGUUCGCCGGGUUAUGCUGAGGGCCCUUGCCAUUGCCAUUCCGUUUUCCCUUCCCUGUCCUUUCAUCAUCCGACGCGGGAUCCUUGGUACUAUCCGAGUCGGCGUACUUGACCAGAGCUGCCAUCAGCGUACCCAUAUCAUUGCAAUCGCGCUUGAGCCGCCCGAGCUUCAUCUUCAGGGGCGCAAAACGACAGUUCUGCUCCAGGAUUAAGACUGCAGAGCCGGCAUCCAUCUUAUCAGAUGAAUGUAUUAUCUCUUUGACCCGGCGAACCCAAUGGGUUGUGGACUCUCCCUCUUGCUGUUUGCAGUUAGUCAAAUCCACAAUUGACAUAGAUUGCCUACAUGUAUCUUUGAAGUUCUGGAUAAACCGGGCUUUUAGCUCGGCCCAUGACCCGAUGGAGUUAGGCGGCAGUCCUUUCAACCAAGUGCGGGGAGUCCCAUCCAACAUCAUGGUGAAGUAUUUGGCCAUUGCCGCUUCACUAACCUCUAGUAACUCCAUAGCCAUCUCGUAGCUCUCGAUCCAUGCUCCGGGUUGUAAAUCAGCCGUGUAAUUAGGUACCUUCCGAGGUCCUUUAAAAUCCUUGGGCAGACGUUCAUUACGGAGAGCCGGCACCAGACACGGGACACCUCCGGCCCUUGUAGGUACGCCCGCAUCGACAGAAGCCGUCGGAUGAGCCGGGAGGGGCUGGUAAGCCGUCAACUGAGCCGCCUGUUCUGCCUCUUGUCGUGCUCUGUCAUGGUCUACCGCGUUAAAGGCUCCAUUAUGCGCCGGGCCGUGGCCAGCUGGCAAGUUACGGCGCCGGACGUUGCUUGAGCCGGUCGCUGAAUCCAUGUGCCUGCUAUAACUUGGGCUCCGGUUCGGACGAGGGGUUGAAUGAAUCCUGUCCCGGCUAUAUGAGUAUGCCUCUUGCUGCGCCAGAGCCGUCUGAAGAAGUUCUCUGACCCGGCGGGUUUCGACCGCCGUUGGAGAGUCGCCCUCAAUUGGAAGAGCCGCCAGUCGCGCCGCUGCGGCGAUCAUGUUUUCCAACGGGUUGGCAUAAUGACCUGGUGGUAUCGGUACAUACUGAGGCGGAGUAAUGUUCACACGAGGAGGCCCCAUCACUUGUGGUUGAAUCGGCGUUCCAGCCCUGGGUGCUAUGAUCUCCGGUGGGUUACUGGGCCCUGCACCUGGCGUGUUGAAGAGGUUUCGAGGAUCGUAAACCGGAGGGAGUCGGGAUUGAGCCUUCUGGUGCCUCCUUCUCAUGAUCUCAUUGGAUGCGUUCUGAUCCAUCGUGGGCCGGAAAGAUUGCGCCUGAAUCAGCUGAGUCUGGGCAUCGAGAGCCGCCCGCUCUGCAGCCAUCCUGAUCCCUUCUGCUGCCAGAUCUUCCUUGGCUCUUGCUAUAUCCAGCUUUAGCUGUGCCACCUCCGCAUCAUGUUGAGCUUGAUCCGCCGGGGCGACCAUAGCGGUUAACAGGGCCGUCAUCUUAUCUGUGAGAUCCUCAGCACCUGAGCCGGCGAGUGCACAGGGCCUCCUGCCCCAAUGGCGGAGUUUUGAACAGGUUGUGCGCCGGCCAUGAAGAUUCCAACCCGGCUCGGCGGCUCAAAGGGGUCCGGAAUACUGUCGCCAUCGGAACAACCCCAGAGCCUGCCAUCCUGAAGCUGGUAUAACAAGUUGGUCUCAUCCGUGGAUGACUCGCCGUCAGAGCGAGCGGCCGUCUCAUUGCCAGAUCCAGACCUUCAGAGAGUCCUCCAUGGACGCAUCCCACGAAAGCACUCUUCAAGGCAGGCAGAGUUCGGGCGGGUCUCGCACGCUGAGCCGUCUCGAUGAGGUUGGCGCAGAGGUCCGGCUCAGGGCCCGGCUCGCCAAUCUUGCCAAUGAAAACGUGCAUUCCGCUGAAGGGGACCCGAUACCCAUACUCGAUUGAGCCAGUGUCGGGGCCCCAGCUUGCAUCAUCGAUGUAGAGCUUGCCGCGACGACUCUUGGUCAUCCGGCCCACAGCUUAUCCCUUGAGCCCUUCGAAGUUGCCCUUCAAGAACUCAAAUCCCCCGUGCGCUGGCCCCACGGUGGGCGCCAACUGUCGUGGAAUUGUCACGGCAGAUGUCCUCGUGCAAGGACUUAGUCGUGGAGCCAUCGCAACUAGGAAGCUUAAAGGGGUUAAACGGGACAAAGGACACGAGGAUUAUACUGGUUCGGCCCCUUACGGUGAAGGUAAAAGCCUACUCCAGUUGAGGUGGAAUUACUUAGGGUUUCGAUGACCAGGGAGCUUAACCGCUAUGCCUGGCUAUCGAUCUGAUGUUGCCUAUCCUGAACCGCCGUCGGGUCGUCUCCUUAUAUAGGGAGGUUGACGCCCAGCGGCUCUCAGAGUCCCAGCCGGCUUAUAACAGCAUCCGGCUCGGACUCUUAACUAUUCUUGCCUUACACUACAAGUCUUUCCAUAACGGCGGUUUAUCACUACGGGCCUUAAGCCGCCUCCGGGUCUUAAACCCAUUACUGAACCGCCAUCCUCAAACUUGGUACUGGGCUUCACGUGAUGAUCAUUAUGACUUAACCCGGCCCCUCCUGGGCGGGUGACUCGAAUGGUUAUAUCCUCAACAUCUUCUAAGUUUCCCGGAGUUAUUCUCAAAUCCUUUUCGAAGUUUGACGUAAGUAGGAAUUUCAUCAGUCAGAUGCUUCUCCAAGAUCGCUUUCAAAUUCUUUCAUGAUCGGGUCAACCUUUUCCUCUUUUCAUUCUCCCGGAGUAUCUCAUCAAUUUUGGUGUUGUUUCUCGUCGUCAUUCUCAACAUUUGAGGACCGAAGAAGAGUUUCUUUUAAAUCUUGCCCGUUCUCUCGGAGAUUCGUGGUGCUAGCUUCAUGUUAUCCUCUCAAAUUGUUUCUAGUCGUGCAAUUCUUUUCAUCCAUCCGGAGUAUUUCAGGAGCUGUUUUCUCUCUCGAUCAUCUGAAGGCCACCUUUUCAGAAGAUUUCUUCAUCCCAAGUUUUCAGAUUCAUUCUCCAAUUAUUCUAUAUGCAUGCCCCUUCGUUCGUUUACAUAUUCUUCCGGUGCUUCGUUCAAGUAUGCUUCAAUCAGCUCAUGAUCUCUUCUUUCAAUUGCAUCUUGAUUCCCUCAAGUAUAUUCGUGCUUUUCCUAUUUUUCCGGGUGAGUCAUUCUCCUUCGUCAUUCAAUUUUGAAUUCUAACGGUGGUUCGUUCAAGACCCCUUGUCAUUUGUAAUCAUAUCAAUUAAUUCGUUCUUUCCAAAUCCUACCGGUGGUUCAUGAAGACUUUCUCAAGUUUUGCGCUAUAUCCCCCCUUAAUCUUUUCCAACGCGAAUAAGUGGUAUGCAAAUCCAUGGUAUCUCAUCAAUUUAAUUGAUGGAGGAUAGGCAUAACACAAUUCUUAUUCUUCCCCAUCAAGUUAUCUAAUCCCUCCCUUCAGAGUUGUUCAUGUUGAAUAUACUCUAAUCCCAAGUGAUUCCAUAUUACUUUCCGGAGUUCCAAGCUUCCUCGGCCAUCUCGUCGGAACCUCCAUCAGAAUCGCAAGGCUCAAACCUUAUUCUAUUCAUCCUUCAAUUCUAUCUCAGAAUCCUUUUUGCAACCAGAGUGGUUUCAAAUUCAUUCUUAUUCCUUGAGCUUUGAUUCCCAUCGUAAUCGUCGUUCCUCUUUUCUAUUCGGGUGCCCUCGACCUUGUUCUUUCUCUCUUUUUUGCUCUUAUUUCACCUCAUCUUCUUUCCCUUCCGUCUCGGUCCUAAGAUCUCGAGACGAGAUCUCUUGUUAGUGGACGAGUGUUCUAACGCCUCGGAUCCGAUGCGCCAGGUGUCUUCCAGUUUUUCGCCGUCUUUGUCAUGUCAUUUGAUUGCGUGUUGCAUUUUGCCAUGUCAUCAUCUGCAUUUAAUCUACAUGCUUUUCAAAACUUGCAUCCGGCCUUUUUCCCCGUUGUCCGUUUCGCGAUCCGACACACUCGCACGCGUCCGUCGCCCCUCUCAGACCUUGGUUCGUGAGCGGGAGAAAAAGUUCUUGGAAUGGGCCGAGAUUUGCCGAGUGGCCUUGCUAUAUCACCGGCAGACCGCCCGUCAAAUUUCGUUCCAUUUGGAGGUCGUUUGAUGCCCCAACAGUUAACCCCGUAGCCCGAAAGCCCCUUUUGUCUUGCAGCCCAACACCCCUCCAAAUCAGCCCACUAACCCAGCAAAAACCCCCUCCAUGCUCUCGGUCAUUCGAUCAUGAUUGUGUGGGCGAAAACCGCACCUCAUUUGGACUCUCCUAGCUCCCUCUACCUAUAAAUAUGUGACUUCCCCCGAAAAUCCCGGAUGAAACCCUAGCCUUCCUCUUCCUCGCGCCGCCGGACACAUCCGCCCGCCGCCGGACUUGUCCACCGCCGCCAGCCACGUUGUCGGGGAUAUACCCCGCGGUAUGACCCGGCCGGAGAUAGUACCCGGCUGGGACAUGAUCUUUCAUUGGUGACCCGGCAGACUAUAAGUCGGCGGGAACAGUUAGGCAUUGUAAGCCGGCAGGCACAGUCAUGUAACCCGGCAUACACAGUCAUGUAACCCGGCAGACAUGUCGGGUGGUUGAUGCGACAUAUGCCAAGGGAUGGCUUAUCAUUGUGGGAGCCAAUAAAACGUCGCCGGUGCCUGGAAACGGGAUGAGGCGAAGACAUGCACGCCGGCGAAUCUUACCCAGGUUCAGGGCUCUCCGAGGAGAUAACACCCCUAGUCCUGCUCUGCGGGGUCUCCGCAUGAUCACUAAAUCGAUAAAGGGUAGCUACAAUCGCUCCUAGAGCUGUUGGGAUCAAGGGAGAAGGAGCACAAGGCUAGCUCUUGCUUCUCUCUAUCUAUGUGUGCGCGUGUGUCAUCUUGGAUGCGAACCCUUUGCAUGGGUGCUCCGGGGGGUUUAUAUAGGCCUACCCCCCGGGGGUACAAUGGUAAUCCGACUGGGACCUGGCCCCAGCCGUCAGUGUCUACGCUCGCCGGCUUCUCCGCCGGCUGCUGGGUCCCGCCGGCUGGUGGGUCCCACCGGCUGCCGGAUACUCGGUCGACAGGCCGGUCCCACCGCCUAGGGUUUUGUCGGCGGCUACUUACUGUAGCCGCGCCUCGGAGGAUGAGGGCUUUGUCGAGGUGAGCGUGGCUACAGUGGGCCGCGUCGGCGGCUAUCACUGUAGCCUCACCUCGUCUUGUCUCCUUAAUGGGGCUCCUGCUUCGAGGAAGGGCAUGGCCGGCUUCUGGAGGCCGGCUAUGCUCCCGGCCGACUAGGGAAAGCCGGGCCGCCUUCACGCCUCUCUCUGGCUGAAGGGGCCCACAGUCCUUGGGUCGUGCAAGAACGGGUCGUGGAUGACGUCGAGGCUAACGUGGCUAUAGUGCCGGGCCGCACGGGAGACCUCCCUCUCGUACGGCCUCCUGUAGCCAUGCCCGCCUCGGGCUUCGGGGGUCGUGGGCCGCACUGUGGCCACGCCCCGUCAGGUCGGCGUUAAGUUGGAGUGGUUGUGGUCGUGGCCGGCUUCUAGGAGUCGGCGUCCUUCUGGGCCGGCUUCUUGGAGUCGGCGAGGCUGGGUCGUCUUCCGGGAGUCGGCUUUAGUGGUAGCCGGCCCGGGAAGGCGGCCCAAAUGCUUGGAGUGCUUGAAGGCCCAAAGGCCUGAUAAAUUUUCUGAAGAGCCAGGGGUAGCCGGUUUAGCUACCCGUGGCCACUUACUCAGACAGUAGUCCCCGAACCUGAUCGGGCUUCGAGGUGGAGUAGGGUUCGAGAAGCUCGAACAGCUUCCCAUCGCGACAAGCCGACAGCUGGGAGCCGGCCUUGGUCAGGCACGUCGCCUGAGCCGAAAUCUUCUGGAGUCGGAGGGCGGGAACCUGCUAGCAUGUGCGCCGGGCCGCGGGCCGAUGGCGCGCCACGUAGCCGGAAAGCCUGCCAGCCCACGCGCGAGACGGGACGUUGCCGCAGAGAGGGGGCCCGCCACGUCCACGCCCCGGCCCAGGCGCGGAUCUUUUGCAUCCCGGAACCGCCCGCACGUUCCAUGCGGCAGUUUCGGCUCGCACUUAUGCGUAAUAAACGCGAGACGUGGGGGGAGUGGGCGCAGUUAAUCCCACGUCUCCCCCCACGUCCGGCCUCUUCGGCCGCGUGAGGCUAUAAGUAGGGGGAGGUGGAGGGCGGUAGGCCCUCGCACGCUCCUCCUACUUCCGCCGUCUUCUUGCCUUGCUCGUUCUCGCAACAGCGCCUCGCCGCCGCGCUCUUCCUCCGCACGCUCCUCCGCCGCCGUGCUAGCUUCCGCCAUGCCUCCCCAUGUAGAGCAGCGUGGCGGGGAUUGGGACGGCUCCAUCGUCCACAACAACCACAUCGACUUCCUCCGCGACACACGGCGUCUGCCCAGUGCGGACAAAGUGGAGGUCCGCCUCGCGCCGGAGAAAAAAAUCAGGCCGGCGCCGCGGGAUGGCGAGCGGGUGGUCUUCCGCUCGCACUUCCUACGCGGCUUCGGCUUGCCAGUGAGCGCCUUCUUCCGCACCUGGCUGGACUUCUAUCAGCUCCAACCGCACCACCUCACCCCCAACGCGGUGGUGCUGCUGUCGGCCUUCGUCACCCUGUGCGAGGGCUAUCUAGGCGUCCUCCCCACCCUUGAGCUCUGGGGGGAGUUCUUCCAGUCGAAGCUGGGUACGCGCAGCCAGGGCGUGCCGGCCCACACUGGCGCCUUCAUCGCGUCGCGGAGAUCAGGCGCCGACAACCCCUUCCCCGUCAUCACGCUGAUCCAAUCGGUGAAGAAGUGGCAGAAAUCAUACUUCUACGUGCGGAACAUCGCUCCACGGGGCGACUACGUCAACCUGCCGGCUUACGUAGCCGGCCCGCCGGCGGGGAGGCUGCCCCAGUGGUCCUUCCGGGCGGUGACGCUGUCGCAGGGAGGAAACGCCACCAUCGCCCACCUGCGGGUGAUGGUCCAGACGGAGGGCCUGACGGGGCCCGACCUCCUGGCCGCGUUCGUCACACGCCGGGUCCUCCCGCUCCAGAGCCGGCCUCAUCUGAUCUGUCAGAUGAGCGGCCAGCUCGAUCCGAGCCGGAUGUGUACCAAGGAGAUGCCGCAGGCUGACGCUGCCGACAUGGUGAACUACCUCGCCAACUACCAGCUUCCCGACGACUGGCAAUUUGGCAAGGAGCCAUACAGCCGCGCCAAUCCUCCGCCUACGGUACGCUCCCCUUCUCUUUUUCUCUUUGUCGCCGAGUUCCUCCGGGCCGACUCUAACUCAGUCGGCUCACUCUUUUGACAGAAUCCUCUGCUUCGGCCGGCCGGCGGGGUGGACGUGGAGCGCCGCUUCGUCCCCGACCGGACCAAGCACGACCAGGAGGACCCCGAUCUGGGGGCGGUCCAUAUGGAGGAAGCCGCCGAGCCGGCUGGUGGCCAAGCCGCCGGCGAAGCAGGCGGCGCCGGGUUCUCCGCGACCUUCGACGAUUGGCCGGAUGAGGACGAAGCCGAAGUCGUCCCGCCCCGCCAGCCAGCCUCCGGACGCGGCGCGGGCUCCUCCGGCGCGCAGCCUGCUCGGGGUAGAGGCCAGAAACGUCGCGCCGCCCAGGGCAUGUUCGGUAGCUGGACGAAGAAGCCGAGGGGUGGGGCGGCGGCCACCAGGCAGGAAGAAGCGGCCGCGAAGGCGGCUCGCUUCCGUAAAGUGGUGAAGCAGCCGCAGGCUGUGUCAGCGUAAGCUUUCUUUCUUUCUGUGCAUUCUCCUUCUCUCUUUCUUGAGUGGUCUUCUGAACCUUUGUCUUCUUUUCUUUGAUCAGGGCUCCACUGUCGCUCGAGCGGGCGGCUGCCGGCUCCGUUGUCGAGUCGCCAGGGGGCUCUGGGAGCACCACCCGCCGCGUAGAUCCCCGCGCCGCCCUCCUGGAGGCGACGGAAAGGAACGCGCGGGAGGUGCGGGAGGAGCAGGAAGCGCGGGAGGCGGAGGCACGGAAGGCAGCCUCUGCCCAGGCAGCUCGGGACGAGGAGGCAGCGAAGGCGCUCGCCGAGGCUGCAGCCAAGGCCCAGGCAGAGGCCGAGGCCGAAGCGGCGGCAGGGGAGGCCUUGAUGGUCACCCCUCUGCGCGCCAUGGCGCCCGGGGACGCGGAUCCCUCGCCAGGGGGAGCCAGCGGUUCCCAGCCGGGUCUGGGCGGGAGCGGCGACGACGUCAUCUUCGUGAGGGAGGCGCCGGGGCCGACUCCUCCGACUAGGGCGGCUCGAGGCGGUCAGACUGAGCAUGCGCCUGCACAGUCGGCGGAAGGCGAGCCGGCCGCGGGAGCUGAGGUGGCGGUCCGGGUUCCGCCAAGCCGGCGCGCAGGGAAGGCCGCGUCGGAGCCGCAAAAGGCGGCGUCGGAGCCACGGCCGGCCGUGGGCUCCAGCUCGUCGGCCCGAGACGCGGAGGCGGCCAGCGCUACCUCCGGGUGGACGCCAGGCGGAGGGACAGCCGUGGUGAACAUCGCUGCACAAGACGUCCGGACCCGGCUCCAGAGCCAAGCCGCGACGCUGAGGCUGUUCACCGACGAAUUCCUCGCCACGCGGGCAGCCAUCCGGGUUCGUAUUCUCAAUUUCGCCCUUGAUUUUUCUCGUGGGGGAGCGUCAGCGCACCCACUGGGUGUAGUCCCCGAGUUCCGAGUCGGCUGCUGAGCAGGCGGCUUGGAACUUCUUGGUGGAUUUGCCUUUGCUAUUUUUGUUCUUACUUCGGUCUUCUGUCCAUCUUGCAGGACUACCACAACCUCCGAGCGGCCGCCUUCAACUCCCAGGCUCGGGAGCUGACGCAGAAGACCGCCGAUCUCACUGAAAGCCGAGGUAUGUGACUUGAUCUCUAUCUCAUGUGGGGGCGCGUCAGCGCACCCACUGGGUGUAGUCCCCGAGAUUCGGGCCGACUGCUGAGCAGUCGGCUCGGAUCUUCCUUGAUGAUUUCUCAUUGUUCUUCUUCUUCUGUCUCUGCAGCGGCCAACGCCAGUCUGAGGGCACAGCUGGGGGAGUCCCAGACUGCUCUUCGUGCCAAGGACGCGGAGCUCGCCGCCUUGGUGCAGAAGCGUGACCGCCUGGUCAAGAAGCUGGCCGACCAGGAGGAAAGCCACAAGGCGGCGCUGAAGGCCGCGCAAGACCGUGAAGCCGCCCUCCAGGCCGAGUUCGAGACGGAGGCGGCCGCCUGGGACGAGGCCAGGAAGACUCUGGUCUCCGGCUAUGGCCAGAUUGAGGAUCUGGUUGACGGUAAGUCGUCUACCCCUUCGUCCUUUCUUGCUAUCUGUCACUUUGACUUGUUUUUCUGAUUUGGGGUUCUUCUUUUCUUUUCUGCGCAGAGUACUUCCCCGGCUAUUCCACUGCCGCCAACCAGGCCAUCAAAGCUCGUCGCCAGGCGAAGAGGCAAGCCGACUUCGAGAUUUCGCCGACUGCCGGCCGCUCGCUGGAGGAGCAGCUCCUGGCGAUCCAGGCUCGCAUCCAGCCGGCUCACAGGCUUCUCCGCCGGCUUCAGCGUGCCGGGUCGCAGGUCCUGGCCGCCCUCUAGCCCGGCCAAGUGAUCCCGCGCACUCCUAGUCGGACCGCCGAUUGGCUGGAGGUGGCCGUCGGGCGCUUCGAGGCUUGGAAGGCAUCAGCGGCUCGCUCCGGCGUCGGGCGGGCGCUGGAGUUCGUCAAGGCCUGGUACCCAGGCCUGAAUCUGGACCAGCUGGCUACCUGGCGGCAGCAAGCCGACGCGGAGCUGGAGCCGGCGCGGCCGGCCAUCAUUCGACGGGCUUCGGCAAUCGCCGACUACACCGACACCAACGUCUUCGCCCCCGAGGUGGACGACAAUGGAGUCGCCUAGCCGGAAGAUUGGUUCGGGCUGGACCCGGCGUGCGGCGAGGACUCGGCGGAGGAGAUCGACUCCAGCGACGAGGGCGAAGAUGAGGAGGAGGAGGGUGAAGACGUCGAGCCGGCUGGUGGAGCAGCCGGCCAGCCUGACCGCGCCUCCAGCACUACGUUACGUGCGAGUGCGUCUCCUGUUGCGGGAGGCGGUCAAGCCGGGACCAGCUAGGCGGCCACUCCUUCAGCCGGCGAGCUGCCUUCACCGACCAACUCGGCCUUCGCGCCUUUGUCUUCUUUCUUUUGUUUCCUGUCUUGUUACUUUUGAACAAUGUUUUUGGUUAAGUCUGCGCAGUCCCACCCACUGGGUGUAUUGAAACUCAAGUCUGUUGCCGCCUAUCGGGGGCUUUAUGUAUAUAAGUUAUGCAAUCGGUCUUUCCUUGUACUUUCGCUUUUUGUCCUUCUGCUUUUUUCCUUUGCCGCCCUCCCUUGGUUUCCGCCUCCCUAGUCAAACAGUUGCUCUGCAAUCUGUAGCCGGGGAGUGCCUGGCCGAUUGGGGAGGGGGAAGUACUUUUAGCUCGGUCGGACUUAAGCUAAGUUUUUAGGAAGCCGGCAGGCAUAUAUGGAGGCCGUCUUUUUGCUAUAUAGGUUGGUUGUUCCUUAGCCGUUUUUUCGUGUGGGCAUCCUUUCUGUCUUCUCUCUUGCUAGCCGGACAGUCAGUUCUUUGAGCUGCGACUUUCAACAAGAGAGGACUUGGGAGCCGGCGCACUACUUUGCUGACUUUGGGAAGAACGUAGAAUAUAGCUCAAGGCGGCCAGUCCCCGGGCCGACUAGUCGGACCCGGUGCCGGACAAGAAUUCGAAAUGUAAUAAUACAUUCAUGGAUAUGACACUCGUCAUUCAUGAAUAAAUAAAAGGCAGUCCCCGAGUAGGUUUGUAACGUAAUACAAAAACAAGGGGUAGCGUGAUACAUACUGCUUUUCAGCUGUAAAAUCGUCUUAGGAGGUUUGCGUUCCAUGGUCGCUCUGACUCCUUGCCGGAGUCGUCUCUCUUGCGUGCUUUUGGCUUUUGCGCGUCGAUCAAGUAGUAGGAGUCGUUGCCGAGUGCCUUGCUGACGACGAAGGGGCCUUCCCAAGGGGCCGAGAGCUUGUGCUGGCCGUCUGUUCGCUGGAUCAGCCUGAGCACAAGGUCGCCCUCUUGGAAGGAUCUUGGCUUGACCUUGCGGUUGUAGUAGCGGCGCAGGCCUUGCUGGUAGAUGGCGGACCGGCUGAGGGCUCACAGCCGGCCUUCUUCCAGUAGGUCAACGCCGUCUUCUCUUGCUUCUUUGGCUUCCUCCUACGUGUACAUGGUGAUCCGAGGCGAGUCGAACUCGAUGUCUGUUGGGAUGACAGCCUCGGCACCGUACACGAGGAAGAAUGGAGUGAAGCCGGUUGACUUGUUAGGUGUAGUGCGCAGACUCCAGAGGACAGCCGGCAGCUCUUCGAGCCAGCAGCCGGCCAAUCGCUCCAGUGGUACAACCAGUCGGGGUUUGAUGCCGGAGAGGAUAAGUCCAUUUGCUCGCUCGACCUGGCCAUUUGACUGCGGGUGGGCAACGGACGCUAAGUCCAGUCGGAUGCUCUGUGUCGCGCAGAAAGGUGCCAGCGCGCCUUGGGCGAAGUUUGUGCCGUUGUCGGUGAUGAUGCUGUGCGGCACGCCGUACCGAGUGGUGAUGUCGGUGAUGAAUGUCACGGCAGUCGGCCCGUUCAGCUUCUUGAUGGGCUUGGCUUCGAUCCACUUUGUGAACUUGUCCACCGCAACGAGCAGGUGUGUCAUGCCACCGCGGGCUGUCUUGAAAGGGCCUACCAUGUCCAGUCCCCAGACGGCAAAAGGCCAGGUGAGGGGAAUGGUCUUGAGGGCGGAAGCCGGCAGGUGUUGUUAGGAACUGAAGACUUGACACCCUCUGCAGCUCUUUACUAUUUCUUUAGCAUCCUCCAAGGCAGUCGGCCAGAAGAACCCAUGGCGGAAAGCCUUGGCCACGAGGGAUCUUGAGGCGGCGUGGUGGCCGCAUUCGCCUUGGUGGAUGUCUUUGAGGAUUGCCACUCCUUUUUCUGGCUCGACGCAACGCUGGAAGACUCCAGUGACGCUGCGCUUCACAAGCUCCCUGUUGAUUAUUGUGUAUGCUGCGGCUCGUCGUUGCACUAGUCUUGCUGCGAUCUCAUCAGUCGGCAGCUCUCUGCUGACUAGGAACUUGAGGAUGGGCUGGGCCCAUGAGGGAGCUGUGACUUCUUCUGCUGUUGUCGUGGCCACCAUGACUCGGGUGGGUGGUUUGGGUGUUGUAUUGGAGUCGACCACUGCUUCUUGUGUCAUUGCAGUCCCCGGGCCGACUGCUGCAGUCCCCGAGCCGGGUUCUGAAGUCCCUGGGCCGGGUUCGACUACGUCAGUCCCCGGGGCAGUCGUCAACGUCCCCGUGCUGCCUGCAGGAUUUCUUGAGCCGGAUCCGGCUGUUUCUGGCGCAGGCGGUACGAAGAUGGAGUCCGACUCUGGAGACGGCUUGAUGGACGGCUUGAGGAGGCGUUGGAGGGAGACGCCAGUCGGUAUGGCUUGUCGGGUGGAGCCGAUCCGUGCUAGGGCAUCUGCUUGGUCGUUGUCGGCCCUUGGCACAUGAAGGAACUCGCACCCUUCGAAGUAUCCGCUCAUCUGCUGGACGAGGAAGCGGUAGCUCGCCAUGUUCGCGUCCUUGGCGUCCCAAUCGCCAGAUGAUUGCUGGACCACUAAGUCGGAGUCGCUGUAGCACAGGAUCCGGCGUAUGCCUAGCUCUUUGGCUAGCCGGAGCCCAUGUACGAGCGCCUCGUACUCGGCCACGUUGUUGGAGGCGGCGAAGUGGAUCUGCAGCGUGUACUUGAGCUUGUCGCCUUUGGGAGAGGUGAGGACGAUGCCGGCUCCCAAGCCGGUGCGCAUCUUGGACCAAUCAAAGUGCAUCCGCCAAUGGGUAGAGUCGGGAGCCGGCGGUAAGUACUGGGUCUCGGCCCAGUCGACGAGGAAGUCGGCCAAUGCUUGCGACUUGAUGGCGGUGCGGGCUUGAUAGAAAAUCGUGUAAGGCGCCAAGGCAAUGGCCCAUUUGGCCACCCGGCCGGAUGCAUCCCGGCUGCCUAUGAUCUCGGUGAGCGGGGCAGCGCACACGACCGUGAUGGGGUGCUCUUGGAAGUAGGGCUUCAAUUUCCUGGCAGCGAAGUACACCCCAUAGCACAUCUUCUGGUAGUGCGGGUAGUUUUGCUUUGAGCUGGAUAGUACUUCGCUGAGAUAGUAGACCGGCCUCUGGACCAGCUGGGCUCGGCCUUCCUCCGGGCGCUGGACCACAACAACAGUGCUGACGACUCGGCUUGUCGCGGCGAUGUAGAGGAGCAUGGGCUCCUUCUCAGUCGGCGCAGCCAGGACGGGUGGAGUGGUUAACAUUUUCUUCAACUCAUGGAAGGCUUGGUCGGCUUGAUCAUUCCACUCAAAGUGAGUGGACUUCUUCAUGAGUCGGUACAGGGGGAGGGCCUUCUCUCCUAGUCGGCUGAUAAAACGGUUCAGGGAGGCUAAGCAGCCAGUGAACUUCUGCACAUCUCGCAGCUUGGUGGGUAUCUCCAUCCUCUCGAUGGCCUUGAUCUUGACAGGGUUGCACUCAAUGCCGCGUUCGGAGACCAGGAAGCCUAGCAGUUGGCCGGCUGGUACUCCGAACACGCACUUCUCGGGGUUGAGCUUGAUCUGGAAUCGGCGCAAGUUGGCAAAUGUUUCCUUCAGGUCUUCCAGCAAGGUACCGCGCUUCUCUGUGUUCACCACAAUGUCGUCUACGUAGACGUGGGCAUUUCUGCCGAGUUGUUUCAAGAGACAUUUCUGCAUGCAACGCUGAAAAGUGGCACCGGCGUUUCUCAAGCCGAAUGUCAUUGUCAGGUAGCAGAAAGCUCCAAAGGGUGUGAUGAAGGCAGUCUUGAGGCGGUCAGCCGGGUCAAACUUGAUCUGAUGAUAUCCUGAGUAUGCAUCCAAUAUACUUAACAGCUCGCAUCCGGCUGUGGAGUCUAUCACUUGGUCAAUCCGUGGCAAAGCAAACGGAUCCUUUGGGCAGGCCUUGUUCAGACUUGUGUAGUCUAUACACAUGCGCCACUUGUUAUUCUUCUUCAAAACCAGAACUGGAUUGGCAAGCCAUUCUGGAAAGAACACUUCCAUGAUGAAGCCGGCUGCAAGGAGCCGGGCUAUCUCUUCUCCCACGAUUCUUCGCUUCUCUUCUGAUAGUCGGCGGAGGGGUUGCUUGACCGGCUUCGCAUCAGCUCGGACAUGUAAUUUGUGCUCGGCGAAAUCCUUCGGGACACCCGGCAUGUCCUUUGGGGACCAUGCAAAGAUGUCUCGAUUCUCACGGAGGAAGUCGGCGAGCUCGCCUUCCUAUUUACUGUCCAAGUUCGCCCCAAUCACGGCGAACCUCUCCGGGUGCUCCGGUUCUAGAGGUAUCUUCUUCGUCUCUUUUGCAGGCUGGAAGGAGCCCUGCGCGUCACAGUCCUUGGGGUUGGGGGGACAAGGCCGGCUCCUUGCCGGCCAUGGCCACAACCCGUUCCAACAUCUUCUUCUCUUUUGCCACCACAAGGGACUCGGCCAGCCGGCUGCUGGCCAUGGCACACUCGAUGGACUUCUUGUAGUCGCCGGCUAUCGUGAUGAUCCCUUUCGAGCUCGGCAUCUUCAUCUUCAGGUAGGCAUAGUGGGGCACAGCCAUGAACUUGGCCAAAGCAGGUCGGCCAAGCAGUGCAUGAUAGGGGCUUUCCAAAUCCACCACCUCGAACCAUAUUGCUUCCCGGCGAAAAUGAUCUUUGUCUCCGAAGAGAACAUCCAUCUUGAUCUUGCCGAUUGGAGAGCAAGAUAGGCCGGGUACGAUACCAUGGAAGACUGUGCGGCUCGGCAUGAGCUGCUUCGCUUUGAUGUUCAGCUUGUCCAUGGUAUCGCGGUACAGUAUGUUGAUACUGCUUCCGCCGUCUAUCAGGACGCGGGAAAAUCUGGCAGCUCGCCUCUCUGUCGCAAGGGUGACGUCCAAAACCAUAGCAUAGGAGCCAGGCGAAGGCAUCACCUCGGGGUGGUCGGCCUGGCUCCAGCUGAUGGGUUUUUCCGACCAGUGCAUGAACUCGGCGGUGCUAGAGGCGACUGCGUUUACUUCUUGGUGCUGCCGGCGUCGGCUGCGCUUGUCGUCGACUUGACUUGUGAAGACAACGUAGGCGUCGUGCGCUUCAGGGAACUCGUCUUGGAUGGCGCCGACUGCCGGCCGGGCCGCCGGCUGCGGGGGAGCUGGAGGCGGCGGGCCGGGAGGCGGAGGCGGCACCAUCCCUUCGCCCUUGGUGAUGCGGGUGAGCCAAUGGCAUUUCCGUGUUGUAUGGUUGGACGGCUUCGCGCCGCUGUGGAACUUGCAGGGAGCAUCGAGUGCUUGUUCGUAGGAGAAGGACGGCUGCCAGGGCGGCCGGCCUCCCUUCUUCUUGGGAGCAGGCCGCUCUUCGGGCUGCUCGUCUUCAAUGGUGGCCACCUGCCGACUGGAGCAAGUCGGCAUGGGGCCCUUGCGCUUGUGGUCGUUCUGGUAGGGGCGCCGGUUGGGGUCGCCAGCCGGCUGCUUGGGAGCCGGGGCGACCACUUUCCCCGAGGCGUCCACUCGGAGCUCGGUCUUCAUGGAGGAGUCGGCAGUAGCGUAUUUGUCGGCGAUGACGAGUAGCUCGUCGAGGGUGGCGGGCUCGUCGCAGAGGAGUCGGUGCUUGAGGAGGGUGCCCUCUCGGCACCCGGUAGUGAAGUAUUUGAUGGCCUGGACCUCGUGCACUCCCUCGCAGGAGUUGCGGAGCUCGGCCCAUCGCGUGAGGUAGUCGCGGGUCGACUCGUUGGGCCCCUGGACGCAGAGGGAGAGCUGGCGAGGCUUGGGAGGCCGCUUGUAGGUGCUGGUGAAGUUGCGAACGAAAGCUUCGGUGAAGUCCAGCCAACUGUUGAUGCUGUAGGGCUUGAGGCUGUUGAGCCAUGUGCGCGCCGCGCCCUACAGCAUCAGGGGGACGUACUUCACGGCAACGCGCCGGUUGCCGUUGGCGAUGCUGACGGCUGUGGAGUAGUCGAUGAGCCAAUCUUCCGGCUUCACCGAGCCGUUGUAUUUGGGCGUGUCUCUGGGGAACGAGAACCCUUUGGGAAAGGGCUCAUCGCGGAUGCGGGGGCCAAAGCAUGGCGGGCCGACAUCGUCUUCUUCUUCUAACGCCAAGGAUCAGGCCAGGCGGUCGAUCCUGUGGCGGGCGUCGCUCUCGCCGACUCCUUCUCGGCGGCCGAGUCGGCCGCCAAGGGUCGGAUGGGUGACAGGCGGUGGAGUGAGGCGUCUUUCUCUUCGCGGUGGGGGAGGAGGCAGGUUUCCCUGAUGUUCAACCGCCCGAGGGCGGCCUUCCGCGUCGCGCUCGAUAGUUAUGCGGGUCCGGCUGCGGCUGGCAGCCGGCUCCUUGUCUUUCUUCUGGCGCGCCGCUCGCAGUCGGCGAGCAGGACGUUGCCGCGUGCUCCCGGCGCGGAGGUUGACUAUCGGCACGGGCACCGGCUUCGUGCCGUUCUGCAGCCGCGUCGAUCAGCUGCUGGAUCCGUCUUGUCAUGUAGGGGAGAUCGUCGGCUCCCAGCUCAUUGAGCUCCUCUGCAGCCGCCUGAGCGGCCCGCAGAUUCUCGAGCGGGGUGGCGUAGACGGGGCGAUCUGCGCCCAACAUGCUGGCAACGGCUGCGCCGCGCUUCUGGACGAAACCGGCUCGGCUCGGGCCGCUAGGCGGCGGCGUCCCGAAGGCGGCGCGGUCAGCUUCGCGCUGGUGGGCCUCGGUGAGACGUCUCAUCGAGGCUAUCUUCUUGCCCUCCGUGAUGAGGGCAAGGCGGCGUGCCUCCAGGGUCUCGGCGUCGGCGUCGGCCGGGAUGGGGACGGAGAGGUCGUGCAUCGCCGCUCGCUGAGCGUCGCGGGCGUUCUCGCCCGAGUCGGAGACGUGGCCGAUGACCAUCACUUCGGUGACAGCGCUGCUGCCGCUGUCAGCUCGAGGGAGUGGGUCGUCGAAGACCACCACGUCGGAGGGGUAAGCGUCGAGCGACGCGGUGUCGGAGUCGAUGAGCAUCGGGUCGGUGGAGCCGACAAACUCCAUGUCCGCAGCAGGCUCGCCGGAGACGUGAAGUUGGUCGAGGAGGCUGACGAGGCAGCUCUCGGGGUAGUCGGUGCCUGCGUCGGACGCAGGCUCGUCGGAGAUGCGAGUCUCGCCGAGCUGAUCGGCGAGGCGGCUCGCUACGCAGGCGUCGCCGACGCCUUGCAGCGCGUCGGGGCAAGCGCCAUCGGGCGCAGCAGGCUGGCUGCGCUCGCGGGGAAGGAAGAAGAUUCCCGUCCAGAACAGGUCUCCGGACGACGGUGCACCUGGCCCAACGGUGGGCGCCAAAUGUCGGCUGGUUGAUGCGACAUAUGCCAAGGGAUGGCUUAUCAUUGUGGGAGCCAAUAAAACGUCGCCGGUGCCUGGAAACGGGAUGAGGCGAAGACAUGCACGCCGGCGAAUCUUACCCAGGUUCGGGGCGCUCCGAGGAGAUAACACCCCUAGUCCUGCUCUGCGGGGUCUCCGCAUGAUCAGUAGAUCGAUAAAGGGUAGCUACAAUCGCUCCUAGAGCUGUUGGGAUCAAGGGAGAAGGAGCACAAGGCUAGCUCUUGCUUCUCUCUAUCUAUGUGUGCGCGUGUGUCAUCUUGGAUGCGAACCCUUUGCAUGGGUGCUCCGGGGGGUUUAUAUAGGCCUACCCCCCGGGGGUACAAUGGUAAUCCGACUGGGACCUGGCCCCAGCCGUCAGUGUCUACGCUCGCCGGCUUCUCCGCCGGCUGCUGGGUCCCGCCGGCUGCCGGAUACUCGGUCGACAGGUCGGUCCCACCGCCUAGGGUUUUGUUGGCGGCUACUUACUGUAGCCGCGCCUCGGAUGAUGAGGGCUUUGUCGAGGUGAGCGUGGCUACAGUGGGUCGCGUCGGGGGCUAUCACUGUAGCCUCACCUCGUCUUGUCUCCUUAAUGGGGCUCCUGCUUCGAGGAAGGGCAUGGCCGGCUUCUGGAGGCCGGCUAUGCUCCCGGCCGACUAGGGAAAGCCGGGCCGCCUUCACGCCUCUCUCUGGCUGAAGGGGCCCGCAGUCCUUGGGUCGUGCAAGAACGGGUCGUGGAUGACGUCGAGGCUAACGUGGCUACAGUGCCGGGCUGCACGGGAGACCUCCCUCUCGUACGGCCUCCUGUAGCCAUGCCCGCCUCGGGCUUCGGGGGUCGUGGGCCGCACUGUGGCCACGCCCCGUCAGGUCGCCGUUAAGUUGGAGUGGUUGUGGUCGUGGCCGGCUUCUAGGAGUCGGCGUCCUUCUGGGCCGGCUUCUUGGAGUCGGCGAGGCUAGGUCGUCUUCCGGGAGUCGGCUUUAGUGGUAGCCGGCCCGGGAAGGCGACCCAAAUGCUUGGAGUGCUUGAAGGCCCAAAGGCCUGAUAAAUUUUCUGAAGAGCCAGGGGUAGCCGGUUUGGCUACCCGUGGCCACUUACUCCGACAAGACACAUUCAUGUAACCCGGCAUACACAGUCAUGUAAACCGGCAGACACAGUCAUAUAAGCCGGACAGUUAAGCCGGCAGAUGUUAAGCCAGAUGUUAAGCCAGACGGUAAGCCAGAUGGUAAGACAGAUCGUAAACCAGACCGCAAGUCAGAUUGUAAGCCAGAUUGUAGGAAACCCAAGACGUUAAGAAGCCCAUGGAGAGAGGCCCGUGAUGAGAGGUCAGAAUAGUUUAAGUCUUAGUCCGAGAUGGACUCUACAUGUAACCCGCCCCUUCAUCUUAUAUAAGGAGGGGCAGGGCUCCCCAAAGAGGGACAAGCAACAAGAAACAAUCUCUAGGGCUAGACACAAAGAGCCAGCUUACCGGCGACUCUCUCAUGAGCAUAAUGAGACCUAGCCACAAACAACAUGUAGGGCUAUUACCGGAUGAUGUUUCCCGGGGCCCGAAGCUGUGUAAAUCCUUGUCUUGUGUGCCGCGUCUCUCGUCCCGAUCAACCCCUCUCAAGCUACUACAUAGAUGCGUUGGCCUCACGACUAAGUCCUCACACUAGGACAUCUGUCGUGACAAUUCCUCGACAGUUGGCGCCCACCGUGGGGCUGUGCACGGUGGUGUUGAGUUCUUGGAGGGAUCUUUCCCAAGGUUUCAAGAAGUUCGUGAAUUUUCGGAUGAAGAAGAACCGGUUUGGAAGGGUCUACGUUUGCAAUCCGCGAGAUCUGCGUUCGAUGAAAAUUAGGGUUGCGUACAGUGCGACGGUUGAUCAUGAUCCGGCGAGUCAAAAGACGAAUCGGUAUCUGCUACAUUGAAAAUAUGGCUGUUGUGACCAGCCGUUGCGGUGACCCUUGGAGCAAGAGCCUCUGUUAAAUUUGCUGAGUCGCCGCCGGGUCAAGCCCUGCUUCCUCGCUAGGAUGUACAUGGAAGGAUUUACAUGGACUGCAAGUUCAUCAGAGAAGAUUGAAUAAAAAGGGAGGGGUCAUGGACUCGAUUUCGGCGGCCAUGGCCUGUCUCGACCUGACUUCGCCCCGUCUCGCUGGCUGCAUCGCCCUCAACCGCAGCGCCGCCUCAGCGCGCCUCCGCUCCAAGUGGCCCCAGCUGCCGACUGGUCGUCGCUGCGGUCGAGCCGCCUCCGCUGGUCGCCGUUUUUGCCUCGUCGGCCGCCCUUCCUCGCUCUGAGCCGCCUUGAGCCGCUGGAUUCUUCCGUCGCGGAUCACUUCCGCCGGCCGUCUUCAAGUCGGCAACGUUGAGCCGCCUCACGCCGCGGCCACGAUUGCCAUGCUUCAAGUCACGGCGAAUCGCCAAAUUGCCUCCGCCUUUAGAGCUGUCUGCCGGAGCUGUUGCCAUCGCCGAGAGCCGCCCAGUCUCUUUCUAUUUUCAACCCGGACUGGCCUCGCCCACCUCUGCUCUGCUCCGCGCGCGCGUGCGCGCACAGCCGUCUGGCUCACCUCUGCUGCUACCUGCUCUGAGCCGCCACUGCUGAAUCACCGGACUGCUCGUCCGCCGGGUAGCCACAGCCUCUCUCACCCCGGGUCGAGCUGCCGCGGCCGAACCGCACUACGGACUCAUAUCCGCAGCAGUCGCCUGCCUCCAUCAUUGCACGACCUGGAGGAGGUCUCAGUCAAUCAGAGUCGGCCUCUUUUCCGCGCGCUGCAUCAAGUCAUCGCCGCGCCUCCGAGCCAUUACGGCCGGCCGGGUCCCUACCGUCGCCGCCGCUGUACUUCUGAACCGCCACUGCGCCGGGUCAUCUUCCACCUCCGUCGACCUCCCGCGUCCUCGCCUUGAGACACCCACCUCUGCUGAGCCGCUCCGGGCCGAUCGUCGCCAUCGCACCCUUGUCGUUCGACUCGCCGGCGCCUCUCUGACCGCACCACGAGCAACUUCCCCUCAGCUGUGACAGGGUCGGGCCGCCCCCUACACAACCGAGCCGCCAAAUCAUCUCCGCCUUGGAUUCAAGUAACCAUCGCCACGCCAGAGUCAAUGGCCCCUGCACAACAUACGUUCGCAGCGUCUGAGCCGUCAUGGCCUGCCUGAGCCCUCGCCGAGCCGCCUGUUUAGAAUGGCUGUCAACAUACGGCCGUGUUAAAUCACCGUUGUUCCUUGCUGGGUCACUGGAGCCCCUCUGCCACUUGUGAGCCGCCACCACGGACACGACUCCGCUCCAAGUCGCCUCCGCCUUGGUCUGCCUGCUCGAACUCUGACCCCUGGGUUGUCCAUCUGCCGCGGCCGUCCCCCACGCUGGUUUUCUGUACCGCCCCGCGCGGCUCCAGCUCACGCCCGGUCUUCUCCGAUUCCCAGCUCGCUGUUCCGAGUCACUUAUGGCCUGAGUCACUGGUCUGGCCGGUUCUGGCACGCCAUGUAAGACGAAUCUCCGCAACCACAAGCGCGGAGGAAAAAUUCGCGCCGCAAUAGGGCAGCGGCAUGCUGGUCAAACUGGGAUGCAACGUCGCGUGUGAUCAAACCGCGGCUACAAAUCUCUGUUUCUUUACUUAAGAGCCAGGCGCUCUUUUCUGCUACUGCAAUUGUCGCGUGUACGAAGCAAAACAGUUCCAGGUCAAUGAAAAAUCUACCGAGGUUAGUCAAACAGGGGAGUCUAGCAGCACGAUUCAUGGGAGGACCAUCAAGUGCUUCGUCUACAGACAUCCGACAAGUCCAAAGUCUAGUUACCAUACUAGCACAUCUUACGGGAGGACCACCAGUGCUAUGUCUACGUACUGCAUCCGCCGACCACUACUGCUGAGUCGCCAUGGCCAUGUCUCACUGAGCCGUCUCUGCAUCAAAUCCGAUUGCCUACGGUCCCUCGUCAAGCCACUGUCUCACCUCGCCGGAUGCCUCCUCAAUUUCAGCAGUGCCGAGUUGAUCCGACCUGGCGCCCUUCCAAACUGCGGUGACCCGCCCCCUACAAACCGCCACCACGCUCGCCGGCUCGCAGCUCGGGCCGCCCAUGCGGUCCUUCCACGACCCUCGCCUCGCCUCGCUCUGCGCCCGGCCGCCGUCCAGGCUGGUGCCUUGCUUCACUGGCGUCACUCACUUGGCGUUUUCAAGCUGACCGGCCGCCGUUGAGCCGCCCCUGCUACGGCCGCCGUUGAGCAGCCCCCGCUGUCAUCGCUGGCCACGAACCGCCUUACCGCGUUGUUCUGUCGCGGUGUCUUGCAGCAAGUCGCCUCGGCCCCAUGCUACCGCGAGCCACCUUGCCGCCAGAACCGCUGUCAGGGCCUCCACAGGUUUGAGCCGCCCUCGCCUCUGACGCAAGUCGCCCUGUGUGGCCUCGUCCUGAGACGCCCCUGCCGGCUAUCCGUUUCGACCCCCACGACCUCAAGUUGACCUGCUUCUGAGACGCUGUGACUCAUGCUGCAAAUCGCCGCCUUUGAACUGCCGCUGCCAUUGAGAGCCUUUACCUCGCCUAACCGGGUGUUCCACCAGCACCGGCCCUUCGCGUUGCCGAGCUGCCCUUUGUUUGAAACCGCCGAGGCCGCAACCCACCGGUGCCUCCAUUGAGCCGCCGUUGCACGUCACCUCUAUCUUGGUCCGGAGCCUCUGGGCCAGCCUGUAACGCUGCUGAGUCACCACUCCGGGUUGCCUCCGUCGUCGUGCCUCGAGUUGCCAUGUUCCUCCUCCGCCUCGCCGGGGGCUUCCUUGAACCGCCUCGCUCUGCCACGGAUGCGCCACCCUGCCUUCGAGCUGCUCCAUUUGACCCGCCGGUGCGGCCUUGAGCCGUCCCUGCCGGUUGCGUUUUGCUUUAAGCCGCCCCUACUGGAGGACACCUUGCACCUUGCCGGCACGGUGCUGCAUGCCCUCUCUGUUUCAACGCAUGAGCCGCCAGAUGACAAAAGUUAUGCAAGACCAAAGCAAGGUGCCAUUAUUUCAUGCAAAAAUUGGCCAUGCAGUGAUCCCACUGGUUUGACCGGUGCUAAGUGGUACUUGAGGCUACCCACGUGGGAUUAAGCACAAAAGUACCAGCGAUUUGUGGUGAGCCACCCUGUUGUCGCCCGGCGCUUUAAACGCCUCUGUCGUCGUCUCACCCUUGCGGUGAGCCGCCGCUGCCCACUGGCCUUGACCCGCCUGUUGUCGCGCUUCAAACCGCCACCUCUGUCGUUGUUGCUGCAACCUACAGCUAAUAUUUCUUCAUAAAAAAUAUCAGAAUUCAUCAUUACAAAGGAUGCCAUCAAGCUAUGGCCCUUACCUGCACCGGAUGGGUUAAUGGACAGGGUCAAUUAUAACCCGCCAAGAAUAAACAUAUUCCAGUAAUCCAUUGGUCAUAUCAUGAUCAAGCAUGGAGAGUCUCAAGCCAACGCCUCAAGUAGUCUUAAGACUCAGGGGCUAGAAUGACAUGACUCAAAUAAACUUGCCAGUUUCAGCGGGCUCAAGAACUUCGGAUCAUUGGAGGGUAGAUAACCCGGUCCCAGAGGCUACCGCCAUAUCGGUAAAAAUUUAAGGGCCGUCAGAAAAUUUCUGGCUAAAAAUGAAGCAAUUCCGGUUUAAAAACCGGUUCAAGGGAAAUCUGUUAUGUCCCACAAAGCUCUGAAGCUCUCAAUAUCCGGCUCAACACCCGGUUCAAGAAGAAUUUAUCUUUUGCAAAAAGUUAAAGGUUGCCGAAGAGGACCUGCUGCCAUGAUGUGCAGUUCAAAAAUGGGUAUCCUGCCUAAUGGGCUUAUCACAUUAUUGGUCACUUGGGGGCUUCCUGUUCAAACAUAGGUCGUAUUCGAACCAAAGAGAACAUAGCUGUCGGUACCCUCUUGAUCAGCGCAAUGCCAAACCCACUAGGGGGCUUCUUGAUCAUAUUCGAAUCAUAGCUUAACCCCUUUUGGGUCCGACUUUGAUCGUAUUCGAAUCAGAGUCGUUAAAAAACUCUCAAGGUCCUCUGGGGGUUUCCUGUUCAAACAUAGGUCGUAUUCAAACCAAAUAGAACAUAGCUGUCGGUACCCUCUUGAUCGGCGCAACGCCAAAGCCACUGGGGGCUACAUGAUCGUAUUCGAAUCCUAGCUUAACCCCUUUGGAAUGGUUCACUGAUCGUAUUCGAAUCAGAAGCCUCGAUUUUUCUUUCUAUUUGGCUUAAGUUUUUUGAAAACAAUCUUUGAUUUUGUCUUGAGACUUUUCUGUUCAGAUCUAAGUAUAAGUGUGGUUUAAAUUUAACCCGGCUUGGUUUUGGACGAUAAGUUGCCAACAUAUGACAAACAUCAUACAUUUGGAAGUGAGUGGCUUCUAAGGAUUGGGUUAUCACCCAUACUGCACAGGUAUCCUAAACCGACAGUACGAUUCAAUAUCAUAGGAACCGGUUUUCCAAACCCGAUUAUAUUAUUCAAUUCUUUAAUAGCCAACAUGGCUGGAUUUUUAUUAUGGUUAUCAAUAGCCAGUAUUAUGAUGGAGGUCUUCAAAGUCGCUUCAGCGCAAUGACUAUUAUUUUAUCAAUGGGCAUGAUUUAUUUUACAAUCGAGGAAAUAGUCCCGAGUCGCUGCAGCUUACGACCCGGCACUUGAGGGCUACAUUAUUCAAGUUGAGAUUACAUCAAAUAUGCAAGUCUCAUGUCGCUGCGAGCAUGCACCAUGACACUUGGGGGCUAAUGCAAAGUCAUUUUUAUUGGCCUUAUUGAAGACCCGACUCAUCCCAUUGUAAUGAGCCGGCCCUUGUGGGCUACCAAUUGCUCCUGUCAAAAAUUCAAGGUACACAAGCUUCAGCCCAUUAUAUUGAAAGAUCCACUACUCAGUUGGUAGAGUACAAAGCUCUUAACCUUAUGUAUGGACAUGGGUUCAAGCCCCAUGGUGGAGAUUACACCAUAUGAUGUUAUCAUCAAUAAAUUAUAUACAAAGUCCCAGCUCAGUAUUAUCUUACUGAGCCGGCCCUUGGGGGCUACACGUUGCUACUCAAGUUUACAUGAUCAUAUUUACAAAAGUCCCUGCUCAUUAUUUCAUAAUGACCCGGCAUUUGGGGGCUACAAGUGAUAUGAAUAUAUUGGAGUUCUACAUCUUCAAGCUCGCUGAAAAUCAGAUGAGUAUUUCAUGUCCAAUGUUUUCUAUUAUGAAGCUAGUCUAUUGACUCGGAUUUUCUAGAAGAAGGAAAUACCAAGGAAUUAAGGCUGAUCAGGUGCCAGCUUACAAGAGCUUUUAACACGGAGCAUAAUCUGUCAAAAUUGUUCUUGUGUUUGUUUUACAGGAUCAGUUUAACAUGGAUGAAUCCAAAUUAAACUGGGGGCUAAUGUCGGGGAUAUACCCCGUGGUAUGACCCGGCCGGAGAUAUGACCCGGCUGGGACAUGAUGUUUCAUUGGUGACCCGGCAGACUAUAAGCCGGCGGGAACAGUUAGGCAUUGUAAGCCGGCAGGCACAGUCAUGUAACCCGGCAUACACAGUCAUGUAACCCGGCAUACACAGUGAUGUAACCCGGACAGACACAGUCAUAUAAGCCGGACAGUUAAGCCGGCAGAUGUUAAGCCAGACGGUAAGCCAGAUGGUAAGACAAAUCGUAAACCAGACCGUAAGUCAGAUUGUAAGCCAGAUUGUAAGAAGCCCAAGACGUUAAGAAGCCCAUGGAGAGAGGCCCGUGAUGAGAGGUCAGAAUAGUUUAAGUCUUAGUCCGAGAUGGACUCUACAUGUAACCCGCCCCUUCAUCUUAUAUAAGGAGGGGCAGGGCUCCCAAAAGAGGGACAAGCAACAAGAAACAAUCUCUAGGGCUAGACACAAAGAGCCAUCUUACCGGCGACUCUCUCAUGAGCAUAAUGAGACCUAGCCACAAACAGCAUGUAGGGCUAUUACCGGAUGAUGUUUCCCGGGGCCCGAAGCUGUCUAAAUCCUUGUCUUCGGUGUCGCGUCUCUCGUCCCGAUCAACCCCUCUCAAGCUACUACAUAGAUGCGUUGGCCUCACGACUAAGUCCUCACACUAGGACAUCUGCCGUGACAAUUCCACGACACACGUCGCCCCGGCCAAUGGCAGCGCACCACGUCAGCUCCGCCGCCGCCCACAACCAACCAGGAGGCGACACGUCACCCAUGCCUCGUCGGCGACCGCCGCCGCGCCUCCCCGAUCGCGUGCCCGCGCCUCCUCGCACGCCGCCUCGUUUGCCGAACCCCGUCGCCGACCGCCCCGCACCGGCGCACGAGCGCCGCCGUGUCCCGCGCCUCACCCAUCGCCGCCAGUUCAUCNNNNNNNNNNNNNNNNNNNNNNNNNNNNNNNNNNNNNNNNNNNNNNNNNNNNNNNNNNNNNNNNNNNNNNNNNNNNNNNNNNNNNNNNNNNNNNNNNNNNNNNNNNNNNNNNNNNNNNNNNNNNNNNNNNNNNNNNNNNNNNNNNNNNNNNNNNNNNNNNNNNNNNNNNNNNNNNNNNNNNNNNNNNNNNNNNNNNNNNNNNNCGCCGGCCCCAGAUCUGGACGCCGCCGUCCCGGAUCGGCUUCGCCCCCGAUCCAAACACGCGUCCCCCCCAAGAUCUCUCCAUCCCGCACGGUUCCGGCGCGAUUUCGCGGGGUGAGAUUUCUGCCAAGUCCCAACAUUCAUACAUCAUGUGUGCAUAUUCAUCAUGACAUAACUUAAUGUGCGCUGCUCCGUUUUAUGCGUGUGAUAUGUCAAAAUGUUCACCAUGAGAUGCUCUUCACCUCAUUCCAUUGUGCCAUGUUUUUUUGAGUCCAUCUUGAUGCCUUAAUCAUUGUUACAAAAGUGCUAUAUGAUGUUAACUGCUUACUGUUAUCAGAACUUGGUGAUUUGUCUUUUUCAUUGCAUUUUGUGUGUGCAUCCUAUGAGCAUGAGCUCUACACGUGUUUUGAACUACAUCAUGCCAUAUUUACAGGGGUGCUUGUCUUGAAUUUUAUUGAUAUAUGUGGUGUCUAGCACAAGCAUGCAAACUAGCCUCCUUGAUGUUGUUGAUUUCUGUGACUUGGUCAUUUCUGCUAAGUCUGUAGCUGUAACAUUGUGAUGCUAUGUAAACCUGCUGCUACCAUGAGUUCGAUGCAUAAUCUGGAGAUGUUAACUAAGGGUCUUUUGUUAUACAUGUUAUGGUGUAUCCAUCCAUGCCCUUGGUUGCAUUUAUAGCCUGCUGUAGCUUGCUUAAAACUUGCUCUCAAUUUGCUAAAUAAUGAUGCUGUCAGCCUGUUAAUAUGAAGUUCAGUUUUGACAUGUGUUUUGCUAGUGAUCCAUUCACCCUAUAAAUUUCUCUUGCCAUGCUUAGCUUCAUAAAUGUGCCUUAUUACUGUUUGUCACCUUGUCAUGCUAUGUAAUACUCUCUGGUGAGUGGUACAAGCUCACCAAAGUGCCUAGUUAUCGUUGUUGCAGCCAUGAACUGUUAUUUUCAUCGUCUGGAUCUGUUUAUGAAACUUGCUAUGUUUACAUGGGUGCCAUCAUAUCUUAUGUGCAUUUUUGGCUCAUGAUCAGUAAGAUACUUUUGUUCUAUAAAAUUAGUAGAUUCAUGCCAUCACUUUGUUUGCUACGAUAUGUUCCUGUAGCAUGUUGUUUGAUAGCUCUAAACUUAGCAACCUGAUGUUAUUUCUGCCAUGUCCAGUGAUUUCUGCUAAGUCUGUGAAACUGUUAUUAUUUGCAAUCUUGCCAUGUCCUUUUGAGCAUGCUCUAGUGAUUUCUAGAGAUAGCUCAGUGUUCAUGUUUUGUCGUGCUUUACCGGUACAUUUUGUCCAUGCCUUUUACUCUCAUGUUAGGAUGCUGUAGCAUACUGCUUUGAUGCCUGCAAAAUGCCUAGUUGCUGUUUUGGACAGAUUGUUAUUAUAUCUUGUUUGGAGUGUAUGUGUUGCACCGUUGCUCCGUUUUGAGCAUGCUCUAUAUGAAACUUGCUUAGUUUUGCAUGAGGUUCCAUAUUAUCAUGUUGCAUCCUUGUUUUGAGAGUGUUUGCUUGAUGUUUGAAUGCAUUUUGCAUCAAUGCUAUGUUUAACUUGGUUUGCUCAUAUCUUCUAGGCCGUAGGUCCGAACUAAAUGAACUUUAUAUGUAACUUGACUAGAAUUUCAUGUAGAUCAUCUUGGUGCAUCUUAACUUGCUGUUUAACAACUUGAACAUAAGGUUUAUUCCGAUCUGGACCAAUUUUGAAAUUUGCAUAUGGGGAUUUACCGGAAUUGUUAUAGGUUGUUUCCGGCCUCAUUUAAACUUUCUUUGAUGUGUUGCUCUUGUAUGCAUCAUCUCUUGCCAUGAGUAGCAUCACAUAGCCUUGUCAUGCAUCAUACUUGAUUGAGCAUCAUGCCUUGUUCAUGUGUGGUGUGUUUACCAUGUUGUGCUCCUUCUCGAUAGUUCCCGUAUCGUUGCGAUCGUGAGGAUUCGUUCGUCUACGCUUGGUUCGUCUUCGUGGCUUCAAUCUUCUUCAUGGACUCGUUCUUCUUCCUAGAGGGAGUUCAGGCAAGAUGACCGUAACCUUGGAUCUCAUUACUAUCAGUGCUAUGCUAGGUGCUUCGUUCUAUCGCUAUGCUGCGCUACCUAUCACUUGCUCUUCAAGCCUCCGAAAUUGCCAUGAAACCACGUCUAACCUUUGUCACCGUUCCUAGUAAACCAUUGUUUGGCUAUAUUACCGUUUUUGCUCAGCCCCUCUUAUAGCGUUGUUAGUUGCAGGUGAAGAUGAAGUUUUCUCCAUGUUGGAUUAUGCUUAUGUUGGGAUAUCACAAUAUCUCUUAUUUAAUUAAUGCAUCUAUAUACUUGGUAAAGGGUGGAAGGCUUGGCCUUAUGCCUGGUGUUUUGUUCCACUCUUGCCGCCCUAGUUUCUGUCAUACCGGUGUUAUGUUCCUUGAUUUUGCAUUCCUUACGCGGUUGGGUGUUAUGGGAACCCCUUGACAGUUCGCUUUGAAUAAAACUCCUCCAGCAAGGCCCAACCUUGGUUUUACCAUUUGCCUACCUAAACCUUUUUCCCUUUGGAGUCGCGCUCCCGAGGGUCAUCUUUAUUUUACGCCCCCGGGCCAGUGCUCCUCUAAGUGUUGGUCCAAACUAGAGCCCUUUGCAGCACCACCUCGGCGAAACUUGAGGCCUGGUUUUAGUUGUACGGAUUGCUCAUCCGAUGAGCCCUGAGAACGAGAUAUGUGCAGCUCCUAUCGGGAUUGGUCGGCACAUUCGGGAGGCUUUGCUGGUCUCGUUUUACCAUUGUCGAAAUGUCUUGUAAACCGGGAUUCCGAGACUGAUCGGGUCUUCCCGGGAGAAGAAUAUCCUUCGUUGACCAUGAGAGCUUAUAAUGGGCUAAGUUCGGACACCCCUGCAGGGUAUUAUCUUUCGAAAGCCGUGCCCGCGGUUAUGUGGCAGAUGGGAAUUUUUUAAUGUCCGGUUGUAGAGAACUUGACACUUGACUUAAAUAAAACGCAUCAACCGCAUGUGUAACCGUGAUGGUCUCUUUUCGGCGGAGUCCGGGAAGUGAACACGGUUUUGGGUUAUGUUUGAACGUAAGUAGUUUCAGGAUCACUUCUUGAUCAUUGCUAGUCUCACGACCGUUCCGUUGCUUCUCUUCUCGCUCUUAUUUGCGUAUCUUAGCCACCAUACAUUGCUUAGUCGCUGCUGCAACCUCACCACUUAUCCUUUCCAUACCCUUUAAGCUUUGCUAGUCUUGAUACCCAUGGUAAUGGGAUUGCUGAGUCCUCGUGGCUCAUAGAUUACUACAACAACAGUUGUAGGUACAGGCUUUGCAAUGAUCAUGACGCGAGAGCGAUGUUACUUGUUUUGGAGUUCUUCUUCUUCUUCUUCUUCGAUCAGGGGAUAGGUUCCAGGUCGGCAGCCUGCGCUAGCAGGGUGGAUGUCGUUUGAGUUUCUAUUUGUGUUUCAUCCAUAGUCGGAUGUUGAUCUUAUGUAUGAUGUAUUGGUGUAUUCUUGGGGUGUUUGUGCCUUUUGUAUGUUUCCCCAUCUAUUAUGUAAUGUUGAUGUAAUGAUAUCCACCUUGCAAAAAGCGUUUCAAUAUGCGGGUCUAUCCUUGGUGGGACAUUCGAGUUCCUCUCGGAUAGGGUCGCAUAUUGGGCGUGACAAGUUGGUAUCAGAGCCUCGACCGACCUUAGGAGCCCCCCUUGAUUGAUCGUAUAGUUUGGCCGUUGUUGAGUCUAGAAGAAAACUGUUUUUGGGAGUCUAGUUAUAUCGCAGAGUAGGAAUCCUUUUUACUCCUCAGCCCCUUCGUCGCUCUGGUGAGGAAUCUUGACGUUGGUGUUUCGACUUACUUCUCUUCCCCUUCAAUUUUUCUUUAGGAUCACGCGGAUAGUUUUCGUUCGUUGUCCAUCCUCUUUUCAAUCCGGCGCAUUUUUUCUCCGAGUGGUUUCGCUCCUCGCCAUCUUUUGCAAGAUCAGUCCUUAGUGCUUUCUCAACCAACGUUGUUUCCCCAUCCGAAGUUAUCCUUGUUUUUCCCACCCGCCCACCCUUCUUCUUCUCGGAGCCGGAGUCCGUAAUCGAGUAUCCAUCCUACUCGUGUGAAGCCUUUGCAUUCUUUCCUCAAGUAUUUAAACUCUACAAGCUAUUCAUCGGUUCUCCCUUUCAAGUUGCCUUUGUUUCCCGCCCUCCCACCCUCUUUUUCCCGGAGCUUGACUCUCUUUCGAGCAUCACUUUCAUUCGUGCGGAGUAUCUUCAGUCUUUCCUCAGUUGUCUCAACCGGUGAAUUCUCGCCUAGUUAAUCAAUGUUUGUCUCAUUUCCUUUUCCGAUGGAUUCAAUUCCAAUUUUCGGUAGUGAUUAUAUUCUUUCCUCGGCUCAAAUGUUUCCCGUUGCUCGUUCCCCUCUCGUCAUUUAAUCGUUCCGGAGUGAUGAAGACAUCUCAGGAGAUUUGUCUGUGUUCGAAUUAAUCUGAGGUUAUCACCUCAUUCAAAUAUUUCAAUUGUUCCGGUGCAUCAUCUAUCUCUGCAACAAUCUUUUUCAACGGUGUUUCUUUUUAGUGGGCCCUAACCCACAGGUCUUUUCCCAGGAUCUUACCUGACUCUUCUAAGUUUCCCGGAGUUAUUCUCAAAUCCUUUUCGAAGUUUGACGUAAGUAGGAAUUUCAUCAGUCAGAUGCUUCUCUAAGAUCGCUUUCAAAUUCUUUCAUGAUCGGGUCAACCUUUUCCUCCUUUCAUUCUCCCGGAGUAUCUCAUCAAUUUUGGUGUUGUUUCUCGUCGUCAUUCUCAACAUUUGAGGACCGAAGAAGAGUUUCGUUUAAAUCUUGCCCAUUCUCUCGGAGAUUCGUGGUGCUAGCUUCAUGUUAUCCUCUCAAAUUAUUCUAGUCGUGCAAUUCUUUUCAUCCAUCCAGAGUAUUUCAGGAGCUGUUUUCUCUCUCGAUCAUCUAAAGGCCAUCUUUUCAGAAGAUUUCUUCGUCCUAAGUUUUCAGAUUCGUUCUCCAAUUAUUCUAUAUUCGUGCCCCUUCGUUCGUUUACAUAUUCUUCCGGUGCUUCAUUCAAGUAUGCUUCAAUCAGCUCGCGAUCUCUUCUUUCAAUUGCAUCCUGAUUCCCUCAAGUAUAUUCGUGCUUUUCCUAUUUUUCCCGGUGAGUCAUUCUCCUUCGUCAUUCAAUUUUGAAUUCUAACGGUGGUUCGUUCAAGACCCCUUGUCAUUUGUAAUCAUAUCAAUUAAUUCGUUCUUUCCAAAUCCUACCGGUGGUUCAUGAAGACUUUCUCAAGUUUUGCGCUAUAUCCCCCCUUAAUCUUUUCCAACGCGAAUAAGUGGUAUGCAAAUCCAUGGUAUCUCAUCAAUUUAAUUGAUGGAGGAUAGGCAUAACAUAAUUCUUAUUCUUCCCCAUCAAGUUAUCUAAUCCCUCCCUUCAGAGUUGUUCAUGUUGAAUAUACUCUAAUCCCAAGUGAUUCCAGCUUUCUUUCCGGAGUUCCAAGCUUCCUCGGCAAUCUCGUCGGAACCUCCAUCGGAAUCAUCGCAAGGCUCAAAUCUUAUUCUAUUCAUCCUUCAAUUCUAUCCCAUAAUCCUUUUUGCAACCGGAGUGGUUUCGAAUUCAUUCGUAUUCCUUGAGCUUUGAUUCCCAUCGUAAUCGUCGUUCCUCUUUUCUAUUCGGUUGCCCUCGACCUUGUUCUUUCUCUCUUUUUUGCUCUUAUUUCACCUCAUCUUCUUUCCCUUCCAUCUCGGUCCUAAGAUCUCGGGACGAGAUCUCUUGUUAGUGGAGGAGUGUUGUAACGCCCCGGCUUCGAUGCGCCAGGUGUCUUCCAGUUUUUCGCCGUCUUUGUCAUGUCAUUUGAUUGCAUGUUUCAUUUUGCCAUGUCAUCAUCUGCAUUUCAUCUGCAUGCUUUUCAAAACUUGCAUCUGCCCUUUUUCCCCGUUGUCCGUUUCGUGAUCCGACACACUCGCACGUGCCCGUCGCCCCUCUCAGACCUUGGUUCGCGAGCGGGAGAAAAACGUUCUCGGAAUGGGCCGAGAUUUGCCGAGUGGCCUUGGUAUAUCACCGGCAGACCGCCCGUCAAAUUUCGUUCCAUUUGGAGGUCGUUUGAUUCCCCAACGGUUAACCGCAUAGCCCGAAAGCCCCUUUUGUCUUGCAGCCCAACACCCCUCCAAAUCAGCCCACUAACCCAGAAAAACCCCUCCAUGCUCUCGGUCGUUCGAUCACGAUGGUGUGGGCGAAAACCGCACCUCAUUUGGACUCUCCUAGCUCCCUCUACCUAUAAAUAUGUGACUUCCCCCGAAAAUCCCAAAUGAAACCCUAGCCUUCCUCUUCCUCGCGCCGCCGGACUUGUCCACCGCCGCCAGCCACAUCGCUCCGGCCAAUGGCAGCGCGCCAUGUCAGCUCCGCCGCCACCCACAGCCAACCAGGAGGCGACACGUCGCCCCUGCCUCGUCCCACUCCGUCGCGGCCCGCCAGGCCCAUGGGGAGCCCGCCCCAGGCCCGAUCUCGCGCCCGCUCGCCCGUGCCACUGCCGGAGAGCGCGGCCCGCUGCCUCAUCGACGACCGCCGCCGCGCCUCCUCGCCCGCUACCUCNNNNNNNNNNNNNNNNNNNNNNNNNNNNNNNNNNNNNNNNNNNNNNNNNNNNNNNNNNNNNNNNNNNNNNNNNNNNNNNNNNNNNNNNNNNNNNNNNNNNNNNNNNNNNNNNNNNNNNNNNNNNNNNNNNNNNNNNNNNNNNNNNNNNNNNNNNNNNNNNNNNNNNNNNNNNNNNNNNNNNNNNNNNNNNNNNNNNNNNNNNNNNNNNNCCGGCCCCAGAUCUGGACGCCGCUGUCCCGGAUCGGCUUCACCCCCGAUCCAAACGCGCCUCCCCGCCCGGAUCUCUCCAUCCCGCACGGUUCCGUCCCAAUUUCGCGGGGUGAGAUUUCUUCCAAGUCCCAGCGUUCAUACAUCAUGUGUGCAUAUUCAUCAUGCCAUAACUUCAUGUGCGCUGCUCCGUUUCGUGCGUGUAAUAUGCCAAAAUGUUCACCAUGAGAUGCUCUUCGCCUCAUUCCAUUGUGCCAUAUUUGUUUGAGUCCAUCUUGAUGCCUUAAUCAUCGUUGCAAUAGUGCUAUAUGAUGUUAACUGCUUACUGUUAUCAGAACUUGGUGAUUUGUCUUUUUCAUUGCAUUUUGUGUGUGCAUCCUAUGAGCAUGAGCUCUACACAUGUUUUUAACUACAUCAUGCCAUAUUUGCAGGGGUGCUUGUCUUGAAUUUUUUGGAUAUAUGUGGUGUCUAGCACAAGCAUGCAAAGUAGCCUCCAUGAUGUUGCCGAUUUCUGUGACUUCUCAUUUCUGCUAAGUCUGUAGCUGUAACAUUGUGAUGCUAUGUAAACCUGCUGCUACCAUGAGUUCUAUGCAUAAUCUGGAGAUGUUCACUAAAGGUGUUUUGUUAUACAUGUUAUCAUGUAUACAUCCAUGCCCUUGGUUGCAUUUAUAGCCUGCAGUAACUUUUUGCGAACUUGCUCUCAAUUUGCUAAAUAAUGUUGCUGUCAGCCUGUUAACAUGAAGAUCAGUUUUGACAUGUGCUUUUCUAGUGAUCCAUUCACCCUAUAAAUUUUCUUUUGCCAGGCUUAGCUUCAUAAAUGUGCCUUCUUACUUUUUGUCACCUUGUCAUGGCAUGUCAUGCUCUGUGGUGAGUGGUACAAGCUCACCAACAUGCCUACUUAUCAUUGUUUCUGCCAUGAACUGUUAUUUUCACCGUCUGAAUCUGUUUAUGAAACUUGCUAUGUUUACAUGAGUGCCAUCAUAUCUUCUGUGCCUUUUUGGCUCGUGAUCAGUAAGGGACUUUUGUUCUAUGUAAUUAGUAGAUUCAUGUCAUGCGUUUGUUUGCUAUGAUCUGUGCCUGUAGCAUAUUGUUUGAUAGCUCUAAACUUAGCAACCUGAUGUUAUUUCUGCCAUGUCCAGUGAUUUCUGCUAUCUGUGAAACUCUUAUUAUUUGCAAUGUUGUCAUGUCCUUUUGAGCAUGCUCUAUUGAUUUCUAGAGAUAGCUCAGUGUUCAUGUUUUGUCAUGCUUUACCUGUACAUCAUGUCCAUGCCUUUUUCUCUCAUGUUAGGAUGCUGUAGCAUAUUGUUUUGAUGCGUACAAAAUGUCUAUUUGCUGUUUUGGACAGAUUGUUGUUAUAUCUUGUUUGGAGUGUAUGUGUUGCACCGUUGCUCUGUUUUGAGCAUGCUCUAUAUGAAAUUUGCUUAGUUUUGCAUGAGGUUCCAUAUUAUUUUGUUGCAUCCUUGUUUUGAGAGUGUUUGCCUGAUGCUUGAAUGCAUUUUGCAUCAAUGUUAUGUUUAACUUGGUUUGCUCAUAUCUUCUAGGCCGUGGCUCCGAACUAAAUGAACUUUAUAUGUAACUUGACUAGAAUUUCGUGUAGAUCAUUUUGGUGCAUCUUAACUUGCUGUUUAACAACUUGAACAUAAGGUUCAUUCCGAUCUGGACCAAUUUUGAAAUUUGCAUAUGGGGAUUUACCGGAAUUGUUAUAGGUUGUUUCCGGCCUCAUUUAAACUUGCUUUGAUGUGUUGCUCUUGUAUGCAUCAUCUCUUGCCAUGAGUAGCAUCACAUAGCCUUGUCAUGCAUCAUACUUGAUUGAGCAUCAUGCCUUGUUCAUGUGUGGUGUGUUUACCAUGUUGUGCUCCUUCUCGAUAGUUCCCGUUUCGUUGCGAUCGUGAGGAUUCGUUCGUCUACGCUUGGUUCGUCUUCGAGGCUUCAUCUUCUUCAUGCACUCGUUCUUCUUCCUAGCGGGAGUUCAGGCAAGAUGACCGUCACCUUGGAUGUCAUUACUACCAUUGCUAUGCUAGUUGCUUUGUUCUAUCGCUAUGCUGCGCUACCUAUCACUUGCUCUUCAAGCCUCCCAAAUUGCCAUGAAACCACGUCUAACCUUUGUCACCCUUCCUAGCAAACCAUUGUUUGGCUAUGUUACCUCUUUUUGCUCAGCCCCUCUUAUAGCGUUGUUAGUUGCAGGUGAAGAUGAAGUUUGCUCCAUGUUGGAUUAUGCUUAUGUUGGGAUAUCACAAUAUCUCUUAUUUAAUUAAUGCAUCUAUAUACUUGGUAAAGGGUGAAAGGCUUGGCCUUAUGCCUGGUGUUUUGUUCCACUCUUGCCGCCCUAGUUUCCGUCAUACCGGUGUUAUGUUCCUUGAUUUUGCAUUCCUUACGCGGUUGGGUGUUAUGGGAACCCCUUGACAGUUCGCUUUGAAUAAAACUCCUCCAGCAAGGCCCAACCUUGGUUUUAUCAUUUGCCUACCUAAGCCUUUUUCCCUUGGGAGUCGCGCUCCCGAGGGUCAUCUUUAUUUUACGCCCCCGGGCCAGUGCUCCUCUGAGUGUUGGUCCAAACUAGAGCCCUUUGCAGCGCCACCUCGGGGAAACUUGAGGCCCGGUUUUAGUUGUACGGAUUGCUCAUCCGAUGUGCCCUGAGAACGAGAUAUGUGCAGCUCCUAUCGGGAUUUGUCGGCACAUUCGGGCGGCUUUGCUGGUCUUGUUUUACCAUUGUCGAAAUGUCUUGUAAACCGGGAUUCCGAGACUGAUCGGGUCUUCCCGGGAGAAGAAUAUCCUUCGUUGACCAUGAGAGCUUAUAAGGGCUAAGUUCGGACACCCCUGCAGGGUAUUAUCUUUCGAAAGCCGUGCCCGCGGUUAUGUGGCAGAUGGGAAUUUUUUAAUGUCCGGUUGUAGAGAACUUGACACUUGACUUCAAUAAAACGCAUCAACCGCGUGUGUAACCGUGAUGGUCUCUUUUCGGCGGAGUCCGGGAAGUGAACACGGUUUUGGGUUAUGUUUGAACGUACGUAGUUUCAGGAUCACUUCUUGAUCAUUGCUAGUCUCACGACCGUUCCGUUGCUUCUCUUCUCGCUCUUAUUUGCGUAUGUUAGCCACCAUACAUUGCUUAGUCGCUGCUGCAACCUCACCACUUAUCCUUUCCAUACCCUUUAAGCUUUGCUAGUCUUGAUACCCAUGGUAAUGGGAUUGCUGAGUCCUCGUGGCUCACAGAUUACUACAACAACAGUUGUAGGUACAGGUUUUGCAAUGAUCAUGACGUGAGAGUGAUGUUACUUGUUUUGGAGUUCUUCUUCUGCUUCUUCUUCGAUCGGGGGAUAGGUUCCAGGUCGGCAGCCUGGGCUAGCAGGGUGGAUGUCGUUUGAGUUUCUGUUUGUGUUUCAUCCGUAGUCGGAUGUUGAUCUUAUGUAUGAUGUAUUUGUGUAUUCUUGGGGCGUUUGUGCCUUUUGUAUGUUUCCCCAUCUAUUAUGUAAUGUUGAUGUAAUGAUAUCCACCUUGCAAAAAGCGUUUCAAUAUGCGGGUCUAUCCUUGGUGGGACCUUCGAGUUCCUCUCGGAUAGGGUCGCAUAUUGGGUGUGACAAGUUGGUAUCAGAGCCUCGACCGACCUUAGGAGCCCCCCUUGAUUGAUCGUAUAGUUUGGCCGUUGUAGAGUCUAGAAGAAAACUGUUUUUUGGAGUCUAGUUAUAUCGGAGAGUAGGAAUCCUUUUUACUCCUCAGCCCCUUCGUCGCUCUGGUGAGGAAUCUUGACGUUGGUGUUUCGACUUACUUCUCUUCCCCUUCAAUUUUUCUUUAGGAUCACGCGGAUAGUUUUCGUUCGUUGUCCAUCCUCUUUUCAAUCCGGCGCAUUUUUUCUCCGAGUGGUUUCGCUCCUCGCCAUCUUUUGCAAGAUCAGUCCUUAGUGCUUUCUCAACCAACGUUGUUUCCCCAUCCGAAGUUAUCCUUGUUUUUCCCACCCGCCCACCCUUCUUCUUCUCGGAGCCGGAGUCCGUAAUCGAGUAUCCAUCCUACUCGUGUGAAGCCUUUGCAUUCUUUCCUCAAGUAUUUAAACUCUACAAGCUAUUCAUCGGUUCUCCCUUUCAAGUUGCCUUUGUUUCCCGCCCUCCCACCCUCUUUUUCCCGGAGCUUGACUCUCUUUCGAGCAUCACUUUCAUUCGUGCGGAGUAUCUUCAGUCUUUCCUCAGUUGUCUCAACCGGUGAAUUCUCGCCUAGUUAAUCAAUGUUCGUCUCAUUUCCUUUUCCGAUGGAUUCAAUUCCAAUUUUCGGUAGUGAUUAUAUUCUUUCCUCGGCUCAAAUGUUUCCCGUUGCUCGUUCCCCUCUCGUCAUUUAAUCGUUCCGGAGUGAUGAAGACAUCUCAGGAGAUUCGUCUGUGUUUGAAUUAAUCCGAGGUUAUCACCUCAUUCAAAUAUUUCAAUUGUUUCGGUGCAUCAUCUAUCUCUGCAACAAUCUUUUUCAACGGUGUUUCUUUUUAGUGGGCCCUAACCCACAGGUCUUUUCCCAGGAUCUUACCUGACUCUUCUAAGUUUCCCGGAGUUAUUCUCAAAUCCUUUUCAAAGUUUGACGUAAGUAGGAAUUUCAUCAGUCAGAUGCUUCUCCAAGAUCGCUUUCAAAUUCUUUCAUGAUCGGGUCAACCUUUCCUCUUUUCAUUCUCCCGGAGUAUCUCAUCAAUUUUGGUGUUGUUUCUCGUCGUCAUUCUCAACAUUUGAGGUCCGAAGAAGAGUUUCUUUUAAAUCUUUCCUGUUCUCUCGGAGAUUCGUGGUGCUAGCUUCAUGUUAUCCUCUCAAAUUGUUUCUAGUCGUGCAAUUUCUUUUCAUCCAUCCGGAGUAUUUCAGGAGCUGUUUUCUCUCUCGAUCAUCUGAGGGCCAUCUUUUCAGAAGAUUUCUUCGUCCUAAGUUUUCAGAUUCGUUCUCCAAUUAUUCUAUAUUCGUGCCCCUUCGUUCGUUUACAUAUUCUUCCGGUGCUUCGUUCAAGUAUGCUUCAACUAGCGCGCGAUCUCUUCUUUCAAUUGCAUCUUGAUUCCCUCAAGUAUAUUCGUGCUUUUCCUAUUUUCCCGGUGAGUCAUUCUCCUACGUCAUUCAAUUUUGAAUUCUAACGGUGGUUCGUUCAAGACCCCUUGUCAUUUGUAAUCAUAUCAAUUAAUUCGUUCUUUCCAAAUCCUACCGGUGGUUCAUGAAGACUUUCUCAAGUUUCACGCUAUAUCCCCCCUUAAUCUUUCCAACGAGAAUAAGUAGUAUGCAAAUCCAUUGCUUCUCAUCAAUUUAAUUGGUGGAGGAUAAGCAUAACGUAAUCCUUAUUCUUCUUUCUUCAAGUGGUUUUAUCUCUUCUUUUCGGAGAUUUUUCAUCUUAUCACAUUCUCGGUUCAAAGUGUUUUCAUCUUUUCUUUUCCGGAGUUCGAAGCUUCUCGCCGAUUUCGUCGCGAACCUCCAUCCAAAUGAUCGCAAGGAUUUCAUCUUAUCCCUUUCAACCUUCAAUUUUAUCUCGUCAUUCUUUUGUUACCGGAGUUCAUCAUGGCGGCUCGUCAUGAUUUAAUUCAUUCUUCAAGUGUUCAUCAAGAUUCUUGUAGGCAUAGCUCAAGUAUCUUCUUCUUGCUUCUCAAAGUGCAAUUAAUUCUCCAUAUUCUUCUGAAGUGGAGUUUUUCAUUUCCUCGUUCUUCUCAGCUUUUCAAUCUUUUCCGCUUGUGGUAGGUUACCACCUCAUAAUUUUGAGAUGUUAUCCAUAAGUCCACAACAAUCUUAUUCUUUUGUUGUUGAUUUUCCAACAACUCCAUUCAAUGUUUCCUUCUAAGGAUGCUCUCUAUUUCAUUCAUGGUAGAAGUUGUCAUCUUCUUCCCCGUUCUUCUCAUUCCACUCAUUCAAGUCUUCCGGAGGUUUUGUGUUGUUCCUCAAGUCAAGUAUCGUUCCAUUUCUCAAGUUCAUGUUCUAUUCUUUCCUUAUUCAGCCGGAGUGCUGGAUAAAUUCCUUCAUUAUUAUUCCUUUUCUAUCUUGUCCUAACCGGAGUGGUUUCAAAUUCAGCCUUAUUCCUUGAGCUUUUGCUUCUUGUCUCAUUCAACAUUCCUCUUUCCUACUCGAGUGUUCUUAACUUUGUUCAUCCUCACUGUUUUGUUCUUAUUUCACCUCAUCCCUAUUUCCUUCCGUCUCGGUCCUAAGAUCUCGGGACGAGAUCUCUUGUUAGUGGAGGAGUGUUGUAACGCUCCGGAUCCGAUGCGCCAGGUGCAAUCCAUUUAUUCGCCGUCGUUGCCAUUUCAUUUGCUUGCGUGUUGCAUCUUGCCAUGUCAUCAUCUGCAUUUCAGCUGCAUGUUUUUCAAACCUUGCAUCCGGUCCUUUUCCGCGUUGUCCGUUUCGCGAUCCGACACUCCCACAAGCGCCCGUCGCCCCUCUCAGACCUUGUUUCGUGAGCGGGAUAAAAACCGUUCUCGGAAUGGGCCGAGAUUUGGCAAGUGGCCUUGGUAUAUGACCGGCAGACCGCCCGUCAAAUUUCGUUCCAUUUGGAGGUCGUUUGAUGUCCCAAUGGUUAACCGCGUAGCCCGAAAGCCCAUUUUGUCUUGCAGCCCAACACCCCUCCAAAUCAGCCCACUAACCCAGCAAAAACCCCUCCAUGCUCUCGGUCAUUCGAUCACGAUCGUGUGGGCGAAAACCGCACCUCAUUUGGACUCUCCUAGCUCCCUCUACCUAUAAAUAUGUGACUUCCCCCGAAAAUCCCGGAUGAAACCCUAGCCUUCGUCUUCCUCGCGCCGCCGGACACAUCCGCCCGCCGCCGGACUUGUCCACCGCCGCCAGCCACGUCGCCCGGCCAAUGGCAGCACGCCACGUCAGCUCCGCCGCCGCCCACAGCCAACCAGGAGGCGACACGUCGCCCCUGCCUCAUUCCACUCCGCCGCGGCCCGCCAGGCCCACGGGGAGCCCGCCCUGGGCCCGAUCCCACGCGCGCUCGCCCGCGCCACUGCCGAAGACCGCCGCCCNNNNNNNNNNNNNNNNNNNNNNNNNNNNNNNNNNNNNNNNNNNNNNNNNNNNNNNNNNNNNNNNNNNNNNNNNNNNNNNNNNNNNNNNNNNNNNNNNNNNNNNNNNNNNNNNNNNNNNNNNNNNNNNNNNNNNNNNNNNNNNNNNNNNNNNNNNNNNNNNNNNNNNNNNNNNNNNNNNNNNNNNNNNNNNNNNNNNNNNNNNNNNNNNNNNNNNNNNNNNNNNNNNNNNNNNNNNNNNNNNNNNNNNNNNNNNNNNNNNNNNNNNNNNNNNNNNNNNNNNNNNNNNNNNNNNNNNNNNNNNNNNNNNNNNNNNNNNNNNNNNNNNNNNNNNNNNNNNNNNNNNNNNNNNNNNNNNNNNNGCGCUGCCCGGAUCCGGCUGCCCUGCGCCGCCCCGCCGUCAUUCGGACCUCGCCGCCCCCCUCCCCCGCUCGCCGGAGCCCCGGCGCCGGCCACCUCGUCGCCGGCCCCAGAUCUGGACGCCGCCGUCCCGGAUCGGCUUCGCCCCCGAUCCAAACGUGCGUCCCCGCCCGAAUCACUCCAUCCCGCACGGUUCCGUCCCGAUUUCGCGUGGUGAGAUUUCUUCCAAGUCCCAGCAUUCAUACAUCAUGUGUGUAUAUUCAUCAUGUCGUAACUACAUGUGUGCUGCUACGUUUUGUGCGUAUAAUAUGUCAAAAUGUUCAUCAUGAGAUGCAAUUCAUUUCAUUCCAUUGUGCCAUGUUUGUUUGUGUCCAUGUUGAUGCCUUAAUCAUCGUUUCAAAAGUGUUAUAUGAUGUUAACUGCUGUCUGUUAUCAGAACUUGGUGAUUUGUCUUUUUCAUUGCAUUUUGUGUGUGCAUCCUAUGAGCAUGAGCUCUACAUGUGUUUAUAACUACAUCAUGCCAUAUUUACAGCGGUGCUUGUCUUGAAUUUUUGUGAUAUAUGUGGUGUCUAGCACAAGCAUGCAAAGUAGCCUCCAUGAUGUUGCUGAUUUCUGUGACUUAGUCAUUUCUGAUAAAUCUGUAGCUGUAACAUUGUGAUGCUAUGUAAACCUGCUGCUACCAUGAGUUCUGUGUAUAAUCUGGAGAUGUUCACUAAGGAUGUUGUGGUAUACAUGUUAUGCUAUAUCCAUCCAUGCCCUUGGUUGCAUAUAUAUCCUGUUGUAGCUUGUUGCAAACUUGCUCUCAAAUUGCUAAAUAAUGUUACUGUCAGCCUGUUAACAUGAAGUUCAGUUUUGACAUGUGUUUUGCUAGUGAUCCGUGAACCCUAUAAACUUGCUCUUGCCAUGCUUAGCUUCACAAAUGUGCCUUCUUACUGUUGGUCAUCUUUUCAUGCCAUGUAAUGCUUUGUGGUGAGUGGUACAAGCUCUUACUGUGCCUUCUUAUCGUUGUUUCUGCCAUGAACUGUUAUUUUCUGCUGUCUGAAUUUGUUUAUGAAACUUGCUAUGUUUAUAUGAGUGCCAUCAUAUCUUCUGUGCCUUUUUGGCUCGUGAUCAGUAACGGACUUUUCUUCUAUGAAAUUAGUAGCUUCAUGCCAUGCCUUUCUUUGCUAUGAUCUGUUCCUUUAGCAUGUUGUUUGAUAGCUCUAAACUUAGCAACCUGAUGUUAUUUCUGCCAUGUCCAGUGAUUUCUGCCAAGUCUGUGAAACUGUUAUUACUUGCAAUCUUGACAUGUCCUUUUGAGCAUGCUCUAAUGAUUUCUAGAGAUAGCUCAGUGUUCAUGUUUUGUCAUGCUUUACCUGUACAGCAUGUCCAUGCCUUUUUCUCUCAUGAUAGGAUGCUGUAGCAUAUUGCUUUGAUGCGUGCAAAAUGCCUAGUUGCUGUUUUGGACAGAUUAUUGUUAUAUCUUGUUUGGAGUGUGUGUUGCACCGUUGCUCCGUUUUGAGCAUGCUCUAUAUGAAACUUUCUUAGAAUUGCAUGUAGUUUCAUCUUAUCAUGUUGCAUCCUUAUCUUGAGUGUGUUUUCUUGAUGUUUGAAUGCAUUUUGCAUCAAUGCCAUGUUUGACUUGUUUUGCUCAUAUCUUCUAGGCCGUAGCUCCGAACUAAAUGAACUUUGUAUGUAACUUGACUAGAAUUUCGUGUAGAUCAUCUUGGUGCAUCUUAACUUGCUGUUUAAUAACUUGAACAUAAGGUUGAUUUAGAUCUGGACCAAUUUCGAAACUUGCAUUUAAGGACUUACCGGAUUUGUUAUAUGUUAGUUCCGCCUCAUUUAAACUUGCUUUGAUGUGUUGUCCUUGUAUGCAUCAUCUCUUGCCAUGAGUAGCUUCAUGUAGCCUUGUCAUGCAUCAUACUUGGUUGAGCAUCAUGUCUUGUUUAUGUGUUGAGUGUUUACCGUGUUGUUUGCUUUUUUCCGGGUGUGCUCCUUCUCGUUAGUUCCUGUUUCACUGCGAUCGUGAGGAUUUGUUCGUCUUCGUGGCUUCAUCUUCUUCAUGGAGUCGUUCUUCUUCCUAGCGGGAUUUCAGGCAAGAUGACCGUCACCUUGGAUCUCACUACUAUCAUUGCUAUGCUAGUUGCUUUGUUCUAUCGCUAUGUUGCGCUAUCAGUUGCUCUUCAAGCCUCCCAAAUUGCCAUGUCAGCCCCUAAGCUUUUCACCCUUCCUAGCAAACCGUUUUUUGGCUAUGUUACCGCUUUUGCUCAGCCCCUCUUAUUGCGUUGCUAGUUGCAGGUGAAGAUGAAGUUGUUCCAUGUUGGAACAUGGAUAUCAUGAACUUUGUUGGGAUAUCACAAUAUUCUCUUAUUGAAUUAAUGCAUCUAUAUACUUGGCAAAGGGUGGAAGGCUCGGCCUUAUGCCUGGUAUUUUGUUCCACUCUUGCCGCCCUAGUUUCUGUCAUGCCGAUGUUAUGUUCCUUGAUUUUGCGUUCCUUACGCGGUUGGGUGUUAUGGGGACCCCUUGACAGUUCACCUUGAAUAAAACUCCUCCAGCAAGGCCCACCCUUGGUUUUACCAUUUGCCUACCUAAGCCUUUUUCCCUUGGGAGUCGCGCUCCCGAGGGUCNNNNNNNNNNNNNNNNNNNNNNNNNNNNNNNNNNNNNNNNNNNNNNNNNNNNNNNNNNNNNNNNNNNNNNNNNNNNNNNNNNNNNNNNNNNNNNNNNNNNNNNNNNNNNNNNNNNNNNNNNNNNNNNNNNNNNNNNNNNNNNNNNNNNNNNNNNNNNNNNNNNNNNNNNNNNNNNNNNNNNNNNNNNNNNNNNNNNNNNNNNNNNNNNNNNNNNNNNNNNNNNNNNNNNNNNNNNNNNNNNNNNNNNNNNNNNNNNNNNNNNNNNNNNNNNNNNNNNNNNNNNNNNNNNNNNNNNNNNNNNNNNNNNNNNNNNNNNNNNNNNNNNNNNNNNNNNNNNNNNNNNNNNNNNNNNNNNNNNNNNNNNNNNNNNNNNNNNNGCCACCUCGGGGAAACUUGAGGCCUGGUUUUAGUUGUACGGAUUGCUCAUCCGGUGUGCCCUGAGAACGAGAUAUGUGCAGCUCCUAUCGGGAUUUGUCGGCACAUGUGGGCGGCUUUGCUGGUCUUGUUUUACCAUUGUUGAAAUGUCUUGUAAACCGGGAUUCCGAGACUGAUCGGGUCUUCCCGGGAGAAGGAAUAUCCUUCGUUGACCGUGAGAGCUUAUAAUGGGCUAAGUUGGGACACCCCUGUAGGGUAUAAACUUUCGAGAGUCGUGCCCGCGGUUAUGUGACAGAUGGGAAUUUGUUAAUGUCCGGUUGUAGAGAACUUGACACUUGACUUAAAUAAAACGCAUCAACCGCAUGUGUAACCAUGAUGGUCUCUUUUCGGCGGAGUCCGGUAAGUGAACACAGUUUUUGGGUUAUGUUUGACAUAAGUAGGAGUUCAAGAUCACUUCUUGAUCGUUGCUAGUUUCACGACCGUUCCGUUGCUUCUCUUCUCGCUCUUAUUUGCGAAUGUUAGCCACCAUACAUGCUUAGUCGCUGCUCCAACCUCACCACCUAUCCUUUCCUUACCCAUUAAGCUUUGCUAGUCUUGAUACCCAUGGUAAUGGGAUUGCUGAGUCCUCGUGGCUCACAGAUUACUACAACAACAGUUGCAGGUACAGGUAUUGCGAUGAUCAUGACGCGAGAGCGAUGUUACUUGUUUUGGAGUUCUUCUUCUGCUUCUCUUCGAUCUGGGGAUAGGUUCCAGGUCGGCAGCCUGGGCUAGCAAGGUGGAUGUCGUUUGAGCUUCUGUUUGUGUUCCAUCCAUAGUCGGAUGUUGCUCUUAUGUAUGAUGUUGUUGUAUUCAUGUGGCAUUGUAUGCCUCUUCUAUGUAUCCCCAACUAUUACGUAAUGUUGAUGUAAUGAUAUCCACCUUACAAAAGUGUGUCAAUAUGCGGUUCUAUCCUUGGUGGGACCUUCAAGUCUCUUUAGGAUAGUAUCGCAUAAUGGGCAUGACAAGUUGGUCGGGUCGCUACAAGAUGGUAUCAGAGCACACGUUGAAUGUAGGACACGACCACUAAGAAAAGCCAUAGGUCACUCUUCUCUACUCAUUUCUUACUCCUCUCCAUUUUCUACUUUUUAGGAUGGCAGACUCGAGGAAUAAGUUUGCACAACCGGAUGAAGACAUACCUUUUGGACGACACUUGAAGGAAGUCACUAGGUACCUGAACAUCGGAAUACCAAGCUUCAUCGGGACCUACACCGCCACUAUUCCAGAAGAGGAUCGAUGGAUGAUUCGAGUUCAAGUUCCAGGAAGGACAUGUAUGCCAGUUACAGAGCCCAUAGAGUUUUCCUUUGAUGCACCCACCUGGAGCCUAGGCAAGAGCAUGGCAGCCCACAUUGCUAUGGGACGUAUUGGAGAAGUCUACAAAAAGGAGCUGAAGGACACUAUCUACCAGAUAUGUGGGCGCCGAGAUGAGAAAUGGGAGAUAGUCAGCGCCAGGAGAGACAGGUCCAUUGCAACAUUCAUCCAGGAGCUAAACCAGCACAUUAGACGCCAGGAGAACCAGAUGUGCACAAGCAUGAUAGAUUUGAAGAAGGCGAUGACAAGGAUCACCGAGCUAGAAGAGGAACUUAAGUCCACGCACGACGGAUAUGAGGAGGAAAUUGCAAUACUAUUGGAGAAGAAUGACGACCUGAUAAAGAAGAUCGGCGUGUUCAUGGGAGAUCCCCCACCAGGAAGAGAUGAAGAUGAACCCUAGGAGAUUCGUUUUGAAGACUACAUCAUCAUCGACGACACCGACUCUGACUCCGAUGAUAGUGAUGAUGAUUAUGAAGACGAAGCUGGAGCGGAUAUCAUGGAGUCUUCCACCGAUCAAAAUUUCUAGAUGACCACCAUAUGACUAGAAGUAUUCCCCCUGUAUAUAGUAGUAGUCUGAGCAUUUUCAACGAUAGUUCUAGACCGAUUGUAUGCCCUUGCUUGAUUGAUUGAGUGAUAUGAUUGUGUUUGUCUCAUGUGCAUAUGGUUAGUGCCUUCUCACUAGACCUCAUUUCUAUUCUAAUCUCUCCCCUCUAAACCCAUCAGAUGCCUCCGAGACGUGACACCGGAUUUUUCUUCCCAUCGGAGAUCUCCCAAUUGAUCCAGCAGCAGAAUGCCUUGAUGCAGAUAUUAGUCCAGAACCAAGGCAACAACAACAACAACAACAACAACAACAACAACCACCCACCUCCAGUUGACAGCUUAGCCCGUUUUUUGAUGUUACAGCCGCCGGUGUUUUCUAGUAGCAUCGAGCCAAUAGUUGUGGAUGACUGGCUACGUAGGAUUGGAAGGGAGUUGACCACCACAGGUUGCACAGAUGCAGAGAAGGUGCGUUUGGCCGCACACCAGUUGGAUGGACCAGCAGCCUCAUGGUGGGAGAAUUACACAGCCACCUUCCUAUAGCCAAUAUCACUUGGGAUCAGUUUCAGCAAGCAUUCCGCACAGCUCAUGUCUCAACUGGAGCUAUGAGCAUGAAGAAGCGUGAGUUUUGCAACUUGCGCCAGGGAAAUCGUACAGUGUCUCAGUACGUAGAUGAGUUUAGUAAGUUGUCUCGUUAUGCCCUUGAUGAUGUGGCCACGGAUGCCGCGAAGCAGGGGAAGUUUAUGGAAGGGCUUAAUGAUGAGAUGAGCAUGCAGUUGAUGGUGGCAACAUUCACCAACUACCAGGAGUUGGUAGACAAGGCCCUUAUGAUUGAAGGGAAGCAGCAGCAGAUUGAGAGCCGCAAGAGGAAGUAUGGACAAGGAAGGUACAACUCAGGAGCUCAGCAGAAGCCUUGUUUAACCCCGAACUCGGGAGGAUUCACCCAUAACCAUGGAGGCCACACCCACAAUGGAGGGAGUUCUCACAACCACAAUGGCCCCAAGAAUGGCAAUGGGAAUGGAGCAAGCAGUAAUUAGAACCGCUCCAAUACAGCCACACCCGCCAAGAAGGACCUAAGUCACAUUACUUGUUUCAAGUGCGCGAAGACUGGACACUAUGCCACUGAGUGCCCUGAAGCGAAGAAUGGGAGUGGAAAUGGAAGCGCUGGGAAGAAGCCCAACCCUUUCAACAGAGGACAAGUGAACCACGUGAACGUGGAGGAGGUUGAGGAGCAGCCUGAUGCAGUUAUCGGUAAGUUUUCGGUUAAGUCAUUUACUGCAAUUGUUCUUUUUGAUACCGGUGCAUCGCAUUCAUACAUAUCAAGGGGAUUCGUGGAUAAGUAUAAGUUGCCCACUAAAGUACUAAGGACACCUAUGUUAGUAAGCUCACCAGGAGCGGAGUAUAUGGCAAGUCAAGGAUGUUUUCAGAUGCCAUUGACCAUUGGAAGCCAUGUUUUCCCCUCAGACUUGAUAAUUUUGGAGUCACAAGGAUUGGAUGUGAUACUAGGCAUGGAUUGGCUAUCGAUGUAUGGGGGCAACAUCGAUUGCAUGAGUAAGUCAAUUUUACUCACCACCCCGGAGGGAAAAAGGAUCAAGUAUGUUUCCAGGCAUACGCCGAGGAGGACCCAAGUAAAUUCUCUCAAGGGAGUUGUUCAGGAGGAAGUGCUUGUUGUGAAGGAUUACCCAGAUGUAUUUCCAGAGGAGUUACCAGGCAUGCCGCCAGAUCGAGACAUCAAGUUUUUGAUAGAACUAUUGCCAGGCACCGGGCCUAUAUCGAAGUGACCAUACCGGAUGCCCGCGAAUGGUUUGGAAAAGAUCAAGAAGCAGAUUAAGGAGUUGUUGGAGAAAGGUUACAUUCGACGAAGUUCAUCACCAUGGGGAUCCCCAGUGCUCUUGGUUGAUAAGAAGGAUGGAUCGUUAAGAAUGGUUGUUGAUUAUCGUGCGUUGAAUGAAGUAACAAUCAAGAAUAGUACCCACUGCCAAUGAUCAAUGAUUUGUUUGACCAGCUGCAAGGAGCUAAAGUGUUUUCGAAGAUCGAUCUGCGAGAAGGAUAUACCUAAAAUAGCUUUCACCACAAGGUAUGGGCUGUAUGAGUAUACGGUUCUGUCGUUUGGAUUGACCAACGCCCCUGCCUAUUUCAUGAGUAUGAUGAACAAGGUGUUCAUGGAGUUCUUGGAUAAGUUUGUCGUGGUGUUCAUUGAUGAUAUCUUGGUAUACUCGAAGAAUGAAGAGGAACACAAGGAGCAUUUGCGUUUAGUUCUCGAGAAGCUCAGGGAACAUCAGUUAUAUGCCAAGUUCAGCAAAUGUGAGUUUUAGUUGAAGGAAGUUGGAUUUCUUGGGCAUGUUAUAUCUGGGGAAGGUAUAGCAGUGGAUCCCACCAAGGUUCAGUUAGUCACUGAGUGGUUGGCACCCACCUCAGUUGGAGAGAUCCGCAGUUUUCUUGGACUCGCGGGAUAUUAUCAGAGAUUUAUUGAUAAUUUCUCCAAGAUUGCGAUGCCGAUGAUAGUAUUAUUCAAGAAGGACACCAAGUUCCAUUGGACUGAAGAAUGUGAAGCAAGUUUCCAGGAGUUGAAGAAACGUCUGACUACAGCCCCAGUGCUGAUUCUGUCGGAUAUACGCAAGGAUUUCCAAGUGUAUUGCGACGCCUCUCGCUUAGGACUUGGAGGAGUACUUAUGCAAGACGGAAGAGUUGUUUCGUAUGCCUCACGACAAUUUCGACCGCAUGAGUUGAAUUACGCCACGCAUGACCUACAGUUAGCAGCAGUAGUGCAUGCGCUUAAGACCUGGAGACAUUUUCUUAUUGGAAACCGUUGUGAUGUGUACACGGAUCAUAAGAGUUUGAAGUACAUAUUCACCCAGAAGGAGCUGAACCUCAGACAGAGGAGAUGGUUUGAGCUUAUAAAGGAUUAUGACAUGAAGUUGCACUAUCAUCCAGGUAAGGCCAAUGUCGUAGCAGACGCUUUGAGCCGGAAGAGUUAUGUCAAUACCCACGUAAGCGGAGGAAUGCCAAAGGAGUUGAUAGAAGAUCUCAGGGUUUCGCUUGGAGAUAGUCCCUAGAGGUUUUGUUGCAGCGUUGGAGGUUCAGUCAACAUUAUUGGGAAAGAUUCGAGAAGCUCAGAAAGAUGACAAAGAAAUUGCCGAAAUAAAGGAGAAGAUGAGUGAAGGGAAAGCCAAAGGUUUCCGUGAGGAUGAGCACGACACCUUGUGGUUUGUGGAACGUGUAUAUGUGCCCAAUAAUGCGGAGCUCAGGAAGUUGAUACUACAAGAAGCUCAUGACUCACCAUACUCGAUACACCCCGGCAAAACCAAGAUGUUUUUGGACUUGUUGAGGAUAUAGACCUUAGAGUCACCCGCCAGGAGGGGCCGGGUUACUCUUAAUGGUCAUCGCCAGGAGCCCGGCGCCAAGCUUAAAGACGGUGGGCCAAAGAUGGGCUUAAGACCCGGAUGUGGCUUAAGGCCCGUAGUUACAAUCAUUAUUAUGGUAGAACUUGUAGUGUAAGGCAAGGAUAGUUGAGAGUCCGAGCCGGACAAUCUUAUGAGCCGGCCGGGACUCUGAGAGCUGCUGGGCAUCAACCUCCCUAUAUAAAGGGACGACCCGGCGGCGGUUUAGGGACAAGAAAGAUCUCAUCGAGAGCCAGGGAUAGCAGUCAAGCUCCCUGGUCAUCGAAACCCUAAUCAAUACCACCUCAACUGGACGUAGGCUUUUACCUUCACCGUAAGGGGCCGAACCAGUAUAAACCCUCGUGUUCCUUGUCCCAUUAACCCCUUCAAGCUUCCUAGCAGCGAUGGCUCCACGACUAAGUCCUAGCUUGAGGACAUCUGUCGUGACAAUUCCACGACAGUUGGCGCCCACCGUGGGGCUAGCGCACGGUGGAUUUGAGUUCUUGAAGGGCAGCUUCGAAGGGCUCAAGGGAUACGCUGUGGGCCGGAUGACCAAGAGUCGUCGCAGAAAGCUCUACAUCGACGAUGCAAACUGGGGCCCCGAUGCCGGCUCAAUUGAGUACGGGUACCGGGUCCCCUUCGGCGGAAUUCAUGUUUUCAUUGGCAAGAUUGGUGAGCCGGGCCCUGAGCCGGAUCUCUGCGCCGAUCUCAUCGAGACGGCUCAGCGUGCACGACCCGCCCAGGCCCGGCCUGCCUUAAGGCAUGCUUUUGUGGGAUGUAUCCAUGGAGGGCUCUCUGAUCGAUCUGGAUCUAGUGAUGAGACGGCCGCCGGCUCUGACGGCGAGUCGUCCACCGAUGAGUCAAACUCGUUGUAUCAACUUCAAGAUGGCAGGCUCAUGGGUUGUUCCGAUGGUGAUAGUAUUCCGGACCCGUUUGAGCCGCCAAGCCGGGUUGGAAUCUUCAUGGCCGGUGCGCAGCCUAUUCAGAACCCUGCUGCUGGAGCGGGAAACCCGGUGCCCUCGCCGGCUCAGGUGCUAAUGGAUCUCACGGACAAGAUGACGGCCCUGUUAACCGCCACGGUUGACCCGGCGGAUCAAGCUCAGCAUGAUGCGGAGGUGGCGCAGUUAAAAUUGGAUCUAGUGAAAGCUAAGGAGGAUCUAGCAGUAGAAGGGAUCAGGAUGGCGGUGGAGAGGGCGGCUCUCGAUGCCCAAACCCAGUUGAUUCAAGCGCAGUCCUUCCGGCUCACGAUGGAUCAAAACGCGUCCAAUGAAGUCCUGAGAAGGAGGCAUCAAAAGGCCCAAUCUCGACUCCCUCCGGUUUACGAUCCACGAAACCUCUUCAACACGCCAGGUGCAAGGUCUAGUAACCCGCCAGGGGUCAUAGUGCCCGGGUCUGGGACCCCUAUUCAGCCGCAAGUAAUGGGGCCUCCCCAGGUGCACCCUGCCCCGCCUCAGUACGUGCCAAUACCACCGGGUCAUUAUAACAACCCGCUGGAGAACAUGGUCGCCGCGGCAGCACGGCUGGCGGCUCUCCCAGUCGACGGUGACUCUCCGACGGCUAUUGAGACCCGCCGGGUCAGGGAACUCCUUCAGACAGCACUGGCGCAGCAAGAGGCGUACUCCUACAGCCGGGACAGGAUCCACUCGACCCCUCGUCCAGGCCGGAGCCCGAAUUACAACAGACACAUGGUCUCAGCGACAGGCUCAAGUAACGUCCGACGCCAUGACCCGCCCCCUGGCCAUGGCCCGGCUCAUAACGGAGCCUUUCACGCAGCAGACCAAGACAGAGCGCGGCAAGAGCCAGAGCGGGUGCCUCAAUUGACGGCGUACCAGACUCCCCCGGCUUAUCCGACGACUUCCGUCGACGUGGGUAUCCCUACCAGGACUGGGGGUCUCCCUUGCUUAGUGCCAGCUAUCCGCAAUGAACGUCUACCCAAGGACUUCAAAGGCCCUAGGAAGGUGCCCAAUUACACGGCAGACUUACAACCCGCAGCCUGGAUCGAGAGUUAUGAGAUGGCCAUGGAACUGCUGGAGGUCAGUGAAGCGGCCAUGGCUAAGUACUUCACCAUGAUGUUAGAUGGUACUGCCCGCACUUGGUUGAAAGGGCUACCACCGAAUUCCAUUGGGUCUUGGGCGGAGCUGAAGGCCCGGUUCAUCCAAAACUUCAAGGAUACCUGUAGGCAGUCUAUGUCAAUUGUGGAUUUGACUAACUGCAAGCAGCAGGAGGGUGAGUCUACGACACAUUGGGUUCGCCGGGUUAAGGAGAUAAUACAUUCCUCGGAUAAGAUGGAUGCCGGCUCUGCAGUCUUAAUGUUGGAGCAGAAUUGUCGUUUUGUGCCCCUGAAAAUGAAACUCGGGCGGCUUAAGCGCGACAGCAAUGAUAUGGGCACACUGAUGGCGGCUCUUGUCAAGUACGCCGAUUCUGAUGGUACCAAGGACCCCGCUUCAGAUGAUGAAAGGACAUGGAAGGGAAAGAAGAACGGCAAUGGCAAGGGUCCGUCAGCAUAACCCGGGAAACCAAGGAGGAGGCAAGCGCAAGGCCGAUGGCAGCCUAGAGUUUGUAGCCAACGCCAGCUCACAAGGUAAUAACCAGCGACGCAAGGGGAGGCCCCUUCCCCGAGCCGGCAGGUCAGGCCCGACGCUGGAGCAGCUGUUGAAUGAGCCUUGUCCAAGGCAUGGCUCUAGAGAGAAGCCAGCUACCCAUCUAUGGAAGGAUUGUGCAAUCAUGAAGGCCUUUAAGAAUUACAAUAGCCCGGGCGGCGGCUCAGGCGCCGGCGGCUUUCAUGGCCCGGGCGGCGGCUCAAAUUCUAAUCCUCAGAAUGGUCAAGGGGGCUUUAAUCAGCAGGCUGGCCAGGGUCAUCAACAACAGCAGGGGGGUUAUCAGACCAAUCCAAAGCAGCUUAGCGGUGGACAGUAUCAUGUUUUUACCACCAGUCUGUGUAAGCGAGAUCAGAAGCUUCAUAAGAGGGCUGUGAAUUCUGUUGAGCCGGCGGUUCCACGCUACUUGCGGUGGUCUGAGCAGCCUCUAGUGUGGAGUAGGGAGGAUCACCCUCCCCGGGUGGAUAACCCGGGCCACUUGGCCUUAGUGAUGGCUCCUCAGGUGGGAGGAUAUAAGUUCACUAAGGUGCUCAUGGAUGGAGGCAGCAGCAUCAACAUCCUCUAUUAUGAGACGUUCCGUCGUAUGGGGUUGAUUGAUAAGAACCUCAGCCAGUCCAGCACUAUUUUCCAUGGUGUGGUACCUGGUAAGUUGGCUUAUCCAGUCGGCAAGAUCGAAUUGGAAGUGGCCUUUGGAGAUGAGCACAACUACAGGGUGGAAAAAUUGACCUUUGAGGUGGUCAAGAUAAGAAGUCCGUACCAUGCCAUAUUUGGGCGGCCGGCUUACGCCAAGUUCAUGGCACGGCCGUGUUACGUGUAUUUACAGCUCAAGAUGCCGGGUCAUAAUGGGACCAUUACGGUUCAUGGAAGCCGGAAGGUGGCCCUGGAGUGUGAGGAAGGCGAUGCAGCUUAUGCAGAAUCUGUUUGUGUAACAAAGGAGUUAAAAUUUUACAAAGACAACGUUGACCCAACAGAUAUGACCUCUCUGAAAAAGCCGACUACGGAGCAUGAGCCGGCAAUGAAAUUCAAGUCGGCUGAUGAGACUAAACUUGUUGAUUUCAUUCCAGGAGAUUCAUCUCAGCAAUUUAGCAUCAGUGCCAAUCUGGAUCCAAAAUAGGAAAGCGUGCUCAUUGAGUUCAUCCGUGAGAAUAGGGACAUCUUCGCGUGGAAACCUUCUGACAUGCAAGGUGUACCUAGAGAACUCGCUGAGCACACUCACAAUGUUGAUCCGAAAUUUAAGCCGGUCAGGCAGUUCCUUCGGCGGUUCAAUGAGGAGAGGCGGAAAGCUAUUGGUGAAGAGGUGGCCCGGCUCUUGGGGGCCGGGUUUAUUGUGGAAGUCUUUCACCCAGAAUGGUUAGCUAACCCGGUCCUCGUACUCAAGAAGAACGGCACUUGGCGGAUGUGUGUGGACUACACGGACUUAAACAAGGCGUGUCCGGCUGAUCCUUUUGCCCUUCCCCGUAUUAAUCAAAUUAUUGGUGCUACGGCAGGUUGUGCGCGCUUAAGUUUCUUGGAUGCUUCUUCCGGAUACCAUCAGAUUAAAAUGGCAGUUAAGGACCAGCAGAAGACGGCAUUCAUCACUCCCUUUGGAGCCUUCUGCUAUGUGUCUAUGCCCUUUGGACUCAAGUGUGCACAGGCGACUUAUCAGCGUUGUGUGCAGAACUGUCUUCAUAACCAGAUUGGGCGCAAUGUUCAUGCUUAUGUGGACGAUAUUGUGGUUAAGUCCAUAAAGGAGGAAACCCUGAUAGAUGAUUUAAGGGAAACCUUUGAUAAUCUCCGGGUUUACUAGAUGAUGCUUAACCCGGCCAAGUGUGUUUUUGGUGUUCCUGCAGGCAAACUCUUGGGUUUCUUGGUUUCUGACAGAGGCAUUGAAGCUAACCCGGAGAAGAUCAAGGUCAUCACCUCCCUGGCUAAGCCAGCGUGUAUAAAUGACGUUCAGCGCUUGGCGGGUCGCGUCGCUGCUUUGAGCCGGUUUAUAAGCCGUUUGGGUGAGAAGGCUAUGCCAUUAUACCAGUUGAUGAAGAAAACUGAUAACUUUGUCUGGAAUGAUGCAGCCAAUACUGCUUUUGAGGAUUUGAAGAAGCAGCUGGCCGAGCCCCCAGUCCUUGCUGCUCCAGUUGACAAGGAGCCUCUAUUGCUGUAUGUGGCUGCUAACACACGAGCCGUCAGUGUGGCUGUGGUGGUGGAGCACAAGGAAGAGGGUAAGGAGCAUCCGGUUCAACGGCCGGUUCAUUAUGUCAGCGGAGUGCUCAUUGAGUCCAAGCAACGGUAUCCGCAUUGGCAGAAGCUUGUUUAUGGGGUGUUCAUGGCAAGCCGGAAGCUUAAGCAUUAUUUCCAGGGUCAUCCCAUCACUGUGGUCAGUUCUGCCCCCCUUGGUGAUAUCAUUCAAAACAGAGAGGCCACAGGGAGAGUGGCUAAGUGGGCUAUAGAGCUCGGACCCCAUGGUCUGAAAUACGUGCCACGCACUGCUGUUAAAUCUCAGGCCUUGGUGGAUUUCAUCAAUGAUUGGACAGAGUCACAAGUGCCCGAGCAAAAGCCGGAUAACACAUAUUGGACUAUUCACUUCGAUGGGUCCAGGCAGUUGGAGGGUUCGGGGGCUGGAGUCGUAUUGGCUUCCCCUAAGGGUGAUAAGUUCCAUUAUGUGCUACAAUUGAUAUUUCCUUGUACCAACAACGCAGCUGAGUACGAGGCCUUCCUCCACGGUCUUCGGAUGGCUAAGGAGAUGAGCUUGAGCCGGGUAAGGUGUUUCGGUGACUCAGACUUGGUGGCUCAACAAGUAUCAGGCAAGUGGGACUCUAAGGACCCUCUCAUGGCGGCUUAUCGCCGCGAAGUUGAUGCCAUUGCUGGGCACUUUCAGGGCUAUCAAGUAGAGCACAUUGACCGCAGGAAGAACGAGGCGGCUGAUGCCCUAAGCCGGCUGGGCUCUCAGCGAAAGCCGGUGCCGCCUAAUACUUUCCUGGAUGUCCUGUAUAACCCUUCUGUUAAGCUGCCUAUAGAGGAAGACUUGGCUGUCCCUGACCCGGAGGCACGAUUGGUGGCGGCUCUCCACAUCAUACCGGACUGGACAAUGCCCUAUCUGGCUUACAUGACCCGGGGAGAGUUGCCUGAGGAUGAAACUCUAGCCAGACAAAUAACCCGGCGGGCUAAGUCAAUGAUUGUUAUCAAUGGCGAGUUGCAUCACCGCAGUGUUACGGGAGCAUUCCAGCGUUGUGUCUCCCCUGAGGAAGGUCAAGAGAUCUUGCGUGAGAUUCAUGAAGGGGAUUGUGGCCAUCACGCCGGCUCAAAAUCUCUUGUGACCAAGGCUUUUCGUCAUGGUUUUUAUUGGCCGACGGCUCAUGCUAAUGCGGAGGACUUGGUCAGUAAAUGUGACGGUUGCCAAAGGUUCUCACGACGGGCUCAUGUGCCGGCUCAGGAGCUGAGGAUGAUCCCAAUUACUUGGCCCUUUGCGGUCUGGGGGCUUGAUAUGGUUGGGCCUUUUAAAAGGUCCAAAGAUAAGAAGACCCACCUCUUAGUGGCAGUUGACAAAUUUACCAAGUGGGUUGAAGCGGAGCCAGUUAGCAAGUGUGAUGCAGCCACGGCGGUUCAAUUUAUGAAAAAGGUGAUUUUUCGCUUUGGCUUUCCGCACAGCAUUAUAACUGACAAUGGCACCAAUCUAUCCAAAGGCGCCAUGGAAGAGUUUUGUCAACGAGAGCAUAUCCAACUUGAUGUUUCCUCGGUGGCUCAUCCUCAAUCCAAUGGGCAAGCUGAGAGAGCUAAUCAAGAGAUUCUGAAGGGCAUCAAGCUCCGGCUUUUGGUCCCUUUGCAACGGACGCCGGGUUGUUGGGUGGAGGAGUUGCCCUCCGUGUUAUGGAGCAUCAACACUACUCCUAACAGGUCUACAGGUUUUACGCCUUUUUUCAUGGUUUAUGGGGCAGAAGCAGUCCUCCCCAGUGACAUCCGUCAUGACUCGCCUCGAGUGGCGGCUUAUGUUGAGGCGGAUAAUGAGCAGGCGCGCCAAGAUGCUCUUGACUUGUUGGACGAACAGCGUGAUGUGGCAGCAGCUCGCUCAGCGAUUUACUAACAAGACCUGCGUCGUUAUCAUAGUUGCCGGGUUAAAUCCCGGGUCUUCCAGGAAGGUGAUCUCGUGCUCCGGCUCAUCCAAGAUCAAACAGAUGCGCACAAGCUAUCCCCGCCUUGGGAAGGGCCCUUUGUGGUCAGCAAGAAUUUGCACAGCGGGUCAUAUUACCUCAUUGACAUUCGGGAGCACAAAGAUUCACGUAAGUCGGAGGAAGAGACCCCUCGGCCGUGGAACAUAGCUCAGCUUCGGCCUUACUACACUUGAGCCACCGGCUCUCAUAAUGUACAUAUUUCUCUUAGCCAUGUAUAUAUUAUGAUAAGCAAUAAAGCAGGACCUCUGUCCUUUUUUCUCCUCCAAAUGUGCACGUUUUCAUUGCAAGAUUAACAUGAUAACUUGAAGGAGGAUCCGGCUUAUGAUCGUAUUCGAAUCUAGCCGUAGGCAAUAAGGUCACUUGGGGGCUUCCUGUUCAAACAUGGGUCGUAUUCGAACCAAAGAGAACAUAGAUGUCGAUACCCAUUUGAUUGGCAAAGUGCCGAGCUCAUUGGGGAGUUUUCUUUGAUCAUAUUUGAAUCAUAGUUUAACCCCUUUGGGAACCGACGUGGAUCGUAUUUGAAUCAGCGUCGUUAAACAAUUCUUAAAAUCACUUGGGGGCUUCCUGUUCAAACAUAGGUCGUAUUCGAACCAAACAGAACAUAGCUGUCGAUACCCUUUUGAUUGGCAUCGCCACACCCACUGGGGGCUAUAUGAUCGUAUCCGAAUCCUAGCAUAACCCCUUUGGGACGCGUCUCUGGUCGUAUUCGAACUGGAAGCCCCUAAGUUUUUUCUGAUUUAUAGCGAGUUUUUCUGGUUAUUUCAAAGUGUAUACGGCCGGGUUUCACUUUGCCGGUUUAAACUUUGAUUUACAGGGUUAAUCGAAUACAACCGGUGUCAUUAAGACUGGUAAACCGGAAUUGAAGUACCAAUCUUAUUGCCCGGGUUAGCUAAGCCGGAAAUGUGCUUGCAGGCUGGUAAGUGUGUUAUUACGGUUAUAUCAAGGACAUAACUGAGGAACAGUCUUUUUUGAUUCAUAUUCCGGGUUAUAUGUUUAAAACUAUGCUUCUCAGUGCGGUAAGCCGCCUAGAGACUUGUGAUUUGUCCUUCUAUGCAGGAUAGUUAAAGGCAAUUAUUUUGAGCUUAAGGAAAAUGAAUAAUCGAUUAUGACCCGAGGAAAUAUAGAGGAGACAACUUCAAUGGACUUCAGCAUUCAACGCGUGCACGAUUGCACGGCAAAUUUAAAGUAUUGAGUCCAAAAGGGUGGAGCAUUGUUUUAUAAGCCGCCUGCAGAAUUAAGAUGCUUGCUGGGUUGACGUCUCCGGCUCAUCCCUCUCUUCUCCUCCGGCUGUUCCCAAGACCUGGAAAGUUGAUGACUUCCAGUCGAUGCCGCUCAGAGCUUCGAAUUGAGCUUCCUCGUCAAUUAACCCGGCCGGGUCAAUCUCCGGGGCGAAGGUGUGCUGACGAGUUGGCGGGAUUAAGCUGAGGGCUUCAUAGCGCGGGGUGGGGAUCCUCUGAUUCUCCGCAUUGUAACCCGGCUGGUACUUGGUCAGAUCUGUGUCGUUUCCAAUAAGGGUGGCCACCGGGCGCACGAUCUUCACGCAGGCGGCAAAGUCCCUUUGGUCGAAGGUUGUGCCGUCUUCCUUCAAACUUGGAUAACCGAGGGCGAUGUCCGCCGGGUCUAACUCUGGAAGGAAAGCCUUGGCCCGGCUCAGCGCGGCGAUCGCUCCGGCUCUUGCAGAGGCCCGUCGCAGCUCUUGGAUACGUUGAGGCAGAACGGCGAGCCGGCGAAGCACUUCCGCCAGGUGAGUCGGCACCUCAUUGGAUAGGGCCACCACAGCCAAGGCACGCUGUGACCCGGUGUAGAGUUGCUCCACCAGGGUGUACACAGCCUUCAGCUUGGUUACCACACUCUGGUUAAGGUUGGCGCCUCUCGGACCUGUUUAACAAAGUAAGAUAACCCGCCGACAAGGAUGAGUUAUGAGAUAUGAAGAUUCUAAACUUGAUGAAAACCGGUGAAAUGACUUACCGAAGAUUGCGGCAACCAUCUGGGACACUUGGCGCUUUAAGCCGGAGAGUUCGGCGGUCUUCUCUGAGAGAGCCUUCUCCGCCUGUUCAGCCCGGUUCACCAGAGCAGCCUUCUCUUCGGCCCAGGCUCUCCGUUCAGCGUCGAAGUCCGUCUUCAGUUUUUCUUGCGCAGCAAUACUGGACACAAAUUUAGCAUUUGCUUUCCGGGUCUCCGUCUCUUGCGUCUUCAGACGGGUCUUGAGAUCAGAGAUGUCAGCUUCAAAUUUCUUGCCAGCAGCCUGCAUAAUUUCCGGGUCAUAAGAUGAACAGUUACUAUACAAUCUUAAAAGUCCCAAGCACUUUCCAAGCAAAGGUACUUGGCACUUGGGGGCUAAUGCAUAUUGAACGUUUCUAUCUACAAAUUGCCGGUUCAAUUGAGUAAGCCGGAACUUAAGUCUACAGCAUAUUCUAUCAUAAGUCGUAGUCUUGGGGGCUAGAGCAUGGUAAAGGUAAAUAUGCAGUAAGUAAGAAGACAGAAGAAUAAUACCUCAGACUUCUGCUGAAUCUGGUUCACCAUGGCAAUCUCAGCAUCCCGGCUCUUGUGCACUUGGCUGACGUAGCCGGAGACGAGCUCUCCAAUGCUCAGGUUGGUGUAGUCGGUGAGGUCCAGAUUAACCCGGCGGGGCUGAAGCAGCUCCCCCUUGGCAGAACACUUGGCCAGUGCAGUAGGUCUCCCCGGCUCAACAAAUUCCGUCCGGGUGAUUACCACAUCCGGGUCAUCUGCUGGUUGAGCCGAGCUGGAGGCCUCCGGGUUAACAGAAGCUUCUGCUAUGGGCUUGUUGGUUGGAGCAGCAGCCUCAGGAGCAGAGGCAGCUGGCGGUUCUUGUGCGGCUACCUCCGGCUCAGGCAGGUCCGGCUCAUCGGCCGGCUUGUUCUUCUUCGCCCUUUUGCUGAGUUUUGCUUGGGCACUGAAAAGAUAGAAAGGUUAAGCACAAAAGUGUAAGUAAAGACAAAGUACAACAUAAGAUGACCAUUAUUACCCGGGCACAGUCUUGAAAGUCGGCAGGUUCGACUGCAUAGAGUCGCCCGAAGAGGGGGAAGUCUCCUGAUAAUUUGAGUCAGAAGAAUUGAGCGGUUGACGUAUAACACCCGCCAAAGGAUGAAAAGGGUACAAGUUGGAGAUAACCUCAGUUCAGCGCUUCCUCGAUGCGUCAGGUAACCUGGAGGAGAGGUUGGCGUCCUUGUUGGUCCGGGUGUGACGCCGGCUCUCAUGAACCUGUCGCUUCAAAAUAAAUUGAGGAUCUUGAUAAGCUAAAGGAUGUGAAAAGCUUACUUUCCGGGUUACCCUUCGGACUUUCAGCCUUGGCAAGGGCUCCGAGUCGGAGGAAAGUGACAUUACCUCUUCAACCACCGGGUUACUUGCGCCGGUGUCAUCCUGUUGAGGAAUAGUAUUGAUAAGGUGGACAGAAAUAAAUAGCAGAUAUAGCAAGAGCUUACAGGUUCAGGGGUUACCUCUGACUCGGAGCUGUCGCUUAAUUGCAUCAGCUCUGAAGCAGUAGGCCUACUUCCCUUCUUACGGGGAGCGGCUUUCUUGGCGGCUUUCUUCGCUUUUCUGGCCUUCUUGGCCGCUUCAUGGUCAUAUUUGACCUUCCAGAACUUGUCAUCAGCCUGAAAAAUACAAGGAUGAUUUCUUAAAGAUUCAGAUGACGGUUAUCUACAGAAGAAGAUAAAAUGUACAGAUCUGCGGCUUACCGCUGGGGCUGGGUUGGUCUUGCAGAAGGGGGCUAACCCGGUCCUCCCGCAGUCUGCCAGGCUCUCGUUCAAAAGAGCCUUGGUCAUAUCCUCUGCAACAUCUUCAGGAAGAUCGUUGCGGCUGUGUCUCUGGGGGUCAUCCUUUCGGCCCGUGUACUCGCACAUUAAGCCGCGGCGGCGGCUCAAUGCGAUCACCCGCCAGGAGAUCCAGACCCGGACCAGAUCGAUUCCGUUGAGACCAUUGCCCAGGAGAGCCUUGAUCUUGUUGAUGGUGGGGAGCAGAGGUUGGCGCUCUGCCUGAGUUAACUUGUCAGACAGAGGGUGAGUCGGCUCCAGACGUGAAGGGCGAAAGCCGGGCAGCGGGCUCUCGUCAGCCGACGACGUGUCUUGGCAAUAAAACCACGUCAGGUUCCAGUCCUUUGGGUGACUCCGCGGCUCGGUGUAAGGGAAAAGGCAGUCUCUCCGUCUCUGAAUGGAGAUGCCGCCUAGCUCCAAACUUGGCCCGUUGGCGCACUCGUUCUGGCGGUUCAAGUAGAAGAGCUCUCUGAAGAGCAGCAGGCUGGGCUCUUCUCCAAGGUAAACCUCGCAGAACACUUGGAAAUUGCAUAUGUUGGACACUGAGUUGGGUCCUAUAUCUUGUGGCCGCAAGUCAAAGAAAUUCAGUACAUCCCUGAAGAACUUUGAGCCGGGCGGUGCGAAGCCCCGGCUCAUGUGAUCCGCAAAAAUGACCACCUCCCCGUCCUUUGGCUGUGGUCUCUCCUCUGACGGGUCAGGGGCACGGUAGGACAUGACAUCCUUCUUGGGCAGGUAGCCUGAUUUGACAAAAUCUGCUAAUGUCUCGUUGGUGACAUUGGACCUCAUCCAAUUGCAAGUGAUGGAGGCUUUAGGAGCUUUGGGAGGCAUGGUGAAAGUCGGCAGCCUAUGAUAAAAGGAAAUGGCCGGUUUAAUUAUAAGCCGGAGGAAAUUUACAGUUCAAUGUUAAAGUCGCGGCUUACGGAGGGGACUAAUGACAUAUAUCUAGGUGCAUCAGGUUAUUUAAGCCACCCAAGGUGUUGAGAGUAAUUUGAUUGUCUACGGCCUUAUCACAGAUGAGCCGGAAAAUUCUAUGGCGCGUGGUCUCCUUUGAGUCGGAAGGUUCUACGGCGUGUGGUUGCUUUAAACGGGAAACGUAAGCCGCCAUGGCUCAACGAGUGCAGUUUUUUACUAAGUGUGGUGAAAACAAGUUUCACACAUUGCGGUAAAUAAUUUGGAUCAAGUGGUCGGCAGAAAAAGAAAAUUUCUAGACCUAAAAACAGACACGAGGGAAGUUCUUGGGCUUGAAUGGGGCCUUUAGGCAGUCAAAAGAGAUCUGCUUGCAUUUGAAAUGAGUGCCAAACAGCUACCGUGGCAGGUCUAGACAGGUCUAAGAUCAAGAAGGGCAGUAAAAACCAAAUCUACCGAAGGCCCGCGAUGAACUACGAAGAACAGAGGUAGAACUACGGAGCCCUAGUGCGGAUCUGCCCUAUGGAGUAACGAGGACUCACCGGUGCUGAAGAGAUGCGGAGGUUGCCGCCGUUUGUCUGGACCGACUCAGGGUGAUGCAGCGGCCAAGGUUGACGAAGACCGGGGGCGCGGCAGCGGCGGCGGAGUUCGAGCUCGAGCGGAGGAACAGUGGCGCGAGGAGGAAGAAGAGUGGCUGAAGGCCCGUCGGGCCGGGCUAUUUAUAAGGGCGAGCUCAUAAGUGGGCGCGAGAAACGAGGAGACCACGGCGUGGUUAUCUCCCCAUGAAACGCCUCGAUUUUCGGGAUGGCAGUAAAGAUAAGAUCCAUUGCGGAUCUGGUGGAGUAAAAAACGGGAUUAAUGGAAGAUGACGCCACGGCGGAUUACCCGGAGUCCAGAGGAUGACGUCACGCCGGGUUAUGGCCUUCACACAAAUGGCAAGCCGGAGAUUUUUUCUGUCAAAAGAAUUGAAGAUUGACAUGAGCCGGCUCAAAUCAAUCUGGGGCCUAAUGUUGAGGAUAUAGACCUUAGAGUCACCCACCAGGAGGGGCCGGGUUACUCUUAAUGGUCAUCGCCAGGAGCCCGGCGCCAAGCUUAAAGACGGUGGGCCAAAGAUGGGCUUAAGACCCGGAUGUGUCUUAAGGCCCGUAGUCACAAUCAUUAUUAUGGUAGAACUUGUAGUGUAAGGCAAGGAUAGUUGAGAGUCCGAGCCGGACACUCUUAUGAGCCGGCCGGGACUCUGAGAGCUGCUGGGCGUCAACCUCCCUAUAUAAAGGGACGACCCGACGGCGGUUUAGGGACAAGAAAGAUCUCAUCGAGAGCCAGGGAUAGCAGUCAAGCUCCCUGGUCAUCGAAACCCUAAUCAAUACCACCUCAACUGGACGUAGGCUUUUACCUUCACCGUAAGGGGCCGAACCAGUAUAAACCCUCGUGUUCCUUGUCCCAUUAACCCCUUCAAGCUUCCUAGCGGCGAUGGCUCCACGACUAAGUCCUAGCUUGAGGACAUCUGCCGUGACAAUUCCACGACAGGAAUUGAAGGAGCGUUUCUGGUGGACUGGUAUGAAGAAGGAUAUUGCCGAGUAUGUAGCCAUAUGUGAGGUAUGUCAGAGAGUGAAGGCAGAAAAUCAGAAGCCAGCAUGAUUACUGCAGCCUAUGCCAAUAACCGAAUGGAAGUGGGACAAGCUUGGCAUGGAUUUUAUCACCGGAUUGCCCAGGACCCGAUCGGGAUAUGAUUCUAUCUGGGUAGUAGUGGAUCGCCUGACCAAAGUAGCUCACUUUAUCCCAGUGAAAACCACUUAUACAAGUGUGAAGUUGGCCAAGAUAUAUAUGACCAGGAUCGUAUGUCUGCACGGAGUUCCGAGGACCAUCAUAUCAGAUAGAGGAUCACAGUUUACUUCAAAGUUUUGGCACCAGCUGCACCAGACCUUGGGAACUAGGCUAGAGUUCAGCACUGCUUUUCACCCGCAGACAGAUGGACAGACUGAGAGAGUCAAUCAGAUUCUGGAGGACAUGUUAAGAGCUUGUGCGCUAGAUUAUGGAUCUAGUUGGGAUGACAACUUGCACUAUGCCGAGUUCUCGUACAACAAUAGCUACCAGGCCAGUUUGAAGAUGGCACCGUUCGAAGCCCUGUAUGGAAGAAGGUGCAGAACACCGUUGAUGUGGGAUGAGGUUGGAGACCAUGAGUUUUUUGGACCAGAUUUGAUUAAGGAGUCUGAAGAGAAGGUUAAGCUGAUUCGAGAUAGGCUGAAGGUAGCCCAGUCCCGACAGAAGAGUUAUGCAGACUCGAAACGCAAGGAGGUAGUCUAUGAAAUCGGAGACAGAGUAUAUCUGCGAGUGUCACCCUUGCGAGGAGUUAAGCAUUUUGGAGUCAAGGAAGUUAGCCCGAGAUUUGUAGGACCGUACCGUGUUUUGGAGCGUAUGGGAGAGGUAGCCUACAAGUUGGAGUUACUCCAAGGACUGUCAGGAGUUCAUGAUGUGUUUCACGUUUCCCAGUUGAAGAAGUGUCAUGCUGAGAUGGCUGACAUACCUCUAAGAGAUACAGUGCAUCUGGAAGCAAUUCAGUUGGAUAGUGAUUUGACAUAUGAGGAGAAACCUGUCAAGAUUCUUGAAUUUGCCAGCCGCGUUACUUGCAGCAAGGUUAUCAAGUUUUGCAAAGUUCAGUGGAGCCACCAUACCGAGGAUGAAGCCACCUGGGAACGAGAGGAUGAUCUACGCAAAGACCACCCACACCUAUUUUCUAGCCAACCCGAAUCUCGAGGACGAGAUUCAUCUUAAGGGGGGUAGGUUUGUAACAUCCCAAAUUUUCAAUUUGGAAUGUUAUACAUAGGUCAUUCAUGCAUAUCAUAUUUUAUUGCAUUUCGUUUCUCGAUCCUCGAAAUUCUAAGCAACUCAAGGACCCUCGUAGAGAGUUGGGGAUUUCACCGUUUUCAUAUUUGAAUAUUAUCAAAUAUUGAAACAAGGAUCAUUUUGGUUUUAAUGAUUUUUCUCUCCGAAAAUAUUUCGAAUUAAAAUAUAUGAGAGGAGAUAAUAUGACUUCUCCAAAAUAAAUGAAAUAUUGGAGGAAAAAUAUUAAAAUCCAAUAAAUGAUUUUAUUUGGUUUUAUUGCAAUUUUAUUUGAAUUAGGAAAAAAUAUGCGUUUUUCAAAAAUUGUAUUAGAGGCCCAAAUAAAUGUUCACUUUGUCCGGAAUAUUUUUAGAGGACGGCGAAAAUUUAUUUCAGGAUUUUUGUAGUCCGUUUAGUAUUUCUUUUCUUUGUUUUUCUCCGCGUCAGAAUAUUAAAAAAAACGACCUACCGGGCCGUGUCCGCCUGGGACACCGACCCGGCCAGCCUCUUAUAAGCCGCGGCCCGCCAGCCCCCCCCCCAAACCUAGCCACCCCAAGCCCCGCACCCCAGCCGCCGCCGCCUUCUGCCAUCGCCGCCUCGCCACCGCCCCCGCCGCCGUCACGAUUGCCGAGGUAGCCGCCACUUUUUUUUAACUGUUCGGUUUUAUUUCGAAAACCUAGAUUCGUUUUUUAGAUUAGAUCGGUUCGGUAUUCCGUCGGUUUACUUAUUUUGCGGACGUUCGUCCGUACGUUCGUUUUAACGAACGCCGUUCACCCGUUAGCCACAGACAGCGAACGUUCGUUCGUUAGCCUGUUCGUCAGUUUUUCUUUUUCCAGGGUUUUCCGCGAUUAUUUUUCGAUCACGAUUUCUGCCCUAAUUUUCAUUUUAGUAUAACUUCUCGCUCGUUUAUCGAAAUCAGGCGAUUCAAGCGCCUAGAUCUUCGUCUCGAAACCCUCUUUCUGUUUAAACAACUUGAACAAGAUUUUGUUACUGUAAAAUUUGACUUUAGUCCAGAUUCGUAAACGGAUCUUGUUUCUUUCGCAGUUGUAGUUUCGUUGCUCCGUUUGAUUUGAUUCUUUUUGCAAACCGGAGUUCUUAAGUUGAACUUUCUGGUUAGAUCUCUUUAUUUGAGUUUUACCCGUGCAUCUUUGCUUGAUUGCUUAUGUAUGCUAUUUUUUGUUUGCGAUAGAAUUCCCGGAGUGCGAAGCGUGCUACUACGAGUCCCUAGGUUUUGCAGAUCAUCAGCAAGGCAAGUAACACAUUGAUCAUACCCCUUUAUUACCAGUUUUUAUGCAUUAGUUACAAUCCUCACACAUUGCAUGAGUAGGAUCUCUUAACAUGUGGGUUUGGGAAGUAGAUGUUGAGGUAGAACCUAUUACCUGUUUUAUUAUCAAACCCUUGGGAGUUACUUCUGCGUUAUGCUUAUUGCCAUGCCAUGCUCGUAGACGUGGAUUGGGUUUGAGUGUAUCCAUGACAGAUGUGAGAUUGUUAAUUAAUGGUUCAACUUAAGGUGGCAACUUUAAUACACAUCUGGGUGGAUUGCUUGUGGGCACCUGGAGAAUCCAGUAUUGUCUUAGGAUAUCCCGGAGUACCCGUGUGAUCAUCCUACGGUCCGCCACCCAGGCUCAAAGGGAUCAUAAGAUUAUUCAUGCUAGAAACUUCCGUGUGCAGCCACAAGCCAUUAUGGGCUCUGGCAUAGUUGAGCAUGUUGUGUGACCUCUUUCAGUGGUGGGCUAGCAGAUGUAGAGGGAAAGUAGGUGUAACUGUGCACCCAGAGUAAAGAGUUAAUGCUACUGAAAGACUGUGUCUCGGUCAUCCGUUUCUCAGACAUCAUGUAGUGCGAGAAAUCAAACGGAGGAGAUCGAGUCUUGUGGGGAAAAGUGUGCAAACCUCUGCAGAGUGUAUAAACUAAUCAUGGUUAGGCGUGUCCCUGGUUAUGGACAUCUUGAGUAUCUGGUAGUUGAAUUAUUGAUUUGAUCUCAUCACUCUAAAUUAAUUUGUUGGGUUGUUAAUGAUUACUUUAAUUGGGAUUGAGUUGGAGGAACCUUCUCAAUGUUGUUCAACUACCAUGAUAGUUAAAUAAAAUUUAUUCCUUUGUUGUAGGGAAAAAUUGGCUUUUCGCAAAAACCAUAUAACCAUAGAGCCUCCACCAGCCAUAUAUGCAUGUAGUGAUAGCAUUUAUCUGUUCAUUGCUCUACUGUGUUAUAUUGCCAGCAUAUUCCAUGUGCUGACCCGUUUUCGGGCUGCAACGUAUUAUGUUGCAGACUUUUCAGACGAGGAGUAAGGUUCGCUAGGUCGUUUGUCACGCACUCAGCUAUGCCGUUGGAGUUGAUGGACUCACUUUAUCUUCCAAGCCUUCCGAUGUUAUCGUUUUAGAUGGCCUUAAGCCAUAUUUAUUGUGAUAAGUUCUCUUUUGAGACAUUCGAUGUAAUAAGUGUGUGAUUGGUACUCUGCUAUAAAUCCAUUCGAGUACUGUGUGUGUCAGCAUUACCGAUCCAGGGAUGACACUGAAGCACAGAGACUUGACCGUUUGAGGUCGGGUCGCUACACGUUGUAUGUGAACGUAGAGCUUAUCACACCCGAUCAUCACGUGGUGUCUCGGCACGAUGAACUGUAGCAAUGAUGCAUACUCAGGGAGAACACUUGUACCUUGAAAUUUAGUGAGGGAUCAUCUUAUAAUGCUACCGCCGUUCUAAGCAAAAUAAGAUGCAUAAAGGAUAAACAUCACAUGCAAUCAAAAUAAGUGAUAUGAUAUGGCCAUCAUCAUCUUGUGCCUUUGAUCUCCAUCUCCAAAGCACCGUCAUGAUCACCAUCGUCACCGGCUUGACACCUUGAUCUCCAUCGUAGCAUCAUUGUCGUCUCGCCAACUAUUGCUUCUACGACUAACGCUACCGCUUAGUGAUAAAGUAAAGCAAUUACAUGGCGAUUGCAUUUCAUACAAUAAAGCGACAACCAUAUGGCUCCUGCCAGUUGCUGAUAACUGUUACAAAACAUGAUCAUCUCAUACAACAAUUUAUAUAUCAUCACGUCUUGACCAUAUGACAUCACAACAAGCCCUGCAAAAACAAGUUAGACAUCCUGUACUUUGUUGUUGCAAGUUUUACAUGGCUGCUACGGGCUUCUAGCAAGAACCAUUCUUACCUACGCAUCAAAAAACACAAAGAUUUUCCUCAAGUGUGCUGUUUUAACCUUCAACAAGGACCAGGCAUAGUCAAACUCGAUUCAACUAAAGUUGGAGAAACAGACACCCGCUAGCCACCUGUGUGCGAAGCACGUCGGUAGAACUAGUCUCAUGAACGUGGUCAUGUAAUGUCAGUCCGGGCCACUUCAUCCAACAAUACCACCGAAUCAAAGUAAGACGUUGCUGGUAAGCAGUAUGACUAUUAUCGCCCACAACUCUUUGUGUUCUACUCAUGCAUAUAACAUCUACGCAUAGACCUGGCUCGGAUGCCACUAUUGGGGAAUGCAGUAUUUCAAAAAAUUUACCUACGAUCACGCAAGAUCUAUCUAGGAGAUGCAAAGCAAUGAGCGGGAAGAAUGUGUCCACGUACCCUCGUAGACCGAAAGCGGAAGCGUUUAGUAACGCGGUUGAUGUAGUCGAACGUCUUCACGAUCCAACCAAUCCAAGCACCGAACGUACGGCACCUCCGCGUUCAGCUCGAUGACGUCCCUCGAACUCUCGAUCUAGUUGAGGCCGAGGGAGAGUUCCGUCAGCACGACGGCGUGGUGACGGUGAUGAUGAAGUUACGGACGCAGGGCCUCACCUAAGCACUACGACGAUGUGACCGAGGUGUGUAACGGUGGAGGGGGGCACCGCACAGGGCUAAGAGAAGACUUGGUGUGUCUUUGGGGUGCCCCCCUCCCACGUAUAUAAAGGGGGGAGGAGAGGUGGCCGGCUCAAGGGGGGGCGCCAGGUGUGGGGAGUCCUACUAGGACUCCCUAGUCCAAGUAGGAUUCCCCUCUCCUUUUUCCUUUUUCGGAAUAGCAAAGAGGGAAAGCGAGGAGGAGGAGGAGAGGGAAAGGGGGGGGCGCCGCCCCCACCCCUUGUCCAAUUCGGGCUGGGCAAGGGGCGCGCGCCACCUCCCUGGAUGGCCCUCUCUCCUCCGCUAAGGCCCAUGUAUGGCCCAAUAACUUCCUGGGGGGGUUCCGGUAACCCCUGGUACUCCGAAAUUCAUCCGAUAUGACCCGAACCAUUCCGGUGUCCGAAUGUAACCUUCCAAUAAUGAAUCUUUAUCUCUUGACCAUUUCGAGACUCCUCGUCAUGUCUGUGAUCUCAUCCGGGACUCCGAACAAACUUUGGUUCAUCAAAACACAUAACUCAUAAUACAAAUCAUCAUCGGACGUUAAGCGUGCGGACCCUACGGGUUCGAGAACUAUGUAGUCAUGACCGAGACACAUCUCCGGUCAAUAACCAAUAGCGGAACCUGGAUGCUCAUAUUGGCUCCUACAUAUUCUACGAAGAUAUUUAUCGGUCAAACCACAUAACAACAUACGUUGUUCCCUUUGUCAUCGGUAUGUUACUUGUCCGAGAUUCGAUCAUCGGUAUCAUCAUACCUAGUUCAAUCUCGUCACCGGCAAGUCUCUUUACUCGUUCUGUAAUGCAUCAUCCUGUAACUAAAUCAUUAGUCACAUUGCUUGCAAGGCUUAUAGUGAUGUGCAUUACCGAGAGGGCCUAGAGAUACCUCUCUGAUACACGGAGUGACAAAUCCUAAUCUCGAUCUAUGCCAACUCAACAAACACCAUCGGAGACACCUGUAGAGCAUCUUUAUAAUCACCCAGUUAUGUUGUGACGUUUGAUAGCACACAAGGUGUUCGUCCGGUAUUCGGGAGUUGCAUAAUCUCAUAGUCUGAGGAACAUGUAUAAGUCAUGAAGAAAGCAAUAGCAAUAAAACUAAACGAUCAUUAAUGCUAAGCAAACGGAUGGGUCUUGUCCAUCACAUCAUUCUCUAAUGAUGUGAUCCCGUUCAUCAAAUGACAACACAUGUCUAUGGCUAGGAAACUUAACCAUCUUUGAUUAACAAGCUAGUCAAGUAGAGGCAUACUAGGGACACUCUGUUUGUCUAUGUAUUCACAGAUGUACUAAGUUUCCGGUUAAUACAAUUCUAGCAUGAAUAAUAAACAUUUACCAUGAUAUAAGGAAAUAUAAAACAACUUUAUUAUUGCCUCUAGGGCAUAUUUCCUUCAUCUUGAUCCGGAUACGGUGGCAAGUGAGCGAGGAUCGGGUCGUCGCAUCCUUAGUGGCGCGCUACAUCGGCGCCCGGAUGUAGUGGAAAAUGAGCAAGGGUCUUCGCAUUUGACUCGACGAGUGCGAAGGGUAAGGAAGCUAGCUGAGCCUAGGAGGAUUCGCUUAGGUAGCUGGAACGUAGGGUCUCUGACAGGGAAGCUUCGGGAGCUAGUUGAUGCAGCAGUGAGGAGAGGUGUUGAUAUCCUUUGCGUCCAAGAAACCAAAUGGAGAGGACAGAAGGCGAAGGAGGUGGAGGAUACCGGCUUCAAGCUAUGGUACACGGGGACGGCUGCAAACAGAAAUGGCGUAGGCAUCUUCAUCAACAAGAGCCUCAAGUAUGGAGUGGUAGACGUCAAGAGACGUGGGGACCGGAUUAUCCUGGUCAAGCUGGUAGUUGAGGACUUGGUUCUCAAUGUUAUCAGCGCCUAUGCCUCACAAGUAGGCCACAAUGAGAACACCAAGAGGGAGUUCUGGGAAGGCCUGGAAGACAUGGUUAGGAGUGUACCAAUUGGUGAGAAGCUCUUCAUAGGAGGAGACCUCAAUGGCCACGUGGGUACAUCUAACACAAGUUUUGAAGGGGCGCAUGGGGGCUUUGGCUAUGGCAUCAGGAAUGAAGAAGGAGAAGAUGUCUCAAGCUUUGCUCUAGCCAACAACAUGAUUGUAGCUAACACCCUCUUUAGAAAGAGAGAAUCACAUCUAGUGACUUUUAGUAGUGGCCAACACUCUAGCCAGAUUGACUUCAUCCUCUCGAGAAGAGAAGAUAGGCGUGCGUGCCUAGACUGUAAGGUGAUACCUGGAGAGAGUGUUGUACCCCAGCAUAAGCUGGUGGUUGCUGACUUCCGCUUUCGGAUUCAUGUCCAACGGGAUAAGCGUGCCAAAGUCGCUAGAACGAAGUGGUGGAAGCUCAAGGGGGGAGGGUAGCUCAGGCGUUCAAGGAGAGGGUCAUUAAGGAGGGCACUUGGGAGGAAGGAGGGGAUGCGGACAAUGUGUGGAUGAAGAUGGCGACUAGCAUUCUUAAGGUGGCCUCAGAGGAGUUUGGAGUGUCCAGGGGAAGGAGAAGCGAAGAUAAGGAUACCUGGUGGUGGAAUGAUGAUGUCCAGAAGGCGAUUAAAGAGAAGAAAGAUUGCUUCAGACGCCUAUACCUGGAUAGGGGUGCAGACAACAUAGAGAAGUACAAGAUGGUGAAGAAGGCUGCAAAGCGAGCUGUUGGUGAAGCAAGGGGUCGGGCAUAUGAGGACCUCUACCAAAGGUUAGGCACGAAGGAAGGCGAAAGGGACAUCUAUAAUAUGGCCAAGAUCCGAGAGAGAAAGACGAGGGAUAUUGGCCAAGUCAAAUGCAUCAAGGAUGGAGCAGGCCAACUCUUGGUGAAGGACGAGGAGAUUAAGCAUAGAUGGCGGGAGUACUUCGACAAGCUGUUCAAUGGGGAGAAUGAGAGUUCUACCAUUGAACUGAACGACUCCUUUGAUGAGACCAGCAUGCGUUUUGUGCGGAGAAUCCAGGAGUCUGAGGUCAAGGAGCAGUAUAAGGGAAAACCCUAGUAGUAGCGCGGCUUUCGAGGCUAUCAGCAACGCGGGCAGCCGCGCUACUAAUAAGGCGCUACAACUAACUGUUACUAGUAGUGCGGUCUGUACCCCCGCUACUAAUAUUGACUAUAUCAGCAGCACUUUUCCAGAACACGCUACUGUUAGUUAGCUGUAGCGCUUUCCUAGCCCCGCGCUACUUCUAUGUGUUUCAUCAUUCCCCCCAGCUUCCUACCCAGUUUUAGUUUCAAUAAACUGCAAUUUCCAGAUACUAGGUACUCCUAGAUAUCAAUUUCAUAAAGCAUUAUAGGUAUUAGGUAGUACUAUCUCGGUCCCAAAUUACUCGUCGUCGUUUUAGUUCAAAUUUGAACUAAAACCACGAUGAGUAAUUUGGAACGGAGGGAGUACUAGAUAACAAUUUCAUAUAUAGUCAACAUGCAUCCUCAAGCUGUACAAGGUGAUAUCGACGAUGAUCAUCAUAUGUAGUUCUAGAUGAUAUCGACGACGAUCAUCAUAUGUAGUUCUACAUGACAUCGACGACGAUCAUCAUAUGUAGUUCUAGAUGAUAUAGCCACACACACACAUAUGUAGUUCUAGGUGAUAUCGACGACGAUCAUCAUCCUCAAGCCUGGGCGAUGGGUGUUCCUGAUAGUAAUUAGGAUGGCAUGUCCAACACGAAGAUUCUUGCCAACGAGGAAUCUCUUCCACCCAACCGAGUUUAAGUGUGUGCGACCGUCUGUGUCCAUGCGGUAAGUACAGGUGGUGACGGAGCCCCAUGCGGUAAGGCGUAGUCCAGCUGAGCCUUCUUCAUCAGGCUCGAUACCACAACUCACCAAUAGGUUCUUUGGCAAUUUUUGAAUAAGAAAAACAUAUCAAUUAAUAAAUAGCCUCGCACAUACUCUUGCAAAUAUAUUUCUAUUAAGUAUAGAUUUCUACACUAUCCAAAGACAUAGUACUACACAUUUGUACUAAUUAAGCAUUAAUUCUACUAAUAAGUAUAUAUGGAUUAUCUACACUAUUAAUAGUUCCUUGGAUUCUACACUAAUAAGCAUGUGAUCAGACUCUACACUAAAGCAUAUCAUCGACUAGAUUCCACACAGCAUAUCUUGGACUCUACACUAAGAAUAUCAUCGUAUUCACUAAGCAUAUCAUCGGAUAAUUUGCAUUUGUAAGUAUGACAAUAAAGCAUAUAUAUAUAUAUAUAUAUAUAUAUAUAUAUAUAUAUAUAUAUAUAUAUCAUCAAAUUACUACAGUCAGUAUAACAUACCAUUUCAUGCCGAUCGACCAUGGUACUUGUCAGGCGGGUCACGAAUGGCACCCCGACAAAGUCAUCACGUGGCGGAAUUAUGUCCCAUAGGUUGCACACCUCCUCCUCGCUCAGCCUCAUUCUUUGAGCAAUGAUGGCUUCAUGAAGUGGGUUCUCAUCAUCUUCAUUGAGUGGGUCCUCAUUAUCUUCAUCAUCUUCGUCAUCUUCAUCAUCUUCGUCAUCAUCAUCUUCCACCAGGUUUAUAUAAAUGACAACCAGCUUGGGUCUUUCUGCUCUGAAGGAGAAGCUGGUCAACUCACCACCAGUAAGACACAUGCGGGCGAGGAAACGGGCCCAUCCAUCUCCUCCAAUCUGUGAUAUUACGUCCUUUCUCGGCCUGCAUAGUGUACGGCCCCCAGGAGCCUCAAAUGUCACAGUGUCUCCUGUCAGCUUGUUGAAUUUCAACCUCACAUUGCAUGGGACGAUCUGUGUAAAAAAAGCAAAAUGACACAAUGCAGUAAUGCCAACACUAAAAAUAAAAUAGUUGUUACAUUUCAUCUAAUUUCUUACCGCCGCAUGACGAAAACUCGGCUGGAAGUAGAUGCCGAAUAGCUUGCCAGUUGCAAGGCUGCUGGCGCACCUUGACUUGCACAGUCGACAUGGUGGUGGUGGUGGUGGUGGCGCCAUUUUCCUAAAGCAAUAUGAGCAAAGGAUUAACGAUCCACUUCACAGGAAAGAAAAACAGUAGCAUGUGAUAUUUAUGGUUCUUCCGUGAGAAGCAAUUUGAUGGACAAUUAUAAUCCUAAGAUCUAGUAACAUAUUAGAUGACAAGGUACCACCUACCAAAGCAUUUCGGUGGCACCUAUUGCCGAAAAAACUUUUCACAACUAUCUACCAAAUCAGGGUACCACCUACCAAGACAUUUCAUCUAAUUUGGCCCCUAUUGCCUAAGAUAAUUGAUUAAAAAACAAGUGGCAAAUUUAACUAAAUUGGCACCUACAUUUUGCAAAAAAUUAAGUUAUUACAAAAAAACAAAAGCAUCUAGCUAUCCAUGCACAGAAAAAAUAACAAUAAAAUGGUGCAUACUAAAUCAACUAAAUCAACAAGCCUACUAAAUCAACUAAAUCAACUAGCCUACUAAAUCAACUAGCAUAAUAAAUCAACUAAAUCAAAAUGUUCUAAAUCAACUAGCCUACUAAAUAAACUAAAUCAUAUCAACUAAAUCAAAAUGUUGCAUAUGAACUAGCCUACUAAAUCAAAAUGUAUCAGGAAGAAAUUUGUAAGCCCUCGUAGCAUCUAGGUAGGGCAGCCCUCGGGGGGUGCUGUCGAGCGGAGGGGGGAUGGCAUGGUGACCUCGGUCGGGGGUGCUGACGAGGGGAAGGCCGGUGACUUUACUACNNNNNNNNNNNNNNNNNNNNNNNNNNNNNNNNNNNNNNNNNNNNNNNNNNNNNNNNNNNNNNNNNNNNNNNNNNNNNNNNNNNNNNNNNNNNNNNNNNNNNNNNNNNNNNNNNNNNNNNNNNNNNNNNNNNNNNNNNNNNNNNNNNNNNNNNNNNNNNNNNNNNNNNNNNNNNNNNNNNNNNNNNNNNNNNNNNNNNNNNNNNNNNNNNNNNNNNNNNNNNNNNNNNNNNNNNNNNNNNNNNNNNNNNNNNNNNNNNNNNNNNNNNNNNNNNNNNNNNNNNNNNNNNNNNNNNNNNNNNNNNNNNNNNNNNNNNNNNNNNNNNNNNNNNNNNNNNNNNNNNNNNNNNNNNNNNCCGGCAAGGGGAUCGAGGGCAGUCGGCCAAAGGCGCCCGGCCAGAGCUCGCGGCCAGCGACAGAGUGGGCGGCGAGAGGGUGGAGGAGCAGUGGAUGGGCGACGAGAGGGGGGAGGAGCAUUACCUGCGGCGGCGGUGGCGGAGGAGAAACCCUAACCGCAGCUGCCGGCGUCGGGAGGAGGGGGACGAUUGAGAGAUGACCGUGCGGGGGGGGCGGCCAGGCCGCGUGUUUUGUUUUGCUUUAGCAGUAGCGCAGGUAUAGGGAGCGCGCUACUGCUAAGCCCAAUAUCAGUAGCGCUUUGUCCUAAAAAAACGCUACUGCUAAGUCUAAGCAAUGUAAAAACAUCAAAAAUAUACAUUGGUCAUCAUUGAUCUUUUUGUGUAGAAUCUAAAUAGUCAACAUGAAUCCUCACCGUACCUGUAUAGGUACACGCGAGGAUUCAUAUUGCAGCCACAAAUCCUACACAUAUAGUUCAAUGAAGACCAAGUGCUCGAGAUAGUUUGAGAAGUAACAUAUUUAAGGUGGUAAACACCUUGUUGGCUUAGCAGUAUGGGACUAAACUUAAUUAGUUGCAAGGGGGGUGAUACUUAGCAGUAGCGAGUUUUGAAGAAAAACACUACUACUAAGUACUUUAGCAGUAGCGCGUCUAGAAGAAGGGCGCUACUACUAUAUCUAGCCUGGAGGCAACACCGUGGCAAUUAUAGUAGUAACGCUUGUUUCACCUAGAGCGCUACUGCUACUUGGUUAUUAGUAGCGCGGUUUCCUGAAGCUCGCUACUGAUAAUUAGCAGUAGUGUUUGUUUUUAAACAACGUUGCUGCUAAGAUUCUGUGUAUAAGGUUUUCCCUAGUAGUGGAGGCUUUAAAAAGGAUGCAAGGGGGCAAGGCGAUGGGCCCUGAUUGUAUCCCCAUUGAGGUGUGGAAAGGUCUCGGGGACAUAGCGAUAGUAUGGCUAACCAAGCUUUUCAACCUCAUUUUUCAGGCAAACAAGAUGCCAGAAGAAUGGAGACGGAGUAUAUUAGUACCAAUCUUCAAGAACAAGGGGGGUGUUCAGAGUUGUACUAAUUAAAGUGGAAUUGAGCUGAUGAGCCAUACAAUGAUGCUAUGGGAGAGAGUCAUUGAGCACCGCUUAAGAAGAAUGACAAGCGUGACCAAAAAUCAGUUUGGUUUCAUGCCUGGGAGGUCGACCAUGGAAGCCAUUUUCUUGGUAUGACAACUUAUGGAGAGAUAUAGGGAGCAAAAGGACUUGCAUAUGGUGUUCAUUGACUUGGAGAAGGCCUAUGAUAAGAUACCGCAGAAUGUCAUGUGGUGGGCCUUGGAUAAACACAAAGUCCCAGCAAAGUACAUUACCCUCAUCAAGGACAUGUACGAUAAUGUUGUGACAAGUGUUCGAACAAGUGAUGUCGACACCGAUGACUUCCCGAUUAAGAUAGGACUGCAUCAGGGGUCAGCUUUGAGCCCUUAUCUUUUUGCAUUGGAGCUGGAUGAGGUCACAAGGGAUAUACAAGGAGAUAUCCCAUAGUGUAUGCUCUUUGCGGAUGAUGUGGUGCUAGUUGACGAUAGUGAGACGGGGGUAAAUAGGAAGUUAGAGUUAUGGAGACAAACCUUGGAAUCGAAAGGGUUUAGGCUUAGUAAAACUAAAACCGAGUACAUGAUGUGCGGUUUCAGUACUACUAGGUGUGAGGAGGAGGUGGUUAGCCUUGAUGGCUAGGUGGUACCUCGGAAGGACACCUUUCGGUAUUUGGGGUCAAUGCUGCAGGAGGAUGGGGGUAUUGAGGAAGAUGUGAACCAUCGAAUCAAAGCUGGAUGGAUGAAGUGGCGCCAAGCUUCUGGCAUUCUCUGUGACAAGAGAGUGCCACAAAAGCUAAAAGGCAAGUUCUACAGGACAGCGGUUCCACCCGCAAUGUUGUAUGGCGCUAAGUGUUGGCCGACUGAAAGGCGACAUGAUCAACAGUUAGGUGUGGCAGAGAUGUGUAUGUUGAGAUGGAUGUGUGGACACACGAGGAAGGAUCAAGUCCAGAAUGAUGAUAUACGAGAUAGAGUUGGGGUAGCACCAAUUGAAGAGAAGCUUGUCCAACAUCGUCUGAGAUGGUUUGGGCAUAUUCAGCGCAGGCCUCCAGAAGCUCCAGUGCAUAGCGGACGACUAAAGCAUGUGGAGAAUGUCAAGAGAGGGCGGGGUAGACCGAAUUUGACAUGGGGGUGUCUGUUAAUAGAGACCUGAAGGAUUCGAGUAGCACCAAAGAGCUAGCUAUGGACAGGGGUGCGUGGAAGCUUGCUAUCCAUGUGCCAGAGCCAUGAGUCGGUUGUGAGAUCUUAUGGGUUUCACCUCUAGCCUACCCAAACUUUUUUGGGAAUAAAGGCUUUGUGGUUGUUGGGUUGCCUCCCAACAAGCGCUAUAGUUUUACGCCCUUAGCUAGGCAUAAAGCAAGGAUCUAAGUUUUCUCAUCUUUGUUUCGAGAUCCAUAAGAUGCCCUCAUGAUUGAUUCGUAUGGUGGCCUAAUUCUUGUUCUAGGGAAGUGUUCCAUACCCUUCCUCAAAGGAAAUUGGAAAUUAAUAUUGCCUUCUUUCAUAUCAAUCACGACACCGAUAGUGCGUAAAAACGGUCUACCAAGAAUAAUUGGACAAGACGGAUUGCAAUCAAUAUCAAGAACAAUAAAAUCUACGGGCACAUAAUUCCUAUUUGCAAGAAUAAGAACAUCAUUAAUUCUUCCCAUAGGGUUUUUAAUAGUAGAAUCCGCCAAGUGCAAAUUUAAAGAACAUUCUUCAAGAUCGGUAAGACCAAGACAUCACAUAAAGAUUUCGGAAUUGUAGAAACACUAGCACCCAAGUCACACAAAGCAAAACACUCAUAAUUUUUAAUCUUGACUUUGAUAGUAGGUUCCCAUUCAUCAUGCAAUUUUCUAGGAAUUGAAACUUCUAAUUCCAAUUUUUCUUCAAAAGCUUUCAUCAUAGCAUCAACAAUAUGUUUAGUAAAAGCUUUAUUUUGUUCAUAAGCAUGGGGUGAAUUUAUCAUGGAUUGCAACAAAGAAAUACAAUAAAACAAACAGCAACUAUCAUAAUUAAAGUCUUUGUAAUCCAAAAGAGUGGGCACAUCACAGGUUAAAGUUUUGACCUCUUCAAACCCACUUUCAUCAAUUUUCUCAACAAGAUUUUCACCCUCUGAAUUAUCGGCACCCCUUCUAGCUUCGACUCUUCUCCAGUCCUUUUUCCAUCAAUCUUAACUUUACAAACAAGGAAUCAAUAGAAGAAACACCAAUCGUUUUAAGAUCUUCAUCACUUUUAUGAAAGUAAUCGCUAGAAAUUCUUUUUCUAAAAAUUCUCUUUUAUCUCUAAGCAUAGCGGUUCUUUUCUUACUUUCAUCCAUAGAAACAUAAAGAGCUUUAAUUUAUUAAUCAACCUUAGGCACAAAAAAUUUCAUCUUGAGAUUUUCCACAUCAUGAGAAAUUCUAUCAACACUUCUAGAAAAAUCAUCAAUCUUAUUCAACUUUUCUUCUAUGGAAGUGUUGAAAACUUUUUGCGUGUUGAUAAAUUCUUUAAUAUUAUUCUCAAGAUCAGAGGUGUUCCUAUUAUUAUUAUAAGAAGGAUUUCCAUAGGAAUUACCAUAAUUAUUAGAGGAAUUACUAGGAAAAGGCCUAGGAUUAAAAUUACCUCUAUAAGCAUUGUUAUUGAAAUUAUUUAACCCAUGAGUUGGGCAAUUCCUUAGCAUCAUUUUCAUCCUUUCCCAAGAUUGUGCAACAUGCUCAUGUUCAAGUUGCUUGAAAUUCAUGAUCUGUGUUCUAAGGGAAAUAAUUUUUGUGGGUGGAAAAUACUUAGUGAUAAAAGCAUCUUUGCACUUAUUACAAGAAUCGAUACUAUUGCGAGACAAAGAAGAGAACCAAAUUAUUGCAAAAUCACGCAAAGAAAACGGAAAUAAUUUCAUCUUCACAACAUCAUUGUCCACAUCUUUUUUCUUUUGCAUAUCGCAUAAUUCCACGGAGGUAUUAAGAUGGGACGCGGUAUCCUCAUUAGGAGUACCGGAAAAUUGAUCUUUCAUAACAAGAUUCAAUAAAGUAGUAUUAAUAUCACAAGACUCCGCACUAGUGGCGGGAGGAACAAUCGGAGUGCCAAUAAAAUCAUUGUUGUUGGUAUUUGAGAAAUCAAAUAACUUGGUGUUCUCUUGAGUCAUGAUGACUACACAACAAGAUUGCACUCAAAAACAGAUCCGGCAAGAAAACGGCGAAUGAAAAAAGAGGGGCGAAUAAAACUGCAAAUUUUUGUGAAGUGGGGGAGAGGAAAACGAGAGGCAAAUGGCAAAUAAUGUAAAUUGCGAGGAGAUGAGAGUUGUGAUUAGGAACCUGUUAUAUGUUGAAGAUCCUCCCUGGCAACGGUGCCAGGAAUUCCUUUUGAUGCGGCUUGAAGCUACGUCGGUAUUUCCCCAAAGAGGAAGGGAUGAUGCAGCACAGCAUCGGUAGGUAUUUCCCUCAGAUAUGAAACCAAGGUUAUCGAACCAGUAGGAGAACCAAGCAACACAACCUAAACAGCACCUGCACACAAAUAACAACUUCUCAGAACCCGAUGUGUAAAAGGGGUUGUCAAUCCCUUUCAGGUAGCGCCGCCCCAAGAUGGGCAAACGGACGUGAAUAAAAUUGUAGCAGAUUGAUAGAUCGAACGCCAAAUAAAAUAAAUAAGAAUAAACCCCAGCAAGGUAUUUUUGUAUUUUUGUUUAAUAGAUCUGAAAAUAAAAGCAAGGGAAAAUAGAUCGCAAAGGCAAAUAAUAUGAGAAAGAGACCCGGGGGUCGUAGGUUUCACUAGUGGCUUCUCUCGAGAAAAAUAGCAAACGGUGGGUGAACACAUUAUUGUUGGGCAAUUGAUAGAACUUCAAAUAAUCAUGACAAUAUCCAGGCAAUGAUCAUUAUAUAGGCAUCACGUCCAAGAUUAGUAGACCGACUCCUGCCUGCAUGUACUACUAUUACUCCACACAUCGACCGCUAUCCAGCAUGCAUCUAGUGUAUUAAGUUCAUGGAGAAACGGAGUAAUGCAAUAAGAACGAUGACAUGAUGUAGACAAGAUCUAUCUAUGUACAAAUAGAUUCCAUCGUUUUACCCUUAGUAGCAACGAUACAUACGUGUCGGUUCCCCUUCUGUCACUGGGAUCAAGCACCGUAAGAUCGAACCCACUACAAAGCACCUCUUCCCAUUACAAGAUAAAUAGAUCAAGUUGGCCAAACAAAACCCAAAUAUUGAAGAAGAAAUAUGAGGCUAUAAGCAAUCAUGCAUAAAAGAGAUCAAAGAAACUCAAAUACUUUCAUGGAUAUAAAAAGAUAGAUCUGAUCAUCAACUCAAAGUUCAUCCGAUCCCAACAAACACACUGCAAAAAGAGUUACAUCAUACGGAUCUCCAAGAGACCAUUGUAUUGAGAAUUCAGCGAGAGAGAGGAAGCAAUCUAGCUACUAACUACGGACCCAAAGGUCCACAAAGAACUACUCACGCAUCAUCGGAGAGGCACCAAUGGAGGUGGUGAACCCCAGCCGUGAUGGUGUCUAGAUUGGAUCUGGUGGUUCUGGACUCUACGACGGCUGGAAUUGAUUUUCGUCGACUCCCUUAGGGUUUCUGGAAUAUUGGGGUAUUUAUAGAGCAAAGAGGCGGCCCGGGGGCACCCGAGGUGGGCACAACCCACCAGGGCGCGCAUGGGCCUCCUGGCGCGCCCUGGUGGGUUGUGCUCUCCUCGGAGCACCCCCCAGGCGUAGCCUUGGCCCAUUAGGUGUCUUAUGGUCCAAAAAAAUCUCCAUAAAGUUUCGUUGCAUUUGGACUCCGUUUGGUAUUGAUUUCCUGUGAUGUAAAAAACAUGCAGAAAACAGCAACUGGCAUCUGGCACUAUGUCAAUAGGUUAGUACCAAGAAAUGAUAUAAAAUGACUACAAAAUGAUUAUUAAACAUCCAAGAUUGAUAAUAUAAUAGCAUGGAACAAUCAAAAGUUAUAGAUACGUUGGAGACGUAUCAAAGCCCUGUCUGAUACAUGCGACUCCAAGCACAGACUCAACUCACAGCCUUCGAGCAUGUUGGGUACUUCGGCAGGUAGCUAAAAGUGGGGAGGCCAUCCUCACCACCGCCACUUCAGAGAAGCAUUCUCCGGAGGAUGAUGAUUUUAAUGUCCUUACAGUCUUUGAGACAUUCUCUUCAAAUAAUCGGCAUAACAGGGCACUUCGCGACCUCGCCGAAGUCCACCAAGUAACCGCAAUGAGCCUAUGGAACAACUCGACAAUAACCUUCACCGCUGAUGACGAACCAAGGGCCCGAUCAGUCCGAGCACCCGUCGCUUUAGUACUAAACCCCACUGUGGACGGCUUUCGACUUACCAAAGUGCUCAUGGACGGCGGCAGUGGGGUUAACCUCAUCUACGAGGACACGCUUGACAAAAUGCAGGUUGACAGAACACGCAUCAAGCAAAGCAGUACCACCUUUCGAGGCAUCAUCCCCAGUCGAGAAGCACGAUGUUCAGGGAGAAUUAAGCUUGACGUAGUAUACGGCACGCCUGCAAAUUAUAGGUCAGAAGAGCUGCUCUUUCACGUUGUUCCCUUCAAUAGCGGAUAUCAUGCCCUUCUAGGGCGGGACGCUUUCUCAUGCUUCCAAGCCAUACCCCAUUACAGGUACAUGAAGCUUAAAAUGCCAGGGCCCAAUGGAAUAAUCACAGUUUCGAGUGACCGGAUAAGGCACUCCGCGCCGAAAACAAAACCACAUCCUUGGCUCUUGAGUUAUGAUACGUCUCCAACGUAUCUAUAAUUUAUGAGGUAUUCAUGGUAUUAUUUUAUCAUUCUUGGAUGUUUUACAAUCAUUUUAUAGCAACUUUAUAUCAUUUUUUGGGACUAACCUAUUGAUCCAGUGCCCAGUGCCAGUUGCUGUUUUUUGCUUGUUUCUUACAUCGCAGAUAAUCAAUACCAAACGGAGUCCAAACGCAACGAAACUCCACGGAGAUUUUUAUGGACCGGAAGGAACCCAAUGGGCCAGAGCUGCACCUGGGGGGUGCCGCGAGGGGGGCACAACCCACCAGGGCGCGCUCAGGUGGGUUGUGCCCACCUCGGUGGCCUCCUGCGCCCCCUCUUUACCCUAUAAAUUCCCCAAAAUUCCAAAAACCCUCGGGGUUAACCUAGAUCAGAAGUCUCGCCGCCGCAGGGCUCCGUAGCCAUCGAAAACCAAUCUAGACCCGUUUUGGCACCCUGCCGAAGGGGGGAAUCAUCUCCGGUCACCAUAUUCAUCAUCCCGGCGGCCACCACGAUGAGGAGGAGUAGUCCACCCUCGGGGCUGAGGGUUUGUACCAGUAGCUAUGUGUUUAAUCUCUCUCUCUCUCGUGUUCUUGAUAUGUCACGAUCUUGAUGUAUCGUGGGCUUUGUUAAUAUAGUCAGAUCAUAUGGUGUUUUCCCCUCUCUAUCUUGUUGUGAUGAAUUGAGUAUUUCCCUUUGAGAUUUCAUUGUUAUCGGAUUGAAUACUUUUAUGGAUUUGAGAACACUUGAUAUAUGUCUUGCAAUUGAAUACUCAUGGUGAGAAUGGGGUAUCGUAUUGAUUCACAUGAUAUAUGUUUUGGCACUCAACUCGCGGAUUCCCGAGGUGACAUUGGGGUAAUCUAUGCAUAAGGGUUGAUGCACGUUCUUGUCUUUGUUUCUCCGGUAGAAAUCUUGGGGCACUCUUUGAAGUUCUUUGUGUUGGAUUGAGUAUUAUGAAUAUGGAUUUGCUUUGGUGUUAUUUUAGUACGAACUCUAGGAUAGAUCGAACGGAAAGAAUAGCUUUGUGUUAUUUUACUACGAACUCUUGAAUAGAUCGAAUGGAAAGAAUAGCUUUGAGGUGGUUUCGUGCCCUACAAACAAUUUAUUCUUAUGUUCUCUGCUAGAUAGGAACUUUGGAUUGAUUCUCCGUCGCACUUUGAGGGGUGGUUAUAUGAUCCAAUUAUAUUAGCAUUGUUGAGAGAUUGCACUAGCGAAAGUACGGACCCUAGGCCUCAUUUUCAAGCAUUGCAAUACCGUUUUUGUGCCCGUUUACUAUUUGCUACCUUGCUGUUUUUAUUUAUUCAGAUUAUAAAAAUAUAUUUCUACCAUCCAUAUUACAUUUUUAUCACCAUCUCUUCGUCGAACUAGUGCACCUAUACAAUUUGCCAUUGUAUUGGGUGUGUUGGGGACACAAGAGAUUUCCUGUAUUUUGUUGCAGGGUCAUUUGAGAGAGACCAUCUUCAUCCUACACCUCUCACGGAUUGAUAAACCUUAGGUCAUCCACUUGAGGGAAAAUUGCUACUGUCCUACAAAACUCUGCGCUUGGAGGCCCAACACGUGUCUACAAGAAUAAAGUUGCGUAGUAGACAUCAAGCUCUUUUCUGGCGCCGUUGCCGGGGAGGUGAGUGCUUGAAGGUAUAUCUUUUGAUCUUGCAAUUGAAUCUUUUAGUUUCUUGUUUUAUCACUAUUUUGGUUUAUAAAAAGAAAACUACAAAAAAAUGGAAUCGAGGAAAAUUGUGCGCCAUUGUUAGAAGAAGAAUUAUAUAAAAUGUUUGACAAAAAAUCUUUGAAUGAUGAGCAUGAUUGCAAUGUUGUUGGUAUGAAAUCUUUGAAUAUCCAUGAUGCUAGGGAUAUGCAAAGCCAUAAGCUUGGGGAUGCUAUGUUUGAUGAAGAUGAUAUUUUUAGUCCCCCAAGAUUUGAUGUGCAAAUUUGUUAUAAUGAUUGCAUGCCACCUAUUUAUGAUGAUUAUAUUGAUGAAAGUGGGUUUGUAAGAGUGUCAACUUUAGAUAGUGAUCCCACUAUUUUGGACGGUGUUGAAUCUUAUUGUUAUAAUGAUAAAAGUGGAUUUGGAGAGGUCAUGACUUUAUUUAGUGAUGAGUCCACUAUUUCGGAAGAGGUUCCAAUUGAUUAUGAGAACAAAAUUGCUACAUAUGAUGAUUAUGUUGAUGACAUGUAUGCUAUAAAGAAUAAUGAUAACCAUGAAACUUGUCAUCAUGAUUUUAAUUUUCACUCUCAUGAUAGUUAUUUUGUUGAGUUUGCUCCCACUACUAUAGAUGAGAAGAAAUUUUCUUAUGUGGAGAAUAAUGAGUUUUCUAUGCUUUUGUGUCAUGGAAAGAAUGCUUUAUGUGAUAGUUAUAUUGUUGAUUUUCUUAAUGAUGCAACUAAAAAAAAUUAUGAGGGAGGAACUUAUGCUUGUAGGAAUUGCAAUAAUAUCAAGUUUCCUCUCUAUGUGUUGAAAGUUUUGAAGUUAUGCUUGUUUUGCCUUCCUAUGCUAGUUGAUUAUUGUUCCCAUAAGUUGUUUGCUCUCAAAAUCCCUAUGCAUAGGAAGUGGGUUAGACUUAAAUGUGCUAGUCAUAUGCUUCAUGAUGCUCUCUUUGUGUUUCAAUUCUUUACUUUUAUACGAGCAUCAUUGAAAUCAUCAUGCCUAGCUAAAAGGCAUUAAAGAAAAGCGCUUGUUGGGAGACAACCCAAAACUUUUACCUACUGUUUUUGUGUGUUCACAUGAUUAGGCUACUGUAGUAAUCAUGUUGUAUUGCAUUCGGUUCAAUAAAGUACCAAGUAAGACCUUUGGGAUCAUGUUGGGUGAUAGUAGAUUUGAUCUUGCUGCAAAACAGAAACUUUGGCGCUCACGAAAAUAAGUCUCAUUUUUAACAGAAGAGUACUUUUGAGUUUAUUCUUUUUGCAGAAGUUUAAUAUACAAAUUGCUCACGUGGUCAUAAUUUUUUGAGUAGCAGAAGUAUGGUAGUUAUCCAGAUCAUUACAGACUGUUCUGUUUUUGACAGAUUCUCUUUUCAAUACAUAGUUUGCUUGUUUUCUAGUUUCUAUGGCUUAUAGUACUCAAUAUAAAUUGUGGAAAUGAUGAGGUACAGUAGGAAUUGUGUGGAAAAAAAUAUGAAUCUUAUCUUUGACAGUACCAAAGUGAAAUGGUUUGCUCUUUAUCAUACUAACCUAUCUCACGAAGUUCCGUUAAGUUUUGUGUGAUUGAAGUUUUCAAGUUUUGGGUGAGAUAUCGAUAUGAGGAGAAUAAGGAGUGACAAGACCCUAAGCUUGGGGAUGCCCAAGGCACCCCAAGUUAAUAUCCAAGGAAGAUCCAAGCAACUAAGCUUGGGGAUGCCCUGGAAGGCAUCCCCUCUUUCGUCUCCAACAUUAUCGGUAACCUCACUUGGAGCUAUGUUUUCUUCGUCACAUGAUUUGUGUUUUGCUUGGAGCAUCAUUUUAUUUUGUUAGUAUUUUCUCGCUGGUAUUUAGAAUAAUGUUUUGCAUCUUUUAUUUCAAUAAAAGUGGCAAUGAUAGCCUUUGCCAUGCUUAUUUUGCAAGUAUACAUGUUACUGUUUGAAAACAGAAAGUUUACCGCUAUUGCAAAAAUUCCCUAGAAAAGUCAGAAUGUGAUAAAAUGUUGAAACUUUUUGAAUGAUAAUCUAUGAUAAAUUCUCUACAGUGUGGUAGAAUUCCAUAAUGUUUGGAGGUGAAUAAGUAUUGAUACUCUUGCAUUCUUUACAGACCGUACUGUUUUGGCAGAUUGUUGUUAUGUUUGCAUUGUUUGCAUAUGUUUGCUUGUUUAAUGCUCCUAUUUGAGGGUAUGAGUAUUAAAUAUGCAGAGGCAUUUAGUAUGCAAUGUUGAAUAAUAAUUUUAGUGAUUUGCUACAGUAGAUAAUGAUAAGGUUUUUGCAUUGGUUUAUACUAACUUAUCUCACGAGUUCUUGUUGAGUUUUGUGUGGAUGAAGCUUUUUAGAUUUAGGAAAACCGUGAUAUGAGAGGAAUUAAGUAGACACAAAACCUCAAGCUUGGGGAUGCCCAAGGCAUCCCAAGAUAAUAUUUCAAGAAGUCUCAAGCAUCUAAGCUUGGGGAUGCCCCGGUAGGCAUCCCACCUUUUUUCUUCAACAAUUAUCGGUUAGUAUCGGUUGAGCCUAAGUUUUUGCUUCUUCACAUGAGUUGUGCUAUUCUUAGAACGUCAUUUUAUUUUUGUUCUGCUUGUUGUUUUAAUAAAAUACUUAUAUCUGAAAGUUUUAAAUAAGAGAGAGUCCAGACAUAGCUAUCUAUUUACUUAACUACUCAUUUGAUCUUCACUUAUAUCUUUUUGGAGUAGCUUGUCAUUUACUCUUGUGCUUCACUUAUAUCCUAUGAGUAAAUUGUUGAAUGAAUUGAAUAUCAUGAAGUUGAAAUUAUAGCAUGCCUAGUGGUAGCUUCACAUUGGGUUUAGAAAGUGAAAUCUUUUGAGGCAUGACAAUCACAAUAUUGGUCAUACAAGCAAUUCACGACUAAUUAGUAUAAGGAAGAGAACUUUCACAUGCAAAUACAUUAUCAUGGAAAUCUUUUGUGAUUGUGAGCCCCCAUCAAAAUAUUAUAUGCCAAAAUUAUUGAUGUUGGACAAGGAAGAUGUAAUGAUUUAUGUUUGCUCAUAUUCACAUAGAAGUUAUAUUGUCAUAUAUCCUUCAACAUGUGGUGCUUGCCCCCAUCUUUGCUAGCCAAAAAUUUUGCACCAAGUAGAGAUACUACUUGUGCAUCCAAAAACCCUUAAGCCCAAAUCUUAUUUUCAAGAGUCCACCAUACCUACCUAAGGAUUGAGUCAGAUCCUUCAAUUAAGUUGUCAUCGGUGCAUUAAGGCAAUAAUUUUUUUUUCUAAAAGUGAGAUCAUUUAGUGCAAGAGAAAAUUGAGCCUUGUACGAACUUGGAUGCCAAAGAAUAAAAUCGACAGACUGCAUAAUAAAGGUUGCCAUCUUAAGGGGCAAUACAACGCGGCGUUCUUUUUCACUAAGGGAUUGAGCAUACAAACAAAUAAGCGCAUGGCAACCUCUGCUUCCCUCUGCGAAGGGCCUAUCUUUUACUUUUAUGUAUUUACUUUUAUGCAAGAGUCAAAGUUUUUCUCUCUAUUCCUUUUUUAUUUUCUCUUUUGGCAAGCAUCAUGUGGUGAGGAGGAAUCUAGGCACAUAUGUCCAGUUGAAUUUGGGUAGCAUGAGUUAUUAUUGUUGACAUCACCCUUGAGGUGAAUACGUUGGGAGGCGAAACUCUAAGCCCCUAUCUUUCUAUGUGUCCGGUUGAAACGUUCUGCUCAUGUGUAUGCGGUGAGUGUUAGCAGUCAUAGAAGACUAUAUGAUGGUUGAGUAUGUGGAGCUCUUACUUAGACUCUGUUGAAUAAGUUGAAUUGCAAUUGCUUGGUGACUAAGAACAUAAUUUGUUGAGUUUCAAGAGAGUUCAUUGUUUGGACCUUAACAUGUGAAUUGGUUGCUACUAUAACAUGAGAAGUUUUAUAAGAAAGAAUUGUUGUUAUGAUGCUAGGAAAAGUGAUUAAAUUUAUCAUUGAUCAAACUUAUGUACUUUCCUAGCAUUCACACUUCAUAAAUUAUUUCUUUUAUCAUUUACCUACUCGAGGACAAGUAGGAAUUAAGCUUGGGGAUGCUGAUACGUCUCCAACGUAUCUAUAAUUUAUGAAUUAUUCAUGUUGUUAUUUUAUCAUUCUUGGAUGUUUUACAAUCAUUUUAUAUCAACUUUAUAUCAUUUUUUGGGACUAACCUAUUGACUCAGUGCCCAGUGCCAGUUGCUGUUUUUCGCUUGUUUUUUACAUCGCAGGAAAUCAAUACCAAACGGAGUCCAAACGCAACGAAACUCCACGGAGAUUUUUUAUGGACCACAAGGAAUCCAAUGGCCCGGAGCUACACCUGGGGGUGCCCCGAGGGGGGCACAACCCACCAGGGCGUGCCAGGGCCCCCUGGCACGCCUAGGUGGGUUGUGCGCACCUCGGUGGCCUCCCGCACCCCCUCUUUACCCUAUAAAUUCCCAAAAAUUCCAAAAACCCUCGGGGUUAACCUAGAUCAGAAGUCCCGCCGCCGCAGGGCUCCGUAGCCACCGAAAACCAAUCUAGACCCAUUCUGGCACCCUGCCGGAGGGGGAAAUCAUCUCUGGUGGCCAUGUUCAUCAUCCCGGCGGCCACCACGAUGAGGAGGGAGUAGGCCACCCUCGGGGCUGAGGGUUUGUACCAGUAGCUAUGUGUUUAAUCUCUCUCUCUCUCUUGUGUUCUUGAGAUGUCACGAUCUUGAUGUAUCGCGGGCUUUGUUAAUAUAGUCGGAUCAUAUGGUGUUUUUCCCUCUCUAUCUUGUUGUGAUGAAUUGAGUAUUUCCCUUUGAGAUUUCGUUGUUAUCGGAUUGAAUACUUUUAUGGAUUUGAUAACACUUGAUAUAUGUCUUGAAAUUGAAUACUCGUGGUGACAAUGGGGUAUCGUAUUGAUUCACAUGAUAUAUGUUCUGGAACUCAACUCGCGGAUUCCCGAGGUGACAUUGGGGUAAUCUAUGCAUAGGGGUUGAUGCAUGUUCUUGUCUUUGUUUCUCCGGUAGAAAUCUUGGGGCACUCUUUGAAGUUCUUAGUACGAACUCUAGGAUAGAUCGAACGGAAAGAAUAGCUUUGUGUUAUUUUACUACGAACUCUUGAAUAGAUCGAACGGAAAGAAUAGCUUUGAGGUGGUUUCGUACCCUACAAACAAUUUAUUCUUAUGUUCUCCGCUAGAUUGGAACUUUGGAGUGAUUCUCCGUCGCACUUUGAGGGGUGUUUAUAUGAUCCAAUUAUAUUAGCAUUGUUGAGACAUUGCACUAGCGAAAGUACGGACCCUAGGCCUCAUUUUCAAGCAUUGCAAUACCGUUUUUGUGCCCGUUUAUUAUUUGCUACCUUGCUGUUUUUAUUUAUUCAGAUUAUAAAAAUAUAUUUCUACCAUCCAUAUUACACUUUUAUCACCAUCUCUUCGCCAAACUAGUGCACCUAUACAAUUUGCCAUUGUAUUGGGUGUGUUGGGGACACAAGAGAUUUCCUGUAUUUGGUUGCAGGGUCAUUUGAGAGAGACCAUCUUCAUCUACACCUCUCAGGGAUUGAUAAACCUUAGGUCAUCCACUUGAGGGAAAAUUGCUACUGUCCUACAAAACUCUGCGCUUGGAGGCCCAACACGUGUCUACAAGAAUAAAGUUGCGUAGUAGACAUCAAGUUACUAGCCGAAGCCUUUGCGGCUGAAGAACUAACCACCCUACGAUCCCUAGUGGGCAAGGAUGAUGUGAUUCUCGACAAGAGAUCUAAAUGCACCUCUUUCAAGCCAGCAGAUGAAAUAGUUAAAUUCCAAGUGCACCCAGCGGAUCCUAAUAAAACAGCGUCCAUCGGAGCACAGCUGGAUCCGACGGUAGACACCGCCUUAUGUGUGUUCCUACGUGAAAAUCGGGAUAUCCUUGCCUGGCACCCCUUAGAUAUGCCCGGGAUCCCACACAGACUGGCUGAACACAGCCUCAACAUAAUCAAAGGGUUCAAACCAGUCAAGCAAACGCUACGGCGAUUUUCCGAACCCAAACGACAAGCUAUGGUGGAGGAGCUAGCCAAACUGCUCGAGGCCGGGUUCAUCAGAGAAAUCAAACACCCGGAUUGGUUAGCCAACUUGGUCAUGGUGCCGAAGAAGGAUCAAUCUUGGCGCCUUCGUGUCGAUUUCAAAGACCUCAAUAAGGCUUGCCCUAAAGCCCCUUUCCCAUUACCCCGCAUUGACCAGAUCAUUUAUGCGACCGUGGGACACGACUCAUUGUGUUUACUCGACGCUAACUCCGGAUACCAUCAGAUUAAAAUGAAGGACUCUGAUCAGGCCGCAACGGCGUUCAUCACCCCAUAUGGGCCUUUCUAUUUCAACACUAUGCCUUUUGGGCUUAAAAACGCUGGUGCCACUUACCAACACAUGAUUCAAACAUGCUUGGAAAUAAAAUCGGCAAGACAGUUGAAGAAUAUGUGGAUGACGUGGUCAUCAAGACUAAACACGUUGAAUCAUUGGUGGACGAUCUCCGCCUCACAUUUGACAACCUCCAAACAUACCAAUCAAUCCGGAAAAAUGCGUCUUCAGUGUUCCAGCCAGAAAGCUAUUAGGAUUCAUUGUCUCCCAUAGAGGAAUUGAAGCAAACCGAGCUAAAAUCCGAGACUUGUCGCAAUUGGCCACACCAACAGACUUAAAGCAGGUCCAAAAGCUAGCAGGGUGCGUGGCGGCGUUGAGCCGCUUCAGCUCCAGAUUAGGAGAAAAAGCAUUACCACUUUAUAGACUGCUUAGACGCACCGACAACUUUGAAUGGACGGAUGCGGCCACAGCCGGAUUGUAGGAAAUAAAAACCUUCUUAGCAGGCAACCCAAUCCUAGCCGCCCCAAGUGUUGGCGAGCCUAUGUUGCUUUAUAUCUCCGCAACUCAACAGGUAGUGAGCGAUGUACUCGUCAUCGAGCGAGGGGAAGAGGGACAUAAAUUCCCCAUCCAAAAGCCAGUGUAUUACGUAUCAGAGGUCCUUACACCAUGCAAAUCCCGAUACCCUCACUACCAGAAGAUAGCUUACGUGGUCUUUAUGGCAUCCCGAAAACUCCGACACUAUUUUCAAGAGUGUUCGAUCAUGGUGGCAUCCAAAGUACCACUUAACGACAUUAUAAACAACAAGGACGCCACCGGCCGCAUAGCUAAAUGGGCCAUUGAGCUCUUAUCGUUUGAAAUAACAUACAAGCCACGCCGAGCUAUUAAAUCUCAGGUGCUGGCCGACUUCGUUGCCGAGUGGACGGAAGCCGAGCUCCCUAAAGAGUAAAGUUCAUACUCCAACUGCAUGUACUUCGACGACUCUAAAAUGCUAGCCGGACUGGGGGCUGGUGUCAUCUUGACAUCCCCUACGGGGGACACGGUCCGCUACGUGUUGUAAAUCAUGUAUACGGACUCCAAUAAUGCAGCUGAAUAUGAGGCACUUCUACAUGGUCUCCGCAUGGCUGUCUCCAUGGGCAUACAAUGACUCGAGGUGCACGGCGACUCAAUCCUUGCAAUAUCUCAGAUAAAUGGAGAGUUCGAUGCAAAAGAUCCAAAAAUGGCGGCAUAUCGAAACGCCGUAUUAAAAAUAUCGGCUCGGUUCGAGGGACUUGAAUUUCAUCACUUCGCUCGAGACAGUAACCAGGCAGCGGACAUACUCGCUUGCACGGGCGCCAAGUGCAACCCUGUCCUGCCUAAUACCUUUAUGGAAAGGCUCUUUAGGCCAUCCGUGGUAUGGCAGGACGAGAGCGGAGACGCCAGUACGGACCUGAUCAUGCCCCCGGCAGCCGAACAUAAUACAGAUAUCAUCGGGGGUCCGGAUACCGAAAUAACGCCCUCUAAUCAUGAGAUCAUGGUCGUUAUUGCUCCUUGGACCGAACCCUUCCUGGCCUACCUUAAUAGGCAGGAGCUUCCCGAUGAUCAAAAUGAGGCCCGUCGCAUAGUUCGGCGUUCUAAAGCCUACAAAGUUCACGAAGGUGAACUGUACAAGAAAAGCACUACCGGAGUUCUCCAAUUGUACAUCUCCGAAGAGGAUGGACGACAACUCCUGGCUGAAAUACAUGCUGGUCUAGGCGGCCAUCACGCCGCAGCUCGGGCCCUCGUAAGCAAAGCCUUCCGGACAGGUUUUUUCUGACCAAUGGCCCAAGCAGACGCACAGGCCCUUGUCCAACGUUGUGUGGGAUGUCAGCUUUUCGCCAAUCAAAGUCAUAUGCCUCCCACUGCCUUAAGAACAAUCCCCAUCACUUGGCCCUUCGCGGUCUGGGGGCUGGAUAUGGUCGGACCCCUUAAAGGGGGAAGCCACAAAAAGAAAUAUUUACUGGUUAUGGUGGAUAAAUUCACUAAGUGGAUAGAGGCCAAACCAAUAAAAACGGCUGAAGCAGGACCAGUGGUUGACUUUAUAUCCGGCGUGGUACACCGCUAUGGUGUCCUGCACAGCAUCAUCACUGAUAAUAGCUCCAAUUUUACAGCUGAUGAGGUGAAAAACUAGUGUGCUAACUUGGUUAUUAAACUUGACUAUGCAUCCGUCUACCACCCUCAAACAAACGGUCAGAUUGAACGGGCCAAUGGCCUGAUAAUGAGCGGCAUUAAACCCCGACUAGUGCGCUCCCUAUGGGAGUCGGAUAAGCAAUGGGUUGAGGAACUCGAUUUCGUGCUCUGGGGGCUGCGGACUACACCUAACCGAACAACCGGAUAUACACCUUUCUUCAUGGUGUACGGUGUGGACGCUGUCCUGCCCUGCGACAUUAUUCAUGACUCACCUCGAGUGCGCAUGUACGAAGAGCGAGAAGCUGAGCUUGAUCGACAGGACGACCUAGACGGCCUCGAAGAGGAGCGCGAUAUUGCACAAGCCCGUUUCGCAUUUUAUCAACAACAGGCCAGGUGAUACCAAAGAAGAGAAGUGCGGUCCAAGACAUAUAACACUGGCGACCUCGUCUUGCGUCUCCCAGAGAAUAAUAAGGAUAAGCUCAAACCAAGAUGGGAGGGCCCCUUCAUCAUAGAUGAAGUUCUCACGGGAGGAGCCUAUCGCCUUUGUAAUGCAUCGGAUAAUCGCCUUGAGUCGAAUCCAUGGAACGAUGCUCGGCUCCGACGAUUCUACGGAUAGUUCGGUAGCACCUUUUUACUUUGACUAGGUUCCUUUUUCUCCUCUCCUUUUUUAUUUUUUCAUUUUUAUAUCCCAGGGUAUGUUCGGAUCUACCGAACUGUUAGGGGUACACAUCUUUAAAUGUAUACACCCCACUAUAACUUGGGCCUUCUUUGAUGAAGCUUAUUAUUAAAAGCUUGUGGCUUACAUUGUUUACGUCAUUUGUUCUAUACACUUUUUUGCCAUUAUAUGCACCUCUAUGACUUAAGUUUUUGCCAAGCUUGGUUGCCUUGCUCCCGUGUUUAUACCCUACGUUCCCUAUUGUUCGGCUAGGGUGUAAAGGGAGCACCUCUGCGAUUGUUACAACCGGGUAAUCCGGAUCUGUACCUCAGACGGGUGAAGCCAAAAGCUAGUGCUCUUAAGGGAAUAAUUGGUCGGCAAGCAACGACAGAUUAUUUACGUUUAUGUAAUUCUUCUAACAAAUAAGGGAUAGGCUACCCAUAAUUCUAUCUUUUGGAUCAAAGCCUAGGCGUGCAUAAUUAGGCAUGCCGACCCAAGGAAAGGAACCUUAACGGAACUAUUUUCCCUGGAAGAUGUUUCUUACGUUAAAUAGUAAUAUAACAUAACUCCCCGAACAAAUUUUGUCUAUUUGAGCAAUAUGACCGGAUUGCCUGGUUUCCGGACAUAAUGAAUUUUUAUUACAUUCCAACAUGGUCUCCGGAAACACUCCAACUUCUUCGUUCGGAGGUUGAAGCCGAAGGCCUGCGAUGACAAAUUUUGACAAGUUCGGUUGGACAUAAGUUCGAUGAUAAAGUACAUUGAUACAUUGAAUCGAACGCCUACUCUUUAUCUAUGUCAUCUAUAAGACUGUUUAAGCUACAGUCUUCUUGCAAAUAUUUCGCGGCUAUCAUCACUUGGUCAUAUACCAAGUUCACGGGAAUCUUUUUUCCGUCCGGUCCCUGAGGUCCAACUUGGGCCAUACGAUUCGGAUCGAGCCCGGUGUAGCGCGUUUUCACCAUCGCCCUUGCCUCUCGUGCACCUUCCUGGCAUGCUGACGCCUUCCAUAGCUCCAAACAGCGCCGGGAACCUUUGAACAGGUUCGCCAACCCCUCCAUGCUUUCUGGAGGGACAUCGGAUGGCCAUAAGGCUUUGUCCAUACUUCUCAUGGCUUUCCGGGCCCGCUCAUGCACUACGGACAGCUCUUUUAGAACGUGGCCUCGGAAUCCGGAUACUUCUUCUUCAUGACGCCCAGUUAACAGACCUGCAAGAACAGCAUUAUAACACUCCGAAAUACGGGAUAAUAUUAGUCCCUUGGAUGGUUCAAAUGUCAUACCGAAUAUACCGCCUUUCAACUUUUUAUUCUCUUUUUGUGCGUCUGAUAAUUGAGCCUUUAAGCUCUUUAUCUCUUCGGCUUGCUUAUCAUUUUCCUCCUCCAGUUUGUUCUUUUGAUCAAUGGUCAUCGCGACCUUCUUCAUUUCCUCUAGCUCUGUGGUGGCGGCAUUUAGCUUUGUCCAGCUCGUUUCAAGCUCCUGGGACAGUGCGUUGUUCUUCUCUUUGAGAACCUGCGGUCAUAACGAUCCUUAAAUCAGUUGGUCUAAACCACUUCAAGUCUCGGGGGCUACUGGCAUGUAUCUAUUAAAUUUACACAAAACAUUACAUGCAUAUCUUUUGAAAACAGGUGAGCAACUCCAGCAAGUCUAUCCCGGGCAGCUCGGAUAUAUGCAUCCACGGUGCUGAGGGCACUAAAUUCCUGCUCGGUAAAAACUGGAGCACGCAUGGUCUCUUUCAGUCGUGGGUGGUUCAUCACGCUCUCCACUUCGGAAUUUGUGACGGAUAUGUCAUCCGAGUCCUCAUGAGGUGGAUGAGUUGGCUCUACAUCCGUAUUGGCGCUUGUCUUGGUUGAUGAGCCCGGUGUCGGAUUAGCUGAUGAUCGGCUAGCUGGGACUUUACACACGGUUCACCAUGUGCUCCUCCGAAAAUAAGAUGGGAGGAGAAGUAUGACAAUCUGGUCUUAUGCCUAGGCACAUGUUAAAAGUUAUAGAUCUUUGAUAAAGGAGGGGGCCCGACGGCGCUCCCGGUUUCCUUUCGUUUUGAAGGCUCACCCUGCGUAGAUGCUACCCUCCUAGAGGCCACCCUCGAUGGAGUGUAGCUCGCUGAUCGCCGGUCCUAUGAAGCACGAUUCAAUGUCAUGGGUGAGACACAAGUGGGUGGCUCCUUUUUUGUGGCUCCUUUUUUGAGGAUGAUUUCCGAGUACUUACCUUGGAGAAAGGGAAAAUGCCGGGGUAGUCGGCCGUAAUAGCCACUUCCGAGCCAUCAAGCCUCGCUUGAUAAAAGACUCCAUCCUCAAACUCUAUAAAUCUAUCCGGAUCCUCGUGAAAUCCGGGGUCCUCGUUGCAAGCAUAGUCCUCUGGCUCUGGGGAGGGACAAUUAAUAUUUUCGACCACCUUCCUCCAUGUCUGUUUCAAGAUGACAAGAACAAUUUGAUUAGCGCACCUGAAUAAUGAGGUAGGACAAUGUUGAUAAACAAAAACUUACCCAUUCAAUGGGGUUAUACAUGGAGAAACCUUCCCGACAAUUUAAACGGAUGAAUUCUUCUUUCUCCCCCUUAUAAAGAUCUAUAAGAAUGGCCGCCAGAGCAGCCGGGGUAUCCGGGCCCUCAUGCUUAUAACGAGAUGCAUCGUACUUCCCAUUGUAACACCAUAAAGGGGUCACUCUAGACUGAAGGGGCUGGAUGCAUCGCUUUAUCGCGAUGGCCAUGACUACGAUUAUCAAGAGUUCGGAAUGGGAGAGUAACCUGACCUUGCUAACUACCUAUUUACUUCUACACUGUCUUCUUGCUUGGGACUCCGUGGGCUCCAAUUGAAACGUUUCUUCAAAGGAGAACUGGAGAAUUCGGGAAGUCCACGUCAAACUUUGUCUGGAAGGGGAACAUCCUCAACAUAAAACCAUUAUGAAGUCCAUUCUUCUGAUCCCUUCUUGGGAGUUCCGACGAGGUAACCUGAUCCGGCUAUGCACCAUACUUCGGCGCCGCCCACUUCAAAUAUAGAACCCCCUUGAUGACGAGGGACGAGGCAAAAGAACUUUCUCCACAGUUUAAAAUGAGCCUCGCAGCCUAAAAUUGUUCGCAGAGAACGAGAAAACUUGAUAUGUGCAGAAUAGAACCUGGUGUGAGUUUGUGCAAUUGGAUCCCGUAGAAUUCCAAUAGACCUCUAAGGAAUGGGUGGAUCGCGAAUCCUAAGCCCCUCAGAAUAAACGAGACGGAGCACACCCUCUCCUCCUUGUUGGGGUUGGGGAAAUUCUAUGCUAGCACAUCAUUGCCAAUCGAGGCCAAUCCUGCCUGCAUGGAGGCUAGAUCUGUGGGAGGGAGAUAUCCCUGCGUUUGAAGUCGAUUCAGUUGGAGGUGAGACACUGAGCAGCUUCGCCAAUCACCCGCUUGAGCGCCAUGAGGGCGCGAGGAGGAGCUAGGAGCGCUCGCCAUGUUUUGAAGUUUUUUCCUGGUUUGCUCUGAUGCUUCUUGCGCAAUAUGGGAUGGCAUUUGGGGAUCUAACCCCUUUAUAUAGAUGCCGCCCUUGCAUGGUAAGGGGAUUAUUUGUAAAAAAUUAUGGACCAUUCGCAUUCGCCUGGCGCGUGGAAAUCGAGGCAAUGACAGGAAGGAAUGUAAAGGCAGAACAUGAAGUUCAAAGCCGGACUGUCGUCAAUCCGGAGUAUGGUGAGGAACCUGCCUUGCAAAGCUGGAUACUACCUCGCCAUUGAAGGCAAGUUCGGGGGCUACUGAGGGAGUCCUGGAUUCGGGGGUCCUCAAGUGUCCGGCCUAUUCGAUAUGGGCCGGGCUGAUGGGUCGUGAAGACGAAGCAGAAGACCGCCUCCCGCGUCCGGGUAGGACUCCUAUGUGCGUAGAACGGCAAGUUUGGUGUCUGGGUGUAAUUUUAUUUGCCUCUGAACCAACUUUGUAUAACCCUAGGUCUCUCCGGUGUGUAUAUAAACCGGAGGGGUUAGUCCACAGAGGGCAUCAGAAUAAUCAUAGGCUAGACAGCUAGGGUUUGGCCAUUACGAUCUCGAGGUAGAUCAACUCUUGUAACCCCUAUACUCAUCGAAUACAAUCAAGAAGGACGUAGGGUUUUACCUCCUUCGAGAGGGCCCGAACCUGGGUGAACACCGUGUCCCAUUGUCCCUUGUUACCAUUGAUCCUUAGACUCACAGCUUGGCCCCCCCUACCCGAGAUCUGCCGGUUUUGACACUGACAGGUAUCCCUAGCCCACCAGGGUUCAAGUCUUGAUACUCGCAUUUGUCAUGGAUUUAUUUCAGGAUUUCCGGUGAUCUGCGGGUCAUUCCGUGCUUGACCCUGCACAGAUCGCACAUGCUCAUCAGACAGUACAACACCAUAGGAUCCACAUCGCGGUUUCCCAGCAUUCCAAUUCUAUGGUCUCGUCGAUUUUUCCUACUUUAUGUGGGAUCAAGAAAUAGCAUGUACAUGGGCCUUCGCACCCAACACACACAGUAGUAUAGCAUGUUCUUUCACAUGUUUUGCCAUUAAUCAUUUGGUUCGAUCGAUCACAAGCCCCUGCUGCUGGACAGCAAAGCGACUAAACACGCAACAAAUCACCAAACUCCAAUUAAUUAUUAUACACCAAAGGUGCACACAAGUUUAACCGAAGAACGAUACUAAAAACUCAGUCGGCUGAUAGGUGGAUCAUCAAAGGAGAAUCAACGCAUCCAGAAGUAAGGCCAACAUAGGAGAGGUGCACCACGCGAGAGACAUAGCCAGUCGAGGAAAUUCAGCCAGUGAUCCUCAGAAGAACCCCCAGACAACGCCACCCCCACGCUGCAUGGUAGGCUUCACAUGCCACCUACUCCAUGACUUUUGCUCCUAGCGUCAACAUCCUUUGAUUUCCCUCCUUUUAU
rnacentral:lncRNA from 1 species